rnacentral:lncRNA from 1 species
GGACGAUGGCAUGGGCGGGAGGAGGAAGAAGGGCAUCAAGGAGAAGAUCAAGGAGAAGCUCCCUGGUGGCCACGGUGACCAGCAGAACACCGGUGGCACCUACGGACAGCAGGGUACCGGCAUGGCCGGCACCGGCGGCACCUACGGGCAGCAGGGUCACACUGGGAUGACCGGCACCGGUGGCACCUACGGACAGCAAGGCCACACUGGGAUGGCCGGCACCGGCGGCGCCUACGGGCAGCAGGGUCACACUGGGAUGACCGGCACCGGCGGCACCUACGGACAGCAAGGCCACACUGGGAUGGCCGGCACCGGGGCACAUGGCACCACGGCCACCGGCGGCACCUACGGGCAGCAGGGUCACGCCGGGAUGACAGGCACAGGGGCGCACGGCACCGGCGGCGGCUACGGGCAGCACGGCACUGACACCGGCGAGAAGAAGGGCAUCAUGGACAAGAUCAAGGAGAAGCUCCCAGGCCAGCAUUGAGCGCUGAGCAGAGCCCGCGGCCGCCACUUCUGAGAGUGGAGGUGCCGGUCGACCACCUUUGCAGAAUCAAUAAUAACAUGGCGAUACAAUAAAAUUCCACCAUACAACGUGAGCCUGGUUCACCGAGCUCACUUGCGUGUUGGAGGAGCCACCGUAUCUAGGCUCAAGUUUACGUGAACAACCAGUGUUGUUUGUUUUGAGUUUCUCGUCUGUUUACACUGUAUAAUCUUGUAAAUUUCCUUCUGGUUAAACCGUGUAUGUAUGCUUCGCGUACAGGUAAGUUAUUUUAUCAAAAAUAUAUACUCCUAUAAUAGCUUAAGAGCAUCAUAUGUAUUUCGGCCUUGUGAUGAAACCGGUGCACUGGGUCCGUGCCUUGGUUUCCGUAUUUGGAAAUUUCGGAAGGUUCUACAAAAAGAAGAAAAUACAUACAGGGCAUAUAAGACCAGUGAAUACACAAUACCAGGAAACAAUAUCAACUCUAAAUUUAGAGCACAGUAUAUUUUUUAAAGGUAAAGCUAAGCUUUAUUGAUCAAAUGCCACAGUGGAAUACAUCUCGGAUUGAACCAGCCCCACACGUGGCGUCCCUGACCUAACGAAUGUAAAAACUUAGCCAGAUUGUGAGCCUCUUUAUUUGUCUCUCUUAUCUUCAAAAAUAAAACUAGUAGCACGAACGAAGCUUAAUCUCACUAAUGACACUAUCAUAUCUCCCUUAUGUGCCCUUCUGGAUGUCUUCUACAACUUGCUUGGAAUCUACAGCAACAAUAAAGUUUUGCAGAGCAGAUCGUCUGCUAGAGAGUGUCUCCCUGUACGCAAUGGCUUCCAGUAUUGUUGAAUCACGGAUGCCAUGUAUCUUCAACGAUGAAGUCCCCAAGUAGUUACCUUGGUCUCUAAUUGCCGCUAACACGUAAUUUUGCAAAACCAGUAGGUGACGCCUUCUGUCUUCGCUCACAUUGAUUUUUUUUUUUUGAGUCCGUCUUCGCUCAAUGUCUUCGCUCACAUUGAUGGUGUUCUGGACUAGAGGUACCAAUCUAGUUGGCCCAUAGUCCCUGUGCCGAGCUUGCGGCCCGCCAAUCUCAGCAAGAAAAGGCACCGGAAGCCUCGAACCCAGGUGUGAUCAAGACGGACACUGUCGAAUACUUGGCGUAUACAUUAAGAAUAGUUCUAAUUAUCGGCAUGUUUACUCCAAGUUGGCAAUAGAUCAUGUAUAACCCUAAAUACCCCUAGAAAAUGAAAUUCAUGAAUAUUUGUUUAUUUUAGACGAACAUUUCUAGAAAUGGAUGAACAGUUUCUGAAUUCAUGAACAUUUUUUGACUCAACGAACAUUUUGAAUCAAUGAACUUCUUUGAAAUUGGGGAAGAAUUCUUGAAUAUGUUUUGAAUACACGAUCAUUAUUUCAAAAUCAUGAAUAUAAUUUUAUUUCCUGAAUAUUUUUUAAGUCAUGAUUUUUUAUAAUAUGUGAAGAAUUUUAUUAAAUCACAAGCAUUUGCAUCUGCCUCAUCGCAGCGUUUUGCCUGUCUUUUCUUCAUAUUUGUUUGGCUCAAUGUUUCCAUGAGGAUUUCAAACUGAAAUCUUCAUAUUUGUUUGGCUCAAUGUUUUCAUGAGGAUUUUAAACUGAAAUGUGUGACUCUGACAAAUGCAAGUUAGUUAAGGAUGCAAUUCUGUCUUGCCACACGAAUGUUAUAUGCUUGCAGGAAACCAAACUUCAGGUGGCGGAAGCAACAAAAGCAAGCUCUUUUCUUCCCUCCAACCUCAAAGCUUUCUACUUCAUCCCGGCUAUUGGCUCUGUUGAUGGCCUUCUUGUCGCUUGGGACAAAGAUUGUGUGUCUGCCAUUGAGAUCUUCAGAAGCCAAUACUGCAUUUCAGUAAACUUAAGUUCAUUCAGUGACAACAACUCAUUCUGCCUGACAACUGUCUAUGCCCCAUGUGAUGAUACAGAGAGGCCCGAUUUCUUCCACACGGUUAAACAAGCUGCUGAAUCAGCUACGGGACCAUGGAUUCUUCUUGAAGAUUUUAAUAUGUACAGGUUUACACAUGAAAAAUCGAAGGGACAUAAAAACUGGGCUAUGAUGGACAGCUUUAACGACUGGAUUAGAGAGAAUGCCCUUGAUGACAUAGACAUUACCAACAGAACAUAUAUAUGGUCAAAUAAGAGAAGGGAUCCCACCUUGGUUAAGCUUGACAGAGUCCUUGUGAACGCGGACUGGAACCUGGGUUUUCUGAACACGGAGGCGACAACCGUCUUUGCAACAACUUCACAUCACAUCCCCAUUGCAAUUGACUUUAGCAGAAGUAAAUGUUUCCGGUUUGAGAAUCACUGGCUACACACUCAGGAACCACGAGAUGUUAUUCACAGUGGGCUCACUAAGGGCACCAGACACUUUGCAUCCAUUACACCCUCGUUGAAUUUCAAGCUCAGGUGAACCCGAGCAGCAAUUAGGAAGUGGGCGCAAGGUCCAAGUCCAGUUUGUAAUUACUUCUACAGAAUUGCAAGCAUGUCAUGCAAUAUCUAGACGCUGUAGAAGAAAGAAGAAACCUCACAGCUAUAGAAUUCUCUUUGAGAAAAUUCGCCACUGCCAAAGCAUAGCGGAUCAUAAUAUGGCAAACUGAAGGAUGGAGGAGGCGUGCAAAAAUCAGAAAUUGUGUGCUAGGAGAUGAGAAUAAUAGCUUCUUCUACGCCGCUGCAAAUUGUCAUCAUCGGAAAAAAUAUUGAGUUCUUUGACGACCGUCACAAGUUGGAUAUUGCAACAGUUUACUUCACUUCAAUCUUUAGGCAGCAAUCACUCUCCCUCCCAACCAUUGAUGCAAGUUCCAUAUACGAGCAGGUUAACUUGGAAGCCUUAGAAGAAGCUUUUUCAAAGGGAGAGAUCGUCAGAGCCAUUGAAAAAUCACCUAAUCAUAGAAGUCCUGGCCUGGAUGGAUAGACAAACGAAAUUUAUAAGGCUUUAAAGGAAGUGCUCAAGGAGGAUCUCCUCCAGCUAUUGCACGAUUUCUACUACAACCGAGCUAAUUUCCAAGGAAUCAAUAUAGCGCAUAUCGCGCUCAUACCGAAAAAGGAGGCACCUGUUGAGAUCAAGGACUUCAGGCCCAUUUCUCUCGUUCAUAGCCUGCUCAUGGUGGUUUCCAAAGUCCUCCCUAACAAACCGAAGCAUUUGAUUCCGUCUCUAGUACAUUCACUGCAAUCAGGUUUCCUUCCUGGAGGAAGCAUUAUUGAUAAUUUCCUGCUGGUAGCCGAGCUCGUGCAACAAGCAAGGAAGAGACGCAUGCCCAUGAUUGUCCUGAAGCUUGAUUUAAGAGAAGCCUUUGAUAGUGUUAGUUGGGAAGCCCUUCUCAAAAUCCUCGCUGCAAGGAGUUUGGCGACAAGUUGAUUGGCUGGAUCAAGUGUUUACUCUCCUCCAACUCCUCAAGGGUUCUCAUUAAUGGCCGCCUGGGGGAGAAGAUCACGAUGCUGAGUGGGAUACACCAAGGGAACGCCCUAUCACCAUACUUAUAAUAUCCUCGUGGCUGAUCUCCUACAGCAAUUAUGUGUUGCAGAACACAACCAGGGCAACCUGGAGCAUCCACUCGCGGCGUGUGGCCCCUUCCCGGUGUUGCAAUGCGCAGAAGACACCCUCGUCCUGAUCAAGGGUACAUAUGAGCAGGCUUUUGUAACACCCCGGGAACCAUGCUACAAUAAUCUUCCCCUAAUGGUGGUCAAGUCAUCAUGAUUACUAUGCAAAUUGCCGUUUGUCCUAAAAAUCAACGUCAAAUUCCAAUUUAAAUUGCAGGCCAAAUUUUUUACUUCUUCAAACGGAGAAACAAAAAUGUUUACGAUAUGUCAUAAAAUCCCAAGGCAUUGGUAAAAAUAAUUUCAACUAUAUUUGGAUGUCCAAUUUGGCCCUGUCAUUGGUGGAACAACAACCUUUAACCACACCAUUUAAAUGCAAAUAUAAUUUAAUUAAAUUCAAGAUGACCCCAAACUUUGUGGACAAGCCCAUAAUAUUGCAAAGUAUUUUUGCGACAAGUUCCACAUUUAACAAAAUUCACUUGGCACUAAAAAGAAAUACAAAGCAGAUAGAAAAUAAAUGACAGAAAAAGAAAAAGACUAAAGACCUACUAUGCUAAUGGGCCGAAAGUGGCCACAGUGCACCUAGCCCAGCCCACCACCGGCCUUUCCCUUACCUCCCGCUACAAGAGGCAGAGGAGGUGCGUGGCGCACAUCCAUGACGGCCAUGGUCAUGGAUGGCCUCCACGCCCCCACGUCCUAUAACUAUGUCCACAGAAACCCUAGCCCCCACUUCGCUCAGCCCCCUCUCGACCCCCUUCGUCCCCUUCCUCCGUGGCUCGAAAUCGAGCUCAGAAAACUCAUGGUCACCGCUACCUCACCAUCAUUACCGAGGCCACCAUCACCGCCAAUGUGUGGGGACACGUCCAGGAGGUUCGUCGCGACCGGCUUCGUCCGUUCCAGGCAUUGGAGAAGGGAGGGGAACGGUUUAGACCGGCUUCGUCUGGCCAUCGCAAUCUCGCCAUCGCCGCCAUCUCUACGGUCCACCCCCGGCCUCCCCGACCUCGCCUUCAUGCUCGCGGUGAGCAUCUCCCCCGAUCCUUCCAUGCCCCCUCUUUGAUUCGGCACUGUAGACCCGCGCCGCCUGUUGCCGCCAUGGCCGGACCUCUGGAGCUCCGCCCGCGUGCAUACUCAACCACUCCUCGCCGCACCCUUGGCCGUCCCGGCACGCCCAUGCCUCGCUGGCUGCGCGCUCACACAUGCCACACACACCCCCGCUGCCUGCUAACCCGCUUGUCUGACGCUUGCUCGCCGUUGCUCUGUUGUGCCACUGCUGCCUCGCAGCCACUCGUUGCCGCCGUCCGGUGCUCGCCCCGCCCUUCUGGCCGCCCUGGCUCGCGCCCCUGCUAUCGCUUCCGCCUGCACUGUCAGGCCUACAUCUUCAGUUAACAAGUGUUCUCCACCUUUAGUUAACGAGUGGUCGAGAUUUACGACUGAACCAACGAUCUAACGGCUCGCAGAGCUCACCACCCUACUGUACCGUUAUUGCCGUUCCUGUAGCGUUUCAUUCCUGGCACUGUUGCCAUCACCCAAGUGCCUGCUGAGCUAUAAAGCGAGCGGCCCUGUCUUGUAAUGGCAUCGCUUAUUAUGAGAAUCGUUUCAUUAUACAAACAUAUAUCUCAUAGUAAUACAAACCCUAGCGGGCUCCGACUUUCACUUUUCUUUGUUCGUGAGAUCUAGUUCGAGUUCAUCCCUGAAUUCCCCAUUGGGGCAUGACAAUUUGUAUCAUGAGCAUAGGGUUUCCUCGGCGGCGAGAUAGAUCGGAGCUGCGACGGUGAUUGCCCACCCUUCCCUUCCUAUUUUCGUUAGCAGCGGCGGUGAGUGGAGGCGGUUGGUGGCGGAGUUCCGGGCGGCGCUGGCGGCGAUACACAAAUUCGACGACAACUCGCCGAGCAAGACUGGUUGUUUGAGAACAUCGCUCUCACAGGAAAAUCCCAGGUCGAGCGGUGGUGGUGCUGUUCCAAUGGCGAUCUACGACGACGACGGCAGAGUUAAGUGUUCAGAUAUGGUUUCCAGCACAUUCUGGAGGUAAAAUUCCCCUCUGAAUCACUUAAAUACAAAGGGCCGUUCGAAGGCUAGUCUCGAUGAGUCCGAUGUGGCAACAUCAAGAAGAAACAACAGAGUUGUGGGGUGAAGUGGACGAAUUUCGUAAGGAUGUGCAUGACAUCAACACCAAAUAGGAUACUAUGGUUUCAGUACUUAGUGGGGUUCAGAAAGCAGUUUCUUCCCUAAACUCGCAAUUGUCAGCAAUGUCCGAUGUGUUAAAAUCAGUCAGUAUCACAGGUGCAUCCACUUCGGCGCAACCGGGCAAACCAUCUUUUGAACAAGCACCAGUUCCCCCCUCCACCACCAGUGAACAAGGAAACGGUUGCUGAAGGGGGCAGACAUCUAACCAAAGAAUUGAGGAAGCGAUUGGCCCUUGAACAAGAGAAGACUAGGCACGUUGCUUCACAAAUUCCUCCUCACUUGGCACCCAUCCAAGUUCCUAGACCCUCUGUUCCUCCUGGAUAUGGUGCCAAUACAAUGCUGGAUGUACACUCAAGCAAUGUGAGUCCAACAAUAGCAUACAAGACUGCUCGUACCCCUGGAUUUCAUAGUUUUCAGCUACCUGGAGUUCGUCACAGUUGGGAUGAUUUUCAGAAACAGUACGAACAAGAGAUGCACUUUCAAUUUCUCAAAAGCAUCACCAAAGGGCCACUCAUGGAUUUCCCACGUUUCCUUGGGGACAAUCCAGCAGGAUGGAUUCGCCAAUGCGAGAAAUAUUUUCAAAUGGCUGGUGCACCUACGGAAUACAGGGUCAACCUGGCACAGUGUUAUGUUGUUGGCAGAACUGAUGUGUGGCUACGCCAUUCAGGUAUCUUAAAAACAGUUAACAUGGGCACGGUUCAGUGAAGAAAUUAUGUGUCGAUUCUCCUCAGCAAGUUCUUAUAAGAUGACUGAGAAGUUUAAUAACCUGAAACAAGGAACUUCAACAGUAUCAGAUUACACUGCCCAAUUUGAAGACCUGAUGGCAGAAAUACAACCUAACAAUCCGAUUAUUGAUGAAAACUGGUUUAUCAGAUGCUAUGUUAAUGGGCUUCGUGCACACAUCAAGUAUAAGGUGAGAUCACUCAGACCUACAUCUCAUAGACGCCUACUGGUUAGCAGUUGAUCUGGAAAAGGGCACAACAGAGAAGAAAACAUAUCAGUCUUAUUUUGGUACAAGCAAAAGCUUUCAAAAAACCUAUCCUCAUGUGUGAGAGAGACCAACAGAUCCUAAACCAGUUGUGGUGAACCAAAGAGCAAAAGAGCCUGGUAAAUGUUGGAGGUGUGGUGAUGCAUGGUUCCAUGGCCACAAAUGCAAAUUAGCUCCUAUACUAAAUGUGCUCACUGGUGAAGAUCCCACAGAACAACCAAAAGAACAAGAAGAGAUGGAUGAACAAGAAAUGGAAGAACAACAACAGUCAGAGGAGCGCUGUAUGACAAUUUCUGCACAAGCUAUGCAAGCCGAUAAUGUCAACACCAUAUCUAUAUUGGUCCAAAUUGGGGGAAAACAAGGCAUUGCUCUAGUGGACUCAGGCAGCAACUUGUAGCGACCCGAUCUCAAACGGUCAAGUCUCCGUGCUUCAGUGCCAUCCCUGGAUCGGUAAUGCUGACACACACAGUACUCGAGGAUUUAUAACAGAGUAGCAAUCACACACUUAUUACAUCGAAUGUCUCAAAAGAGAACUUAUUACAAUAAAUAUGGCUUAAGGCCAUCUAAUACGAUAACAGCGGAAGGCUUGGAAGAUAAAGUGAGUCCAUCAACUCCAACAGCAUAGCUGAGCUGCACGACAACGACCUAGCGAACCUUACUCCUCGUCUGAAAAGUCUGCAACAUAAUACGUUGCAGCCCGAAAACGGGUCAGCACAUGGAAUAUGCUGGCAAAGUAACACAGUAGAGCAAGAACAGAAUAAUGCUAUCACUACAUGCUUAUUUGGCUGGUGGAAAGCUCCAUGGUUAUAGUUUUUGCGAAAAGCCAAUUUUUCCCUACAAUAAAGGAAUAUAUUUUAUUUAACUAUCAUGGUAGUUGAAACAUCAUUGAGAAGGUUCCUCCAACUCAAUCCCAAUUAAAGUAAUUAACAACCCAACAAUAUUAGUUUAGAGUGAUGAGAUACUUAUGAUACUCCAAGUACUAGAUACUCAAUAUAUUCAUAACCGGGGACACGACUAACCAUGAUUAGUUUAUACACUCUGCGGAGGUUUGCGCACUUUUCCCCACAAGAAUCGAUCUCCUCCGUUGGAUUUCUCGCACUACAGGGUGUUUGAGAAAUGGAUAACCGAGACACAGUCUUUCAGAAGCAUUAACCCCUUACUCCGGGAAGACCAUACCAACCUACAUCCCUCUACCUGCUGAUCCACCUCUUCGGGAGCUUCACACAACUUACUCAACUAUGCUAGAGCCCAUAAUAGCUUGUGGCUGCACACGGAAGUUUCUAGCAUGAAAAUAUCUCAGAUCCCUUUGAGCCUGGGUGGUUGAGGGAGUCCUGGAUUAGGGGGUGUCCGGAUAGCCGGACUAUACCUUCAGCCGGACUCCUGGACUAUGAAGAUACAAGAUUGAAGACUUCGUCCCGUGUCCGGAAGGGACUUUCCUUGGCGUGGAAGGCAAGCUUGCGAUACGGAUAUAUAGAUCUCCUACCAUUGUAACCGACUCUGUGUAACCCUAGCCCUCUCCCGUGUCUAUAUAAACCGGAGGGUUUUAGUCCGUAGGACGAAGAACAACAAUCAUACCAUUGGCUAGCUUCUAGGGUUUAGCCUCUCUGAUCUCGUGGUAGAUCUACUCUUGCACUACCCAUAUCAUCAAUAUUAAUCAAGCAGGACGUAGGGUUUUACCUCCAUCAAGAGGGCCCGAACCUGGGUAAAACAUUGUGUCCCCUGCCUCCUGUUACCAUCCGCCCAGACGCACAGUUCGGGACCCCCUACCCGAGAUCUGCCGGUUUUGACACCGACAUUGGUGCUUUCAUUGAGAGUUCCUCUGUGUCGUCACUUUUAGGCCCGAUGGCUCCUCCGAUCAUCAACGACGAUGCAAUCCAGGGUGAGACUUUUCUCCCCGGACUGAUCUUCGUAUUUGGCGGCUUUGCACUGCAGGCCAAUUCGCUUGGCCAUCUGGAGCAGAUCGAAAGCUACGCCCCUGGCCGUCAGGUCAGAUUUGGAAGUUUAAACUACACAGCGGACCUCCGCGGAGACUUGAUCUUCGACGGAUUCGAGCCGUAGCCGAGCGUGCUGCGCUGUCACGAUGGGCAUGAUCUAGCUCUGCCGCCGAACAGUGCCCUGGAGGCCGCACCCGCAUCAGCUCCGACCCUUAAUUCAGAGCCAACUGCGCCAAUCGAGGAUGGGUGGUUGGACACCGCCUCGGGGGCUGCAAUCUCUACGGCAAUCGAGCCGAACACCAGCCCUAUUCUCUGCGAAGCCCGUGACUCCAAGGAGCCGGACUCCUCUCCAGACUCUGAGCCCUCCACGCCCCUACCGAUCGAACCCGAUUGGGCGCUGAUCAUGGAGUUCACCGCCGCGGACAUCUUUCAGCACUCGCCCUUCGGCGAUAUUCUGAAUUCACUAAAGCCUCUCUCUUUAUCAGGAGAGCCCUAGCCGGACUAUGGUCAACAAGGUUGGGAUGCGGAUGAUGAAGAAAUUCAAAGCCCACCCACCACCCACUUCGUAGCCACUGUCGAUAAUUUAAACGACGUGCUCAACUUCGACUCCGAAGACAUCGACGGUAUGGAUGACGAUGUAGGAGAUGAACAUGAACCAAUGCCUAUAAGGCACUGGACAGCCACCUCAUCUCAUGAUGUAUACAUGGUGGACACACCCAAAGGAAGCGACGACGAGGAACACAGGGAUGCAACGAGGGAUCGUUCACUCGAAAAGCAAUCAAAGCGGUGACGUAAGCGCCGCUCCAAGCCCUGCCUCGAUAGAGACAACAGCCAUACAGACCCAGCCAUAGAGCAGGACGAGCCGGCGGACGACGAACAUGCCUUCGAGCAACCACCCGAACAGGGCAACUUGGAUAAACAAACCGAACACCCCGUCCCCGGCGAAAACAAUAGUCCGGACGACCUUACGCCGGAUAAGCUCAUGGAGCAGAAGAACCUCCACGAAGGGCUCGUCGCUACUGCGCGCAGCCUGAAAAAGCAGAAGCGAAAGCUACUGCCUGAAUUUGACAAGGAGGCCUUAGAGCCCCCGCAGUCAAAAAAUAGGAAGGCCACCCGGUCGGAUAGACGACCGCAUGGCCAGCAUGGAGCGGCAAGCGGCGACGCACACAAGCCGGCACGCGAUCCUCCAAAGGAUCCGCAUCAAAAAGAUGGCCCAGCCAGAUCUAUCUACAGGCCAAGAAAGCAAGCUCUAGUAAGCAAUGCAACACAGCAAAUAUCCGAACAUCACGGCACACCCAAAUACAGGGGUGCCGCACACCCCCUAUGUUUCACCGAUGAGGUGCUGGACUAUGAAUUUCCAGCGGGAUUCAAGCCCGUAAACAUAGAGGCGUACGACGGAACAACAGACCCUGGGGUCUGGAUCGAGGAUUAUAUCCUCCAUAUACACAUGGCCAGAGGAGAUGACCUCCACGCCAUAAAAUACUUACCCCUCAAGCUUAAAGGGCCAGCCCGACAUUGGCUCAAAAGCCUCCCCGAAAACACCAUUGGAAGUUGGGAAGAGCUUGAGGAUGCUUUCCGGGCAAAUUUUCAAGGGACCUAUUUCCACCCUCUGGAUGCAGACGAUCUCAGUCACAUAACUCAACAGCCCGGAGAGUCAGCCCGGAAAUUCUGGAAUAGAUUUCUUACUAAAAAGAAUCAGAUAGUCGACUAUCUAGACGCCGAAGCCCUAACAGCUUUUAAGCAUAACGUUCGAGACGAAUGACUCGCCAGACACCUCGGCCAAGAAAAGCCAAGAACAAUGGCCGCAUUAACAAGCCUCAUGACCCGCUUUUGCGCAGGAGAGGACAGCUGGUUGGCAAGAUGUAACACCAACGACCCAAGUACAUCCGAAGUUAGGGAUGGAAACAGAAAACCCCGACGCAACAAGGACCAGCGCCGGAAUAAGAGAAACAGCCCAAAGAGCAUGGUGGUCAACGCCGGAUUCAAAAUCUCGCGGCAGAAUCAGAGAAAGCCGCCCCUCAAGAAUAACAGGGACGAGCUAUCCAACUUAAACAAAAUAUUGGACAAGAUAUGCGAAAUACACAGUACUCCCGGGAAGCCUACGAACCAUACCCACAUAGAUUGUUGGGUUUUUAAGCAAUCCAGCAAACUCAACGCCGAACACAAGGGGCUCGACACACCAAGUGAGGACGACGACGAACCCCACAAGCAGAGCACCAGGAAACAAAAGGAUUUCCCACAAGAAGUCAAAACAGUAAACUUACUUCACGUGACGAACAGAAUGACGCCAACAGGGAUACGCGCCAUACGACCUAUCCAAAAGGAGUCUCGCUAAUGGUUGUUAAAACCGAUCACCUUCGACCAUCAGGAUCACUCUAGAAGUAUCCGGAACGCAGGCUGGACUGCCUUGGUAUUAGAUCCAAUAAUCGGCGGACUCCACUUUACAAAUGUCCUGAUGGACGGCAGCAGUGGUCUAAACCUGUUAUACCAGGACACAAUCCGCAACAUGGGGAUAGACCCAACAAAAAUCCGCCAUAGCAAAACCUCCUUUCAAGGGGUAACGCCAAGCCCGGAUGCCCGUUGCAUGGGUUCUCUCCGACUAGAAGUUAUGCUCGGCUCCCCCGAUAACUUCCGUCGCGAACAGCUAACUUUCCACAUCGCCCCAUCACUACAAGAAAUAUGUUAAUUCAUGACGAUCUUCCGAUGACGUUCCUAAAAAUCGUCAUAGACCAUGACGGUUUAAGUAGAUCCGUCAUGGGAUCCGUCAUGAAUCUGGAAGCGGCUGACUGGUCCUAAGACUAGCCACAAUGGAUAGUAACAUACACUAGUAACAUACACAUAUCCCUAGACUAUGUUACUACCUUCAUAGUGGAUAGUAACUUAAGUGUAGUAACAUGCAAAGAUUCAUUUACUAGGUUAUAGACUCAUAUUGCAUUGGGACAUGUGAUGUUAUAGUAACUAGCUAAGUUACUACAAUUACCUCUUUCUCCAUUAACUCAUUGCCACAUAAGCAAAUCUGCUGAGUUGGACUCGAUGUUACCGCUGAAGUUACUCCUACUGUGGCUAGUCUAAAAUGCAGAGUUUUGUCUUUCAUUUUUACAAUGUUGUAACCGUCAUGGAUUUAUAGUUGCAGACGUGGCGUGAGAGGGUUGGCCCAGCCCAUGAUUCUUUUUUAACUACGCUGCCGUGUACUGUCUCACGAGCGGGGAGAGCAGUCCUUGCCAUUGAGCUAUAGUUGCAGAUGUGUGAAGCCCUUACACCUUGUAUAUUAGUACUAUAGAAGUUCAGCCUUAAAUGGCUAGUUUUUUUAGUUGGGCCUUGUGUCGCUUGUUACAAUUGAGACUCCAGGUUCGAACACUGACCUCUAAAUUGAGGUAAUCACUUACCCGCGGUGCUCAACUGAAAAAAAACUUGCCCGUGAUGCUAGCUAAGCUAUGGUUUAUCAAGUAAAAUUUUACGAAUUUUGUACACUUAGUACUACUUUCUCCUAUACAUACCAAUUCUGUCUAUUGCUCACCUCACAUAUAUUUGGGCCACCCUGUACGCGAAGCGGGUGGUUUUCUACUGGAUUUCUUUUUUAUUUUGUGCAAGUUCAUGUUUAAUUUCCCCUUUUUAUUUUUAAAUUUGUGUUCCCUAUAUAUAAAAGUUUCAACAAUUUUUAUUGUACAAUUAUUGUGUAUUCUAAAUCUCUAUUCUAUUUUUGUUAUUUUGUACCUUGAAGAGGUAAACAUGAAGUAAUUUUCUUACACACUAAUCUUUUAAUGCACGUUGAACAUUUUUUGAAAACACGUUGACCAAUUUCUAAAAACACAUUGAUAAUUGUGUAAUAGUAAUAAAUUUUAGAAAUGUACUAAAAAUGUUAAAGAUGUUUGUAAAUAUCUAAGAAGAAUUUUACACAAUAAUAUUUGAAUGCACGUUGAACAUUUUCUAAAAAUAUGUUGAACAUUUUUUUCAAAUACACUUUGCCAAAAAAAUAAUGCUUGACGAACAUUUUGCAAACACGUUGGCAAUCUUUUAAUUUUGUAAAAUGCAAACGUGAUGCGGAGCAUCCCUCCAUCAUCCUCGUGGAGUCUACUACAAAUCAUCAAGCACCUCGAGAAGGACCAAUGACCAGAGCUCGCGCACGUGCCAUCAAAACCGAGGUUAACUCUUUCCUCUUGAUCUUCAUUGGAAUUCACAUGAGAAUUGGGUUCAACCUCAAAGAGAAAUAUUGUGUAUUCAUAGGUACCAACGAGAUGGCCGUAGGAAGCUAGCAGGGAGUCACAAGCAACCAAGAAGGGAGAAGGAAGAGCUCCAAGACACGCCCCAGGUGCCCGCACCAUCCACCCCUGAGUGACCAGACCCCCCGGUGCCCCCGGACUUGUUCUUGAGUGUUUCUCUUGUGAUUUCCCCUCUUGUUCUUCGUGUUCUUCGUGUUUUUUGUGGAUCACCCUCCAAUUCGUGAAAGAUCUCCACUUAGGGUCUCCACCCUACAUCAAAACGAAGUCUUGAAAAUAUGAAACUUGGCAUGGUGCCCUCGUAUGAUACCUAGAGGCUCUGGUAAAAAUUUGAGAAAGUUUCACAAUAGUGGUUGUAUCCGCUACUUACAAAUUGGCCACUUUGAGGAAGAAUCUAUGUUACGAGAAGGAAGAGGUCAGUUGUGAAGGUAAAGCGACCAUUGCAUCAUAUGUUGACCUUAAAAUGUUCCGUACACUUAAUAUACCCCGUUGUAUGAUCCAUGUCAAAAAUUGAGAUUUUUCGGGGUUUGUUUGCCAUAUUAAGUCAUUUCAUGCAUUUUUGUGGCAUUUAAUGAAUACAAUUCAAUUUUGAAUUGCAAGUGCAUGAAAAAGUUGGCCAAUUUGGUUUGAAAAACCCUACUUGUUUUACUGAGUCUAUAUUUGCGUCUUAUCCAAGAAAAUAAAAGGAGUUACACACAUGAGGGUGACAGACUCAACCUUGAACAUGGAGUUUAUUGAUUUUUUUUAAUUCUACAAAAUGCAAACGAAUUUUGAAAAAAAAAUGGAACUUGGCAUGGUGCCCUCGCAUGAAUACUAUUGAAUGCUCCCGCAAAAAAAAGAAUACUGUUGAAUGCAUGUACGAAAGCAUUUUUUUAUUAUUCUCAAAAGAAUUAGUACGCUGUUGAAAAAAUUGUACGCAUGACAAUACUACCUGUAGAAAAUAUGCAAACAGCCUAUAGAAAAUUUAGAUAGAUUUAAUUUAUUUAUUCUUCAUAGGAUGUUAAGUUAUUUAAAGUUUACGGUUUGAAAAGGAGAAAAUUAACAUCAAACUAACUUUAUCUGUAUUUCCAAGUUUGAAUUUGAAAAAGCUAAAAGAUUUCGCAAACACGUCAAUAACAUUUCUUUUGGAAUAAAAGUCUAUUUUCAAAAGAAUUCUUCAUAUAGAAAUUUGUUAUGCUACCGUGAUUCGAUACGAAUUGUAAUAAAACAGUCCACAAGUUCCCAACAUGAUAAUUUUAUUAUAGCAUGUAAUAUCUUACUUUUAAUUUUCAUGAUUUACUAGUAUUGUGAUGACACAUAAUAAUCUAACAUGCAAAUCACAUACAAAUUACUAGUAAAAAAAGGGGGUUCAAAACCUGAGGUUGCCUAGACUUGACCCAGGCAUAGAGUUUGGUUAUUUCGUUUUUAAUUCUGAAAAUGCAAACGAAGUCUAGAAAACAUGAAAAUUGCCCUCGUGCCCUCAUAUGACACCUAAGGUUGUGGUAAAUAUUUGAGAAGGUUUUACAAAAGCUAUGACAUACGCUGCUUAGAAACCAGGCCAUCUCCAAAGAAGAAUCUAUGUUUCGAGAGGGAACGAGCCAUGUUUGAAGGCGAAAAGACAUAUGCUUCAUCCACUAGCCUUGAAUUAACUAUUUUCAGAGAACUUAGUACAUGUAGUACCUUCCACUCUCACGUAACAACACACAAGCAGUAUACACAAAAAUUGCUAAAUUUCUAGCAAGUGUUUCCUACCACCGCACAUCGUUGACGAUGGCUAGGUCACCAGUGAGUUGAAAAAAUUUAUUCAUUAAGUAAAAUCCAUACAUUAAAUAAUUAUUCACUAAAAAUAUGACUAAUAUAUGAAAAUAUUUACCAGUUAUAAUGGUAUACUUUAAAUCUAGAAAAAACAUAAUUGAUUGAUGUUCACUCAAAACAAUAUGUGUAAAAACUCAAAAUAUUUUUGAAAAGUGUUCUUUGGUUAUUCUAAUGAUUGGAUAAUAUUGUUCAACCUAUUUUGGAUAGAGAACUAAACAACACUUUUUAAUAUACUAUAUGUAUAAUAAAUGUUUUAUUUAGUGCUUCUCAACUUUAACAAAAAUAUUUUGUGGUUCAUUAGGUAAAGAUUGAAUUAUCCCUAACUAUCAUGUGAUAUUUUCAUUUAUUUUGAUGUUACGAGCUAACAUAAAUCAUAAGUCCUUCAAUAUUGUUUUUGUAAAAUUUGUUUCAAAAAGAUGUUGUGAUCGGAAAUAUAGCUUUCAGUAUAUGACCACAUUUAGAUAUUUUAUUAUUAUUAUUCUUGAUUGGUUGCCAAUAGAAUUUUGAAUUACCCCAACAUAAUUUAAGUUAUGACAGGGGAGAUGUUUCAACUAUUUUCAGCUAUGAGAAAGAACAACACAUAUGCUCCUAAUUAUUGGUUUGUGAUUUUAUGUUAACCUUAUUUGAUUUACAUGCAGCUCAAAUUAACUUAAUCAAUAAAGAGACAUAAAUUCAUUUAAACUAUAACAAGUAUUAAGCAAAUUCAAAGUUUAUUGAAACUCCAAUGAAAUGAUAACAAUAUGUUAAACCACUUUGAAAAAUACUGAAACUUUUAAAAAUAAAAUAUAUGUAGUAUGUAGAUGUAGAAGGUGUGCUGGGGUCAUAUGGUAAUUUUUUUGUAAAUUAUUUUAGAACGGUGCCUUACUUAGUUAUUUGCGAAAUGGAAAAAAAAGUUCAAAAUCUGGACUGCCUUGCUCACAGCUGGGCCGAGAGUCAACAAGAGCCCAUUAGGUUCCUAGCUCAGUAUGCAUGUAUCCUACGUGAAGAAAACCGUGGCAUCUGAUUGGUUCACUCUACCCUCACGCGGAUCGCCGGUCAUAGCCGUCAGAUCCUCUCCAAUCCAACGGUGGUAGACUGGUUCCCAUCUCCUGUGUUUCUUCUCCACCCACGAGACGUAUCCGUCGAUCCUUCCAGAUCCUAUCCUCGCAGCGCCUUCCUUCCUCCUUCCCCUAAUCCACAUCUUCCUCCUCCCAGCAUCUCCAUUCCACUAUCCUCUCACCGAAGGCAAGCACAGCCCCCACGAGUCGACGACGCCCAUGCCGCCAUCGAAUCCUUUGCGUGUACCGUGCUGGGCCGCCGAGGGGUCUGCAUCCACCGGUCGACGAGGAGCAGCGCUUUGGCAGACGCACGGCCGAACGGUGCGACGGCCUCCACUUCCCGAGCGUUGGCGGACGGGGCCUAUGGCGCCAGCGGGAUGGCUUCCUGUUCAGCCGCGAUCGGUGCCCGUGUCGCUGCAAGGCGCUUGCCGCCUCGACGACUGCCUCGUCCAUAUAAGCAGCGACGCCCCCAAAGGCCGACCUGGCGCUGGUACCGUUGGUGUGGCCUGUGCCUGAGUCGCUGCAGGCCGCGAACGGGAACGGCGACGGGCUCGCAGACAUGGAUGGGUCUGGCGCGGCAGAAUACCCGACGGGCGUGCUCGAGGUCGCCCGACAAUGGGUAUUGGGGCGCCGACGGGCUCGUGACCGGCCCUCCACGGCCACGCGUCCAAAGUGCAGGGCGGAGCGGACGCGAGCUAGAUGGCGAUGGGCACCGAGGCGGCGUCGUGCAUGUGAUCCCCUCCCAUGCGUGCUUGAGGAGCCAGAAUCUAGGGGCACCAUAUGCGGCAAGAUCCCCUCCUAGGCGUUCUUCCGUGAUGGAAAAAUGAUGGCUUUUUUUAUUUUUUUAGCAAACGGAAGACGAUGGUGGUACUGAAUCCAGUGGAUCCUAGCCUAAUAAGUUCAGCAUCAUGAUGUUGUACUCUUGCUUCCAUUUUCUGAAAAAAAAAUCAACGAGCAUGACUUGGCUGUAACUUGCAUUUAUGUAAUUUUUUAGUGGGUUUCAUUGUCCUUUUUAUUAUUGGUUGUAAUUUAUGUUUGUCUGAUUUUUUUAAUUUAAUGGUGUGAGCAAAAAUCUUUUAAAAAAUUAUGUGCUUGAAAUGUUAACAAACACAAAAUAAUAGGUAUUGGUCUAUACUAUAAUUGGUGGGCUAAAGUUGCAUCUAAUGGAAAUGAGUGGGCCAAAAUUCUAAUUGGGCCACAACUUCAGCGGGCUGAGAUUUUAACUGGGCUGAUGAUCACAUAGGCCGAAGCCGAAAACAGUGGACCGAAAUUGUCUAUGGGCUGAUUACUAGAUGGGUCGCCAUGUUGGAUUCAUGUUGGCUGCCAUGUCGGAUGAUGAUGUGGCAUGCGCGUUAACGUCGUUGUUAGCACGUCAGUUAAGUGACAUACAUGACGGUCAAGAGCCGUCAUGGAUCCAUGACGGUAUUGGUAGCUCCGUCAUGGAGUGCACGGUGGUUAAAUUAUGAUGCAAUAUACAUGACGGAUUUUGAAUCCGUCACGCAUGGCCAUCCAUGAUGGUUUUGUGCCCAGCCAUGACGGUUUGGUUCCGUCAUGUAUUAACUGAUUUCUUGUAGUGCAUUCUCAAGUAGCUAUCAAGCACUGCUGGGACGCGAAGCUUUCGCCCGCUUUAACGCAAUACCGCAUUAUGCAUCUCUCACGCUUAAGAUGCCCGGUCCACGAGGCAUCAUCUCAUUAAAGGGAAAACAUUGAGUGUUCCCCCCGCGCGGAAGACAGUGCGGCUGCCUUGACAGCCCCACAAUAAAACGGCUUCACCAGCCAAAGCACCUAAACAGGUCGUCAGGACCACAGACACGGCUAGACGAGUCCGACAUAAACAUACAAUUGAUAAAGGCUUAAUAGCCGUAUACCCCUGUACUAGGGGCUCCGCGCAUAUAAAACAAGAGACAAUAAAGCUUAAUUUUACCCAUUUCGAUUUAUAGUUCAUUUAUUUAGUAUAACUCAUGUUCGGCACGAUCUUUCCUAAACUAAGUUCCUCUCUUUUACAGAUGAACACCGUGCUACGCCCGUCCAGGACACGGCACAACGGAGACACAGGCGCAGACGUGCAGCAGGGACCCGUUCCAAGGAUUCUUUUCAGAUUAAGACCCUGCGUAAACCUUUUUUACCGUCUCUUAUUGAUACACAUCCCCUGGUUUCUUGGUAUAACCAAGGAGGAGGCUAGCGUUUUGGCAUGUGGCCACGCCAGAGUUUUUGCGCGUACCUGGACACUAGGGGCUUAUUACUAAGGGUGUUAUCCCGCCCGCCCUCAUAAAGACCGAAUACCUUAGGGAGUGUUCGGCAUCGCGAGUUUGGCCUUAUAUGCAUCAGCUCCGAAUCAUGUCUUUGGUCAAAUGUUGGGUUUGCCCGGCUCCUGUGUUUUGCUACCUUACGUUCCGCUCUAUCGACUAAGGCGGCACCAGGAGAACUACUGCGAUUGUGCCCCAGUUCGGCCAGGCGAGCACCUCAGUAGAGAAAGCCGAAAACUGACUGUCAUGAUAUAGCGUGAGAUUGGUCAACCACUCGAUGACUUACCGGAAUCUUUAGGAUUCCUCCGCAUUAACGAAGGGCCGCUUCCUGGCCAGGCACAUACGCGCCCCGAGUUCGGGCGAGCGCAGGCGCCACCAGGGGCUAUAUAAGUAGCCUCACUGUCAAACUCCUAUGGCUAAGUGAAAGUGAUAAAGCAUCAUAGUCCGAUUGCCUAGUUCGCUGUGGUAUCACCUCCUUUGUAGGACCAAGACGUUGGAUCAAGUGUGAAAAUGCGCCUUCUGCGAACACCCCCGCAUUAUGUGCGUGGGGGCUGAAGCCGACGACUGCUAUCUUUCAGAUUAUAUAUACAUAUAUGUUAAACGGCCGCACAGGAGGUAUUAUAAUACUUGCAGGCACAAGUAUAAAAAGCUUCUACAAUUUAUCAAAAUAUUGUUUUACAAUAAUAUAUGCUAUUUGAAUAUAGUAUCCUUCGAGCACUGCGUCUCUAUUAAACGAGCGCCUUGCAGAACUUCCUAAAAAUAGUGCUCGGCAGGUACUCGGCUUCCAUCCGAGUCUGGGGUUGCAACAGCGGUGGCCUCCAUUUCCGCCCAGUAUGUUUUCACAUGGGCAAGAGCCAUCCGCGCACCCUCUAUGCACGCUGACCUCUUCAUCGCAUUGAUAUGCGGCGCCGCACCAAGGAACUGCUACACCAAGUUGAAAUAACUUUUCGGCUCUGGCCUCUCUGGCCACAGAUGACUCAUGACAUACUUCAUGGCGAGUCCGGACAACCUAUUUAGCUUGGCCCAUUCGGCCAAACGAUCGGCUAAUGACAGUGGACGCUCCGGAUUGUGGAACUGCGACCAAAAGAGCUUUUCCACUUCGCGAUCUUCUUGAUCUCGGAAGUGUUCGGCCGCAUCCGCGGCACUCGCUGCCAAAUCCAGAUAGGUGUCCGCUGUACUCCACAUCCGGUCUAACGGAGCAUGUUUAGGAUCACAGAACUUCCUCCGCAGCAUAAAGGGCUUUCCAGCCGCGAUCUCUCCGGCCGACGCAGCUCCUCCUUCAUAGCUCUCAUUGCAGAGCGAGCAUCCUUGGCAUCGGAAACGGCCUUCUCCAGGUCCGCCUGUUCCGCCUGAUCUUCUUUUUCAAGAAGCUUGCAAUGGUCAGCAGCAUUCUUCAGCUUCACGGCCAUCUCGGCCAUUUCCUUCUUGCUUCGGCAGUGAGCAGCCUGUUCGGCUUUCAGCUCUUCAAUUGCCUUUCCGGCAGCCGCAUCACUUUUCCUGGCUUGCUCCUUGGCUCGGGCAAGUUCCGCCCGAAGAUUCUCCAUGGCAGCAGCACCAUGUGCAUCAAGCGCACACAUUGUAAGAUACUGGCAUAAAGCUCCUCUUACCAGGUGCCGCUGAGGAAUUACAUACCUUGGGCCUCGUCAAGCCGCUUGUUGACAAGCGUGAUGUCGGCACCUGCCAUGUCAAGUUGCCGCUUUAGCUCGGCAAAUUCAUCAGUCCGGCUUGACACCGGACACUUCGCCACCUACGUAUGAAGGCGGCAUAUUAGACCUGGGAUUAUGAUCCUCUGCGUGCCGUCACCUUUGACAACACACAGAGUCUCAGGGGCUACUAUCUACACAGGGCACAUCUUAUUUAUGUGCAACUGUCCAACAAGGGUACAUUAUUUCGCGUACCUCAAAACCUAUCAGUAAACUCCUGACGGCCUCGUGCAAUCCGCUCUCCGCGGAUGAAAUCCUCUCAAUUACCGUACCCAUCAAUGCACGGUGCUCCUCUGAGAUAGAUGCUCGCCCUAGAAGAUCCUUCAGCUCCUCCGACCGCCCACCAGAUGGCGCCGGACUCGUCCGAUGGCCCUUUUCGAAGGCCGGACGCGGAGGGCUUUGGGGGCCAUAUGACUACCUUCCAGCCCUGCCGGAUUGGGAGAAACCCUCCACGACAAUACCUCAGGGUCGCCCGCCUCACAAGGCGGUACAGCAGGGGGAGGCGUUCCGCUCUCCAUCAUCUUUGGAAGAAGAUCCCCCGAAGACGAGCUCUGCUGAGAAGGGCUAAGGCCCGAGCUACAAGGUAAAUUUUCGAUUACUUUUCUCAGAUAUAAAGCAAGGAUUUCCCUUGUUUCUUAAAAAGAAAACUCCUCUCUACUUACGGCUCGGUGGAGGGCUGGUCCCCUUGAGGGCAUAAUUCGGCCAAAGUAUCCCCCAGCACAGGACCCUCUAGCGAAGAUUUCUUCCCCCGCUUUGAGGCCAUGGUCUCCGGGUCUUCAGAGGCGGUCCUCUUCUUCCCCUGAGGAGAGGAAUUUUCAAUUCCUCCCUUCCGGACAACCUCCUUCGAGGAGGCUGUAGCUUCCUUGUCCCCUCCCUCGCUUUCCUUUGAAGGCACAACCUCCAACAUCCUGACUAGCACAGGACCCGGCGUGGUCUCGGGGAUGGGGGUCGGACACCUGAUUAGCUUUGCUUUCGCUAUCCACUCCUGCUUAAAGGACAUCUCUUUUAGGGGCAAUUUUAUGAUAAAUAUACGGAUAGCGAGUCCGGGCACAAGGCUACUUACUUGAGUAUCUGGACGAUUGCAGCUCAGACCUGCGUCCUCCAUAGAAUCCGGACACACUACUUGUGGUCCAAAUAAUAAUUUGUACAUCUCCACGGGCAUCAUGCCAAGAAAAUGUUGGAGAGCUCGUGGUCCCUCCGGGUUGAACUCCCACAGGCGGAGGGGGUGACGUUUGCAGGGCAGAACUCGGCGAAUUAACAUAACCUGCGUCACCACGACCAGACUGAUGUCUCUUUCUAGGAGAUCUCGGAUGCGGCCCUGCAACAGGGGCAUGUCCUUUGCCGGGCCCCAGUCCAGCCCCUUAUUGACCCAUGACGCUAGUCGUGGCGGGGGACCCGAGCGGAAAGCAGGAAGCACCAACCACUCGGUGCUCCUGGGAGCUGUGAUAUAAAACCACUCUCGUUGCCAUAAGCCGGACUCCCCUUGAAAAGAGCCCUCGGGCCAUGGAGCACCAAUAUUCUUGCUUAUAAAAGCACCUCCACACUCCACGUGCCGCCCCUCGAUCCUCUUCGGCUCUACUUUGAAGGUCUUGAGCCAUAGUCCGAAGUGAGUAAUACGGAGGAAGGCUUCACACACGACGGUGAAUAAGGAAAUAUGGAGGAUGGACUCCAGAGCUAAGUCGUGAAAUUCCUGCCCAUAAUAAAACAUGAGCCCCUCACGAAGGGAUCCGUUGGGAAGCCUAUGUUGGAAAUAUGCCCUAGAGGCAAUAAUAAAUUAGUUAUUAUUAUAUUUCCUUGUUCAUGAUAAUCGUUUAUUAUCCAUGCUAUAAUUGUAUUGAUAGGAAACUCAGAUACAUGUGUGGAUACAUAACAACACCAUGUCCCUAGUAAGCCUCUAGUUGACUAGCUCGUUGAUCAAUAGAUGGUUACGGUUUCCUGACCAUGGACAUUGGAUGUCAUUGAUAACGAGAUCACAUCAUUAGGAGAAUGAUGUGAUGGACAAGACCCAAUCCUAAGCCUAGCACAAAGAUCGUGUAGUUCGUAUGCUAAAGCUUUUCUAAUGUCAAGUAUCAUUUCCUUAGACCAUGAGAUUGUGCAACUCCCGGAUACCGUAGGAAUGCUUUGGGUGUACCAAACGUCACGACAUAACUGGGUGACUAUAAAGGUGCACUAUAGGUAUCUCCGAAAGUGUCUGUUGGGUUAGCACGAAUCGAGACUGGGAUUUGUCACUCCGUGUAAGCGGAGAGGUAUCUCUGGGCCCACUCGGUAGGACAUCAUCAUAACGUGCACAAUGUGAUCAAGGAGUUGAUCACGGGAUGAUGUGUUACGGAACGAGUAAAGAGACUUGCCGGUAACGAGAUUGAACAAGGUAUCGGGAUACCGACGAUCGAAUCUCGGGCAAGUAUCGUACCGCUAGACAAAGGGAAUUGAAUACGGGAUUGAUUAAGUCCUUGACAUCGUGGUUCAUCCGAUGAGAUCAUCAUGGAACAUGUGGGAGCCAACAUGGGUAUCCAGAUCCCGCUGUUGGUUAUUGACCGGAGAACGUCUCGGUCAUGUCUGCAUGUCUCCCGAACCCGUAGGGUCUACACACUUAAGGUUCGGUGACGCUAGGGUUAUAGAUAUAUUAGUAUGCGGUAACACAAAAGUUGUUCGGAGUCCCGGAUGAGAUCCCGGACGUCACGAGGAGUUCCGGAAUGGUCCGGAGGUAAAGAAUUAUAUAUAGGAAGUGCUAUUUCGGCCAUCGGGACAAGUUUCGGGGUCAACGGUAUUGUACCGGGACCACCGGAAGGGUCCCGGGGGUCCACCGGGUGGGGCCACCUGCCCCGGGGGGGCACAUGGGCUGGAGGGGGUGUGCCUUGGCCUAUAUGGGCCAAGGGCACCAGCCCCAAGAGGCCCAUGCGCCAAGAGAGAGAAAAAAGGGGAGAGUCCUAAUGGGGGAAGGCACCUCCGAGGUGCCUUGGGGAGGAUGGACUCCUCCCCCCUUGGCCGCAGCCUUCCUUGGAGGAAGGGGCAAGGGCUGCGCCUCCCCCUCUCCCUUGGCCCUAUAUAUAGUGGGGAAAAGGAGGAGCAACCAUACAUAAGGCCUGGUGCCUCCCUCUCCCUCCCGUGACACAUCUCCCUCCUCCCGCAGCGCUUAGCGAAGCCUUAUUGGAAUCCCGCUACUUCCACCAUGCCGUCGUGCUGCUGGAUCUCCAUCAACCUCUCCCUCCUCCUUGCUGGAUCAAGGCGUGGGAGACGUCUCCGUUCCGUACGUGUGUUGAACACGGAGGUGCCGUCCGUUCGGCACUAGGAUCAUCGGUGAUUUGAAUCACGACGAGUACGACUCCAUCAACCCCGUUCUCUUGAACGCUUCCGUGCGCGAUCUACAAGGGUAUGUAGAUCCACUCCUCCCUCGUUGCUAGAUGACUCCAUAGAUAGAUCUUGGUGACACGUAGGAAAAUUUUGAAUUUAUGCUACGUUCCUCAACAGUGGCAUCAUGAGCUAGGUCUAUGCGUAGUUUCUAUGCACGAGUAGAACACAAAGUAGUUGUGGGCGUUGAUUUUGUUCAAUAUGCUUGCCAUUACUAGUCUUAUCUUGAUUCGGCGGCAUCGUGGGAUGAAGCGGCCCGGACCAACCUUACACGUACUCUUACGUGAGACAGGUUCCACCGACUGACAUGCACUAGUUGCAUAAGGUGGCUAGUGGGUGUCUGUCUCUCCUACUUUAGUCGGAUCGGAUUCGAUGAAAAGGGUCCUUAUGAAGGGUAAAUAGCAAUUGGCAUAUCACGUUGUGGUUUUGCGUAGGUAAGAAACGUUCUUGCUAGAAACCCAUAGCAGCCUUGUAAAACAUGCAAACAACAAUUAGAGGACGUCUAACUUGUUUUUGCAGGGUAUGCUAUGUGAUGUGAUAUGGCCAAAAGGAUGUGAUGAAUGAUAUAUGUGAUGUAUGAGAUUGAUCAUGUUCUUGUGAUAGAUGAUCAUGGAGCCCCAAGAUGGAGAUCAAAGGAGCUAUAUGAUAUUGGCCAUAUCAUGUCACUAUUAUUUGAUUGCAUGUGAUGUUUAUCAUGUUUAUACAUCUUAUUUUCUUAGAACGACGGUAGUAAAUAAGAUGAUCCCUCAUUAAAAUUUCAAGAAGUGUUCUCCCCUAACUGUGCACCGUUGCUACAGUUCGUCGUUUCGAAGCACCACGUGAUGAUCGGGUGUGAUAGAUCCUUACGUUCACAUACAACGGGUGUAAGACAGUUUUACACAUGCAAAAACACUUAGGGUUAACUUGACGAGCCUAGCAUGUGCAUAGACAUGGCCUCGGAACACAGAAGACCGAAAGGUCGAGCAUGAGUCGUAUGGUAGAUACGAUCAACAUGAAGAUGUUCACCGAUGAUGACUAGUCCGUCUCACGUGAUGAUCGGACACGGCCUAGUUGACUCGGAUCAUGUAAUCACUUAGAUGACUAGAGGGAUGUCUAUCUGAGUGGGAGUUCAUAAGAUGAACUUAAUUAUCCUGAACAUAGUCAAAAGAUCUUCGCAAGUUAUGUCGUAGCUCGCGCUUUAGUUCUACUGUUUAGAUAUGUUCCUAGAGAAAAAUUAGUUGAAAGAUGAUAGUAGCAAUUAUGCGGACUAGGUCCGUAAACUGAGGAUUGUACUCAUUGCUUCAUAGAAGGCUGAUGUCCUUAAUGCACCGCUCAGUGUGCUGAACCUCGAACGUUGUCUGUGGAUGUUGCGAACAUCUGACAUACACAUUUUGAUAACUACGUGAUAGUUCAGUUAAACGGUUUAGAAUUGAGGCACCAAAGACGGUUUUUUGAAACGUCGCGAAACAUAUGAGAUGUUUCGAGGGCUGAAAUUGGGAUUUUAGGCUCGUGCCCACGUCAAAAGGUAUAAGACCUCCGACGAUUUUCUUAGCCUACAAACUAAGGAGAAAAGCUUAAUUGUUGAACUUGUGCUCAGAUUGUCUGAGUACAACAAUCGCUUGAAUCGAGUGGGAGUUGAUCUUCCAGAUGAAAUAGUGAUGGUUCUCCGAAGUCAUUACCACCAAGCUGCUAGAGCUUCGUGAUGAACUAUAAUAUAUCAGGGACAUAUAUGAUGAUCCUUGAGAUAUUCGCGAUGUUUGACACCACAAAAGUAGAAAUCAAGAAGGAGCAUCAAUUGUUGAUGGUUUGUGAAACCACUAGUUUCAAGGAGGGCAAGGGCAAAAGGGACACUUCAUGAAACGGCAAUUCAGCUGCUGCUCUAGUGAAGAAACCCAAGGUUGAACCCAAACCCGAGACUGAGUGCUUCUGUAAUAAGGGGAACAGCCACUGGAGCAGAAUUACCCUAGAUACUUGGUAGAUGAGAAGGCUGGCAAAGUCGAUAGUAGUAUAUUGGAUAUACAUUGUGUUGAUGUGUACUUUACUAGUACUCCUAGUAGCACCAGGGUAUUAGAUACUGGUUCGGUUGCUAAGUGUUAGUAACUCGAAAUAAAAGCUACGGAAUAAACGGAGACUAGCUAAAGGUGAGCUGACGAUAUGUGUUGGAAGUGUUUCCAACGUUGGUAUGAUCAAGCAUCGCACGCUCCCUCUACCAUCGAGUUUGGUGUUUGCGUUGAGCAUAGACAUGAUUGGAUUAUGUCUAUCGCAAUACGGUUAUUCAUUUAAGGAGAAUAACGGUUACUCUAUUUAUUUGAAUAAUACCUUCAAUGGUAUUGCACCUAAAAUGAAUGGUUUAUUGAAUCUCGAUCGUAGUGAUACACAUGUUCAUGCCAAAAGAUAGUAAUGAUAGUACCACCUACUUGUGGCACUUCCACGUAAGUCAUAUCGGUAUAAAAUGCAUGAAGAAGCUCCAUGUUGAUGGAUCUUUGGGCUCACUCGUUUUUGAAGGUUUGAGACAUGCGAACCAUGUCUAUUGGUGUAUAUGCAUGAAGAAACUCCAUGCAAAUGGACCAUUUGGACUCACUUGAUUUUGAAUCACUUGAGACAUGCAAAUCAUACCACAUGGGCAAGAUGACUGAAAGCCUCGUUUUCAGUAAAAUGGAAAUAGAAAGCAACUUGUUGGAAGUAAUACAUUUUGAUGUGUGCAGUCCAAUGAGUGCUGAGGCGUGUAGUGGAUAUCGUUAUGUUCUUACUUCACAGAUGAUUUGAGUAGAUGUUGAGUAUAUUUACUUGAUGAAUCACGAGUCUGAAUUAUUGAAAGGUUCAAGUAAUUUCAGGGUGAAGUUGAAAGAUCGUCGUGACAAGAGGAUAAAAUGUCUAUGAUAUGAUCAUAGAGAUGAAUAUCUGAAUUACGAGUUUGGCACAGAAUUAAGACAUUGUGGAAAUUGUUUCACAACUAAUACGGCCUGGAACACCAUAGUGUGAUGGUGUGUCCGAACAUCAUAACUGCACCCUAUUGGAUAUGAUGCAUACCAUGAUGUCUCUUAUCGAAUUACCAUGAUAGUUUAUGGGUUAGGCAUUAGAGACAACCACAUUCACUUUAAAUAGGGCACCACGUAAUUCCGAUGAGAUGACACCGUAUGAACUAUGGUUUAGAGAAACCUAAGCUGUCAUUUCUUAAAAGUUUGGGGCUGCGAUGCUUAUGUGAAAAAGUUUCAGGUUGAUAAGCUCGAACCCAAAGCGGAUAAAUGCAUCUUCAUAGGACACCCAAAACAGUUGGGUAUACCUCCUGUCUUAGAUCCGAAAGCAAUAAGGAAUUGUUUCCGGAAUCGGGUCCUUUAUCGAGGAAAAGUUUCUCUCGAAAGAAUUGAGUGGGAGGAUGGUGGAGACUUGAUAAGGUUAUUAAACCGUCUCUUCAACUGGUGUGUGGCAGGGCACAGGAAGUUGUUCCUAUGGCACCUACACCAAUUGAAGUGUAAGCUUAUGAUAGUGAUCAUGAAACUUCGGAUCAAGUCACUACCAAACCUCGUGGGAUGACAAGGAUGCGUACUGCUUCAGAGUGGUACGUAAUCCUGUCUUGGAAGUCAUGUUUCUAGACAACAAUGAACCUACGAGCUAUGGAGAAGCGAUGGUGGGCCUGGAUUCCGAUAAAUGGCUCGAGGCCAUAUAAUCCGAGAGAGGAUCCAUAUAUGGAAACAAAGUGUAGACUUUGACAGAACAGCUCGAUGGUCAUAAGGCUGUUGAGUGGAGAUGGAUUUUAAAAGGAAGACGGACAAUGAUGGUAAAUGUCACCAUUAAGAAAGCUCGACUUGUCGUUAAGAUGUUUUCCGACAAGUUCAAGGAGUUGACUAUGGUGAGAAUUUCUCACUCGUAGCGAUGCUAAGAGUCUGUUGGAAUUAUAUUAGCGAUUACUGCAUUAUUUAUGAAAUCUUGCAGAUAGGAUGUCAAAACAUUGUUUCCUCGACGACAUUUUUUUUAAGAAAGGUUGUAUGUGAUACAACCGGAAGGUUUUGUCAAUCCUGAAAGAUGCUAAUAAGUAUGCAAAACUCCAGCAAUCCUUCUAAGGACUGGAGUAAGCAUCUCGCAGUUGGAAUGUAUGCUUUGAUGAGAUGAUCAAAGAUUUUGGGUUUAUACAAAGUUUAUGAGAAACUUGUAUUUCCAAAGAAGUGAGUGGGAGCACUAUAGAAUUUCUGAUGAGUAUAUGUUGUUGACAUAUUGUUGAUCAGAAAUGACCUAGAAUUUCUGGAAAGCAUAUAGGGUUAUUUGGAAAGUAUUUUUUCAAUGGAAAGCCUAGAUUAAGCUACUUGAGCAUUGAGCAUCAAGAUCUAUAAGGAUAGAUCAAAACGCUUAAUAGUACUUUCAAAUGAGCACAUACCUUGACAUGAUCUUCAAGGUGUUCAAGAUGGAUCAGUCAAAGAAGGAGUUCUUGCCUGAGUUGUAAGGUAUGAAGUUAAGACUUAAAGCUCGACCACGGCAGAAUAGAGAGAAAGGACGAAGGUCGUCCCCUAUGCUUAAGACAUAGGCUCUACAGUAUGCUAUGCUGUGUACCGCACCUGAAGUGUGCCUUGCCAUGAGUCAGGGGUACAAGAGUGAUCCAAGAAUGGAUCACAGGACAGCAGUCAAAGUUAUCCUUAGUAACUAGUGGACUAAGGAAUUUUCUCGAUUAUGGAGGUGGUAAAAGAGUUCGUCGUAAAGGGUUACGUCGAUGCAAGCUUAACACCUAUCCGGAUAGCUCUGAGUAGAGAUGCCGGAUACAUAUAAUGGAGCAACAAUUUGGAAUAGCUCCAAGUAGAACAGUUAUUUGGAAUAGCUCCAAAUAGAAUGUGGUAGCUACAUCUAGGAGAUGACAUAGAGAUUUGUAAAGCACACACGGAUCUAAAAGGUUCAGACCCGUUGACUAAAACCUCUCUCACAAGCAACAUGAUCAAACCCAGAACUCAUUGAGUGUUGAUCACAUAGUGAUGUGAACUAGAUUAUUGACUCUAGUAAACUCUUUCGAUGUUGGUUACAUGGUGAUGUGACCUGUGAGUGUUAAUCACAUGGCGAUGUGAACUAGAUUAUUGACUCUAGUGCAAGUGGGAGACUGUUGGAAAUAUGCCCUAGAGGCAAUAAUAAAUUAGUUAUUAUUAUAUUUCCUUGUUCAUGAUAAUCGUUUAUUAUCCAUGCUAUAAUUGUAUUGAUAGGAAACUCAGAUACAUGUGUGGAUACAUAACAACACCAUGUCCCUAGUAAGCCUCUAGUUGACUAGCUCGUUGAUCAAUAGAUGGUUACGGUUUCCUGACCAUGGACAUUGGAUGUCACUGAUAACGGGAUCACAUCAUUAGGAGAAUGAUGUGAUGGACAAGACCCAAUCCUAAGCCUAGCACAAAGAUCGUGUAGUUCGUAUGCUAAAGCUUUUCUAAUGUCAAGUAUCAUUUCCUUAGACCAUGAGAUUGUGCAACUCCCGGAUACCGUAGGAAUGCUUUGGGUGUACCAAACGUCACAACGUAACUGGGUGACUAUAAAGGUGCACUAUAGGUAUCUCCGAAAGUGUCUGUUGGGUUAGCACGAAUCGAGACUGGGAUUUGUCACUCUGUCUAAGCGGAGAGGUAUCUCUGGGCCCACUCGGUAGGACAUCAUCAUAAUGUGCACAAUGUGAUCAAGGAGUUGAUCACGGGAUGAUGUGUUACGGAACGAGUAAAGAGACUUGCCAGUAACGAGAUUGAACAAGGUAUCGGGAUACCGACGAUUGAAUCUCGGGCAAGUAUCGUACCGCUAGACAAAGGGAAUUGAAUACGGGAUUGAUUAAGUCCUUGACAUCGUGGUUCAUCCGAUGAGAUCAUCAUGGAACAUGUGGGAUCCAACAUGGGUAUCCAGAUCCUGCUGUUGGUUAUUGACCGGAGAACGUCUCGGUCAUGUCUGCAUGUCUCCCGAACCCGUAGGGUCUACACACUUAAGGUUCGGUGACGCUAGGGUUAUAGAGAUAUUAGUAUGCGGUAACCCGAAAGUUGUUCGGAGUCCCGGAUGAGAUCCCGGACGUCACGAGGAGUUCCGGAAUGGUCCGGAGGUAAAGAAUUAUAUAUAGGAAGUGCUAUUUCGGCCAUCGGGACAAGUUUCGGGGUCACCGGUAUUGUACCGGGACCACCGGAAGGGUCCCGGGGGUCCACCGGGUGGGGCCACCUGCCCCGGGGGGCCACAUGGGCUGUAGGGGGUGUGCCUUGGCUUAUAUGGGCCAAGGGCACCAGCCCCAAGAGGCCCAUGCGCCAAGAGAGAGAAAAAAGGGGAGAGUCCUAAAGGGGGAAGGCACCUCCGAGGUGCCUUGGGGAGGAUGGACUCCUCCCCCCUUGGCCACACCCUUCCUUGGAGGAAGGGGCAAGGGCUGCGCUUCCCCCCUCUCCCUUGGCCCUAUAUAUAGUGGGGAAAAGGAGGAGCAACCAUACCUAAGGCCUGGCACCUCCCUCUCCCUCCCGUGACACAUCUCCCUCCUCCCGCAGCGCUUAGCGAAGCCCUGUUGGAAUCCCGCUACUUCCACCAUGCCGUCGUGCUGCUGGAUCUCCAUCAACCUCUCCCUCCUCCUUGCUGGAUCAAGGCGUGGGAGACGUCUCCAUUCCGUACGUGUGUUGAACGCGGAGGUGCCGUCCGUUCGGCACUAGGAUCAUCGGUGAUUUGAAUCACGACGAGUACGACUCCAUCAACCCCGUUCUCUUGAACGCUUCCGCGCGCGAUCUACAAGGGUAUGUAGAUCCACUCCUCCCUCGUUGCUAGAUGACUCCAUAGAUAGAUCUUGAUGACACGUAGGAAAAUUUUGAAUUUAUGCUACGUUCCCCAACAGCCUAGCCCCCGAAGGAAGUGAGACAUGAACACCACACUCUCACCAGGCUUAGGAGUAGGAAUGACCUGCCCUUGAGCAGGCAGCCUAUGCGAAAUUUCACCGGUCAAGAACCUGGCCUCUCUCAACUUCAGCACGUCCUCCUCCGUGACGGAGGAGGGCAUCCAUCGGCCUCGAAGGUCAGAACCGGACAUUGUCGAAGGUCCGAAGCGCCUGAAAUCUGGAGCCUUGGGUGUUGGAACUCGAGGCGAAGGGCGAACUCGUUUGAGAUUGAAAGAAAGGAGUAGGGCCUUGGUCUCUUUAUAAGAGGUUGAAUACCAAGGGCCCUCCCCGUGACCGUUUUGGGACUCGCCUUUGAUCGAGAAAAUAUACCAACGGGUACGGUUGGGUUACCCACGCCCGUAUUGAUGAGAAUCCCGGGAUAAGGGGAAACGAUCUCUGCUUUGACAAGACAUGCCAAGGAAACCGCCUUGCUAAACGCGCCGAGGUGGGACAGUAAAAUGAUUCGAAUAAAGACUUGGCCGUGGUGUGAUGUCACGCUACGGAACACGUCAGCAUAUUAGAUUUGUGUAAACAUUAUUCUCUCUAUGGCAAUAUGUGGAAACUUAUUUUUUAGAGUCGGACACUACCUUUGUGUUCAAAAUCUUCUAUGAAGUACUUGGACGAGGAACCCGCCUUGCAAUGUCGAAGACAAUCUGCGCGCCGGACUCGUCGUCAUUGAAGCCUGGUUCAGGGGCUACUGAGGGAGUCCUGGAUUAGGGGGUGUUGGGAUAGCCGGACUAUACCUUCGGCCGGACUCCUGGACUAUGAAGAUACAAGAUUGAAGACUUCAUCCCAUGUCCGGAAGGGACUUUCCUUGGCGUGGAAGGCAAGCUUGGCGAUACGGAUAUGUAGAUCUCCUACCAUUGUAACCGACUCUGUGUAACCCUAGCCCUCUCCGGUGUCUAUAUAAACCGGAGGGUUUUAGUCUGUACGACGAAGAACAACAAUCAUACCAUAGGCUAGCUUCUAGGGUUUAGCCUCUCUGAUCUCGUGGUAGAUCUACUCUUGUACUACCCAUAUCAUCAAUAUUAAUCAAGCAGGACGUAGGGUUUUACCUCCAUCAAGAGGGCCCGAACCUGGGUAAAACAUUGUGUCCCCUGCCUCCUAUUACCAUCCGCCCAUACGCACAGUUCGGGACCCCCUACCCGAGAUCCUCCGGUUUUGACACCAACAGUGGUGGACCAUAGGAUUAUCACACGGGUACUCCGGGAUAUCCUAGGACAACACUGGAUUCCCCAGGUGCCCAACAAACAAUCCACCCAGAUGUGUAUUCAAGUUGCCACCAUAAGUUUAACCAUUAAUUAACAAUCUCACAUCUGUCAUGGAUUUCACUCUCCCAACCACGUCUACGAGCAUAGCAUAGCAAUAAAAGCAAUAUGUAGAAGUAACUCCCAAGGGUUUGAAUAUAACAGGGCAAUAGGUUCUACCUUAUCAACUACUUCCCAACUCACAUGUUAAUCACAUCCUAACCAUGCAAUGUUUGAGGAUUGGGACUAAUGCAUAAAAACUGGGUGAUAAAUGGGCAUGAUCAAAGUGUUACUUGCCUUGCUGAUGAUCCGCAAAACCUAGGGACUCGUAGUAGCACGCUUCGCACUCCGGGUGUUCUAUCGCAAACAAAGAAUAGCAUACAUAAGCAAUCAAGCAAAGAAACACGGGUAAAUCUCAAAUAAGAAGAUCUAACCAGAAAGUUCAACUUAAGAACUCCGGUUUGCGAAAAGAAUCAAAUCAAACGGAGCAACAAAACUCAAACGGCGAGAGAAACAAGAUCCGUUUACUAAUCUGGACUAAGGUCAAAUUUUACAUUAGCAAAAGCUUGUUCAAGUGGUUAAACGGAAAGAGGUUUUGAGACAAAGAUCUAGGCGCUUGAAUCGCCUGAUUCUGAUAAACGAGCGAAAAGAUAAACUAAAAUGAAAAUCGGUUCAAAAAUCACGAUUGAAAAUAAUCGCAGAAAAUCCGAGAAAAAGAAAUUUGACGAACAGGCUAACGAACGAACGUUCGUUGUCUGCGGCUAACGAGUGAACUCCGUUCGUUAAAACAAACGUAUGGAUGAACGUCCGCAAAGUAACUAAACCGAGAAAAACCGCCGAACCGAUUAAAAAAAAAACAAACUAGGGUUUCUAAAAAAACCGGAUCGGUUUUCUAGAGAAAACCGGCGGCAUAUACCUCCGGCUCCGGCGGCUUCCGCGGCGGGGUGGCGAGGUGGGGCGGCAGGGGCGAGCGGCAGUGGCAAGGCGAGGCGGCGGCGGCAACUUGCGGGCGGCGGGGCGGAGGGCGGCGGCUUGGGGUCGAAGGGGCCCUGGGCUCCGGCUUAUAAGGGGAGGGGCGGCGGCAGCUUGGAGGAGGGGGCAAGGCGGUGCGGGGUGGAGUCCUGGCCGGACUCAGCUUGCACCGGCCGUGUCCUGGCCGGACUCGGUGCGGGAGGCGGCGGCUGGCAGGCAGGCCUGCGGCCUGGCUCGGCCGGGCCUCGGCCCAGUCGGGCGCUGAGUUUUUUUAAAUAAUUUCGCCGAAACCAAUUAAAUCUUAGAAAAUAAAAAAAAUCUAAAAAUGCCAAAACAAAUUUUCACCAUCUAAAUAAAAAAUUUAGAACAAGAUGAACAUUUUCUUGGCCCUAAAAUGCAACUUUAAAAAACAUGCAAUUUUUCUAAUUCAAAUAAAUAGCAAUAAACUCCGGAUAAAAUCAAAUAUUUGAUUUUAAUAUUUUUCCUCCAAUAUUUCAUUUAUUUUGGAGAAGUCAUAUUAUCUCCUCUCAUAUAUUUAAUAUGAAAUAUUUUCGGAGAGAAAAAUAAUUAAAACCAAAAUCCUCGUUUCAAUAUUUGAUAAAACUCAAAUAUGAAAACAGGGAAAUCCCCAACUCUCUCCGAGGGUCCUUGAGUUGCUUAGGAUUUCGAGGAUCGUGGAACGAAAUGCAAUAAAAUAUGAUAUGCAUGAAUGAUCUAUGUAUAACAUUCCAAAUUGAAAAUUUGGGAUGUUACAAACCUACCCCCCUUAAGAUGAAUCUCGCCCUCGAGAUUCGGGUUGGCUAGAGAAUAGGUGUGGGUGGUCUUUGCGAAGAUCAUCCUCUCGUUCCCAGGUGGCUUGAUCCUCGGUAUGGUGGCUCCACUGAACUUUGCAAAACUAGAUAACCUUGCUGCUGGUGACUCGACUGGCAAAUUCAAGAAUCCUGACUGACUUCUCCUCAUAGGUCAAAUCACUGUCCAACUGAAUCGCCUCCAAGGGUACUGUAUCUCUUAACGGUAUAUCGGCCAUCUCAGCAUGGCACUUCUUCAGUUGUGAAACAUGAAAUACAUCAUGAACUCCUGACAGUCCUUCAGGUAACUCCAACUUGUAGGAAACUUCUCCCAUAUGUUCCAAAAUUCUAUACGGUCCUACAAAUCUCAGGGCUAACUUUCCCUUAACUCCAAAACAUUUCACUCCUCGCAGGGGUGACACUCACAUAUAUGCUCUUUCUCCAAUUUCAUAGGUUAUUUCCUUGCGUUUCGAAUCUGCAUAACUCUUCUGCCUGGACUGAGCUAUCUUCAGUCUACCUCGGAUCAACUUAACUUUCUCUUCAGACUCUUUGAUCAAAUCUGGUCCAAACAACUGUCAGUCUCCAACUUCAUCCCACAUCAACGGUGUUCUGCACCUUCGUCCAUACAGGGCUUCGAAUGGUGCCAUCUUCAAACUGGCUUGGUAGUUAUUGUUGUAUGAGAACUCCACCUAGGGAAAGUUGCCAUCCCAACUAGAUCCAUAAUCUAGCGCACAGGCCCUCAACAUAUCCUCCAGAAUCUGGUUGACUCUCUCGGUCUAUCCAUCUGUCUGCGGGUGGAAUGCUGUACUGAACUCCAACCUUGUCCCCAAAGUUUGGUGCAGCUGAUGCCAAAACUUUGAAGUAAAUUGUGUCCCUCUAUCUGAUACGAUGGUCCUCGGAACUCCAUGCAGCCAUACGAUCCUGGUCAUAUAUAUCUUGGCCAACUUUGCACUUGUAUAGGUAGUUUUCACCGGGAUAAAGUGAGCUACUUUGGUCAAGCGGUCAACUACUACCCAUAUAGAAUCAUAUCCUGAUUUGGUUCUGGGUAAUCCGGUGAUAAAAUCCAUGCCAAGUUUAUCCCACUUCCAUUCGGGUAUCGGCAUAGGCUGUAACAAUCCUGCUGGCUUUUGGUGCUCAGCCUUCACUCUCUGACAUACAUCACAUACGGCUACAUACUCGGCAAUAUCCUUCUUCAUACCAGUCCACCAGAAACGUUCCUUCAAAUCCAAAUACAUCUUGGUGUUUCUAGGGUGUAUCGAGUAUGGUGAGUCAUGAGCCUCCUGAAGUAUUAACUUCCUGAUCUCUAUGUUAUUGGGCACAUAAACAGGGUCUUCAAACCAUAAGGUUUCGUGCUCAUCCUCACGAAAACCUUUGGCCUUUCCUUCACUCAUUCUCUCUUUUAUCUCGGCAAUCUCUUUGUCAUCCUUCUGAGCUUCUCGAAUCUUUCCUAACAAUGUAGACUGCACUUCCAUUGUUGCAACAAAACCUCUAGGAACAAUCUCCAAUCGAAGUUUCCUGAGAUCUUCUGCUAACUCCUCCAGCAAUCCCGUGCUCACUAGGGUAUUAGCAUAACUCUUCCAGCUCAAGGCGUCUGCUACGACAUUGGCCUUGCCUGGAUGAUAGUGAAGCUUCAUUUCAUAAUCCUUUAUAAGCUCCAACCAUCUCCUCUGCCUAAGGUUCAGCUCCUUUUGUGUGAAAAUGUACUUCAAACUCUUAUGAUCCGUGUACACAUCACAACGGUUUACAAUAAGGUAAUGCCUCCAGGUCUUCAACGCAUGCACUACGGCAGCCAGCUCCAAAUCAUGCGUGGCAUAAUUCAACUCGUGUGGUUUCAGUUGUCGCGAGGCAUACGAAACAACUCUUCCGUCCUGCAUAAGCACACUUCCAAGUCCUUGGCGAGAGGCAUCGCAAUACACUUGAAACUCCUUGCGUAUAUCCAGCAGAAUCAACACUGGGGCUGUAGUCACACGUUUCUGUAACUCCUGAAAACUCGCUUCACAUUCUUCUGUCCAUUUAAAUUUGGUAUCCUUCUUCAAUAACUCCAUCAUUGGCUUCACAAUUUUGGAAAAAUUCUCAAUGAAUCUCCAAUAGUAUCCUGCGAGUCCAAGAAAAUUGCAGAUCUCGCUAACUGAAGUGGGUGCCAACCAUUCAGUGACUGACUGAACCUUGGUAGGAUCUACUGCUACACCUUCUCCUGAUAUAACAUGUCCAAGGAAUCCAACUUCCUUCAGCCAAAACCCGCAUUUGCUGAACUUGGCAUACAACUGAUGUUCCCUGAGUUUCUCGAGAACUAAACACAAAUGCUCUUCGUGCUCCUCCUCGUUCUUCGAGUAUACCAUUAUAUCAUCAAUGAACACCACAACAAACUUAUCCAAAUAUUCCAUGAACACCUUGUUCAUCAUGCUCAUGAAAUAGGCAGGGGCGUUAGUCAGUCCAAACGACAUGACAGUAUAUUCAUACAACCCGGACCGUGUGGUGAAUGCUGUCUUUGGUAUGUCCUUCUCUCGUAUCUUCAGCUGAUGAUAUCCAGAUCGCAGAUCGAUAUUUGAAAACACCUUGGCUCCUUGCAGCUGGUCAAACAAAUCAUUGAUCAUCGGUAGUGGGUAUUUGUUCUUGAUCGUGACCUCAUUUAACGCACGAUAAUCAACAACCAUUCUUAGAGACUUAUCCUUCUUCUCGACCAAAAGCACUGGGGCUCCCCAUGGUGAUGAGCUCCGUCGAAUGUAACCUUUCUCCAAUAACUCCUUGAUCUGUUUCUUAAUUUCCUCCAGAUCAUUCGCGAUCAUCCGAUAUGGUCGCUUCGAUAUAGGCCCGGUGCAUGGCAAUAGCUCUAUCAAAAACUCGAUGUCUCGAUCCGGUAGCAUGCCUAGUAACUCCUCUGGAAAAACAUCCAGGUAAUCCUUCACUACAGGCACUUCCUCCCGAACAACUCCCAUGAGGGUAUUUAAUUGGCUACUCCUUGGCGCAUGCCUAGAUACAUACUUGAUCCUUUUUCCCUCAGGGGUGGUGAGACAAAUUGACUUACUAACACAGUCAAUGCUUCCUCCAUACUUUGACAUCCAGUCCAUGCCUAAUAUCACAUCCAAUCCUUGUGACUCCAAGAUUAUUAGGUCAGACGGAAAAACAUGGCUACCAAUGGUUAAGGGUAUCUGGUCGCACCACCGACUAGCCAUAUACUCUGCUCCAGGUGAACUCACUAACAGAUGGGUCCUAAGGGUUUGGGUUGGUAGUUUAAACUAAUCCAUGAAUUCCCUUUAUAUGUAUGAAUGCGAUGCACCAGUAUCAAAAAGAACAAGGGCGGUAAAAGACUUAACCAAAAACUUACCAAUAACCACGUCUGGCUGCUCUUCAACCUCCUCCACGUUGACGUGGUUCACUUGUCCUUUGUUGAAUGGAUUGGGCUUCUUUCCAGCACUCCCAUUGUCGUUUCCAUUCUUCGCUUCAGGGCACUCUGUGGCAUAGUGUCCAGUCUUCCCACACUUGAAACAAGUAACGUGGCUUAGGUCUCUCUUCGAGGGUGUGGCUGGAUUGGGACGAUUCUGAUUGUUGCUUGCUCCAUUCCCAUUCCCAUUCCUUGGGCCAGUAUGAUUAUGGUUACUUCUUCCAUUAUGGAUGUGGCCUCCAUGGUUAUGAACAAGUCCUCCCGAUUUCGGGGUUAGGCGAGGCUUCUGCUGAGCUCCUGAAUUAUACCUUCCUUGUCCAUACUUCCUCUUACAACUCUCAAUUUGCUGCUGCUUCCCUUCAAUCAUAAGAGCCUUAUCUACCAACUCUUGGUAGUUGUUGAAUGUUGCCACCAUCAACUACAUGCUCAUCUCAUCAUUCAGCCCUUCCAUAAACUUCUCUUGCUUUGCGGCAUCUGUGGCCACAUCAUCAGGGGCAUAGCGAGAUAACUUGCUAAACUCAUCCGCAUACUAAGCCACAGUAUGGUUCCCCUGGCGUAAGUUGCGAAACUCACGCUUCUUCAUACUCAUAGCUCCAGUUGAGACAUGGGCUGUACGGAAAGCUUGCUGAAACUGAUCCCAUGUAACAGUGGUUAUAGGGUAGGUGACAGUAUAAUUCUCCCACCAUGAGGCUGCUGGUCCAUCCAACUGAUGUGCGGCAAAAUGCACCUUCUCAGCAUCGGUACAUCCUGCAGUGGUUAACUCCCUUCCAAUCCUGCGGAGCCAAUCAUCUGCCACUAUCGGCUCGGUGCUACUGGAAAACACCAGUGGUCGCAACCUCAGAAAGCGGGCUAAGUUAUCAACUGGUGGGGGUGGCGGUGGAUUGUUGUUGUUGUUGUUGUUGUUGUUGCCUUGGUUCUGAACUAACAACUGCAUCAGGGUAUUCUGCUGUUGGAUCAACUGAGUGAGCUCCGGUGGGAAAGUAAAUCCGGGGUCACGUCUCGGAGGCAUCUGAUGGGUUUAGAGGGGAGAGGUUAGAAUAGAAUGAGGUCUAAUGAGAAAACACUACCCAUAUGCACAUGAGACAAACACAAACAUUUCACUCAAUCAAUCACGCAAGGGCAUACAAUCGAUCUAACUAUUGUUACAAAAGUGCUCGGACUAUACUAUUUACAUGGUGGAAUACUACUACUACUGAUGUGGUGGUCUACUAAAAAUAUUCUUCGGUUGAAGACUCCAUGAUGUCUGCUCCAGCUUCGUCUUCAUAGUCAUCAUCACUAUUGUCGGGGUCCGAAUCGGUGUCGUCGAUGAUAAUGUAGUCCUCCGGGGAAUCUCCUUGGGUUCUUCAUCUUCUCCUCCUGGUGCGGGGUCUCCCAUGAAUACUCCUAGCUUCCUUUCUAGAUUGUCAUUCUUCUCCACUAGUACGAUGAUUUCCUCCUCAUAAUCUCCGCGUGUAGCCUUAAGUUCUUCCUCCAGUUCCAUGAUCCUAGUCAUCGCCUUCUUCAGAUCUAUCAUUCCUGCGCACAUCUGGUUCUCCUGGCGACGAAUAUGCUGGUUUAACUCCUGAAUGAAAGCUGCAAUUGAUCUAUCCUUCCUGGUGCUGAUCAUCUCCCAUUGCUCAUCUCGGCGCCCACAAAUCUGAUAGAUAGUAUCCUUAAGCUCCUUAUGAUAGACUUCUCCAAUGCGUCCCAUGGUGAUGUGAGCUGACAUACUCUUUCCUAGACUCCAGGUUGGUGCAUCACAGGAAAACUCUAUGGGCUUAGUGACUGGCAUGAAUGUCCUUCCUGAAACUUGAACUUGAAUCAUCCAUCGCUCCUCUUCUAGUAAAGUGGCAUUGUAAGUCUCGCUGAAGCUUGGUAUUCCAAUGUUUAGGUACCUAGUGACCUCCUUCAGGUGUCAUCCAAAAGGUGCUUCUUCAUCCGGUUGUGCAAACUUAUUCCUUGUGUCCGCCAUCCUAAAGAGUAGAAAAUGGAGAGGAGCCAAAAUGAGAAGAGAAUAGUGAUCUAGGGCUUUGGCUUAGUGGUCGUGUCCUACACUCAGCGUGUGCUCUGAUACCAUCUUGUAGCGACCCGACCUCAAACGGUCAAGUCUCUGUGCUUCAGUGUCAUCCCUGGAUCAGUAAUGCUGACACACACAGUACUCGAGGAUUUAUAACAGAGUAGCAAUCACACACUUAUUACAUCGAAUGUCUCAAAAGAGAACUUAUUACAAUAAAUAUGGCUUAAGGCCAUCUAAUACGAUAACAACGGAAGGCUUGGAAGAUAAAGUGAGUCCAUCAACUCCAACGGCAUAGUUGAGCUGCACGGCAACGACCUAGCGAACCUUACUCCUCAUCUGAAAAGUCUGCCACAUAAUACGUUGCAGCCCGAAAACGGGUCAGCACAUGGAAUAUGCUGGCAAAGUAACACAGUAGAGCAAGAACAGAAUAAUGCUAUCACUACAUGCAUAUUUGGCUGGUGGAAAGCUCUAUGGUUAUAGUUUUUGCGAAAAGCCAAUUUUUCCCUACAACAAAGGAAAAGAUUUUAUUUAACUAUCAUGGUAGUUGAAACAUCAUUGAGAAGGUUCCUCCAACUCAAUCCCAAUUAAAGUAAUUAACAACCCAACAAUAUUAGUUUAGAGUGAUGAGAUACUUAUGAUACUCCAAGUACUAGAUACUCAAGAUGUCCAUAACCGGGGACACGGCUAACCAUGAUUAGUUUAUACACUCUGCAGAGGUUUGCGCACUUUUCCCCACAAGACUCGAUCUCCUCCGUUGGAUUUCUCGCACUACAGGGUGUUUGAGAAACGGAUGACCGAGACACAGUCUUUCAGAAGCAUUAACCCCUUACUCCGGGCAGACCAUACCAACCUACAUCCCUCUACCUGCUGAUCCACCUCUUCGGGAGCUUCACGCAACUUACUCAACUAUGCUAGAGCCUAUAAUAGCUUGUGGCUGCACACAGAAGUUUCUAGCAUGAAAAUAUCUCAGAUCCCUUUGAGCCUGGGUGGUGGACCAUAGGAUUAUCACACGGGUACUCCGGGAUACCCUAGGACAACACUGGAUUCCCCAGGUGCCCAACAAACAAUCCACCCAGAUGUGUAUUCAAGUUGCCACCUUAAGUUGAACCAUUAAUUAACAAUCUCACAUCUGUCAUGGAUUUCACUCACCCAACCACGUCUAUGAGCAUAGCAUAGCAAUAAAAGCAAUACGUAGAAGUAACUCCCAAGGGUUUGAAUAUAACAGGGCAAUAGGUUCUACCUCAUCAACUACUUCCCAUCCCACAUGUUAAUCACAUCCUAACCAUGCAAUGUUUGAGGAUUGGAACUAAUGCAUAAACACUGGGUGAUAAAGGGGUAUGAUCAAAGUGUUACUUGCCUUGCUGAUGAUCCGCAAAACCUAGGGACUCGUAGUAGCACGCUUUGCACUCCGGGUGUUCUAUCACAAACAAACAAUAGCAUACAUAAGCAAUCAAGCAAAGAAACAUGGGUAAAUCUCAAAUAAGAAGAUCUAACCAGAAAGUUCAACUUAAGAACUCCGAUUUGCAAAAAGAAUCAAAUCAAACGGAGCAACGAAACUCAAACGGCGAGAGAAACAAGAUCCAUUUACUAAUCUGGACUAAGGUCAAAUUUUACAGUAGCAAAAGAUUGUUCAAGUUGGUUAAACGGAAAGAGGGUUUCGAGACGAAGAUCUAGGCGCUUGAAUCACCUGAUUCCGGUAAACGAGCGAAAAUAUAAACUAAAACGAAAAUCGGUUCAGAAAUCGCGAUUGAAAAUAACUUCGGAAAAUCCGAGAAAAGGAAAUGUGAUGAACAGGCUAACGAACGAACAAUAGCAUACAUAAGCAAUCAAGCGAAGANNNNNNNNNNNNNNNNNNNNNNNNNNNNNNNNNNNNNNNNNNNNNNNNNNNNNNNNNNNNNNNNNNNNNNNNNNNNNNNNNNNNNNNNNNNNNNNNNNNNNNNNNNNNNNNNNNNNNNNNNNNNNNNNNNNNNNNNNNNNNNNNNNNNNNNNNNNNNNNNNNNNNNNNNNNNNNNNNNNNNNNNNNNNNNNNNNNNNNNNNNNNNNNNNNNNNNNNNNNNNNNNNNNNNNNNNNNNNNNNNNNNNNNNNNNNNNNNNNNNNNNNNNNNNNNNNNNNNNNNNNNNNNNNNNNNNNNNNNNNNNNNNNNNNNNNGGGUAAAUCUCAAAUAAGAAGAUCUAACCAGAAAGUUCAACUUAAGAACUCCGAUUUGCGAAAAGAAUCAAAUCAAACGGAGCAACGAAACUCAAACGGCGAGAGAAACAAGAUCCAUUUACUAAUUUGGACUAAGGUUAAAUUUUACAGUAGCAAAAGAUUGUUCAAGUUGGUUAAACGGAAAGAGGGUUUCAAGACGAAGAUCUAGGCGCUUGAAUCACCUGAUUCCGGUAAACGUGCAAAAAUAUAAACUAAAACGAAAAUCGGUUCAGAAAUCGCGAUUGAAAAUAACUUCAGAAAAUCCGAGAAAAGGAAAUGUGACGAACAGGCUAACGAACGAACGUUCAUUGUCUGCGGCUAACGAGUGAACAUCAUUCGUUAAAACGAACGUACGGACGAACGUCCGCAAAGUAACUAAACCGAGAAAACCGACGAACCGAUUUAAAAAAAACGAACUAGGGUUUCUAAAAAACCCGGAUCGGUUUUCUAGAGAAAACCGACGGCGGCGGCGGAUACCUCCGGCUCUGGCGGCGGGGCGGCGGCAGCGGCGGGCGACGACGGCGAGGCGAUGCGGCGGUGGUGGAUUGCGGGCGGCGGGGCGGAGGGCGGCGGCUUGGUGUCCAAGGGGCCCCGGGCUCCGGCUUAUAAGGGGAGGGGCGGCGACGGCUUGGAGGAGGGGGCAAGGCGGCACGGGGUGGAGUCCCGCCCGGACCUGGCUUGCGCCGGCCGUGUCCUGGCCGGACUCGGCGCGGGAGGCGGCGGCUGGGCCUCAACCCAGUCGGGCGCUGCGUUUUUUUAAAAUAAUUUCGCCGAAACCAAAUAAAUCCUAGAAAAUAAAAUAAAAAUCUAAAAAUGGCAAAACAAAUUUCCACGUCUAAAUAAAAUAUUUAGAACAAGAUGAACAUUUUCUUGGCCCUAAAAUGCAACUUUGAAAAACGUGCAAUUUUUCUAAUUCAAAUAAAAUAGCAAUAAACUCCGGAUGAAAUCAAAUAUUUGAUUUUAAUAUUUUCCUCCAAUAUUUCAUUUAUUUUGGAGAAGUCAUAUUAUCUCCUCUCAUAUAUUUUAAUAUGAAAUAUUUUCGGAGAGAAAAAUAAUUAAAACCAAAAAUCCUUGUUUCAAUAUUUGAUAAAACUCAAAUAUGAAAACAGGGAAAUCCCCAACUCUCUCCGAGGGUCCUUGAGUUGCUUAGGAUUUCGAGGAUCGCGGAACGAGAUGCAAUAAAAUAUGAUAUGCAUGAAUGAUCUAUGUAUAACAUUCCAAAUUGAAAAUUUGGGAUGUUACACAACUCAACAUUUAUCAACCUCAAAUUUGCUUUGACAACAUCCUGCACUAUUUUCAAGGACACUACCAGGGCUAUAACUGUUGCUAGUGGAGGCACAUGGUGGUCUGGCUCCUUUAUAGCCACUACCACAUUCACUGCAGGCCAUACCAAAUUCCAGCAGCAGUUCAAAGUGCUAGAUCUCCCUAGGAAUGACAUGGUGCUAGGUAGUGACUGGAUGGCCAAGCACAACCCUAUUGCUUUUCACUACAAUACCACACAGAUCACAGUUAUGCAGGACAAGAACACCCCUGUCACAAUUAAAGCUUGUGAUACUUUAUCAGAAGCCACUCCAAUUGAAGCUAUAGAAGUGGACAAACUACUUUCAUCAGGAGCACUGGGCUAUGUUUUACAACUCAUAAGAGAUACUACUAUGAAAGUGCCAAAUAAAUAAUCACUACCACAACCUGUGAAAGAAGUACUGCAGGAGUUCCCUGAAGUUUUCCAAGAACCUAAGGGCCUACCACGAAAAAGAUCACAUCAUCAUAAGAUUCCCUUGAAAGAUCGAGCAGUCCCACCUAACUCCAGGCCAUAUAGAGUUCCUCACAUGCAUAGAAAUGAAUUAGAAAGGAAAAUUGACUCAAUGCUCAGGGAUAAAAUCAUCAGAGCUAGUGAAAGUCCAUACUCCUCUCCAGCAAUCCUAGUGAUGAAAAAGGAUGGCACUUGGAGGAUGUGCAUUGACUACAGAAAGUUGAAUGCUGCUACUGAAAAAACAAGUUUCCAAUCCUUGUCAUUGAGGAUUUUCUUGAUGAAUUACAUGGAGCAACUUACUUCACUAAGUUGGAUCUCAAGUCUGGGUAUCAUCAGGUUAGAAUGGAGGAAAAUGACAUUACCCAAAACUACAUUUAGAACAUACUUUCGGCACUAUGAGUUCCUAGUUAUGCCAUUUGGACUUGCAAAUGCUAGUGGAACAUUCGAAGCUCUCAUGAAUAGUAUCUUUGGCCCAUACCUAAGAAAAUUUGUGUUGGUCUUCUUUGAUGAUAUUCUGAUUUUCAGCAAGUCUCUCUCUGAACACUUGGCUCCCCUGCAGACAGUACUACAACUGCUUAAGGAACAUCAACUUUAUGCGAAACUCUUCAAGUGUGUAUUUGUAGCUACACAAGUAGAUUACUUGGGUCAUAUUAUUACUGGUGAAGGAGUUUCCACUGAUCCAUCCAAAGUGGCAGCAGUAGCUGAGUGGCCCACUCCUACCACACCCAAACAACUUAGAGGAUUCUUAGGUCUCUGUGGCUACUAUAGAAGAUUUGUCAAGAACUUUGGCACUAUAGAAAGACCUCUGCAUGAUGUAUUAAAAAAAGACAACUUCUGUUGGACAGACAACCAAACCAAUGCCUUCCAACAGUUGAAACAAGCAAUGACCAAUGCUCCGGUUCUUGCCCUACCAGACUUUACCGAACCUUUUGUGCUAGAGACAGAUGCUUCUGGAGCAGAUGAUGCAGCAAGGGAGACCAAUAGCAUAUUACAGCUCCACCCUUUUCCCUAGGAAUGCUGCCCUUUCCAAAUAUGAGAAGGAAGCACUAGCAAUCAUUGUUGCAUUAAAAAAGUGGAGGCAUUACUUCUUGGGCAAUGACCUCAUCAUCAAAACAGACCACCAAAGUCUGCAGUUCAUGAUAGACCAGAAAGUCAACACUGGCAUACAACACAAGUUGAUGUUGAAGCUUCUAGAGUUUAACUUUACUCUGUAGUAUAAGAAGGGCAAAGAAAACAUUGUGUCUGAUGCCUUAUCUAGAAAAACUUCCCUUCUGGCUAUCUCCAUGGUUACUCCUCAAUGGAUCUCUACAGUAGAGGAGUCAUACACCAUUGAAAACACCUACAAAUCCCUCUUGGAAAAGUUAUUGAUGUCCCCCAACCACUCAGUGAAUCAGAAUACACUGCGCUCAUGAGGUAUAAGACACAAAGGGAGAAUCUAUGGUGGCCAGGAUUUAUCUCUAAGAACUAAGCUAUUAACAACACUACAUGCUUCUGCGCUGGGGGCCACUCAGGCAUGAAAGCCACUUAUCACAGGAUUAAGCAAAUUUUCUACUGGCGUGGUCUCAAUCAAGAAGUGGACAAGUUUGUAGAAGAAUGCCCUGUAUGUUAGAAAAACAAAGGAGAAAAUUAUCCCUAUCCUAGAUAUUUAGACCCUCUUCAGCUACCUAACAUGGUUUGCACACAUAUGGGCAUGGAUUUUGCUGAAGGCCUACCUAAAUCUCAGGGAAAGGAUGUCAUCUUUGUGGUGGUUGACAGACUAUCUAAGUUUGCUCACUUUAUCCCCUCUUCUCACCCAUUUACUGUCCACACUGUUGUUGCUGCCUUCAUGGAUAAUGUGCUGAAACUACAUGGCCCUCCACUUUCCAUUGUUUCUGAUCGAGAUUGUCUCUUUAUCAACCAGCUCUGGCAAUAUAUCUUCAAGGGGAUGGGAACUGAAUUGCGUUACAGCUCUGCAUACCAACCUGAGUCUGAUGGGCAAACAGAACGCGUAAAUCAUGCGUUGUCUGACUUCAACACAAUCAAAGAAAUGGGCACAACAUCCAUGACAGAGUAUUGGUAUAACACUUCAUACCACUCUUCUCUUCAGAAAACACCAUUUGAAGCAGCUUAUGGCUACCCACCUCCCAAUAUCUGUGAGAACAUUCUGCCAGACAGCCUAACCAUAGAUGCUUUGCAGUUCUUCACAGACAGAGAUACACUACUCCAGCACCUGAAAAGCAACUUAACAGCUGCUCAAGCUCGCAUGAAGAAGUAGGUUGAUCGUAAGCACACUGAGAGAGUCCUCGAAGUUGGUUAUAUGGUCUAUAUCAAGAUGCAACCCUAUCGUCUGAAUGCUUUCGGACUACGCACCCACAUAAAGCUUCAAAGCAAGUAUUAUGUACCUUUCCGUAUCAUGGCCAAAGUGAGGCGCGUCGCUUACAAGCUACUCCUACCUGACAUCGCCAACAUCCACCCGGUCUUCCAUGUCAGCCAAUUGAAGAAGCACAUGGGGCAAACGACUGUUCCUUGCACCGACCUUCCUCUGGGUCGAGCAGAUGGAUUGAUACUAACCAAACUUGUUCUAGUAUUGGAAACUCGCCAGAUCCCGCACAACAGCUUGCCUAUUUUCCAGUGGCUGGUUCAAUGGGCAAACCUACCACCUGCUGAAGCAUCAUGGGAGGAUGUGGCGUUCAUGAAUAAAACUUUUCCUGCAUUCCUCAAGAUGACCAUCGAUCGCUGGUUCAACAGAUCAUUUCCUUGAGGACAGGUUCGAUUUCAGCCGGGGGCAUUGUCAGGCAUGCAUCUUCAGUUAACAAGUGUUCUCCACCUUCAGUUAACGAGUGGUCGAGAUUUACGACUGAACCGAUGAUCUAACGAGUCGCAAAGCUCGCCGUCCUACUAUAUUGUUAUUGCCGUUCCAGUAGCGUUUCAUUCUCAGCACUGUUGCUGUCACCCAUGUGCCAGCUGAGCUAUAAAGCUAGCGCCCCCCGUCUUGUAAUGGCAUCUCUUAUUCCGAGAAUCAUUUCAUUAUACAAACAUAUAUCUCAUAGUAAUACAAACCCUAGCAGGCUCCUACUUUCCCUUUUCUCUGUUCGUGAGAUCUAGUUUGAGUUCAUCCCCGAAUUCCCCAUUGGGGCAUGAGAUACGCCCGCACGCCCGCUGGCCUGCCUGUGUUCGCUGCUACCUGAUAAACCACAAGUAUAGGGGAUCGCAACAGUUUUCGAGGGUAGAGUAUGCAACCCAAAUUUAUUGAUUCGACACAAGGGGAGCCAAAGAAUAUUCUCAAGUAUUAACGGUUGAGUUGUCAAUUCAACCGCACCUGAAAGACUUAAUAUCUGCAGAAAAGUAUUUAGUAGCAAAGUAAUGUGGAAGUAACGGUAACUGUGGCAAAAGUAACAGUAGUAGUUUUUGUAGUAAUUGUAACAACGGCAAUGGAAAAGUAACUAAGCAAAGAUCAAUAUGUGAAAAGCUCGUAGGCAAUGGAUUAGUGAUGGAUAAUUAUGUCGGAUGCGAUUACACAUGCAACAGUUAUAACAUAGGGUGACACAGAACUAGCUCCAGUUCAUCAAUGUAAUGUAGGCAUGUAUUCUGAAUAUAGUCAUACGUGCUUAUGGAAAAGAACUUGCAUGACAUCUUUUUUCCUACUGAGGGAGUCCUGGAUUAGGGGGUGUUCGGAUAGCCGAACUAUACCUUCAGCUGGACUCCUGGACUAUCAAGAUACAAGAUUGAAGACUCCGUCCCGUGUUCGGAAGGGACUUUCCUUGGCAUGGAAGGCAGGCUUGGCGAUACGGAUGUUCAGAUCUCCUACCAUUGUAACCGACUCUAUGUAACCCUAACCCUAUCCGGUGUCUAUAUAAACCAGAGGGUUUUAGUCCGUAGGACAACAUACACUUCAACAAUCAUACCAUAGGCUAGCUUCUAGGGUUUAGCCUCUCUGAUCUCGUGGUAGAUCAACUCUUGUAAUACCCAUACCAUCAAUAUUAAUCAAGCAGGACGUAGGGUUUUACCUCCAUUGAGAGGGCCCGAACCUGGGUAAAACUUCGUGUCCCCUACCUCCUGUUACCAUCCGGCCUAGACACACAAUUCGGGACCCCCUACCCGAGAUCCGCCAGUUUUGACACCGACAUUGGUGCUUUCAUUGAGAGUUCCUCUGUGUCGUUGCCAUCGGGCCCGAUGGCUCCUACGAUCAUCAAUGGCGAUGCGGUCCAGGGUGAGACCUUCCUCCCCAGACAGAUCUUCGUCUUUGGCGCCUUUGCACUGUGGGACAAUUCACUUGGCCAUCUAGAGCAGAUCGAAAGCUACGCCCCUAGCCGUCAGGUCAGAUUCAGAAGUUUAAACUACACGACCGACAUCUGCGGGGACUUGAUCUUCGACGGAUUCAAACCACUGCCGAGCACGCCGCACUGUCACGACGAGCAUGAUCUAGCUCUGCCGCCGAACAGUGCCCUGGAGGCCACACCUGCAUCGGCUCUGGCCCCUGGUUCAGAGCCGACCGCGCCGAUCGAGGAUGGGCGGUUGGACGCCGCCUCGGGGGCUGCGAUCCCAACGGCGGUUGAGCCGAACACCAGCCCCGUACUCUGCAAGACUCGUGACUCCAUGGAGCCGGAUUAUUCUCUGGACUCCGAACCCUCCGCGCCCCUGCCGAGCGAAUCCGAUUGGGCGCCGAUCAUGGAGUUCACGGCCGCGGACGUCUUUCAGCACUCGCCUUUCGGCGAUAUCCUGAAAUCACUGAAGUCUCUCUCUUUGUCGGGAGAGCCCUGGCCGGACUACGGUCAGCGAGGUUAGGGCACGGACGAUGAAGAAAUUCAAAACCCACCCACCACCCACUUUGUAGCCACUGUCGACAACUUAACCGACAUGCUCGACUUCGACUCCGAAGACAUCGACGGUAUGGACGCCGAUGAAGGAGAUGAUGAAGAACCAGCGCCUACUAGGCCCUGGAAAGCCACCUCGUCAUAUGCCAUAUAAAUGGUGGACACCCCAAAAGAGGGAGAGGGCGAUGGAACAACGAAGGAUGACCCCUCCAAGAAACAGCAAAAGCGCCGGCGUCAGCGGCGCCGCUCAAAAUCCCGCCAACACAAAAAUGGCGAUUCCAGCACGGGAGAUAAUAAUACCCCGGAAAGCGCCGAAGAACAUCCCUCCGAGCAAGAUUUAGCACAGGAGGAUGGAGAAACCAGCCCUCAUGAGAGAGCGACCGACAAAGAGGUCGAGGACGAUAAUUGUAUGCCUCCCUCCGAAGAUGAGGCAAGCCUCGACGACAACGAAUUCGCCGUGCCGGAGGAUCUCGUCGAACAAGAGCGUUCUCAACGCAGGCUUAUGGCCACGGUAAGAAGCCUCAAGAAAAAACAGCAGCAACUUAAAGCUGAUCAAGAUCGACUAGUCGAUAGAUGGACUGAUGUCCUUGCGGCCGAAGAGCAUAAACCCGAACGCCCCUCCAAGUGCUACCCGAAGCACAGGUUGCUACCCCGAUUAGAGGAGGAAGCACUCGACGCGGCCAACAGGCCACCUCGUGGCCGCGACAGAGAGGCCUCAUGGCCCUCCACCCAAGCCGCACCCCGUACCGAGGCACGAGAAUAUGCACGGGACUUACGAGACAUGUUGGAGGACAAGGCAGGGCAAACAAGAUCGAUCUACGGAUCGCGUAGGCGCCCCACAGCUCGAGACGAUAACCGUCACGCCGGCCACAAAUUCGGCAGGGCCGAACACAGUAGACAAAGCUCAUUGGAGCUACGUCAUGAUAUCGCCCAGUACAGAGGCGCCGCACACCCAUUGUGCUUCAUAGAUGAAAUAAUGGAUCAUCAAAUCCCAGAGGGUUUCAAACCCGUAAACAUCGAAUCAUAUGACGGCUCAACAGAUCCCGCGGUAUGGAUCGAGGAUUAUCUCCUUCAUAUCCACAUGGCCCGCGGCGAUGAUUUCCAUGCCAUCAAAUACCUCCCACUCAAGCUUAAAGGACCAGCCCGGCAGUGGCUUAACAGCCUGCCAAAAGGGUUAAUCAGUUGUUGGGAGGACCUGGAAGCCGCAUUUCUCGACAAUUUCCAGGGCACCUAUGUGCGACCCCCAGACGCUGACGACCUAAGCCAUGUAAUUCAGCAGCCAGACGAAUCGGCCAGGCAAUUCUGGACACGGUUCCUAACAAAGAAAAAUCAAAUACUCGACUGUCCGGACGCAGAGGCCUUAGCAGCCUUCAAGCAUAAUAUCCGUGACGAGUGGCUUGGCCGGCACCUAGGACAGGAGAAGCCGAAAUCUAUGGCAGCACUCACGGCACUCAUGACCCGCUUUUGCGCGGGAGAGGAUAGCUGGCUUGCUCGUAGCAACAAUAUGACCAAGAACCCUGGUAGUUCGGACAUCAGGGACGUUAGUGGCAGGUCGCGUCGCAACCAACAGAAGCGCCGCAUCAACGGCGACAAUGCUAAGGAUACGACAGUUAAUGCCGGAUUCAGAGGCUCUAAAUCCGGUCAGCGAAAAAAAUCAUUCAAAAGGAAUCCUAGGGGCCCGUCCAGCCUGGACCGAAUACUCGACCGCUUGUGCCAAAUACACGGCACCCCGAAAAGCCAGCCAAUCACACCAAAUACACGGCAGAUUAAGCGCUGACAAUGAAGACAAGGGUUUUCCCCCACAAGUGCGGACGGUGAACAUGAUAUACGCCACCCACGUCCCCAAAAGGGAGCGGAAGCGCGCGUCAAGGGACGUAUACGUGGUAGAGCCAGUCACCCUAAAGUUCAACCCAUGGUCCUCCUGCCCGAUCACCUUUGAUCGAAGAGACCAUCCCACUAGCAUCCGUCAUGGCGGAUUCGCCGCAUUGGUUCUCGACCCAAUUAUUGACGGAUUCCAUCUCACUAGAGUCCUUAUGGACGGCGGCAGUAGCCUGAACCUGCUUUACCAGGAUACAAUGCGGAAAAUGGGCAUAGAUCCCUCGAGGAUUAAGCGCACCAAAACGACCUUUAAAGGCAUAAUACCAGGUGUAGAGGCCAGUUGCACAGGCUCAAUCACACUUGAAGUGGUCUUCGGAUCUCCGGAUAAUUUCCGAAGCGAGGAGUUAAUCUUCGACAUAGUCCCGUUCCGCAGUGGUUAUCAUGCACUGCUCAGGCGAACCACAUUUUCCAAGUUCAAUGUGGUCCUGCUACGCAUACCUUAAGCUCAAGAUGCCAGGCCCUCGAGGAGUAAUUACGGUCAAUGGAAACACCGAACCUCCCUCCGAACGGAGGAGCACACGGCGGCCCUCACAGCGGAAGUACAGAGCAGCCUCUCCAGGCAGUUCUCCAGUCCGGCCAUUCAAUGACCGGACACCGUCAAGCGCGCCCGGAGUAACAUACAACAAGACCGCCUGGCACGUUCCGAGCAGGCGUAGCAAUGCGGCCCCAACCCCAACCCUCGCAAAAAGGCGACGCCAGUACUUCGUGUCCAUAACUACGCUCUGGAAAUACCAUGGGCAUAGGGGGAGGGGCACCAUCACGGCACGCCCAAAACAUGGCUUAAACCGCACCAGGGGCUGCCGACCUUUUUUACACUUUUCUCUUACUUCCAGGACUCUACUCUUCGGAAGGCUUGUUCGGCAGUUCAAUUGCCGCACAAACGAUGCAAGGACCAGGAAAGCAGACAAGCCAUGCCGCAUUACGGAAAUCCCAGGUGGUCUCUAUCACGAGAAGUAUACCCAUUUCGCAUACUAUCCCGCAGCUUGCCCCUGAAGCAGACAUGUUAAAUAGUCCAACUUUUCGUUUAUUACAUCACUUGUAUCGUUCUGCUUUGAUCGCAGCUAUUUUAAUGCACAAUGCAUAGCUUUUGUCUAUUUUCUGCAUUACCCUUAUAUAUAUAUAUAUAUAUAUAUAUAUAUAUAUAUGUUCCUUAAUGACAUGUUGCACCCAUACACUUUGGAAUGGCCAAAAUACGCCAGGGGCUUCAGUACCCCUCAACAUGGUGUGAGAAGUCCGAACACUUUAACAAGUGCGGCACCCCGAACUUAUAGCAUUAUAUGCAUCGGCUCCGAAUCAUGUCUUGGGUCAAUAGUUGGGUUUGCCGGCUCCUAUGUUUUGGUGCCUUACGUUCCCCUAUAUCGGCUAAGGUAGCACUAGGAGAACCACUGCGAUUAUGCCCCAGUUGAGCUAGGCUGAGCACCUCAGUGGAGAAAGCUAAAACUGACUGUCAUGAUGAAGCGAGAGCUGGUCGCUGUUCGAGAGGUUUUUUCGAGUCCCUUAAGACUUAUGCCGCUUCGGGCGAGGAGUCGGCUCUGUCCAGCCAAGGCGUGGAUAGCGCCCCGAAAUCGGUUUUACGAAUACUAGGGGCUUCGCCGAAAUUUAAAAUUAUAGAAUUCUAUGGCUAAGUGAGAGUGUUCACGCAUUAUAGUCCGAUUGCCUCAUUCGUUGGGCUGAGCGCCUCCCUCGAAGGACCCAAAUAUGGGAAAAAUAGCGCCCAAGUUUAUCCCCGAACACCCCAGCACCAGCGGCAUGGGGGCAGAAGCUGACGACUCGCCAUCUCUCAGUAUUGAUAAACAGCCGCACAGAAGGCAAUAUUUUAAAUUCAAGCAGCAUUGCUUAGCGCAUAUGAACAAGUUUUCAGCGCACAGGAUAACACGAGCAGGUUUUACUCAAAAAUACAUCCUUGGUACAUUCAUCCGCAACAAGGCGGGCACCCUUCAGAACAUCCUUAUAAUAAUUCUCGGGCUUGCGAUGCUCUUUCCCCGGCGGUGGCCCGUCCUUCACAAGCUUCUCCACAUCCAGCUUGCCCCAGUGCACCUUAGCACGGGCAAGGGCCCUACGGGCACCUUCAAUGCAGACGGAGCGCUUGAUGUCUUCAAGCCUCGGACAGGCCUCCACCAGCCGCCGCACCAGCCCGAAAUAGCUCCCAGGCAGAGCCUCUCCAGGCCACAGCCGAACUAGGAGGCCCUUCAUGGCCUGUUCGGCUGCCUUGUGGAGCUCAACCAGUUGCUUCAGCUGGUCGCUCAGGGGCACGGGGUGUCCGGCCUCAGCGUACUAAGACCAGAACACCUUCUUCGUCGAGCUUCCCUCCUCGACUCAAUAGAACGCGGCGGCAUCGGAUACACUCCGGGGAAGAUCUGCGAGCGCUCCUGGAGAGCUUCGGAUUCGGGUAAGUAACAGGUAACUCAAGUUUAUGUGUUUGCUUUGCAUAAAGAAUGCCUUACCCGCCGCAAUCUUCUUCACCUCAUCCAACUCCUGGAGGGUCUUCUGGGACUCGGCCUUGGCAGACUUGGCAUUUUCUAUAACUGCCGCGAGCUCGGACACUCGCGUCUUCGAGUCAAGCUCCAAGCUCUCAUGUUUCUUCACGAGAACCUGGAGCUCUUGCCGCACCUUGCCAACCUCAGCCUCAUACCUCUCCCGCUCGGCGCGCUCCACGGCCACAUUCUUCUCGGCCUCGAGCAGCGCUUGCUUAAGGGUCGCCACCUCAGACGUGGCCCCUGCAAUAGCCAUGUUAAUCCUGUCAUUUUUUGCAAUUGCACCUUAUAUAUAUAUUCAAAUAGGGUAUUUAUUACCUUCCUUCUCCUCGAGCUGCUUCUUGGCACGCCCGAGCUCUUGCUCGGACUUCUCGAGACUCUGCUUCAGCACGUCCACUUCCACAGUCAGUGCGGCGGACGCUAGCAGAGAAGCCUGCAUACGCAUAUUGACUCCUUUUUUUAGACUCCUGCGAAUUCUUUGAUCCUAUAUUCGGCUUUUCUUCUCGAACACCCAACAGAGCAUCAGGGGCUACUGUCUAUGCGGUAACAUUAUUUGAACAUUCUUUACUUACCUCAAAGCCUGUUAAAAGGCUUGAACAAGCUUCAGUCAGUCCGCUUUUGGCGGACUGAACCUUCUGGAUCACCGCACUCAUAAUAGUGCGGUGCCCCUCGGCGAUGGAGGCACCUUGGAGCGCCUCCAACAUAUUGUCCGGCGCCUCCGGUUGGACGGAGGACACCGGCACGGUAGGCUUGCUCCUCCUGGAAGGAGAUCGCCCGCUGGACUCUGGAACCCUUGAAGAUUCCGGAGCUGUGUCCGGCCUUAAGCCGGACUUGGAGCCCUGGGGAGUUUCAUCCCCUUUACUCCUAGAGUCCGGGAGGUCACCUUGCGGCGCCUCCAGGACCUCCUCCUCCCGGCUUGGAACCUGUUGGGACAACACUUCGGUGUCGUCCGCAGGGCGGGGGGAUGAAGCCGUCGGAAGCGAGUUCACCUCCGACGGGUCCAGUGAGCCGCUCGAUGAUGCGUCGAGCCGGUCUUUAGGUGGGCUGCAUAAACAUAUUCGACAUAAGGGAAAGCUGUGCGAAAAACAAAUACUAUAAACUGCCCCGGUAUCCAGACACUUACGAUUUCGCCAGGGGCUUGGCCCUGGGCUGCCACUCUUCUUCGUCGUCGUCGGCGUCGGUGGAGCAGUCCGGGGGAAGGGUUUUCCCCUUCUUGGACCCUCCGACCUCCUCGGAGAGGGCGGCCUUCCUUUUCUUCUCUCCUCCCACUGGAGGGGGAGAGGUCUCUUCUUCUUCCUCCUCAUCUUCACGAGAGGAAGGCGCUUCGGGACCGUCGGAUGACGAAUCCGACACCUCCUGGCGUCGGGCACUCUUUCGAGUCCCCGUGGCCCUUUUCGUGGCCUUCUUCUCCGGCACCACAUAGGGCGCCGGAACCAGCAGCUUCGCCAAGCGAACGUCCGCUGGGCCAUCGGGCAGAGGAGCCGGACAGUUGAUCUGUCCGGACGUCACCACCCAAUCCUAUCCAAGAUAAGGGAACUCAGAUCCCGCAUAGAGUCAAACUAUGAAAAACUGAUACCCUGUAAAAGGAGAAAAACAGCUUACCGCAUGAGCGUGAUGCUGAGUACUGAAUCCGUGAUCCUCGGCAGCGGAUGCGGGAGCCUCACGCCCUUGAAAAGCACCCUCCAGGCAUCUUCGUACGUCGUGUCGAAGAGCCUGUUAAGAGUUUGAUGCUACACCGGGUCGAAUUCCCAAAGGUUGAAGGCCCGUCGUUGACACGGGAGGUUCAGGCGGACAAGCAUAACCUGGACUACGUUGACAAGCUUGAGCUUCUUGUCCACCAGGGUUUGGAUGUGUGGGAUCUAGAAGUAGAUGUGUCUAGAGGGGGGUGAUUAGACACUUAGUGCUAAAGUUGCAAUUUUUAAUCUUUUUCAGUUUAAGUGGAGUUUAGGCACAAAUUCAAUAUGCACAAUACAUAUCAAGCAAGCAUGCAAAGAGUAUAUGAGCAGCGGAAUGUAAAGCAUGCAACUUGCAAGAAUGUAAAGGGAAGGGUUUGGAGAAUUCAAACGCAAUUGGAGACACGGAUGUUUUUCCCGUGGUUCGGAUAGGUGGUGCUAUCCUACAUCCACGUUGAUGGAGACUUCAACCCACUAAGGGUAACGGUUGCACGAGUCCACACAGGGCUCCACCCAAGGGUAACGGUUGCGCGAGUCCACGAAGGGCUCCACCCACGAAGGGUCCACGAAGAAGCAACCACCCACAAAGGGUCCACGAAGAAGCAACCUUGUCUAUCCCACCAUGGCCAUCGCCCACGAAGGACUUGCCUCACUAGAGGUAGAUCUUCACGAAGUAGGCGAUCUCCUUGCCCUUACAAACUCCUUGGUUCAACUCCACAAUCUUGUCGGAGGCUCCCAAGUGACACCUAGCCAAUCUAGGAGACACCACUCUCCAAGAAGUAACAAAUGGUGUGUAGGUAAUGAACUCCUUGCUCUUGUGCUUCAAAUGAUAGUCUCCCCAACACUCAACUCUCUCUCAUAGGAUUUGGAUUUGGUGGAAAGAAGAUUUGAGUGGAAAGCAACUUGGGAAGGCUAGAGAUCAAGAUUCAUAUGGUAGGAAUGGAAUGUCUUGGUCUCAACACAUGAGUAGGUGGUUCUCUCUCAGAACAAAUGAGUUGGAAUGAUGUGUGUGUUCUGAUGGCUCUCUUAUCGAAUGAGAAGGAGGUGGAGGGGUAUAUAUAGCCUCCACUCAAAAUCCAACCGUUACACACAAUUUACCAAUCUCGGUGGGACCGAAUCAGAAAACUCGGUCGGACCGAAAUGGUAAACCUAGUGACCGUUAGGAAUUUCGGUGGGACUGACAUGCAACUCGGUAGGACCGAUUCGGUUAGGGUUUGGGCAUAACGUGAUCUCGGUGAGACCGGUUACACAAACUCGGUGAGACCGAGUUUGGUAAUUAGCUAACCAGAGAGUUGGUCAGGCAAACUCGGUGGGACCAAUUUGCUCUUUCGGUGGGACCGAGUGAAACUCGGUGAGACCGAAAAGUUACAAAGGGGAAACACUGAGUUUACAUUGCAAUCUCGGUGGGACCGAUUGCAUAUCUCGGUGGGACCGAGAAUAUUACAAUAGGUAACAGAGAGUUUGCAAUCCCAUCUCGGUGAGACCGAGAUCCUUAUCGGUAGAACCGAAUUGCUAGGGUUUGGCAGUGGCUAAUGACAAGUGAAACUCGGUGGCGCCGGAUAGGAAGAAUCGGUAGGACCGAGUUUGGCUUAGGGUUUAGGUCAUGUGGAUAUGGGAAAGUAGUUGAGGGUUUUGGAGCAUAUCAUUAAGCACAUGAAGCAAGAGGCUCAUUAAGCAACACCUCAUCCCUCCUUGAUAGUAUUGGCUUUUCCUAUGGACUCAAUGUGAUCUUGGAUCACUAAAAUAUAAAAUGAAGAGUCUUGAGCUUGAAGCUUUAGCCAAUCCUUUGUCCUUAGCAUUUUGAGGGUUCCACUUUCACAUCCAUGCCAUGCCAUUGUUGAACUUAUCUGAAACAUGCUAGAUAGAAGUGUUAGUCCAACAAGAGAUAUGUUGUCAUCAAUUAUCAAAACCACCUAGGGAGCACUUGUGCUUUCAAUCUCCCCCUUUUUGGUAAUUGAUGGCAACAUACAUCAAAGCUUUAGAUAAAGAUAUACAGAACAGCAAGUAAAGCUUUGGAAGUACAUGUAGCAAGCAUAGGCUCCCCCUACAUGUAUGCACUCAUGUAAAUAUGGAAUAUAUAGGCAUGUGAGAGCAUAAUCAUGAUAGAGUAGGCAAUGUGUUACAUGUAUCUUGGCCAUAUGCAUCAGAGCAAAAGAUUAUUAAGGAAAAUACCUUCAUGAUCAUGAGUCCUUCUUGCAAACAGUAUGUACAUAAGCAAGAACUCCUCAUACUCAUGAUUUUGAUGCAUAUACUUACCUUGUGGUCUCGAGUUGGCUUAGGAUGGAAUGAACCUGCACAAACAAGGUUAGAUAACACAGGUACGUCCACUAGCCAGAGCAAACAAGAAACCACAAGAAUACCAAGACUGGGAUGACAUGUAGAGAGUGAGUACAAGGUACCACAUUGAAUUCAACAUGUCCCCAAGAAUAAAGAUAUGCAAUGAAUUUGGCUGAUUUCUUUUACUUUAGGUGUCUUGCUCCCCCUGAAUCUUACAUGGGAUAUUGGGAGAAGAUAGGAAACAGAAAAUCAGAGCUGAAUAGAACUAAAUUCAAAUGAGUUCAUAUGAACAUGCCUUUCCCCCAAAAGACAUGUGGCAUCUCUCCUCUUGAACAUCAAGCAUCUGGGAUCCUUGAGUAUUUUUCUCUCCCUGGAGAUCUCUCUCUCCCCCUUAACAACAUCUGGGAUCCUUGAGACUUUCUCUCCCCCUUAAUACUUUUUCUCUCUUGGUGUGAUCUCUCUUUCCUACAAGCUUUGAUGUGAUCUCUCUCUCCCCCUUUGACAUCAAUUUCCAAGAAGGUUUUUCCUGGAAUCCGUCGAAUAGGUUUGGUCCUUGAGAUUCAGCACAAAGCAAAGGAUAAAAUUGUGAUGCUUGUGGAGGACAAGAUUCAUUGAGUGGAGCUGGAUCAGAAAAAAAAAAGUAGAACAAGUGGCAAAAUGUUUUUCUGAUUGCAAAGUCGGUGGGACCGAGUGACACAUUUCGGUGGUACCGAAAAGAUUCGGUUAGACCGAAAUUUGCAAGUCGGCGAAACCGAGUUUACAGAGAAAAACACUUGUCACCUCAGCUCACUAGGCAAGUAAGAUCUCACAAAGAUUUGCAAUGAAUUAGCUGAUGGAUUUGCAAGGAAUUUGAUGCAGAAAUAUGCAGAACAAGAACAAAAAGAAAAAAGUGAAAGUUUCUAGAUGAAGUUUUUUUUUGUUUUAGAGAGAAGGAAACAAAUAUGCAAGGAACAAAUGCAAUUACUCAGAAAAGGACACAAGAGAACUUCAUCUAGAAUUGGGCGGUGACAUAGUCACCUAUGUUAGAGUAUAUUGACUUAGGAGUCAAGUGAGGACACUUGAUCAUAGGUCAUACUCAUCGUUUAAGCUCAAAAUGGGGUUACCAUUUUUCGUUUAAGCAUCUUGAUGUAUUCACAUCUUGUUGAGUUGCUUUGACUCAUGUCUUGAAGUAAAGCUUCUCUAAGAUGGAAUGACGUACCUUGGGUGGUGAUGUGGUUCUUGCUCAUGUAGUUGAACUUGUGUGGGUGCUCAGGGUUGAUGUAGUUCAUUAAGAGUUGGGAGCACCACUUGGAGUUUGAGUUCAUCUACCUACAUGGGUUAGUUCUUGCAAGGAAGAGCACUUGUGUAUCCAAAAAUGAACAUGGAAUUUCUCAAAGGAUAUGUUUGAAUGGUUUUGUGCUUCCUUGUCUUCAACCACUAUUGUGUAGAGUCUUGGUGAUGUAGAGAUUGCUCAAGAUAUGAGUGAGUCGCAAUCUCAUGGAAUUAGAUUCAACCAAGUACCUACAUGGGUUAGAAAACAUGCAAGGUGCAAAUAUAUCCAAGACAUAAGAUAGUUAUCAUAAGAGAUAUAUCAUGGAUUAGUCAUAAGCUCAUGUCUUGCAUGCAUCCAAUGGAGUUUUCUACUCCAAGUUCGAGGCAUCAAUGAUGUUCAAUUCUCCUCUCAACCUGCAAAACACUUUCUCAUCAAGCGGUUUAGUGAAUAUAUCCGCUAACUGCUUAUCGGUGCGAACAUGCUUAAGAUUGAUGUCACCCUUAGCAACAUGAUCUCGAAUGAAAUGAUGACGAACUUCAAUAUGCUUAGUUCGAGAAUGUUGUAUAGGAUUAUGACCAAUUUUGAUAGCACUUUCAUUGUCACAAAGCAGUGGAACAUGUUUCACAUAAAUCCCAUAAUCUUUAAGAGUUUGGGUCAUCCAAAGUAAUUGAGCACAACAUGAACCAGCAGCAAUGUAUUCCGCUUCGGCGGUGGAUAAGGAUACCGAGUUUUGUUUCUUGGAGGACCAAGACACAAGAGAUCUACCAAGGAAUUGACAAGUACCCGAAGUGGACUUUCUAUCAACCUUGUCUCCGGCAUAAUCUGAGUCGGAAUAGCCAACAAGAUCAAAAGAAGACCUCUUAGGAUACCAAAUGCCAAAAUUUGGUGUAUGGAUUAAAUAUCUCACUAUCCUUUUCACAACUUUAAGAUGACAAUCUUUAGGAGCAGCUUGAUAUCGAGCACGCAUGCACACACUUAGCAUAAUAUCGGGGCGUGAAGCACAUAGGUAUAACAAUGAACCAAUCAUAGAGCGAUAAACCUUUUGAUCAACAGGUUCACCAUCUUUGGUCAAAUCAUUAUGUCCACUAGUGGGCAUGGGUGUAGACAUACCUUUGCAUUCUUGCAUGUUGAACUUCUUGAAUAAGUCCUUGGUGUACUUUGUUUGAGAGACAAAUGUACCUUCCUUAGUUUGCUUGAUUUGCAACCCGAGAAAGAAUUUGAGUUCACUCAUCAUAGACAUCUCAAACUUCUCUGACAUUAGCUUUCCAAACUUUUCACUAAAGAGAGGGUUAGUUGAACCAAAUAUGAUGUCAUCAACAUAAAUUUGGCAUACAAAUAGUUCUCCAUUAACCCUUUUAGUAAAAAGAGUAGAAUCAAUUUUACCAAUUUCAAAACCACUUGUAGUAAGGAACUUGGUCAAGCAUUUAUACCAUGCUCUGGGAGCUUGUUUAAGACCAUAAAGAGCUUUGUGAAGUUUGUAAACAUGAUUUGGUUUCUUAGGAUUGACAAAGCCGGGAGGUUGUUUGACAUAAACUUCCUCCUCUAUUUCUCCAUUUAGAAAAGCACUUUUAAUGUCCAUUUGGUACAAAGUGAUAUUAUGGUGAUUAACAUAGGCAAGUAAGAUGCGAAUGGACUCAAGUCUAGCAACGGGGGCGUACGUCCCACCAUAGUCCAUACCUUCGACUUGUGUGUAUCCUUGGGCGACGAGACGUGCUUUGUUGCGGACCACUUGUCCAUCUUCAUCUUGCUUGUUGCGAAACACCCAUUUGGUACCAAUGAUGUUGUGGUUGUUGUCGGGCUUCUCAACCAAUGUCCAAACUUGGUUUCUCUCAAAAUUAUGUAGCUCUUCAUGCAUAGCGUUUAUCCAAUCCGGAUCUUCCAAUGCUUCUUCAACCUUCAUUGGUUCAAUGCUCGAGAUGAAUGAAUAGUUUUCACAAAAGUUAGCUAAACGAGUUUUUGAGCGAGUGAUUCUCCCGGUUUGUAUAUCAUUGAGGAUUUGCUCGACGGGAUGAUCUUUGGCAAUUCUUGCUCGAACUCGUGAGAGCUUUUGCUUGGGUCUUUGUUGAGCUUCUUCUUCAUCUUGUUCUUCUUCUUGGCCUUCUUCAUUGUUGACGUCGUCGUUUUCUUGUCGUGGUGGAGAAGGAGGUUGUUGAUGUUCAUCUUUACGUACUUCCUCGUUUUCCUCAUCUUGGUGUGUCCCACUUGUGGAUGCUUCCGUGUCGAAUCUUGGUUCACCUUGUUGUGAAGUAGAAGCUUCCACUUGGACGGAUGAAGUACUCUCCUUUACCUCCGUUGGACGAAUUUUGCCAAUGGACAAAUCUUGAAUUGCUUCUGAAGGGUCUUUGUCUCCUACAUCAAUUGGCAAUUGCUCUACUUGCAAGCCAUUAGAUUCAUCAAACUUCACAUCUACCGUCUCUUCAACCUUUCGGGUGAAAUUGUUGUAGACAUUGUAAGUGUGAGAGUUUGAUCCAUAACCAAGUAGAAAACCUUCAUGAGAUUUAGGAGCAAACUUUGAACGAUGAUGCUUAAUAAGAAUGUAGCACUUUGAGCCGAAUACUUGAAAGUAUCCAACUUGAGGCUUGUUACCAGUGAGGAGCUCGUAUGCUGUCUUGCCGAGUAGCUUGUGAAGAUAUAAGCGAUUUGUUGCGUGACAAGCUGUCUCAACCGCUUCUGCCCAAAAGUGCUUUGGCGUCUUGUAUUCAUCAAGCAUUGUCCUUGCCAUUUCAAUGAGCGUCGGUUCUUCCUCUCAACAACUCCAUUUUGUUGAGGUGUGUAUGUAGCCGAGAACUCGUGUGAAAUCCCUUCUUCGUCAAGAAAGGAGUCCACAUUUGCGUUCUUGAACUCUGUUCCGUUGUCACUCCGAACCUUCUUGAUCUUCACAUCAAACUGAUUUUGGGCUUUCCUAGCGAAGUUUCUGAAGAUCUUCUGGACCUGCGAUUUGUCAUUGAGGAAAAACACCCAUGUAAAUCUUGAAAAAUCAUCAACUAUAACUAGACCAAAGGAAUUUCCACCGAGACUCUUGUAGGCAUUGGGACCAAAAAGAUCCAUGUGAAACAGCUCGAGUGGCCUCCUUGUGGUCAUGAUGUUCUUCACAGGAUGUCUUCCUCCAACCUGUUUACCUGCUUGACAAGCACUGCAAAGUCUAUCCUUAUCAAAUAUGACAUCAUUAACUCCAAGGAUAUGAUUUCCUUUAAUAAGCUUGUCAAGGUUUCUCAUGCCAACAUGACCUAGUCGUCUAUGCCACAACCAACCUUUUGAGGAUUUAGCAACAAAGCAAGUUUUAGGUUGUGCCUUUUUAGAGAAAUCGACGAUGUAAAGAUCACCUCUACGCAUACCCGUAAAGACCAUUUUAUGAUUGUCCCGACGAAAUACUUGGCAAUCUACCUCAGUAAAUAGGACAUUCAACCCGAAAUCAGCAAGUCUAGAUACAGAAAGUAAGUUGUAGCCAAGAGAUUCAACAAGCAUGACAUUUUGAAUGGAACUAUCAUGUGAGAUGGCCACCUUACCAAGGCCAACCACUUUACCCUUUGAAUUAUCACCAAAGGUGACAUAUUUUCGAGGGCCGUUGUUUUCAGCAAGCUCACGGAACAUCUCUUCAUCUCCGGUCAUAUGAUCAGUGCAACCACUAUCAAGAACCCAUUCCUUUCCUCCUGAUUCAUAUCCCCAAAGAUUUGCCAUAAGACCAAAAUGUCUCAUUGCAUUGUCAAGAUCGGAGUCACUAUCAUCAUCAUCAUAAUAUUCAUGUUCAUCAUGAUCUUGUGACUCAUCAUUUCCUAGAGAGGGUAAUUCAUUAGAUAAAUGAUCAAAGUGGUUAUUUUUAUGAAUUCUUAUAGCUUUGAGUAUGAUAUCAUUAAUGAUUCCAACAUCUCCUUUAGCAUGCUUAAGAUUGGCAAGUUCAAGAAGACAUUUACCAAAACUAGGAUCACUAGAGUUCAUCUUACUCAAGGCAAUGGAUUUAUGGAGAAUUUCAUCCAAAGUUUUCAAGGAAUGAUUGAGAAAUUGUUCCUCAAGAAAUUUCCAUAUAGUAUAGGCACAAUCUUGAGUAGGCAAACAAGCAAUCAGAUUUUUGGGCAAUCCUCUAAUGAUGAGCUCAAUAGUUCUAAGAUUGCGAAUCAUGUCAAUAUCUUCAUCUAGGGUAGGAUGCAAGGGAUCAAUAUGGGGUGCACAAGGGCUAGCAAUAUACUUGUUCAAAUGAUAUUGAUUGAAGAUUACAAGCAUCUCAUUUUUCCACUCAUGAAAAUACUUUUCAUCAAGAAUAGGCACUCUAUGUCUAAGACUCCCUAGAGUAGACACAUCCAUCUUCCUCCAAUGGUGAUUAAACCAAGGCAAUGGAGACCAAGGCUCUGAAACCACUUGUGGGAUCUAGAAGUAGAUGUGUCUAGAGGGGGGUGAUUAGACACUUAGUGCUAAAGUUGCAAUUUUUAAUCUUUUUCGGUUUAAGUGGAGUUUAGGCACAAAUUCAAUAUGCACAAUACAUAUCAAGCAAGCCUGCAAAGAGUAUAUGAGCAGCGGAAUGUAAAGCAUGCAACUUGCAAGAAUGUAAAGGGAAGGGUUUGGAGAUUUCAAACGCAAUUGGAGACACGGAUGUUUUUCCCGUGGUUCGGAUAGGUGGUGCUAUCCUACAUCCACGUUGAUGGAGACUUCAACCCACGAAGAGUAACGGUUGCGCGAGUCCACAUAGGGCUCCACCCAAGGGCAACGGUUGCGCGAGUCCACGAAGGGCUCCACCCACGAAGGGUCCACGAAGAAGCAACCACCCACAAAGGGUCCACGAAGAAGCAACCUUGUCUAUCCCACCAUGGCCAUCGCCCACGAAGGACUUGCCUCACUAGCGGUAGAUCUUCACGAAGUAGGCGAUCUCCUUGCCCUUACAAACUCCUUGGUUCAACUCCACAAUCUUGUCGGAGGCUCCCAAGUGACACCUAGCCAAUCUAGGAGACACCACUCUCCAAGAAGUAACAAAUGGUGUGUAGGUAAUGAACUCCUUGCUCUUGUGCUUCAAAUGAUAGUCUCCCAACACUCAACUCUCUCUCAUAGGAUUUGGAUUUGGUGGAAAGAAGAUUUGAGUGGAAAGCAACUUGGGAAGGCUAGAGAUCAAGAUUCAUAUGGUAGGAAUGGAAUGUCUUGGUCUCAACACAUGAGUAGGUGGUUCUCUCUCAGAACAAAUGAGUUGGAAUGAUGUGUGUGUUCUGAUGGCUCUCUUAUCGAAUGAGAAGGAGGUGGAGGGGUAUAUAUAGCCUCCACUCAAAAUCCAACCGUUACACACAAUUUACCAAUCUCGGUGGGACCGAAUCAGAAAACUCGGUCGGACCGAAAUGGUAAACCUAGUGACCGUUAGGAAUUUCGGUGGGACUGACAUGCAACUCGGUAGGACCGAUUCGGUUAGGGUUUGGGCAUAACGUGAUCUCGAUGAGACCGAUUACACAAACUCGGUGAGACCGAGUUUGGUAAUUAGCUAACCAGAGAGUUGGUCAGGCAAACUCGGUGGGACCGAUUUGCUCUUUCGGUGGGACCGAGUGAAACUCGGUGAGACCGAAAAGUUACAAAGGGGAAACACUGAGUUUACAUUGCAAUCUCGGUGGGACCGAUUGCAUAUCUCGGUGGGACCGAGAAUAUUACAAUAGGUAACAGAGAGUUUGCAAUCCCAUCUCGGUGAGACCGAGAUCCUUAUCGGUAGAACCGAAUUGCUAGGGUUUGGCAGUGGCUAAUGACAAGUGAAACUCGGUGGCGCCGGAUAGGAAGAAUCGGUAGGACCGAGUUUGGCUUAGGGUUUAGGUCAUGUGGAUAUGGGAAAGUAGUUGAGGGUUUUGGAGCAUAUCAUUAAGCACAUGAAGCAAGAGGCUCAUUAAGCAACACCUCAUCCCUCCUUGAUAGUAUUGGCUUUUCCUAUGGACUCAAUGUGAUCUUGGAUCACUAAAAUAUAAAAUGAAGAGUCUUGAGCUUGAAGCUUUAGCCAAUCCUUUGUCCUUAGCAUUUUGAGGGUUCCACUUUCACAUCCAUGCCAUGCCAUUGUUGAACUUAUCUGAAACAUGCUAGAUAGAAGUGUUAGUCCAACAAGAGAUAUGUUGUCAUCAAUUAUCAAAACCACCUAGGGAGCACUUGUGCUUUCAGGAUGCAUGUUUGGAGUCCGGUCAGCUCUCCUUUUUUACCCCAAGACAGGCAUGUCUCCUUCCAGGAGGUGAGCCGCGUGGGGAGGGGGGGCGGAUCGGAACUCAGGGGGGGCGACACAUUCGGCGUCGCACGGCUCGGUGAUGUAAAACCACCAUGAUUGCCACCCCUUCAGGGUCUCCACAAAGGAGCCCUUGAGCCAUAGGACGUUGGCCAUCUUGCCAACCAUGGCACCUCCGCACUCCGCCUGGCUGCCGCGCACCACCUUUGGCUUAACGUUGAAAGUCUUUAGCCAUAAGUCGAAAUGGGGGCGGAUGCGGAGGAAAGCCUCGCACACGACGAUAAACGCCGAGAUGUUGAGGACGAAGUUCGGUGCCAGAUCGUGGAAAUCCAAGACAUAGUAGAACAUGAGCCCCUAGACAAAUGGAUGCAGAGCGAAGCCCAGUCCGCGGAGGAAAUGGGGGAGAAAUACCACCCUCUCAUGGGGCCUAGGAGUGGGGAUGAGCUGCCCCUUUUCGGGGAGCCGGUGCGAUGUUGCUGGCCAGAUAUCCGGCCUUCCUCAACUUUUUGAUGUGUCCCUCCGUGACGGAGGAGACCAUCCACUUGCCUCCCGCUCCGGACAUGACUGGAGAGGGUUGAGGUGGUAGUGCGGACUUGGGCGCUGGAGCUCGAGUGCGCAAGAAUGGAUAGGUAGAGGAGGAAGAAGGCGUGGGUAAAAAGGUGGAUCCUUAUCCCUUUAUACGGGUGGACGCGAUUAUGUGUCCCCACCAGCCUGGUAAAACUUGCUUAUCUCCAAGUGCCGUGAUCAAAGGCGCGGUUGGGUUACCCACGCCCGUAUUGAUGAGAAUCCCGAAAUGAGGGGAAACGAUCUCUGCUUUGACAAGACAUGCCAAGGAAACCGCCUCGCAUAAUGCGCUGAGGUGGGAUAAUGAAACGAUUUGCAUAAAGGCUUGGUCGUGGCGUGUCGCACCACGGAAUACGUCAGCAGAUUAGAUUUGUGUUAAUAUUAUUAUUCUCUCUACGACAAUAUGUGGAAACUUAUUUUGCAGAGCCGGACACUAUCUUUGUGUUCAAGAUCUUCUAUGAAGUAUUUGGAGGGGGAACCCGCCUUGCAAUGCUGAAGACAAUUUGCGCACCGGACUCGUCAUCAUUGAAGCCUGGUUCAGGGGCUACUGAGGGAGUCCUGGAUUAGGGGGUGUUUGGAUAGCCGAACUAUACCUUCAGCCGGACUCCUGGACUAUGAAGAUACAAGAUUGAAGACUCCGUCCCGUGUCCGGAAGGGACUUUCCUUGGCGUGGAAGGCAGGCUCGGCGAUACGGAUGUUCAGAUCUCCUACCAUUGUAACCGACUCUAUGUAACCCUAACCCUAUCAGGUGUCUAUAUAAACCGGAGGGUUUUAGUCCGUAGGACAACAUAAACUUCAACAAUCAUACCAUAGGCUAGCUUCUAGGGUUUAGCUUCUCUGAUCUCGUGGUAGAUCAACUCUUGUAAUACCCAUACCAUCAAUAUUAAUCAAGCAGGACGUAGGGUUUUACCUCCAUUGAGAGGGCCCGAACCUGGGUAAAACUUCGUGUCCCCUGCCUCCUCUUACCAUCCGGCCUAGACGCACAGUUCGGGAUCCCCUACCCGAGAUCCGCCGGUUUUGACACCGACACCUACCCUCCCGUGGCAGCGGGGUCCUAUUGGAAACUAAGGGAUAUUAAGGCCUCCUUUUAAUAGAGUACCGUACCAAAGCAUUAACACUUAGUGAAUACAUGAACUGUGACGCCCCCGAUUUGACCGUACACUAAUCACACGCAAACGUGUACGAUCAAGAUCAGGGACUCACGGGAAGAUAUCACAACACAACUCUACAAAUAAAAUAAGUCAUACAAGCAUCAUAUUACAAGCCAGGGGCCUCGAGGGCUCGAAUACAAGAGCUCGAUCAUAGACGAGUCAGCGGAAGCAACAAUAUCUGAGUACAGACAUAAGUUAAACAAGUUUGCCUUAAGAAGGCUAGCACAAACUGGGAUACAGAUCGAAAGAGGUGCAGGCCUCCUGCCUGGGAUCCUCCUAACUACUCCUGGUCGUCGUCAGCGGGCAUCACGUAGUAGUAGGCACCUCCGGUGUAGUAGGAGUCGUCGUCGACGGUGGCGUCUGGAUCCUGGGCUCCAACAUCUGGUUGCGACAACCAGGAAGAAGGAAAAGGGGGAAAAGGGGGAAGAAAGCAACCGUGAGUACUCAUCCAAAGUACUCGCAAGCAAGGAGCUACACUACAUAUGCAUGGGUAUCAAAUGGAAUAAGGGUAUCAUAUGUGGAAUGAACUGCAGAAUGCCAGAUUAAGAGGGGGAUAACUAAUCCUUUCGAAGUCUACGCUUCUGGCAGCCUCCGUCUUGCAGUAUGUAGAAGAGAGUAGACUGUAGUCCUCCAAGUAGCAUCGCAUAGCAUAAUCCUAACCGAUGAUCCUCCCCUCGUCGCCCUGUGAGAGAGCGAUCAUCGGUUGUAUCUGGCACUUGGAAGGGUGUGUUUUAUUAAGUAUCCAGUUCUAGUUGUCAUAAGGUCAAGGUACAACUCCAAAUCGUCCUGUUACCGAAGAUCACGGCUAUUCGAAUAGAUUAACUUCCCUGCAGGGGUGCACCACAUUCCCCAACACGCUCGAUCCCAUUUGGCCGGACACACUUUCCUGGGUCAUGCCCGGCCUCGGAAGAUCAACACGUCGCAGCCCCACCUAGGCACAACAGAGAGGUCAGCACGCCGGUCUAAACCUAAGCGCAUAGGGGUCUGGGCCCAUCGCCCUUAGCACACCUGCACGUUGCGAACGCGGCCGGAAGCAGAACUAGCCCCCUUAAUACAAGAGCAGGCUUACGUUCCAAUCCGGCGCGGGCCACUCAGUCGCUGACGUCACGAAGGCUUCGGCUGAUACCACGACGCCGGGAUACCCAUAACUACUCCCGCGUAGAUGGUUAGUGCGUAUAGACCAAAUGGCCAAACUCAGAUCAAAUACCUAGAUCUCGUUAAGCGUGUUAAGUAACCGCGAACGUCGACCAGGGCCAGGCCCACCUCUCUCCUAGGUGGUCGGAACCUGCCCUGUCGCUCCGCCUCAAAGAUCCACUCGCGGGUGCUCCUACGAGCCGACCCGUCUUUAAUCACCACAUGUAUCAUGUAUAAAGUAAAUAGUAUAUACCCGUGAUCACCUCCCGAGUGAUCACGGCCCGAUAGUAUAGCACAGCAGACGGACAAGAAUGUAGGGCCACUGAUGAUAAACUAGCAUCCUAUACUAAGCAUUAGGAUUGAACGUAAAGGUAACAACAGUAGUAGCAAGGAUAGGCUAUGCAUCAGGAUAGGAUUAACGGGACGCAGUAACAUGCUACACUACUCUAAUGCAAGCAGUAUAGAGAAGAGUAGGCGAUAUCUGCUGAUCAAAGGGGGGCUUGCCUGGUUGCUCUGGCAAGAGAGAGGGGUCGUCAACUCCGUAGUCGAACUGGGCAGCAGCAGCGUCGGUCUCGGUGUCUAGCGAGAGAAGAGGGGGAAGAAACAAUAAAUAUAAUGCAAACAAAUGCAUGACGUUGCAUGACAUGACAAGUAUCGGUGCUAGGGGUGCCCUAUCGCGGUAUGAGGUGAUACCGGUGAAGGGGGAAACAUCCGGGAAAGUAUCCCCGGUAUUUUGCGUUUUCGGACAGAUGAAACGGAGGGGAAAGUUGCGUGUUCGCUAUGCUAGGGAUGCAUGGAGGACGAACAUACCACGUAUCCGGAUUCGUCUCGUCGUUCUGAGCAACUUUCAUGUAGAAAACUUUUUCAUCCGAGUUACGGAUUAUUUAUUAUGAUUUUUCAAAGUUUUAAACAUUUUUUGAAAUUAAUAUUAAAAGAAAAGGAAAAAAAGACGUCAGCAGAGUGUCAGCAUGACAUCAGCAGGUCAACAGAGUUGACCAAAGUCAACCCUGACGUGUGGGCCCGUUCUGUCAUAGUCUAACAACCAAUUAACAGUUUUAAUUAAAUAACCAAGUUAAUUAGGUAAAUUAAACAGAGUUAAUUAAGUUAAUUUUACUAAUUAGCUAAUUAAUUAAUUGAUUAAUUUUAUUUAUUAUCAAUUUCGUUCUAAACAGGGGGUGGGCCCCUGUGGUCAGUGGCACAAGGCCACGCCCUGGCUGUGACACACACACACACACACAGGGGCCAACUAUGGCCAUGGUGUGGCCAGGGGAGGCACUGGCCGCGCCGAUGAGGCCGGCGAGCGAGGGGCGAGACCAGAGGCGGCGCGGCAGUGGCGGUGGCGGUGGUGGCCGCGAGCGGCGAGCAGGGCAGCGUGUGGAUCGGCGAGCAGCAGCGGCUGGGCGUACAGGGGCAGGUGCAGGCAUAGGCGGGAUCGCGACGGGGAGGCUAGUGGCCGCAGCCGGGGAAGGCGAGGCCAACGCGCGGAUGGGGGACUGCCGGAGCGCAGCCAUGGUGGCCAACGCCGCGUGCGACCACCUACGACGACGGGGACGAAGGGGACGAGGGGGAAUCGGUGAGGGGCUCACAGCGGAGCGUAGGGGGCGGCAGUGGGCUCGGGGAGACGAGGUAGCGAGCGACGGGCGGCGGUGUCGAGGCCGCCGGCGGCGGGUGGCGGCGACUUGGGGCGGCGGUGUCCAGGCGGCGGGGCGCGGCUCGAUCCGGCGGCUUCAGGGUCGGUAACGAGGCAAGGCGCCGGCGUCGAGGAGUGGGGCGGCGCGGUCGCCGGGGAGAGGCGGCGGGGUUGGGAUGAGGCCAACGGGGCGAUGGGAUGGGGGCGCCGAGCGCUGGGGCGCUGGGUGUGUGGCGGCGCUGGGAGGGAGAGGGAGAGACGUGCGGGGGAGAGUGGGGGUCGUGGGAUAGGGUUAGGUCGGGGUGGGAUUAGUAGGCUAGGGCGCGGGGUGGGCCGGCCCAUUCGGGCGGCUGGGACCAGCUGGGUCACUGGCUGGGCCGAGGUCCAGUUGGCCACGAGGCCCUUUUUUUGUUUGUUUGUUUUGUUUUCUUUUAGCUCCUAAUUAUUUUAAUUUCUUUAAAAUACCAAGUUAGCACCUAAAUUAGUAUCAUCAAAAUAGGCCACUGCCAAACCUAGUUGGACCCAAAAUAAACUAGUUUAAUAUAUUUUUUUAUUUUUCAAAAGCAAUUAAAUUAUUAUUUUAGCCACUAUUUUUAAAUAGUUUAGGGCAUUUAAACACUUUGUAAAAGGUUGGUUCCACCACCAAAACUAGUUAGGGAUUAUUUGCCACAUGAUGAACAUUUUAGUUUUGAUAUUUGAAAACUUUUAUUGUUUGCUUGAUUUUGACUUUGAAUUUGAAUCGGUUUCGAACUAACGCGGGAUUAGCGACAAUAAUCAAAGUGACGUGGCAUCAUUAGCAGAGGUUACUGUAGCUUAAUUAUCCGGGCGUCACAAUUCUCCUCCACUACAAGAAAUCUCGUCCCGAGAUUUAAGAGGUGUAAUAAGGGGGAAAGGUCUGGUUACGAAAUCCUAACGAAUCUUCUCGGUCUUGGUUGCUCUUCUCGAGGUGGUCGAUCCAUAGCGCUGACGUCUUCAUUCCUUUGCUUCAAGUCAUCACGAUGAACUUGCCGUCCUUCCUUUAGGAUCUCCACCGUACUUACGAAAGGGUGAGAAGGGAAAACCCUAUAGGACGGAUUCUAACAAGAUCGAGCAUCAGACGGUUAACUCAGGGGGAGAAGCAUAAGUAUCUCUCGAAUUGAAACUUAAGAAGAUGUCGAGAGCAAAGCAAGAAGGUACUAUGAGAAGUUUCAAAUGGAUAGGCAAGCGUUCGAUGCCUAAUCAGAAGGUGAGAGGGGUUCAGAGCAACGAGAAUAAGAAUUGCGUCUGAUACCCGAAUAGAUCACUUGGGACGGUGGCCCGUGAAUUACAUACGAGGCCACGCGCGAGGAAUUACUUUGGAAACCGGGGGUGUACAGGAGAGUCAGGUUUCGAUCCUGUGGAACUGUGGGUUAUGGGCCCACCAUGUGGUUAAAAGUAGGAAGGCCGUUGGCAUCUUACUCGGUCAUGAUAGCAAGACAUGUCAGAGGGUAGCCUGUCAGUUAAGUUGGCAACAACGUUGGUACCAAGGGCGAGGGACGAAGAGAACCAUUUUCCUGCUCGUUGAACGAGGCGGACUAGUAGGCAAAGUUCUCGUCCAUCGGUAGUUACCGGAAUGUCAUCAACAAAAGUAACAGGGUCUUUCUGACAGAAUCGUGCACCGAGUUGGUUACAUAAGCAGGGAAUUGUUACUGCUUAGAUCAUAUUGGUCGCAAGAAAGGUUAAAGAAAACAAUGGAAAGGAAAAUGUGUUUAAACACAUAUUUCAGGGGUAUAUCCUUUCCAAGGAUAAGCAGAGCAUGAUAUCCAUGACAUGAUAUAAUGUAGAAAACUCUUUAGGUAAGGGGAGAGAGAUUUCAUGGCAUUACCCAUACAACGGUGUUUGGAGAAUUGAGCAGGAAACAUUUAGCAUUGGGCUUUAAAUGUUCUUGUUGAAAAUCGGAGUACCAUAGACAUGCUUCGAGAUAGCAUUGACAUAGUCUUCAAGCAAAGGUCGUACUUUGGAUACACCAAGGAUUCAUCAGGAACAACUUACAGAAUAAGUCUUGCAAUUUCCUCAUGGAAGAAUGGAUAACCCUGCUAAUAAGAAAACUAUAACAGUAGGUCCUCCGGCCAGGUGUGCUGGCAUGACAUCACCUUACCAGGUCAUAUGAGGAUCAAUGUUAUAACUCUUGAAAGUAUGUUCCAACCAUCAUAUCUGGCCGAUAUUCAGAUCUGAUCGGUGUUAGGAAACCUCAGACUCAAGAUGCCUGAGAAGAAAAGGUGCAAGACAAAUUGACGAGACGACAUUGUUAGAUUCUCGGGAAUUGAACUAUGGAAGAAAGUUCCAAAUCAUGAGUUCAUUAUUAAAUCAAGGAUAGAAUGAGGAGGUGGCUGAUGGAAUCAGCGACAAUUCAUCGAGAUUAACAAAAGAUGGAUUUCCACAAUUAAGUGAACAAGGAGAUAACAUUUGUCAGAUCAAAUGAUAUAAGGAAGUAUGCUCACGGAAAACAUACACAAUUAAACAUUGGUUGAAAGGUGCGCCCAAAAUAUGGGUUGGGUUGCACGACCAAUGUCAGAAUGGUGAUUCAAGAAUCAAUAGUCUAAGAACGAACGGCCGACCAUUAACUUCAAAACAAUAGGGUUGCUAGAAGUGCAGAAUCCAAACAACAUCGUUAGCAUAUUGGUAUCCUGGUUAAAAACACACGGGGACCAAGGGAGAAUGGUGAUGGUGAGAAGUAUCAUCAUACCGAGAAUUUCUAAGAGGUGGGCAAUCCUCACAACAUUCUCGACAUAAAAGGCAGUAAUACUUCAAGGCAAAGGAGAAAAAAUGCUGGAUAGCAAGGAUCUCAAGGUAUAACACAAAACAUGAACAAGUUUGUGUUGAACGGAAGGAAAUCGAGUGGUCGAUGAUAACACAAAUCAUCGAGGGCAAGGAUGGUAUUUCUCAUCAGGAAUUCAAUUGAUAUCCUUGAGGAGCUCGAAAUGUUGAUGAUGAUCAUGACAAUUUCUGUCGAGAGGUUUCAUGGAGAUGUAAUCGGUCGGCGAUGACAUCAAGUCAAACGAAUGAUGAAGCGAAAGGUUAAUGGAACCAUGGGUACGACACAAACUUGAAAUCAAGUUUGUUGUUUGAGGUGAAACAAUAAGACAAGGAAGAUCGACGUAAGCUUAGCCCAUCGUCGAAAUUGUGCUCCGGAAAGAAGGACCAGGUAGCACAGUUAAAAUUUGGCACGAUAAUGAUAUAGCCGAGUAGGCUCGGAAUGACGUGAUCGAGUUCAGACUCAUAAGUAAUGAAGGUUACCAAGAGUUGUUGAAUCGUAGUGCGGACUCAAUUCAGUUGUCGGUGUCCUUGAGGGGUUCUAACAACUGAGAACCCGUUGGAAAAGUGGAAUCGGCAAGAAUAUUAGUUGAUGAAGAACUCAUAAGAAGUUAUGUAUCCCGUGGUAUCCUCGAGAUACCAGGGGGUAAUACUGGACGACAGAUCAAAGUAGAGGUUGGACUGGGGUAUUGCUCUGCACAAGAAAAGUGUUUAAACUUGCACGAGAAACGGUACCUAAAAGAGAACAUGGUCGAAACCACGAUUGCAAAAGGCCAGAUCCCAGAUAUAAUAUGAACUUAUACUAGGGGAGUAAUUAAUUUAAGAGAAGCUUUAACGAUAAGAUAUACAUCGUGCCCAUGGGCAUGAACACAAAGUUCAAGGUCGACUCCCACUUCUUCAAUGCAUAACCUUACAUUUACCUCCCCUUUUCGAAGUUGUAGUGUUGAAAAGUUAUCUGACGAAGCGUCAGCAGGGUAUAACCCACAUAAAUUUCGAGGUCACACAAAUUAAAGAAGGCAUAGGUUCAACCUGUCAGGGUGUCAUGGAAACAUAUACCACAAGCUUUGAGAGUAAAUAUUACCAGCUCGAAAGCAGAGCAUGGUUGGCAAAAGGAGAGGAUACAAAUUACCAAAGGCAUUAUGUAUCGGAGAAAGAACUCACAAGGUGAUUAAUUAUGAAGGACAUUGUCGGAUAAUAAUCCAACAGUGGAUAUGGUGAUCCACAAUGGAGCUGAUGUGAGUAUCGAUACCCAAUCAGAGGAAGAAAGAAUGCAAAUGCAUCUUUUUACAUAACAUCUGAAUAAUUCAACGUUUAAAUAACAAAGGAAUUAUGAUUUUCAAAUCAAGGGAUCAGGAGCAAACGCUCUGAUCAAGGACGGACAAGUUGAAUAGACUUAGGGGUACAAUCGAUGGCAAUCUGAUUGGCCGAGGACCAGCUCACGUUUUAAAUGACAUCUGAGCUGGAAGGAUGAAUUCUAUGAUCUGAGUGAGGAUUGCGAGAAUUCCCAACAUAUUGAGUCAAUGGACUCAAAAUGAUAUUGACAAAGGUUGCCAAUAAGAUUACUAUACUUAUGGGAUUAACCAUAAUGCAAGCAAGCAAGAAUUUCAGGAGCAAUAGGUUGCUCAGGAUUUUCGGAAGACCGAAUGGUAAUUCGAAGAAUUUUGUGAACUGCAUGAAUAUCUGGGGAUGAGCGGAUACUCGAUAAAUGCGAGUAAUUAUCCAUAGUGGUAUGCAUGUGGCAAAGAACUGCAAAGCAGUAGGCACAAAGUAUUCUCGGGGUAUCUUAUAAUAACAAGAUCGACUGAGAAUAAAAGUAAGCACGUCAGGUCUAAAUACUUAUCCAUAGGGAUAUUUCGGUGGUAGGGAAUUGCAAAAGCAAUGGCAUAAGGUUUCCGGAGAACAUCGGAGGGUAUUGUCAGAAUCUUCUGUUGAAGCAGUCGAUCAUCUGUAAUGAAGGGGCUCUUCGGCAGGAAGUGGUAACGAGAACCUAGAGUUAGAUUUUAGCAAAAUCAUUUAACCCGAGUAGGAGAGAGUCAGAAUCCCAGAGUAUAGACGAGGAAUAAAAGAUUCUAAUACCACCCAAUGGCGACAUGGGCCCGUAAGGCACACAGCCAUGUUAGUAAAAGUUUUAUAAUGACUACACUCGACUUCGGCCAAGGAGUUGGAAAGGGGGAUUCCUACAGGCAGUCGGCUCUGAUACAAACUUAUGACGCCCCCGAUUUGACAGUACACUAAUCACACGCAAACGUGUAUGAUCAAGAUCAGGGACUCACGGGAAGAUAUCACAACACAACUCUACAAAUAAAAUAAGUCAUACAAGCAUCAUAUUACAAGCCAGGGGCCUCGAGGGCUCGAAUACAAGAGCUCGAUCAUAGACGAGUCAGCGGAAGCAACAAUAUCUGAGUACAGACAUAAGUUAAACAAGUUUGCCUUAAGAAGGCUAGCACAAACUGGGAUACAGAUCGAAAGAGGUGAAGGCCUCCUGCCUGGGAUCCUCCUAACUACUCCUGGUCGUCGUCAGCGGGCAUCACGUAGUAGUAGGCACCUCCGGUGUAGUAGGAGUCGUCGUCGACGGUGGCGUCUGGAUCCUGGGCUCCAACAUCUGGUUGCGACAACCAGGAAGAAGGAAAAGGGGGAAAAGGGGGAAGAAAGCAACCGUGAGUACUCAUCCAAAGUACUCGCAAGCAAGGAGCUACACUACAUAUGCAUGGGUAUCAAAUGGAAUAAGGGUAUCAUAUGUGGAAUGAACUGCAGAAUGCCAGAUUAAGAGGGGGAUAACUAAUCCUUUCGAAGUCUACGCUUCUGGCAGCCUCCGUCUUGCAGUAUGUAGAAGAGAGUAGACUGUAGUCCUCCAAGUAGCAUCGCAUAGCAUAAUCCUAACCAAUGAUCCUCCCCUCGUCGCCCUGUGAGAGAGCGAUCAUCGGUUGUAUCUGGCACUUGGAAGGGUGUGUUUUAUUAAGUAUCCGGUUCUAGUUGUCAUAAGGUCAAGGUACAACUCCAAAUCGUCCUGUUACCGAAGAUCACGGCUAUUCGAAUAGAUUAACUUCCCUGCAGGGGUGCACCACAUUCCCCAACACGCUCGAUCCCAUUUGGCCGGACACACUUUCCUGGGUCAUGCCCGGCCUCGGAAGAUCAACACGUCGCAGCCCCACCUAGGCACAACAGAGAGGUCAGCACGCCGGUCUAAACCUAAGCGCACAGGGGUCUGGGCCCAUCGCCCUUAGCACACCUGCACGUUGCGAACGCGGCCGGAAGCAGAACUAGCCCCCUUAAUACAAGAGCAGGCUUACGUUCCAAUCCGGCGCGCGCCACUCAGUCGCUGACGUCACGAAGGCUUCGGCUGAUACCACGACGCCGGGAUACCCAUAACUACUCCCGCGUAGAUGGUUAGUGCGUAUAGACCAAAUGGCCAAACUCAGAUCAAAUACCCAGAUCUCGUUAAGUGUGUUAAGUAACCACGAACGUCGACCAGGGCCAGGCCCACCUCUCUCCUAGGUGGUCGGAACCUGCCCUGUCGCUCCGCCUCAAAGAUCCACUCGCGGGUGCUCCUACGAGCCGACCCGUCUUUAAUCACCACAUGUAUCAUGUAUAAAGUAAAUAGUAUAUACCCGUGAUCACCUCCCGAGUGAUCACGACCCGAUAGUAUAGCACAGCAGACGGACAAGAAUGUAGGGCCACUGAUGAUAAACUAGCAUCCUAUACUAAGCAUUAGGAUUGCAGGUAAAGGUAACAACAGUAGUAGCAAGGAUAGGCUAUGCAUCAGGAUAGGAUUAACGGGAAGCAGUAACAUGCUACACUACUCUAAUGCAAGCAGUAUAGAGAAGAGUAGGCGAUAUCUGGUGAUCAAAGGGGGGGCUUGCCUGGUUGCUCUGGCAAGAGAGAGGGGUCGUCAACUCUGUAGUCGAACUGGGCAGCAGCAGCGUCGGUCUCGGUGUCUAGCGAGAGAAGAGGGGGAAGAAACAAUAAAUAUAAUGCAAUCAAAUGCAUGACAUUGCAUGACAUGACAAGUAUCUGUGCUAGGGGUGCCCUAUCGCGGUAUGAGGUGAUACCGGUGAAGGGGGAAACAUCCGGGAAAGUAUCCCCUGUGUUUUUGCGUUUUCGGACAGAUGAAACGGAGGGGAAAGUUGCGUGUUCACUAUGCUAGGGAUGCGUGGAGGACGAACAGACCACGUAUCCGGAUUCGUCUCGUCGUUCUGAGCAACUUUCAUGUAGAAAACUUUUUCAUCCGAGUUACGGAUUAUUUAUUAUGAUUUUUCAAAGUUUUAAACAUUUUCUGAAAUUAAUAUUAAAACAAAAGGAAAAAAAGACGUCAGCAGAGUGUCAGCAUGACAUCAGCAGGUCAACAGAGUUGACCAAAGUCAACCCUGACGUGUGGGCCCGUUCUGUCAUAGUCUAACAACCAAUUAACAGUUUUAAUUAAAUAACCAAGUUAAUUAAGUAAAUUAAACAGAGUUAGUUAAGUUAAUUUUACUAAUUAGCUAAUUAAUUAAUUGAUUAAUUUUAUUUAUUAUCAAUUUCGUUCUAAACAGGGGGUGGGCCCCUGUGGUCAGUGGCACAAGGCCACGCCCUGGCUGUGACACACACACACACACAGGGGCCAACUAUGGCCAUGGUGUGGCCAGGGGAGGCACUGGCCGCGCCGAUGAGGCCGGCGAGCGAGGGGUGAGACCAGAGGCGGCGCGGCAGUGGCGGUGGCGGUGGUGGCCGCGAGCGGCGAGCAGGGCAGCGUGCGGAUCGGCGAGCAGCAGCGGCUGGGCGUACAGGGGCAGGUGCAGGCGUAGGCGGGAUCGCGACGGGGAGGCUAGUGGCCGUAGCCGGGGAAGGCGAGGCCAGCGCGCGGAUGGGGGACUGCCGGAGCGCAGCCAUGGUGGCCAACGCCGCGUGCGACCACCUACGACGACGGGGACGAAGGGGACGAGGGGGAAUCGGUGAGGGGCUCACAGCGGAGAGUAGGGGGCGGCAGUGGGCUCGGGAAGACGAGGUAGCGAGCGACGGGCGGCGGUGUCGAGGCCGCCGGCGGCGGGUGGCGGCGACUUGGGGCGGCGGUGUCCAGGCGGCGGGGCGCGGCUCGAUCCGGCGGCUUCAGGGUCGGUAACGAGGUGAGGCGCCGGCGUCGAGGAGUGGGGCGGCGCGGUCGCCGGGGAGAGGCGGCGGGGUCGGGAUGAGGCCGACGGGGCGAUGGGAUGGGGGCGCCGAGCGCUGGGGCGCUGGGUGUGUGGCGGCGCUGGGAGGGAGAGGGAGAGACGUGCGGGGGAGAGUGGGGGUCGUGGGAUAGGGUUAGGUCGGGGUGGGAUUAGUAGUCUAGGGCGCGGGGUGGGCCGGCCCAUUCGGGCGGCUGGGACCAGCUGGGUCACUGGCUGGGCCGAGGUCCAGUUGGCCACGAGGCCCUUUUUGUUUGUUUGUUUGUUUUGUUUUGUUUUAGCUCCUAAUUAUUUUAAUUUCUUUAAAAUACCAAGUUAGCACCUAAAUUAGUAUCAUCAAAAUAGGCCACUGCCAAACCUAGUUGGACCCAAAAUAAACUAGUUUAAUAUAUUUUUUUAUUUUUCAAAAGCAAUUAAAUUGUUAUUUUAGCCAUUGUUUUUAAAUAGUUUAGGGCAUUUAAACACUUUGUAAAAGGUUGGUUCCACCACCAAAACUAGUUAGGGAUUAUUUGCCACAUGAUGAACAUUUUAGUUUUGAUAUUUGAAAACUUUUAUUGUUUGCUUGAUUUUGACUUUGAAUUUGAAUCGGUUUCGAACUAACGCGGGAUUAGCGACAAUAAUCGAAGUGACGUGGCAUCAUUAGCAGAGGUUACUGUAGCUUAAUUAUCCGGGCGUCACAUGAACUCCUUAAACUACGAUCAUCAUCGGGAGUGGUCCCGAUUAUUGUCUCUUCGGGGUAACCGGAUCAUAGCACAUAGUAGGUGACUAUUGACUUGCAAAAUAGAAUCAAGAACUCACAUAUAUUCAUGAAAACAUAAUAGGUUCAGAUCUGAAAUCAUGGCACUCGGGCCCUAGUGACAAGCAUUAAGCAUAGCAAAGUCAUAGCAACAUCAAUCUUAGAACAUAAUGGAUACUAGGGAUCAAACCCUAAUAAAACAAACUCAAUUACAUGAUAAAUCUCAUCCAACCCAUUGCUACGGCUUGAGCACUGCGUUGGAUUUCCCCGAAGAGGAGAGGAUGAUGCAGCAAAGUAGCGUAAGUAUUUCAGUCAGUUUUUGAGAACCAAGGUAUCAAUCCAGUAGGAGGCUACGCUCGAGUCCCUCGUACCUACACAAAAAAAAUAGCUCAACGCAACCAACGCGCUUAGGGGUUGUCAAUCCCUUCACGGCCACUUACGAAAGUGAGAUCUGAUAGAGAUGAUAAAUAACAUUUUUGGUAUUUUUGGUAUAGAGAUGCAAAGUAACAAGUAAAAGCAAAGCAAUAAUAAAGUGAUGGAGAUUGAUAUGAUGAGAAAGAGACCCGGGGGCCAUAUGUUUCACUAGUGGCUUCUCUCAAGAGCAUAAGUAUUCUAUGGUGGGUGAACAAAUUAUUGUUGAGCAAUUGACAGAAUUGAGCAUAGUUAUGAUAAUAUCUAGGUAUGAUCAUGUAUAUAGGCAUCACGUCCGAGACAAGUAGACCGACUCCUGCCUGCAUCUACUACUAUUACUCCACUCAUCGACUGCUAUCCAACAUGCAUCUAGAGUAUUAAGUUAAAAAUAGAGUAACGCCUUAAGCAAGAUGACAUGUUGUAGAGGGAUAGUUUCAUGCAAUAUGAUAAAAAACCCAUCUUGUUAUCCUCGAUGGAAACGAUACAAUACGUGCCUUGCUUCCCCUUCUGUCACUGGGAAAGGACACCGCAAGAUCGAACCCAAAGCUAAGCACUUCUCCCAUGGCAAGAACAACCAAUCUAGCAGGCCAAACCAAACUGAUAAUUCGAAGAGACUUGCAAAGAUAACCAAUCAUACAUAAAAUAAUUCAGAGAAGAUUCAAAUAUUAUUCAUAGAUAGACUUGAUCAUAAACCCACAAUUCAUCGCUCUCAACAAACACACCGUAAAAACAAGAUUACAUCGAAUAGAUCUCCACGAGAGAGGGGGAAAACAUUGUAUUGAGAUCCAAAAAGAGAGAAGAAGCCAUCUAGCUACUAACUAUGGACCCGUAGGUCUGAAAUAAACUACUCACACUUCAUCAAAGGGGCUUGGAUGAUGAUGUAGAAGCCCUCCGUGAUCGAUGCCCCCUCCGGCGGAGCUCCGGAAUAGGCCCCAACAUGGGAUCUCAUGGAUACAGAAAGUUGCGGCGGUGGAAUUAGGUUUUUGGCUCCGUAUCUGAUCGUUUGGGGGUACGUAGGUAUAUAUAGGAGGAAGAAGUACGUCGGUGGAGCUUCGAGGGGCCCACUAAAGGAAAUAUGCCCUAGAGGCAAUAAUAAAGUUAUUAUUUAUUUCCUUAUAAUCAUGAUAAAAGGUUUAUUAUUCAUGCUAGAAUUGUAUUAACCGGAAACAUAAUACAUGUGUGAAUACAUAGACAAACAAAGUGUCACUAGUAUGCCUCUACUUGACUAGCUCGUUAAUCAAAGAUGGUUAUGUUUCCUAACCAUGAACAAUGAGUUGUUAUUUGAUUAACGGGAUCACAUCAUUAAGAGAAUGAUCUGAUUGACAUGACCCAUUCCAUUAGCUUAGCACCCGAUCGUUUAGUAUGUUGCUAUUGCUUUCUUCAUGACUUAUACAUGUUCCUGUAACUAUGAGAUUAUGCAACUCUCGUUUACCGGAGGAACACUUUGGGUACUACCAAACAUCACAACGUAACUGGGUGAUUAUAAAGGAGUACUACAGGUGUCUCCAAAGGUACAUGUUGGGUUGGCGUAUUUCGAGAUUAGGUUUUGUCACUCCGAUUGUCGGAGAGGUAUCUCUGGGCCCUCUCGGUAAUGCACAUCACAUAAGCCUUGCAAGCAUUGCAACUAAUGAGUUAGUUGCGAGAUGAUGUAUUACGGAACGAGUAAAGAGACUUGCCGGCAACGAGAUUGAACUAGGUAUGGGAUACCGACGAUCGAAUCUCGGGCAAGUAACAUACCGAUGACAAAGGGAAGAACGUAUGUUGUUAUGCGGUCUGACCGAUAAAGAUCUUCAUAGAAUAUGUAGGAGCCAAUAUGGGCAUCCAGGUCCCGCUAUUGGUUAUUGACCGGAGACAUGUCUCGGUCAUGUCUACAUUGUUCUCGAACCCGUAGGGUCCGCACGCUUAAGGUUACGAUGACAGUAAUAUUAUGAGUUUAUGCAUUUUGAUGUAACGAAGGUUGUUCGGAGUCCCGGAUGUGAUCACGGACAUGACGAGGAGUCUCGAAAUGGUCGAGACGUAAAGAUUGAUAUAUUGGAAGCCUAUGCUUGGAUAUCGGAAGUGUUCCGGGUGAAAUCGGGAUUUUACCGGAGUACCGGGAAGGUUACCGGAACCCCCCGGGAGCUAAAUGGGCCAUGAUGGGCCUUAGUGGAAAAGAGAAGAGGCAGCCCUACAUGGGCUGCGCGCCUCCCCCUUCCCCUAGUCCUAUUAGGACUAGGAGAGGUGGCCGGCCCCCUCUCUCUCUUUUCCCCCUCCGCGAAUCCUAUUCCAACUAGGAUUGGGGGGGGGGGGGAAUCCUACUCCCAGAGGGAGUAGGACUCUCCUGGCGCGCCACACCUUGGCCGGCCAGCCUCCCCCCCUCUAGUCCUUUAUAUACUGAGGCAGAGGCACCCUAGAACACACAAGUUGAUCCACGUGAUCUAUUCCUUAGCCGUGUGCGGUGCCCCCUGCCACCAUAGUCCUCGAUAAUACUGUAGCGGAGUUUAGGCGAAGCCCUACUGCUGUAGUGCAUCAAGAUCGUCACCACGCCGUCGUGCUGACGGAACUCUUCCCCGACACUUUGCUGGAUCGGAGUCCGGGGAUCGUCAUCGAGCUGAACGUGUGCUCGAACUCGGAGGUGCCGUAGUUUCGGUGCUUGAUCGGUUGGAUCGUGAAGACGUACGACUACUUCCUCUACGUCGUGUCAACGCUUCCGCAGUCAGUCUGCGUGGGUACGUAGACAACACUCUCCCAUCUCGUUGCUACGCAUCACAUGAUCUUGCGUGUGCGUAGGAAUUUUUUGAAAUUACUACGAAACCCAACAGUGGCAUCCGAGCCUAGGUUAUUUAUGUUGAUGUUAUAUGCACGAGUAGAACACAAGUGAGUUGUGGGCGAUAUAAGUCAUACCGCCUACCAGCAUGUCAUACUUUGGUUCGGCGGCAUUGUUGGACGAGACGACCCGGACCAACAUUACGCGUACGCUUACGCGAGACUGGUUCCCCCGACGUGCUUUGCACAUAGGUGGCUUGCGGGCGACUGUCUCUCCAACUUUAGUUGAACCAAGUAUGGCUACGCCCAGUCCUUGCGAAGGUUAAAACGGAGUCUAUUUGACAAACUAUCGUUGUGGUUUUGAUGCGUAGGUGAGAUUGGUUCUUGCUUAAGCCUGUAGCAGCCACGUAAAACUUGCAACAACAAAGUAGAAGACGUCUAACUUGUUUUUGUAGGGCAUGUUGUGAUGUGAUAUGGUCAAGACAUGAUGCUGAAUUUUAUUGUAUGAGAUGAUCAUGUUUUGUAACCGAGUUAUCGGCAACUGGCAGGAGCCUUAUGGUUGUUGUUUUAUUGUAUGCAAUGAAAUCGCGAUGUAAUGCUUUACUUUAUUACUAAGCGGUAGUGAUAGUCGUGGAAGCACAAGCUUGGCGAGACGACAACGAUGCUACGAUGGAGAUCAAGGUGUCACGCCGGUGACGAUUGUGAUCACGACGGUGCUUCGGAGAUGGAGAUCACAAGCACGAGAUGAUGAUGGCCAUAUCAUAUCACUUAUAUUGAUUGCAUGUGAUGUUUAUCCUUUUAUGCAUCUUAUCUUGCUUUGAUUGAUGGUGGCAUUAUAAGAUGAUCUCUCACUAAAUUAUCAAGAAGUGUUCUCCCUGAGUAUGCACCGUUGCGAAAGUUCUUCGUGCUGAGACACCACGUGAUGAUCGGGUGUGAUAGGUUCUACGUUCAAAUACAACGGGUGCAAAACAGUUGCACACGCGGAAUACUCAGGUUAUACUUGACGAGCCAAGCAUAUACAGAUAUGGCCUCGGAACACGGAGACCGAAAGGUCGAGCGUGAAUCAUAUAGUAGAUAUGAUCAACAUAACGAUGUUCACCAUUGAAAAGUACUCCAUCUCACGUGAUGAUCGGUUAUGGUUUAGUUGAUUUGGAUCACGUAAUCACUUAGAGGAUUAGAGGAUGUCUAUCUAAGUGGGAGUUCUUUAAUUAAUUUGAUUAAACUGAACUUACAUUUAUCAUGAAACUUAGUACCUGAUUAGUAUCUUGCUUGUUUAUGUUUGAUUGUAGAUAGAUGGCUUGUGUUGUUGUUCCGUUGAAUUUUAAUGCGUUCCUUGAGAAAGCAAAGUUGAAAGAUGAUGGUAGCAAUUACACGGACUGGGUCCGUAACUUGAGGAUUAUCCUCAUUGCAGCACAGAAGAAUUACGUCCUGGAAGCACCGCUGGGUGCCAGGCCUGCUGCAGGAGCAACGCCGGAUGUUAUGAACGUCUGGCAGAGCAAAGCUGAUGACUACUUGAUAGUUCAGUGUGCCAUGCUUUACGGCUUAGAAUCGGGACUUCAACGACGUUUUGAACGUCAUGGAGCAUAUGAGAUGUUCCAGGAGUUGAAGUUAAUAUUUCAAGCAAAUGCCCGGAUUGAGAGAUAUGAAGUCUCCAAUAAGUUCUAUAGCUGCAAGAUGGAGGAGAACAGUUCUGUCAGUGAGCAUAUACUCAAAAUGUCUGGGUAUAAUAAUCACUUGAUUGAAUUGGGAGUUAAUCUUCCAGAUGAUUGCAUCAUUGACAGAAUUCUUCAAUCACUGCCACCAAGCUACAAGAGCUUCGUGAUGAACUAUAAUAUGCAAGGGAUGAACAAGACUAUUCCUGAGCUCUUCGCGAUGCUGAAAGCUGCGGAGGUAGAAAUCAAGAAGGAGCAUCAAGUGUUGAUGGUCAACAAGACCACUAGUUUCAAGAAAAAGGGCAAAGGGAAGAAGAAGGGGAACUUCAAAAAUAACGGCAAACAAGUUGCUACUCAAGAGAAGAAACCCAAACCUGCACCUAAGCCUGAAACUAAGUGCUUCUAUUGCAAGCAGACUGGUCACUGGAAGCGGAACUGCCCCAAGUAUUUGGCGGAUAAGAAGGAUGGCAAGGUGAACAAAGGUAUAUGUGAUAUACAUGUUAUUGAUGUGUACCUUACUAAUGCUCACAGUAGCACCUGGGUAUUUGAUACUGGUUCUGUUGCUAAUAUUUGCAACUCGAAACAGGGACUACGGAUCAAGCGAAGAUUGGUUAAGGAUGAGGUGACGAUGCGCGUGGGAAACGGUUCCAAAGUCGAUGUGAUCGCAGUCGGCACGCUACCUCUACAUCUACCUUCGGGAUUAGUAUUAGACCCAAAUAAUUGUUAUUUGGUGCCAGCGUUAAGCAUGAACAUUAUAUCUGGAUCUUGUUUGAUGCGAGACGGUUAUUCAUUUAAAUCAGAGAAUAAUGGUUGUUCUAUUUAUAUGAGUAAUAUCUUUUAUGGUCAUGCACCCUUGAAGAGUGGUCUAUUCUUGUUGAAUCUCGAUAGUAGUAACACACAUAUUCAUAAUGUUGAAGCCAAAAGAUGCAGAGUUGAUAAUGAUAGUGCAACUUAUUUGUGGCACUGCCGUUUAGGUCAUAUCGGUGUAAAGCGCAUGAAGAAACUCCAUUCUGAUGGACUUUUGGAACCACUUGAUUAUGAAUCACUUGGUACUUGCGAACCGUGCCUCAUGGGCAAGAUGACCAAAACGCCGUUCUCCGGUACUAUGGAGAGAGCAACAGAUUUGUUGGAAAUCAUACAUACAGAUGUAUGUGGUCCGAUGAAUAUUGAGGCUCGUGGCGGAUAUCGUUAUUUUCUCACCUUCACAGAUGAUUUAAGCAGAUAUGGGUAUAUUUACUUAAUGAAACAUAUGUCUGAAACAUUUGAAAAGUUCAAAGAAUUCCAGAGUGAAGUUGAAAAUCAUCGUAACAAGAAAAUAAAGUUUCUACGAUCUGAUCGUGGAGGAGAAUAUUUGAGUUACGAGUUUGGUGUACAUUUGAAAAAUUGUGGAAUAGUUUCGCAACUCACGCCACCCGGAACACCACAGCGUAAUGGUGUGUCCGAACGUCGUAAUCAUACUUUACUGGAUAUGGUGCGAUCUAUGAUGUCUCUUACUGAUUUACCGCUAUCGUUUUGGGGAUACGCUCUAGAGACGGUCGCAUUCACGUUAAAUAGGGCACCAUCAAAAUCCGUUGAGACGAUGCCUUAUGAACUGUGGUUUGGCAAGAAACCAAAGUUGUCGUUUCUAAAAGUUUGGGGCUGCAAUGCUUAUGUGAAAAAGCUUCAACCUGAUAAGCUCGAACCCAAAUCGGAGAAAUGUGUCUUCAUAGGAUAUCCAAAGGAAACUAUUGGAUACACCUUCUAUCACAGAUCCGAAGGCAAGACUUUUGUUGCUAAAUUUGGAAACUUUCUAGAGAAGGAGUUUCUCUCGAAAGAAGUGAGUGGGAGGAAAGUAGAACUUAACGAGGUAACUGUACCUGCUCCCUUAUUGGAAAGUAGUACAUCACAGAAAACUGUUUCUAUGACACCUACACCAGUUAGUGAGGAAGCUAAUGAUAAUGAUCAUGAAACUUCAGAACAAGAUACUACUGAACCUCAUAGAUCAACCAGAGCAAGAUCCGCACCAGAGUGGUAUGGUAAUCCCGUUCUGGAAGUCAUGCUACUAGAUCAUGAUGAACCUACGAACUAUGAAGAAGCGAUGGUGAGCCCAGAUUCCGCAAAAUGGCUUGAAGCCAUGAAAUCUGAGAUGGGAUCCAUGUAUGAGAACAAAGUAUGGACUUUGGUUGACUUGCCCGAUGAUCGGCAAGCAAUUGAGAAUAAAUGGAUCUUCAAGAAGAAGACUGACGCUGACGGUAAUGUUACUGUCUACAAAGCUCGACUUAUCGCAAAAGGUUUUCGACAAGUUCAAGGGGUUGACUACGAUGAGACCUUCUCACCCGUAGCGGUGCUUAAGUCUGUCCGAAUCAUGUUAGCAAUUGCCGCAUUUUAUGAUUAUGAAAUUUGGCAAAUGGAUGUCAAAACUGCAUUCCUGAAUGGAUUUCUGGAAGAAGAGUUGUAUAUGAUGCAACCAGAAGGUUUUGUCAAUCCAAUGGGAGCUAACAAAGUGUGCAAGCUCCAGCGAUCCAUUUAUGGACUGGUGCAAGCCUCUCGGAGUUGGAAUAAACGCUUUGAUAGUGUGAUCAAAGCAUUUGGUUUUAUACAGACUUUUGGUGAAGCCUGUAUUUACAAGAAAGUGAGUGGGAGCUCUGUAGCAUUUCUGAUAUUAUAUGUGGAUGACAUAUUACUGAUUGGAAAUGAUAUAGAAUUUCUGGAUAGCAUAAAGGGAUACUUGAAUAAGAGUUUUUCAAUGAAAGACCUCGGUGAAGCUGCUUACAUAUUAGGCAUAAAGAUCUAUAGAGAUAGAUCAAGACGCUUAAUUGGACUUUCACAAAGCACAUACCUUGACAAGAUUUUGAAGAAGUUCAAAAUGGAUAAAGCAAAGAAAGGAUUCUUGCGUGUGUUACAAGGUGUGAAAUUGAGUAAGACUCAAUGCCCGACCACUGCAGAAGAUAGAGAGAAUAUGAAAGAUGUUCCCUAUGCAUCAGCAAUAGGAUCUAUCAUGUAUGCAAUGCUGUGUACCAGACCUGAUGUGUGCCUUGCUAUAAGUCUAGCAGGGAGGUACCAAAGUAAUCCAGGAGUGGAUCACUGGACAGCGGUCAAGAACAUCCUGAAAUACCUGAAAAGGACUAAGGAUAUGUUUCUCGUAUAUGGAGGUGACAAAGAGCUCGUCGUAAAUGGUUACAUUGAUGAAAGCCUUGACACUGAUCCGGACGAUUCUAAAUCGCAAACCGGAUACGUGUUUACAUUAAACGGUGGAGCUGUCAGUUGGUGCAGUUCUAAACAAAGCGUUGUAGCGGGAUCUACAUGUGAAGCGGAGUACAUAGCUGCUUCAGAAGCAGCCAAUGAAGGACUCUGGAUGAAGGAGUUCAUAUACAAUCUAGGUGUCAUACCUAGUGCAUCGGGUCCAAUGAAAAUCUUUUGUGACAAUACUGGUGCAAUUGCCUUGGCAAAGGAAUCCAGAUUUCACAAGAGAACCAAGCACAUCAAGAGAAGAUUCAAUUCCAUCCGGGAUCUAGUCCAGGUGGGAGACAUAGAGAUUUGCAAGAUACAUACGGAUCUGAAUGUUGCAGACCCGUUAACUAAGCCUCUUCCACGAACAAAACAUGAUCAGCACCAAGGCUCCAUGGGUGUUAGAAUCAUUAUGGUGUAAUCUAGAUUAUUGACUCUAGUGCAAGUGGGAGACUGAAGGAAAUAUGCCCUAGAGGCAAUAAUAAAGUUAUUAUUUAUUUCCUUAUAAUCAUGAUAAAAGGUUUAUUAUUCAUGCUAGAAUUGUAUUAACCGGAAACAUAAUACAUGUGUGAAUACAUAGACAAACAAAGUGUCACUAGUAUGCCUCUACUUGACUAGCUCGUUAAUCAAAGAUGGUUAUGUUUCCUAACCAUGAACAAUGAGUUGUUAUUUGAUUAACGGGAUCACAUCAUUAAGAGAAUGAUCUGAUUGACAUGACCCAUUCCAUUAGCUUAGCACCCGAUCGUUUAGUAUGUUGCUAUUGCUUUCUUCAUGACUUAUACAUGUUCCUGUAACUAUGAGAUUAUGCAACUCUCGUUUACCGGAGGAACACUUUGGGUACUACCAAACAUCACAACGUAACUGGGUGAUUAUAAAGGAGUACUACAGGUGUCUCCAAAGGUACAUGUUGGGUUGGCGUAUUUCGAGAUUAGGUUUUGUCACUCCGAUUGUCGGAGAGAUAUCUCUGGGCCCUCUCGGUAAUGCACAUCACAUAAGCCUUGCAAGCAUUGCAAGUAAUGAGUUAGUUGCGAGAUGAUGUAUUACAGAACGAGUAAAGAGACUUGCCGGCAACGAGAUUGAACUAGGUAUGGGAUACCGGCGAUCGUAUCUCGGGCAAGUAACAUACCGAUGACAAAGGGAACAACGUAUGUUGUUAUGCGGUCUGACCGAUAAAGAUCUUCAUAGAAUAUGUAGGAGCCAAUAUGGGCAUCCAGGUCCCGCUAUUGGUUAUUGACCGGAGACAUGUCUCGGUCAUGUCUACAUUGUUCUCAAACCCGUAGGGUCCGCAUGCUUAAGUUUACGAGGACAGUAAUAUUAUGAGUUUAUGCAUUUUGAUGUACCGAAGGUUGUUCGGAGUCCCGGAUGUGAUCACGGACAUGACGAGGAGUCUCGAAAUGGUCGAGAAGUAAAGAUUGAUAUAUUGGAAGCCUAUGUUUGGAUAUCGGAAGUGUUCCGGGUGAAAUCGGGAUUUUACCGGAGUACCGGGAAGGUUACCGGAACCCCCCGGGAGCUAAAUGGGCCUUAGUGGAAAAGAGAAGAGGCAGCCCUACAUGGGCUGCACGCCUCCCACUUCCCCUAGUCCUAUUAGGACUAGGAGAGGUGGCCGGCCCCCUCUCUCUCUUUUCCCCCUCCGCGAAUCCUAUUCCAACUAGGAUUGGGGGGGAAUCCUACUCCCAGAGGGAGUAGGACUCUCCUGGCGCGCCACACCUUGGCCGGCCAGCCUCCCCCCUCUAGUCCUUUAUAUACUGAGGCAGAGGCACCCUAGAACACACAAGUUGAUCCACGUGAUCUAUUCCUUAGCCGUGUGCGGUGCCCCCUGCCACCAUAGUCCUCGAUAAUACUGUAGCGGAGUUUAGGCGAAGCCCUGCUGCUAUAGUGCAUCAAGAUCGUCACCACGCCGUCGUGCUGACGGAACUCUUCCCCGACACUUUGCUAGAUCGGAGUCCGGGGAUCGUCAUCGAGCUGAACGUGUGCUCGAACUCGGAGGUGUCGUAGUUUCGGUGCUUGAUCGGUUGGAUCGUGAAGACGUACGACUACUUCCUCUACGUCGUGUCAACGCUUCCGCAGUCGGUCUGCGUGGGUACGUAGACAACACUCUCCCAUCUCGUUGCUACGCAUCACAUGAUCUUGAGUGUGCGUAGGAAUUUUUUUGAAAUUACUACGAAACCCAACACCCACGAGGCAGGGGGGCGCGCCCUCCACCCUCGUGACCGCCUCGUGGCUUUCUUGAUGGAGGGUCAAAGUCUCCUAGGUCUUAUCUGAUGAGAAAAUCGCGUUCCCAAAGGUUUUAUUCCGUUUGGACUCUGUUUGAUAUUCUGUUUCUCCGAAACACUGAAAUAGGCAAAAAAACAACAAUUCUGGGCUGGGCCUCCGGUUAAUAGGUUAGUCCCAAAAAUAAUAUAAAAGUGGAAAAUAAAGCCCAAUAUAGUCCAAAACAGUAGAUAAUACAGUAUGGAGCAAUCAAAGAUUAUAGAUACGUUGGAGACGUAUCAAGCAUCCCCAAGCUUAAUUCCUUGUAACAUCCCAAAUUUUCAAUUUGGAAUGUUAUACAUUAGAUCAUCAUGCAUAUCUUAUUUUCUUGCUUUUUUUGGUCGAUCCUAGAAAUUUCACGCAACUCAAGGACCUUCGGAGAGAGUUGGAGAUUUCAUUAUUUUCUUAUUUGAGAGUUUUCUCGAAUUGGAAAAGAAGAUCAUUUGAUUUAUUUAUUUCAUCUUCAACUAUUUUUCCGACGUCAAAAAUAUAAGAGAGGGAAUAAUAUGACUUUUCCAAAAUAUAGGAAAAAUGAAGAUUUAAUAAAUAGAUCAAAUUUCGUUUUCCGGUGUUUGUUUGUUUUUCUUUGGAUAGGGAAAAAUCCGCGUUUUCGAAAAUUGCAUUUUAGGUCCGGAGAAAAGUUCAUUUUGUUCGACUCAUUUUUAGGAGUCGGGGAAAAUUUACUUCAGAUUUUUUGGAGCCCGUUUAGUUUUUCUUUUUCUUGUUUUUCUGCGCGCGAAAUCAGUUAAAAAAAAGUGAGCAGGCCAGCCGGGCCAAGGCCCAGCCAGCCGCCGCUGCGCCCCAGCCCCUAGCCGCGCGUACGCCAGCGCCAGCGCUAGGCGAGGCAGCCGCCGCCUCUGCCUCUUAGCCGAGUCCUAGAAGGACUCUAGGCUAGCCCCUUUUCCUUUGUUUCGUUUUCCUUUUUCCUCUCUUUUUCUUGCCCCCUACCCCAAGUAAACCCCCCUCACCUAUAUAAAUACCCCAUAGACCCCCCCUCUCCUCACACCAAAAACCCAAACCCCCUCUCCUCCCCAAGCCGCGCCCCACCCCGCGCUUCUCACCCGCCGCCGCCGCCCCUAGCGCCGCCGCCGCCGCCCUAGCACGCCGCCGUCGCCACCGUUCGCCCCGCCUCGCCGGAGGUAGCCCCGCGCCUCUCUUUUUAUUCCCCGCGGUUCGGUUCUUUUAAAAGAAACCGUUCCGGUUUUAUUUUCCGGUUUCUCUCUCCGAUUCUUCGUUUCGGUUUCUUUUCCGAAACCCUAGAUCGGUUUUCCGUUUUCUUCGUUUCGGUUUCUUUUCCGAAAACCCUAGAUCGGUUUUUGUUCUUCUUGCGGACCGUUUGUCUCAACGAACGUGAUCACCGAUUAUUCCCGGUUAACGAUGCCCGUUCGUUUAACCGUUCGUCUCUUUCUUUUCGUCGGAUUUAUUCCGCGAUCGUGAUCUCAGAUCCGAUCUUCGUUCUAGUUUAUCUUCUCGCCCGUCUAUCGGAAUCAGGUGAUUCAAGCGCCUGGAGUUUCGUUUCGAAACCGCCGUUCCGUCUAAUCAACUUAAACAAGUUUUUGCCCUGGUAAAAUUUGACCUAGUUUCAACUUGCUAGAACCGAGUUGUUUUCUUCCGCCGUUUGUUUUCCGUCGUUUGUUCGGUUCGUUCUUUCUUUGCAACCGGAGUUCUUAAGUUGAACUAUCUGGUUCGUUCUCUUGUUCGAGUUUUACCUAUGCAUUAGAUGAGUACUUAUUGUGUGGUUACUAUUGCUUGCUUACGAUAGAUUGACCGGAGUGUGACGAGUAGAUCUAUCAGGAGAUUUUGAUUGCGAAUCAUCUUCAUCAACCUUGCAGGCAAGUUCACACUUUGAUCAUACCUUUUCUACAACCCAUGUUUUAUUUCAUUAGAUCAAUCCUCACACAUUGCAUGAUUAGGAUCUAAUUAAAUUGUGGGAUGGGAAGUAGAUGAGGUAGUACCUAUUACCUGUAUUACUAUGAAACCUUUGGGAGUUACUUCUACGUUUGCUUAUUAUGCCAUGCUAUGCUAGUAGACGUGGAUUGGGUGAGUGAUAUCCAUGACAGAUGUGAGAUUGAUAAUUUAAUGGUUUAUCUAAGGUGGCAACUUAAACACACAUCUGGGUGGAUUGAGGCACCUGAUGUCUAUCAGGACUUGCCUGUUUUUUUUUCGGACCGCCACCCAGGCUCAAAGGGAUCAUAAGAUCUUUCAUGCUAGAAACUUACGUGUGCAGCCACAAGCCAUUAUGGGCUCUGGCAUAGUUGACUAAGUCGUGCGAACUCUUAUAGGGGUAGACUAGCAGAUGUAGGGGAUGUAGGUGGUACGGUCUACUCCAUCGUAAGGUGCUAGCGCUUCUAAAAGACUAUGUCUCGGUCAUCCGUUUCUCAAACACCAUGUAGUGCGAGAAAUCCAACGGAGGCAAUCGAGUCUUGUGGGGAAAAGUGCGCAAACCUCUGCAGAGUGUACAAACUAAUCAUGAUUAGCCGUGUCCCCGGUUAUGGACAACUUGAGUAUCUAGUACUUGAAUAUCCUGUUGAUCUCAUCACGUUACUUUAAAUGAAUAUUGUUGGGUUUAAUGAUGUUACUUAAUUGGGAUUGAGAAUGCUGUCAACCAUUCUCAAUGUUCAACAACCACCUUGAUAGUAAUUAAAUUUAUUCCUUUGCAGUAUGGAAAAAUUGGCUUUACGCAAAAAACCUUAUAACCAUAGAGCUUUUCCACCAGCCAAAUAUGCAUGUAGUGAUAGCCAUUGUUCAUCAUUCUCUAUGGUGUGAAUUUGCCAGUACAUUCAAUGUACUGACCCGUUUCGGGCUGCAACGUCUUAUGUUGCAGGUUUCUUACGACGAGUAAGUGAUACGUUAGGGUUACGAUUUCUACACUCAACUUUGCCGUUGGUGUUGAUGGGAAUCCACAACCUUGUUGCUUCCGCUAUUUGGAUUGAGGUAAUAGUAUUUACGUUACUUUAUACAUGUGAUUUACCUCUGUUAUAAAUCCUUCGAGUACUGUUUGUGUUAGCAUACCGAUCCAGGGAUGACACGUAAGCACAGAGACUUGACCCAUUCGGGUCGGGUCGCUACAAGAUGGUAUCAGAGCACAUGUUGACUGUAGGACUUGACCCUAGAAACUGGCAAGCCCAUAGCAAAGAUUUUUCUCUACAACUUUCCCUUUCAAAAAAGAUCUUUUACCUCUCUUCUCUUCUGAGCUUAUUUAAAAAGUCCCUUUAGUGAGACCAUACCCCUUUCCCCUUUUGACCACUCGAAGAUUCAAUUGAUGAGACCACUCCAAGAAGUACAAGAUACCGGACAAACUAAGACCACUUCAGAAUGAAGAGUAUUUUCCGUGCAUCUGAAUAAUGGAAACUACAACGGUUGAAGACCGAAGACAAGUAGAAUUUGAAGGCUCUGAAGAAUUUCCAGAUUUGUGUGACCUAGGAAGGCAACCCUGAUGGAACUUAAAAGAUUAUGGAAGUUGUCAAUACCCGAGAUCAAGAAAGACCGGAACAUGGAGAGUUGAGAACUCAAAGUUUUGUCAAGAAAACCCUAAGGCAGGAGAUAUCAACUGGCAAGAUAGCUCAUGGCAAUGACAAGGGCAGAAACACGGUUAUCCGUGAUGUCAUCACCAUUGAUACUGUGGUCACCGAGCUGAGCUAAGCAUGCAUUCCUUCAGAAGGAUUGGAUGGUAGAAGACUGAUGGAGCAUCUAUCAGCAAAGGAUGCAAUUUUAAACUUAGCUGGUGUAUCACCAAGAUCUGGAGUAGUACAUCAAGAAGUUUAAAAUGGAGCUCCAGGAAGUCGUAUUAGACAAGGAAGCAUUUCGUGAAGAACUUAAGACCAGAAGUUGAAAGCAGCCAAGCUAGAGAAGUAAAACCUUGAGAUACACGAGAUUCAUCAGGAACUGAAGGACAGUAGGACCAUGGUUCAUGCCAAGGAUGUUGAAACCUAGAAGUUUGAAAUGCAACUCCAGAAUAUUACAGGAUGUCACGAGAGAUUUCACGUCAACAGAGAUGAUCUGGCAAAAGAACUUGAGAAGGACAAGCAUGAUUGGAAGAAGCCAUUGGAGGCUUGAACAAGGCUUGAAGAGUUUGGAGACGUUGAAGAUUUAUUGACCUUUAGAAGACCAAACCCCUGUUAUACACCUACUUUAGAUGCGACGUUUGUGAGCUGUCAUUUGUUUGAUGUUUUUCGACAGCCACAACAAAAAUCUGUCUUUUCAAAACUUUUGUUUGUAUUGUGUGCAUCCCUCUCUAUCUCUCUUAUCUUACCCCAAACCCACAUGGACCCAAUAGAGGAUGAAUGGAGAUGAGCUUGUAUUUUUGGGACCAAUGAGUCAAUUGGAGACAGACCGAUGGAUUCAGAACAUGGAGGAUCACAUGGAGAAUAACCCUAUAGUUGGACAUGAUAUGACCCAACAUGCUCUUCUGUGCUUUGAAAGAGGUGCUGCUACUUGGUGGAGGAUGUACCAAACCAUCAAUGGAUGGCAAGGAGUAACCACUUGGAAAGAAUUUAAGUUGACUUUGCUAAAGUCUCGGUUUGUGUCCCAGAAGUUGAAGCCUUAUGGAAAGGAUAUGAAGAAACCUUGUGCAUGCAAGAUUUGUGGAGAAAUCGGACACACCCAUAAAGAACACAAGGAUGAGUGCCCUAAUUGUGAAGGAAGUCACCCAGUUGAAGAAUGCCCAACUAGGCAGAUCACUUGUUUCUUGUGUGAAGGGACUACCCACUACCCUGCACAGUGUCACAUUUACACCAUGGUACUAGGAACCAUCCAGCAGAAAAAAGGAGCAAUGAAAGGAGCCCUCAUGGAAAUUUUAGAAGAAACUGUGAUGAAGGAGGACACAUCUAAAGAGGACUCGAGUAAACCCUGCACUAAGUCUUGCUAUUCAUGUGGAGAAGAAGGACACCUCUCCUAGAAUUGUAUGAAUGGGGAUCUAGUAGAAUUCCCGAUAGAGGAAGUAGAAUAUGACCCACAGGAAAUAGAAGCCAUGCUUGGUAUGGAAAGGCCCAGAAAGAGAAACCGAAUGGAUUCCAGGAAGGAUCUGAGACAUAUCACCUGUUACAGGUGCAAGGAGUCAGGACACUACCUCCACAGUUUCCCAAAAAGGAAGCCAAGAACCCAAGGAGGCUAUAUAAUCACAAGAAAACCUCGAAACUUGUCAGAAGUACUAUGUUUUAGUGGUAAUGGAGCAGGGCACUUUGCCAGAGAAUGCCCCAAGGAGAAGGAAACUUGUGCUAGAUAGUUGAGUUUGCAACAAAAGAAAUGGAGUAGUAGAAGUGAGAACAUUCUCUUUUAUAUUGAGGUGUUGAGACAUGUAAUGGAAAAGCGAGAGAUUGUAAUCACUUGAGAAUGAAUAAAGUAGCAUCGUUGGUACUGAUAUGGAUUUUAUGAGUUGUUACUCUAUGAAGAAGGAUUUUGACCAUUUUUGAGGAUAAGAGAAAUAUGGUCUAUGGAAGGUUUGUGCAUUUUAAGGGUGGUAGUACCCUGUAAGAACCAUUGACCCCUGGAAAAGAUAAGGAUACUCCACUGAGUGGAUUUCAGACAAAAAUGAAUAUGAGUUUUGUCUCGAUAUGUGUGAUGCCCCAAGAGUAUGUGGGAUGAAGUUGGAGACCGUCAGUUGUUUGGACCAAAUGUGAUCAAGGAGUCAGAAGAGAAUGUUAAGUUGAUUCGAGAUAGACUGAAGGUAGCUUAGUCCAGGCAGAAGAGUUAUGUAGACUCAAAACUCAAGGAGGUAGCCUAUGAAAUGGGAGACAGAGCAUGUCUUCGCAUGUCCCCUAUGCGAGGAGUUAAACGGAUUGGAGUUAAGGGACAAUUAGCCCCGAGAAUUGUAGGACCAUACCGAGUUUUGGAGCGUAUGAGAGAAGUGGCCUACAAGUUGGAGUUACCCGAAGGACUGUCAGGAGUUCAGGAUGUGUUUCACGGUUCCUAGUUGAAGAAGUGCCAUGCAGAGAUGGCCAAUAUUCCCGUGUAAGGACACUUGACCCUGGAAAGGAUAAUGAUGUUCCACGAAGUGGAAUAUGGACUUCAUAAGUAUAAGUUUUUACCUCAGUAUGAGGGAUACCCCACGCGGAUGAAGAGAUGAGUUACCAUUGGAUAUAAAGGAGGUAUGAUGUUGGUAAUAUGGAGCAAUGGCAACCCCAUGACAAGUCUGAGUACUCACGUCUUGGUUUGGUGCCAAUAGAAGGAAGGAAGACAGUACAAUUGGAUGGAUUUAAGUAUACUGGUAAAGUUGGAAGUUGGAUGUUGGAUUAGAGAUCUGCUGCCCCGAUGAAGAGUUCAAGGUUUGCAAGUGAUGAGAUGUGCCAUAACCCACAGGCCCCAAGACCUCCCAAGAAGCAAGCACAUUCUUGCUGAAGGAAAAACCCUGGAAGUGGAUAUACCUUUGUCGACAGACGAUUUUAUAGGAGUUUACGCAAAACCUGAGAGUUGUGAAGGAACGAUAGAUGUUUGUCUGGCUUGCAGAAUCAAUGGAUUAUUCUGAACUUGGUUCGUUGACGAGAGAAAUUCUGCAAUGCUUGUGAGGAUGACCGAGUGUUAGAAUGCGAGAUUCGCUAAACCAUAUACAAGGUAAUGAUUUGGGUGCGGGAUGGAUUGAUCACCAUACCGACUUACUCUUAUUAUUCGCCUUGCUAUAUGGGAUGGUAAAUCUGAGUGACUUGCCUAUAGUAGAGAGACGACGAUGAAAACCUUGUUUAAACCUUAGAAUGGCAUAGCAAUUUUUUCCCUUGUACAAGGCAGCUUUUGCCAAUCGUAGGUUAUACGGUGAGGAUCAACCCAGACCCAUUUCCUGCAGGAGAAACCACAAAGUGUUGACCACCAUGAGAUAUCGAUAGUUGUCUAGUUUUGGCGCCCGACCCAUCAGCUAAGAAGACCCAGUCUCGGAAUAACCUUACUAAGAGGAAAUGACAGAAGAAGUGAGGAAAAGGUUAUGCCACUACCGGAAGAGCCAGAGAAGGAAUUUUCCGAGGAUUUGAGGAGACCGACACUGUCAAGAAUAUGGAUGAAGUAUAUGAGUUUUGAUGGAACCGUAAAAUUGAUUCUAAGGGUGGUAGCACCCCAGACACCGUGUGAUGAUCGAUGGAUUUUGAGAAGACCCCCAAACCCUAACCUUUUCUUGCUAGCCUCUCCGAAUCUCGAGGACGAGAUUCCUUUUAAGGGUGGUAGGUUUGUAACAUCCCAAAUUUUCAAUUUGGAAUGUUAUACAUUAGAUCAUCAUGCAUAUCUUAUUUUCUUGCUUUUUUGGUCGAUCCUAGAAAUUUCACGCAACUCAAGGACCUUUGGAGAGAGUUGGAGAUUUCAUUAUUUUCUUAUUUGAGAGUUUUCUCGAAUUGGAAAAGAGGAUCAUUUGAUUUAUUUAUUUCAUCUUCAACUAUUUUUCCGACGUCAAAAAUAUAAGAGAGGGAAUAAUAUGACUUUCCCAAAAUAUAGGAAAAAUGAAGAUUUAAUAAAUAGAUCAAAUUUCGUUUUCCAGUGUUUGUUUGUUUUUCUUUGGAUAGGGAAAAAUGCGCGUUUUCGAAAAUUGCAUUUUAGGUCCGGAGAAAAGUUCAUUUUGUUCAACUCAUUUUUAGGAGUCGGGGAAAAUUUACUUUAGAUUUUUUGGAGCCCGUUUAGUUUUUCUUUUAUUUGUUUUUCUGCGUGCGAAAUCAGUUAAAAAAGUGAGCAGGCCAGCCGGGCCAAGGCCCAGCCAGCCGCCGCUGCGCCCCAGCCCCCAGCCGCGCGUACGCCAGCGCCAGCGCUAGGCGAGGCAGCUGCUGCCUCUGCCUCUUAGCCGAGUCCUAGAAGGACUCUAGGCUAGCCCCUUUUCCUUUGUUUCGUUUUCCUUUUUCCUCUCUUUUUCUUGCCCCCUACCCCAAGUAAACCCCCCUCACCUAUAUAAAUACCCCCAUAGACCCCCCCUCUCCUCACACCAAAAACCCAAACCCCCUCUCCUCCCCAAGCCGCGCCCCACCCUGCGCUUCUCACCCGCCGCCGCCGCCCCUAGCGCCGCCGCCGCCGCCCUAGCACGCCGCCGUCGCCACCGUUUGCCCCGCCUCGCCGGAGGUAGCCCCGCGCCUCUCUUUUUCUUCCCCGCGGUUCGGUUCUUUUAAAAGAAACCGUUCCGGUUUUCUUUUCCGGUUUCUCUCUCCGAUUCUUCGUUUCGGUUUCUUUUCCGAAACCCUAGAUCGGUUUUCCGUUUUCUUCGUUUCGGUUUCUUUUCCGAAAACCCUAGAUCGGUUUUCGUUCUUCUUGCGGACCGUUUGUCUCAACGAACGUGAUCACCGAUUAUUCCCGGUUAACGACGCCCGUUCGUUUAACCGUUCGUCUCUUUCUUUUCGUCGGAUUUAUUCCGCGAUCGUGAUCUCAGAUCCGAUCUUCGUUCUAGUUUAUCUUCUCGCCCGUUUAUCGGAAUCAGGUGAUUCAAGCGCCUAGAGUUUCAUUUCGAAACCGCCGUUCCGUCUAAUCAACUUAAACAAGUUUUUGCCCCGAUAAAAUUUGACCUAGUUUCAACUUGCUAGAACCGAGUUGUUUUCUUCCGCCAUUUGUUUUCCGUCGUUUGUUCGGUUCGUUCUUUCUUUGCAACCAGAGUUCUUAAGUUGAACUAUCUGGUUCGUUCUCUUGUUCGAGUUUUACCUGUGCAUUAGAUGAGUACUUAUUGUGUGGUUACUAUUGCUUGCUUACGAUAGAUUGACCGGAGUGUGACGAGUAGAUCUAUCAAGAGAUUUUGAUUGCGAAUCAUCUUCAUCAACCUUGCAGGCAAGUUCACACUUUGAUCAUACCUUUUCUACAUCCCAUGUUUUAUUGCAUUAGAUCAAUCCUCACACAUUGCAUGAUUAGGAUCUAAUUAAAUUGUGGGAUGGGAAGUAGAUGAGGUAGUACCUAUUACCUGUAUUACUAUGAAACCUUUGGGAGUUACUUCUACGUUUGCUUAUUAUGCCAUGCUAUGCUAGUAGAUGUGGAUUGGGUGAGUGAUAUCCAUGACAGAUGUGAGAUUGAUAAUUUAAUGGUUUAUCUAAGGUGGCAACUUAAACACACAUCUGGGUGGAUUGAGGCACCUGAUGUCUAUUAGGACUUGCCUGUUUUUUUUCGGACCGCCACCCAGGCUCAAAGGGAUCAUAAGAUCUUUCAUGCUAGAAACUUACGUGUGCAGCCACAAGCCAUUAUGGGCUCUGGCAUAGUUGACUAAGUCGUGCGAACUCUUAUAGGGGUAGACUAGCAGAUGUAGGGGAUGUAGGUGGUACGGUCUACUCCAUCGUAAGGUGCUAGCGCUUCUGAAAGACUAUGUCUUGGUCAUCCAUUUCUCAAACACCAUGUAGUGCGAGAAAUCCAACGGAGGCAAUCGAGUCUUGUGGGGAAAAGUGCGCAAACCUCUGCAGAGUGUACAAACUAAUCAUGAUUAGCCGUGUCCCCGGUUAUGGACAACUUGAGUAUCUAGUACUUGAAUAUCCUGUUGAUCUCAUCACGUUACUUUAAAUGAAUAUUGUUGGGUUUAAUGAUGUUACUUAAUUGGGAUUGAGAAUGCUGUCAACCAUUCUCAAUGUUCAACAACCACCUUGAUAGUAAUUAAAUUUAUUCCUUUGCAGUAGGGAAAAAUUGGCUUUACGCAAAAAACCUUAUGACCAUAGAGCUUUUCCACCAGCCAAAUAUGCAUGUAGUGAUAGCCAUUGUUCAUCAUUCUCUAUGGUGUGAAUUUGCCAGUACAUUCAAUGUACUGACCCGUAUCGGGCUGCAACGUCUUAUGUUGCAGGUUUCUUACGACGAGUAAGUGAUACGUUAGGGUUACGAUUUCUACACUCAACUUUGCCGCUGGUGUUGAUGGGAAUCCACAACCUUGUUGCUUCCGCUAUUUGGAUUGAGGUAAUAGUAUUUACGUUACUUUAUACAUGUGAUUUACCUCUGCUAUAAAUCCUUCGAGUACUGUGUGUGUCAGCAUACCGAUCCAGGGAUGACACGUAAGCACAGAGACUUGACCCAUUCGGGUCGGGUCGCUACAUUCCUGCUCAUCCUCGAGUAGGUAAAUGAUAAAAACAGAAUUUUUGAUGCGGAGUGCUACUUGGCAUAAUUUCAAUGUAAUUCUUAUUAAUUGUGGUAUGAAUAUUCAGAUUCAAAAGAUUCAAGACAAAAGUUCAUAUUGACAUAAAAAAUAAUAAUACUUCAAGCAUACUAAUAAAGCAAUUAUGUCUUCUCAAAAUAACAUGGCCAAAGAAAGCUAUCCCUACAAAAUCAUAUAGUCUAGCUAUGCUCUAUCUUCACCACACAAAGUAUUUAAAUCAUGCACAACCCCGAUGACAAGCCAAGCAAUUGUUUCAUACUUUUGACAUUUUCAAAACUUUUCCGAUCUUCACGCAAUACAUGAGCGUGAGCCAUGGAUAUAGCACUAUAUGUGGAAUAGAAUGGUGGUUGUGGAGAAGACAAAAAGAGGGAAAGAUAGUCUCACAUCAACUAGGCGUAUCAACGGGCUAUGGAGAUGCCCAUCAAUAGAUAUCAAUGUGAGUGAGUAGGGAUUGCCAUGCAACGGAUGCACUAGAGCUAUAAGCAUAUGAAAUCUCAACAAAAGAAACUAAGUGGGUGUGCAUCCAACUCGCUUGCUCAUGAAGACCUAGGGCAUUUUGAGGAGUCCCAUGAUUGGAAUAUACAAGCCAAGUUCUAUAAUGAAAAAUUCCCACUAGUAUAUGAAAGUGACAUAAUGCGAGACUCUCUAUCAUGAAGAUCAUGGUGCUACUUUGAAGCACAAGUGUGGUAAAAGGAUAGUAACACUGUCCCUUCUCUCUUUUUCUCUCAUUUUUUUGGGCCUUCUCUUUUUUUAUGGCCUCUUUUUUUUCGUCCGGAGUCUCAUGCCGACUUAUGGGGGAAUCAUAGUCUCCAUCAUCCUUUCCCCACUUGGGACAAUGCUCUAAAAAGGAUGAUCAUCACACUUUUUAUUUUUCUUACAACUCAACAAUUACAACUCAAUACUUAGAACAAAAUAUGACUCUAUAUGAAUGCCUCCGGCGGUGUACCGGGAUAUGCCAUGAAUCAAGAGUGACAUGUAUGAAAGAAUUAUGAACGGUGGCUUUGCCACAAAUACGAUGUCAACUACUUGAUCAUGCUAGCAAUAUGACAAUGAUGGAGCGUGUCAUAAUGAACGGAACAGUGGAAAGUUGCAUGGCAAUAUAUCUCGGAAUGGCUCUGGAAAUGCCAUGAUAGGUAGGUAUGGUGGCUGUUUUGAGGAAGGUAUUUGGUGGGUGUAUGAUACCGGCGAAAAGUGCGCGGUAUUAGAGAGGCUAGCAAUGGUGGAAGGAAGGAAAGUGCGUAUAAUCCAUGGACUCAACAUUAGUCAUAAAGAACUCAUAUACUUAUUGCAAAAAUCUAGAAGUUAUCAAAGCAAAGUAUUACGUGCAUGCUCCUAGGGGGAUAGAUUGGUAGGAAAAGUCCAUCGCUCGUCCCCGACCGCCACUCAUAAGGAAGACAAUCAAUAAAUAAAUCAUGCCCCGACUUCAUCAUAUAACGGUUCACCAUACGUGCAUGCUACGGGAAUCAUAGACUUUAACACAAGCAUUUCUCAAAUUCACAACUACUCAACUAGCAUGACUCUAAUAUCACCAUCCUCAUAUCUCAAAACAAUUAUCAAGCAUCAAUUUUUUCUUAGUAUUCAACGCACUCAAAAGAAAGUUUUACAAAUCUUGAAUACCAAGCAUAUUAUUAUUAAGCAAUUUACCAUGCUAUUAAGACUCUCAAAAAUAAUCUAAGUGAAGCAUGAGAGAUCAAUAGUUUAUAUAAAACAAAUCCACCACCGUGCUCUAAAAGAUAUAAGUGAAGCACUAGAGCAAAAUUAUAUAACUCAAAAGAUAUAAGUGAAGCACUAGAGUAAAACUAUAGAGCUCAAAAGAUAUAAGUGAAGCACAUAGAGUAUUCUAUCAAAUUCAAAAUUAUGUAUGGCUCUCUCAAAAGGUGUGUACAGCAAGGAUGAUUGUGGUAGACUAACAAGCAAAGACUCAAAUCAUAAAAGACGCUCCAAGCAAAACACAUAUCAUGUGGUGAAUAAAAAUAUAGCUCCAAGUAAAGUUACCGAUAGAAGUAGACGAAAGAAGGGAUGCCUUCCGGAGCAUCCCCAAGCUUUGGCUUUUAGGUGUCCUUAGAUUAUCUUGGGCGUGCCAUGGGCAUCCCCAAGAUUAGUUUCUUGCCACUCCUUGUUCCAUAAUCCAUCAAAUCUUUACCCAAAACUUGAAAACUUCACAACACAAAACUUAAAGUAGAAAACUCGUGAGCUCCGUUAGCGAAAGAAAACAAAAGACCACUUCAAGGUACUGUAAUGAACUCAUUCUUUAUUUAUAUUUGUGUUAUACCUACUGUAUUCCAACUUCUCUAUGGUUUAUAAACUAUUUUACUAGCCAUAGAUUCAUCAAAAUAAGCAAACAACACACGAAAAACAGAAUCUGUCAAAAACAGAACAGUCUGUAGUAAUCUGUAGCUACCGCAAGAUAUGGAACCCCAAAAAUUCUAAAAUAAAUUUAUGGACGUGAGUAAUUUAUAUAUUAAUCAUCUUAAAAAACAAUUAACUAAAUAUCACUCUCCAAAGAAAAAUUACAGCAGUUCUCGUGAGCGCUAAAGUUUCUGUUUUUUUACAGCAAGUUCAACAAGACUUUCCCCAAGUCUUCCCAACGGUUCUACUUGGCACAAACACUAAUUAAACACAAAAAACACAACCACAACAGAGGCUAAAUAAUUUAUUUAUUACUAAACAGGAGCAAAAAUCAAUGAAUAAAAGUAAAAUUGGGUUGCCUCCCAACAAGCGCUAUUGUUUAACGCCCCUAGCUAGGCAUAACAAGCAAGAAUAGAUCUAGGUAUUGCCAUCUUUGGUAGGCAAUCCAUAAGUGGCUCUCAUGAUAGAUUCAUAUGGUAAUUUUAUUUUCUUUCUAGGGAAGUGUUCCAUGCCCUUUUUUAAUAGAAAUUGUAAUCUAAUAUUCCCUUCCUUCAUAUCAAUAAUUGCACCAACCGUUCUAAGGAAAGGUCUACUGAGAAUAAUAGAGCAAGAAGGAUUGCAAUCUAUAUCAAGAACGAUAAAAUCUACGGGCACAUAAUUCCUAUUAGCAACAAUAAGAACAUCAUUAAUUCUUCUCAUAGGUUUCUUAAUAGUGGAAUCCGCAAGAUUGCAAGUUUAGAGAGCAAUCAUCAAAAUUACGGAAAUCUAGCAAAUCACACAAAGUUUUGGGAAUAGUAGAGACACUAGCACCCAAAUCACACAAAGCAUAAAACUCAUGAUCUUUAAUUUUAAUUUAAAUAGUAGGUUCCCACUCAUCAUAAAGUUUUCUUGUGACGCCCCCGAUUCAAUCGUACACUAAUCAUACACGCAAACAUGUACGAUCAAGAUCAGGGACUCACGGGAAGAUAUCACAACACAACUCUACAAAUAAAAUAAGUCAUACAAGCAUCAUAUUACAAGCCAGGGGCCUCGAGGGCUAGAAUACAAGAGCUCGAUCUUAGACGAGUCAGCGGAAGCAACAAUAUCUGAGUACCGACAUAAGUUAAGCAAGUUUGCCUUAAGAAGGCUAGCACAAACUGGGAUACAGAUCGAAAGAGGCGCAGGCCUCCUGCCUGGGAUCCUCCUAGCUACUCCUGGUCGUCGUUAGCGGGCAUCACGUAGUAGUAGGCACCUCCGGUGUAGUAGGAGUCGUCGUCGACGGUGGCGUCUGGCUCCUGGGCUCCAACAUCUGGUUGCAACAACCAGGUAAAAGGGAUAGGGGAAAAGAGGGAGAAAGCAACCGUGAGUACUCAUCCAAAGUACUCGCAAGCAAGGAGCUAUACUACAUAUGUAUGCAAUGGUAUCAAAUGGAAUAAGGGUAUCAUAUGUGGACUGAACUACAGAAAGCCGGAAUAAGGGGGGGAUAGCUAGUCCUUUCGAAGACUACGCUUCUGGCAGCCUCCGUCUUGCAGCAUGUAGAAGAGAGUAGACUGAAGUCCUCCAAGUAACAUCGCAUAGCAUAACCCUAACCGAUGAUCCUCCCCUCGUCGCCCUGUGGGAGAGCGACCACCGGUUGUAUCUGGCACUUGGAAGGGUGUGUUUUAUUAAGUAUCCGGUUCUAGUUGUCAUAAGGUCAAGGUACAACUCCAAAUCGUCCUGUUACCGAAGAUCACGGCUAUUCGAAUAGAUUAACUUCCCUGCAGGGGUGCACCACAUACCCCAACACGCUCGAUCCCAUUUGGCCGGACACACUUUCCCGGGUCAUGCCCGGCCUCGGAAGAUCAACACGUCGCAGCCCCACCUAGACCAACAGAGAGGUCAGCACGCCGGUCUAAACCUAAGCGCCCAGGGGUCUGGGCCCAUCGCCCUUAGCACACCUGCAUGUUGCGAACGCGGCCGAAAGCAGACCUAGCCUAGUGGCCUUCGAGUCCAAUCCGGCGCGCGCCACUUAGUCGCUGACGUCACGAAGGCUUCGGCUGAUACCACGACGCCGGGAUACCCAUAACUACUCCCGCGUAGAUGGUUAGUGCGUAUAGACCAAAUGGCCAGACUCAGAUCAAAUACCCAGAUCUCGUUAAGCGUGUUAAGUAUCCGCGAACGCCGACCAGGGCCAGGCCCACCUCUCUCCUAGGUGGUCGGAACCUGCCCUACCGCUCCGCCUCAAAACUCCACUCGCGGGUGCUCCUCAAGCCGACCCGUCUUUAGUCACCACAUGUAUCAUGUGUAAAGUAUAUAGUAUAUACCCGUGAUCAACUCCCGAGUGAUCACGGUCCGAUAGUAUAGCAUGGCAGACGGACAAGGAUGUAGGGCCACUGAUGAUAAACUAGCAUCCUAUACUAAGCAUUAGGAUUGCAGGUAAAGGUAACAAUAGUAGUAGCAAGGACAGGCUAUGCAUCAGUAUAGGAUUAACGGGAAGCAGUAACAUGCUACACUACUCUAAUGCAAGCAGUAUAGAGAAGAGUAGGCGAUAUCUGGUGAUCAAAGGGGGGGGGCUUGCCUGGUUGCUCUGGCAAGAGAGAGGGGUCGUCAACUCCGUAGUCGGACUGGGUAGCAGCAGCGUCGGUCUCGGUGUCUAGCGGAAGAAGAGGGGGGAAGAAACAAUGAAUAUAAUGCAAACAGAUGCAUAGAGAUGCAUGACAAGACAAGUAACGGUGCUAGGGGGUGCCCUAAUGCGGUAUUAGGUGAUACCGGUGAAGGGGGAUAACAUCCGGGAAAAUACCCCCGGUGUUUCGCGUUUUCGGACAGAUGAACCGGAGGUGAAAUGUUGCAGGUUCACUAUGCUAGGGACAUGUGGCGGACCAACGGGCUGCGUAUCCGAAUUCGUCUCGUCGUUCUGAGCAACUUUCAUGUAUAAAGUUUUUCCAUCCGGGCUACGGUUUAUUUUAUAUUGAUUUUCUAAAGUUUAAAUCAUUUUUAGAAUUUAUUUAAUUAAUUUAAUCAACAUUAUCCAGAAUAGUGUCUGCUGACGUCAUGAUGACGUCAGCAUGACGUCAGUAGUUGACUUGGUCAACCUGACAGGUGGGUCCCGAUCGUCAUACUCUGUUUUAAUUAACUAACAGUUAAUUAGGUUAAUUAGUGAUUAGGUUAAUCUAAUUAUAAUUAAUUAACCUAAUUAAUUCCUUAAUUAAUUAAUUAAUUAAUUUUAUUAUUAUUAUUAUUUUCUCUUUUUUUUGAAUCGUUCUGGGCGUGGGGCCCCCUGUCAUUGGCCCAGAGGGGCUUUGCGGGUGCCGGGUGUCGGGCACCAGCCCGAGCGAUUCGGGCGUGCGGGCGAACCCGACGACGGGCGCCGCGGGCGUGGCCGAAGCCUGAGCGGCGACCAGCGCGCGGGGGCGGCACGGCGAGGCCCCCAGGCCGCAGCGGCAACAACCGAGGGCGGGGUGCGCGAACUGCGACGGCGGAGGUGGUGUUCAGGGGCGGAGCAGAGCUCCGGGGCGCACGACCGUCGGCGACGAGGCGAGCAAGGGCGUGGCCGUGCAUAGUCCUGGUGAGGCGGGGCGGUGCGGGGUCGACGGCGACCAACAGGGACGCGACCACGGUGAGCGCGCACGGGAAGGAGGCCGCGGGCGUGCCCGCAGGCGAGGCGCGGGGCGCGGCCACGCACCGGGCGCGGACACGACCAACAGGGGCAGGCCCGUGCGCGGAGGCUUCUUGACGAGCAUGGGGAAGGGGCGGUGACCGGCGAGGCGGUGUGCGUGCGCGCGAGGCGACACAGAGGAGGAGGAGGGGAAAAGGCGGCUGCUCACGGCGGGAAGUAGGGACUAGGCAGCGGGCGUGAGGAGGGCGACGGGGACGAGCGACGUGGUGGUGGCGACGGGCGUCGGGGUGACUUCGGGGCUCGGCAACGGAGUGGCGGUGGGCGUCCAGCGAGGCGACGCCGUGGAGGAGGACGAAGGCGCGGCGGAAGGANNNNNNNNNNNNNNNNNNNNNNNNNNNNNNNNNNNNNNNNNNNNNNNNNNNNNNNNNNNNNNNNNNNNNNNNNNNNNNNNNNNNNNNNNNNNNNNNNNNNNNNNNNNNNNNNNNNNNNNNNNNNNNNNNNNNNNNNNNNNNNNNNNNNNNNNNNNNNNNNNNNNNNNNNNNNNNNNNNNNNNNNNNNNNNNNNNNNNNNNNNNNNNNNNNNNNNNNNNNNNNNNNNNNNNNNNNNNNNNNNNNNNNNNNNNNNNNNNNAAGGGGGGGUUCUCCUUUUCUUUUUCUUUUUUUUGGUUUUGUUUUCUGUUUUUUUUUUGUGUUUUCUUUCUCUUAUUUAUUUUAUGUUCUGUUCUAUUUCAUUUUCAAUCAUUUAGACAUUCUAUAAAAUAUGUUUGCUGCACUAUAAUUACCUAUGCCAUUUUUGGCACAGCCCGAACAUUUUAGUUUAAUAUUUUGAAAACUUUUAUAAUUUAACUUUAUUUUAAUGUUUGAAUUUGACUCGGUUUUGGACUAACGGUAGAUUAUCAAUAGUAACCGGGGUGACGUGGCAUGAUUAUCGUUGGAUUACUGUAGCUUGAUUACCCGGGCGUUACAAAACUCCUCCACUACAAGAAAUCUCGUCCCGAGAUUUAAGAGGGGAGUAAGGGGAACAUGUUAUUUAAACUUCUGCAGAAGACAAGUGCUUAAACUUGCACGAGAAAUGUUAUUUAAAGGAGAACAUGGUCGGAACCACGAUUGAAAAAGGCCAGAUCCCAGAUAUAAUAUGAACUUAUACCAAGGGAGUAAUUAAUUUAAGAGAAGCUUUAAUAAUAAGAUCUACAUCGUGUCCAUGGGCAUGAACACAAAGUUCAAGGUCGACUCCCACUUAUUCAAUGCAUAACCUUACAUUUACCUCCCCUUUUCGAAGUUGUAGUGUUGAAAAGUUAUCUGACGAAGCGUCAGCAGGGUAUAACCCGCAUAACUUUUGAGGUCACACAAAUUAAGGAAGGCAUAGGUUCAACCCGUCAGGGUAUCGUGGAAACAUAUACCACAAGCUUUGAGAGUAAAUAUUACCAGCUCGAAAGCAGAGCAUGGUUGGCAAAAGGAGAGGAUACAAAUUACCAAAGGCAUUAUGUAUCGGAGAAAGAACUCACAAGGAUUUUGGUUGUGAAGGACAUUGUCGGAUAAUAGCCAAGCAAAUGGUCUCACGGACCACAAGGAACCUGAUGUGAGUAUCGAUACUCAAUCAGAAGGGAAAAGGAAUGCAAGGUAUCCGAUUAUAGAAACCAUUGACUAAUUAAUUCAAAUCUCAAAUGCAAAGGAAUUGUGAUUUCUAAAUCAAGGGAUCAGAAGCAAACGCUCUGAUUAAGGAUGGAUAAGUUGAGUAGACUUAGGGGUAAGAUCGAUGGCAAUCUGAUUGGCCAAGAACCAGCUCAUGUUCGAAAGACGUGUGAGCCAGAAGGUAAUUUAUAAUGAUCAACUGAUGAUUGCAUGCAUUCACACACAUAUAGAAUCAACGGACUUAAAAUGAUAGUGACAAAGGAUGCCAAUAGGAUUACUAGACUCAUUGGAUUAACCAAAAUGUAAGCAAGCAAGAAUUUCAAGAGCAAUAGGCUCCUGAGGAUUUUUUGGAAGAUCGAAAGGUAUUUCAAAGUCCUUUGCGGAACACAUGAACAACUGGGAAUGAGCGGAUACUCGAUAAGUGCGAGGAUUUAUCCGUAGAGGUAUUCAUGUGGGUAAUGAAUUGCAAGGCAGUAGGCACAAAGUAUCGAGGGAACAUCCGAGCGUAUUGUCAGAAUCUUCCGAUGAAGCAGUCGAUCAUCCGUAUUAAAGGGCUCUCCAGCAGGAAGUGGUAACGAGAACCUAGAGUUAGAUUUUAGCAAAAUCGUUUAACCCGAAUAGAAGAGAGAUCAGAGUCCCAGAGUAAGGAUGGAGGAGUAAAAGAUCCUAAUACCACCCAGAUGGCGACGUGGGCCCGUAAGCCGCACAACCAUGUUAGUAAAAGUUUUUCAAUGACUAGACUCGACUUCGGCCAAGGAGUUGGAAAGGGGGAUUCCUACAGGCAGUCGGCUCUGAUACCAACUUGUGACGCCCCCGAUUCAAUCGUACACUAAUCAUACACGCAAACGUGUACGAUCAAGAUCAGGGACUCACGGGAAGAUAUCACAACACAACUCUACAAAUAAAAUAAGUCAUACAAGCAUCAUAUUACAAGCCAGGGGCCUCGAGGGCUCGAAUACAAGAGCUCGAUCUUAGACGAGUCAGCGAAAGCAACAAUAUCUGAGUACCGACAUAAGUUAAGCAAGUUUGCCUUAAGAAGGCUAGCACAAACUAGGAUACAGAUCGAAAGAGGCGCAUGCCUCCUGCCUGGGAUCCUCCUAGCUACUCCUGGUCGUCGUCAGCGGGCAUCACGUACUAGUAGGCACCUCCGGUGUAGUAGGAGUCGUCGUCAACGGUGGCGUCUGGCUCCUGGGCUCCAACAUCUGGUUGCGACAACCAGGUAAAAGGGAUAGGGGAAAAGAGGGAGAAAGCAACCGUGAGUACUCAUCCAAAGUACUCGCAAGCAAGGAGCUAUACUACAUAUGUAUGCAAUGGUAUCAAAUGGAAUAAGGGUAUCAUAUGUGGACUGAACUACAGAAAGCCGGAAUAAGGGGGGGAUAGCUAGUCCUUUCGAAGACUACGCUUCUGGCAGCCUCCGUCUUGCAGCAUGUAGAAGAGAGUAGACUGAAGUCCUCCAAGUAACAUCGCAUAGCAUAACCCUAACCGAUGAUCCUCCCCUCGUCGCCCUGUGAGAGAGCGACCACCGGUUGUAUCUGGCACUUGGAAGGGUGUGUUUUAUUAAGUAUCCGGUUCUAGUUGUCAUAAGGUCAAGGUACAACUCCAAAUCGUCCUGUUACCGAAGAUCACGGCUAUUCGAAUAGAUUAACUUCCCUGCAGGGGUGCACCACAUACCCGAACACGCUCGAUCCCAUUUGGCCGGACACACUUUCCUGGGUCAUGCCCGGCCUCGGAAGAUCAACACGUCGCAGCCCCACCUAGACCAACAGAGAGGUCAGCACGCCGGUCUAAACCUAAGCGCCCAGGGGUCUGGGCCCAUCGCCCUUAGCACACCUGCACGUUGCGAACGCGGCCGAAAGCAGACCUAGCCUAGUGGCCUUCCAGUCCAAUCCGGCGCGCGCCACUCAGUCGCUGACGUCAUGAAGGCUUCGGCUGAUACCACGAUGCCGGGAUACCCAUAACUACUCCCGCGUAGAUGGUUAGUGCGUAUAGACCAAAUGGCCAGACUCAGAUCAAAUACCCAGAUCUCGUUAAGCGUGUUAAGUAUCCGCGAACGCCGACCAGGGCCAGGCCCACCUCUCUCCUAGGUGGUCGGAACCUGCCCUGCCGCUCCGCCUCAAAACUCCACUCGCGGGUGCUCCUCAAGCCGACCCGUCUUUAGUCACCACAUGUAUCAUGUGUAAAGUAUAUAGUAUAUACCCGUGAUCAACUCCCGAGUGAUCACGGUCCGAUAGUACGGCAUGGCAGACGAACAAGGAUGUAGGGCCACUGAUGAUAAACUAGCAUCCUAUACUAAGCAUUAGGAUUGCAGGUAAAGGUAACAACAGUAGUAGCAAGGACAGGCUAUGCAUCAGUAUAGGAUUAACGGGAAGCAGUAACAUGCUACACUACUCUAAUGCAAGCAGUAUAGAGAAGAGUAGGCGAUAUCUGGUGAUCAAAGGGGGGGGCUUGCCUGGUUGCUCUGGCAAGAGAGAGGGGUCGUCAACUCCGUAGUCGGACUGGGUAGCAGCGGCGUCGGUCUCGGUGUCUAGCGGAAGAAGAGGGGGGAAGAAACAAUGAAUAUAAUGCAAACAGAUGCAUAACGAUGCAUGACAAGACAAGUAACGGUGCUAGGGGUGCCCUAACGCGGUAUUAGGUGAUACCGGUGAAGGGGGAUAACAUCCGGGAAAAUACCCCCGGUGUUUCGCGUUUUCGGACAAAUGAACCGGAGGUGAAAUGUUGCAGGAUCACUAUGCUAGGGACACGUGGCGGACGAACGGGCUGCGUAUCCGAAUUCGUCUCGUCGUUCUGAGCAACUUUCAUGUAUAAAGUUUUUCCAUCCGGGCUACGGUUUAUUUUAUAUUGAUUUUCUAAAGUUUAAAUCAUUUUUAGAACUUAUUUAAUUAAUUUAAUCAACAUUAUCCAGAAUAGUGUCUGCUGAUGUCAUGAUGACGUCAGCAUGAUGUCAGUAGUUGACUUGGUCAACAUGACAGGUGGGUCCCAAUCGUCAUACUCUGUUUUAAUUAACUAACAGUUAAUUAGGUUAAUUAGUGAUUAGGUUAAUCUAAUUAUAAUUAAUUAACCUAAUUAAUUCCUUAAUUAAUUAAUUUUAUUAUUAUUAUUAUUUUCUCUUUUUUUUGAAUCGUUCUGGGCGUGGGGCCCCCUGUCAUUGGCCCAGAGGGGCUUUGCGGGUGCCGGGUGUCGGGCACCAGCCCGAGCGGUUCGGGCAUGCGGGCGAACCCGACGACGGGCGCCGCGGGCGUGGCCGAAGCCUGAGCGGCGACCAGCGCGCGGGGGCGGCACGGCGAGGCCCCCAGGCCGCAGCGGCAACAACCGAGGGCGGGGUGCGCGAACUGCGAUGGCGGAGGUGGUGUUCAGGGGCGGAGCAGAGCUCCGGCGCGCACGACCGUCGGCGACGAGGCGAGCAAGGGCGUGGCCGUGCAUAGUCCUGGUGAGGCGGGGCGGUGCGGGGUCGACGGCGACCAACAGGGACGCGACCACGGUGAGCGCGCACGGGAAGGAGGCCGCGGGCGUGCCCGCAGGCGAGGCGCAGGGCGCGGCCACGCACCGGGCGCGGACACGACCAACAGGGGUAGGCCCGUGCGCGGAGGCUUCUUGACGAGCAUGGGGAAGGGGCGGUGACCGGCGAGGCGGUGUGCAUGCGCGCGAGGCGACAUAGAGGAGAAGGAAGAGGGGAAAAGGCGGCUACUCACGGCGGGAAGUAGGGACUAGGCAGCGGGCGUGAGGAGGGUGAUGGGGACGAGCGACGUGGUGGUGGCGACGGGCGUCGGGGUGACUUCGGGGCUCGGCAACGGAGUGGCGGUGGGCGUCCAGCGAGGCGACGCCGUGGAGGAGGACGAAGGCGCGGCGGAAGGAAAACGCGAGGAGGAGGCCGGAGGUUGGUGCUCGGCGCCGGCGGGCGGCGACUGUCUCCGGGCGCGGGCGCUCCGAGAGGAGGGGAGCGAGUAGCGAGGGGAAGUGGGGGUCUUCGCCCCGAUCCAGAUUGGAUCGGGAGGGGGGAAGAGGGNNNNNNNNNNNNNNNNNNNNNNNNNNNNNNNNNNNNNNNNNNNNNNNNNNNNNNNNNNNNNNNNNNNNNNNNNNNNNNNNNNNNNNNNNNNNNNNNNNNNNNNNNNNNNNNNNNNNNNNNNNNNNNNNNNNNNNNNNNNNNNNNNNNNNNNNNNNNNNNNNNNNNNNNNNNNNNNNNNNNNNNNNNNNNNNNNNNNNNNNNNNNNNNNNNNNNNNNNNNNNNNNNNNNNNNNNNNNNNNNNNNNNNNNNNNNNNNNNNNNNNNNNNNNNNNNNNNNNCUUGUGGCCUGCUGGGCCAAAGCCCAGGGGGCAAGGGGGGGUUCUCCUUUUCUUUUUCUUUUUUUUUGGUUUUGUUUUCUGUUUUUUUGUGUUUUCUUUCUCUUAUUUAUUUUAUGUUCUGUUCUAUUUCAUUUUAAAUCAUUUAGACAUUCUAUAAGAUAUGUUUGCUGCACUAUAAUUACCUAUGCCAUUUUUGGCACAGCCCGAACAUUUUAGUUUAAUUUUUUGAAAUUUUUUAUAAUUUAACUUUAUUUUAAUGUUGUAAUUUGACUCGGUUUUGGACUAACGGUAGAUUAUCAAUAGUAACCGGGGUGACGUGGCAUGAUUAUCGUUGGAUUACUGUAGCUUGAUUACCCGGGCAUUACAUUUCUAGGGAUAGAAACUUCCAAUUCAAGUUUUUCUUCAUAAGAUUGCAUCAAGGCAUCAACGAUAUGUUUAGUAAACGCUUUAUUUUGACUAUAAGCAUGAGGAGAAUUUAGCACGGAUUGCAACAAGGAAAUACAAUCAAUCAAAGAGCAAUUUUCAUAGUUAAAUUCCAUUAAAUCCAUAAUAGUGGGUUUAGCCACAUCUAGGGUUUUAAUUUCUUCAAUCCCACUUUUAUCAAAUUUAGCGUCAAGAUCAAAAUACUCCGAAUUUUUAGAACUCCUUCUAGGUAAAGGUGGAUCAUGUUCAGUCCCAUAAUUAUCAAGAUUCAUAUUGCAAAACAAAGAUUUAAUAGGGGACACAUCAAUAACUUUUAGAUCCUCAUCAUUAUUUUCAUAGGAACUAGAAGAACACACUUUUAUAAAGGCAUCUUUCUUAGCACGCAUCCUAGCAGUUCUUUCUUUGCACUCCUCAAUGGAAAUUCUCAUGGCUUUGAGAGACUCAUUGAUAUCAUGCUUAGGUGGAAUAGAUCUAAGUUUCAAAGAAUCAACAUCAAGAGCAAUUCUAUCAACGUUCCUAGCCAAAUCAUCAAUCUUAAGCAAUUUUUCUUCAAUCAUAGCAUUAAAAUUCUUUUGAGAAGAAAUAAAUUCUUUAAUAUUAGAUUCAAAAUCAGAGGACAUCUUAUUAUAAUUUCCACAAGAAUUGUUGUAGGGAUUACCAUAAUUAUUAGAGGGAUUACUAGGAUAAGGCCUAGGAUUGAAAUUUCCUCUAUACGCGUUGUUACCAAAAUUGUUCCUACCAACAAAAUUCACAUCCAUAGAUUCAUUAUUAUUCUCAAUCAAAGUAGACAAGGGCAUAUCAUUAGGAUCAUAAGAAACAUGCUUAUUAGCAAAUAAUUUCAUAAGUUCAUCCAUCUCUCCACUCAAAACAUUAAUUUCUUCUAUCGCAUGCACCUUUUUAUUAGUAGAUCUUUCAGUAUGCCAUUGAGAAUGAUUAACCAUAAUAUUAUCUAGGAUUUUAGUAGCUUCUCCAAAAGUGAUUUCCAUAAAAGUGCCUCCCGCGGCCGAAUCUAAAAGAUUUCUAGAAGCAAAAUUCAAUCCAGCAUAAAUUUUUUGUAUAAUCAUCCACGAAUUUAAACCAUGAGUAGGGAAAUUACGUAUCAUUAAUUUCAUUCUCUCCCAAGCUUGUGCAACUUGUUCAUGAUCAAGUUGCUUAAAAUUCAUAAUAUCGUUUCUAAGAGAGAUGAUCUUAGCGGGAGGAAAAUAUUUAGAGAUAAAAGCAUCUUUGCACUUGUUCCAUGAAUCAAUACUAUUUUUAGGCAAAGAUGAAAACCAAGCUUUAGCAUGAUCUCUAAGCGAAAAAGGAAAUAGCUUCAAUUUAAAAAUAUCAUUAUCGACAUCUUUCUUCUUUUGCAUGUCACGCAAAUCAACGAAGCUAUUAAGAUGGGUAGCGCCAUCUUCACUAGGAAGGCCGGAGAACGGAUCUUUCAUGACAAGAUUCAGCAAAGCAGUAUUAAUUUCACAAGAUUCAGCAUCGGUAAGAGGAGCAAUCGGAGUGCUAAGGAAAUCUUUAUUGUUGGUAUUGGUGAAGUCACACAAUUUAGUAUUAUCUUGAGCCAUCGCGACAAGCAAGCAAACUAACACACAAGCAAACAAAAAGGCAAACGGGCAAAAAGAGGCAAAUAGAGAAAGAGAGGGAGGAUAGAGAGAGAGAGGGCGAAUAAAACGGCAAGGGUGAAUUGGGGGAGAGGAAAACAAGAGGCAAAUGGAAAAUAAUGUAAUGUGGGAGAUAGGGAUUGUGAUGGGUACUUGGUAUGUUGACUUUUGCGCAGACUCCCCGGCAACGGCGCCAGAAAUUCUUCUUGCUACCUCUUGAGCACUGCGUUGGAUUUCCCCGAAGAGGAGAGGAUGAUGCAUCAAAGUAAUGUAAGUAUUUCCCUCAGUUUUUGAGAACCAAGGUAUCAAUCCAGUAGGAGGCUACGCUCGAGUCCCUCGUACCUACACAAAACAAUAGCUCAACGCAACCAACGCGCUUAGGGGUUGUCAAUCCCUUCACGGUCACUUACGAAAGUGAGAUUUGAUAGAGAUGAUAAAUAAUAUUUUUGGUAUUUUUGGUAUAGAGAUGCAAAGUAACAAGUAAAAGCAAAGCAAUAAUAAAGUGAUGGAGAUUGAUAUGAUGAGAAAGAGACCCGGGGGCCAUAGGUUUCACUAGUGGCUUCUCUCAAGAGCAUAAGUAUUCUACGGUGGGUCAACAAAUUACUGUUGAGCAAUUGACAGAAUUGAGCAUAGUUAUGAGAAUAUCUAGGUAUGAUCAUGUAUAUAGGCAUCACGUCCGAGACAAGUAGACCGACUCCUGCCUGCAUCUACUACUAUUACUCCACUCAUCGACCGCUAUCCAGCAUGCAUCUAGAGUAUUAAGUUAAAAACAGAGUAACGCCUUAAGCAAGAUGACAUGAUGUAGAGGGAUAGUUUCAUGCAAUAUGAUAAAAAACCCAUCUUGUUAUCCUCGAUGGCAACGAUACAAUACGUGCCUUGCUGCCCCUUCUGUCACUGGGAAAGGACACCGCAAAAUCGAACCCAAAGCUAAGCACUUCUCCCAUGGCAAGAACAACCAAUCUAGUAGGCUAAAUAAAACUGAUAAUUCGAAAAGACUUGCAAAGAUAACCAAUCAUACAUAAAAGAAUUCAGAGAAGAUUCAAAUAUUAUUCAUAGAUAGACUUGAUCAUAAACCCACAAUUCAUCGGUCUCAACAAACACACCACAAAAAGAAGAUUACAUCGAAUAGAUCUCCACGAGAGAGGGGGAGAACAUUGUAUUGAGAUCCAAAAAGAGAGAAGAAGCCAUCUAGCUACUAACUAUGGACCCGUAGGUCUGAAAUAAACUACUCACACUUCAUUGGAGGGGCUUGGAUGAUGAUGUAGAAGCCCUCCGUGAUCGAUGCCCCCUACGGCGGAGCUCCGGAACAGGCCCCAAGAUGGGAUCUCAUGGAUACAGAAAGUUGCGGCGGUGGAAUUAGGUUUUUGGCUCCGUAUCUGAUCGUUUGGGGGUACGUAGGUAUAUAUAGGAGGAAGAAGUACGUCAGUGGAGCUUCGAGGGGCCCACGAGGCAGGGGGCGCGCCCUCCACCCUCGUGACUGCCUUGUGGCUUUCUUGACGGAGGGUCCAAGUCUCCUGGGUCUUAUUUGAUGAGAAAAUCGCGUUCCCGAAGGUUUUAUUCCAUUUGGACUCCGUUUGAUAUUAUGUUUCUCCGAAACACUGAAAUAGGCAAAAACAACAAUUCUGGGCUGGGCCUCCGGUUAAUAGGUUAGUCCCAAAAAUAAUAAAAAAUGGAAAAUAAAGCCUAAUAUAGUCCAAAACAGUAGGUAAUAUAGCAUGGAGCAAUCAAAAAUUAUAGAUACAUUGGAGACGUAUCACCCAUCAUCGUCCAGCAAGCCUACGAUGGAAUUACUCACGCACGGCGGUGAGCAUCAUGAAAUUGGUGAUGGAGGAAGGUUGAUGAUGAUGAUGGCAACGGAUUCCCCUCUGUGGAGCCCCAAACAGACUCCAGAUCAGCCCUCCCGAGAGACAUUAGGGCUUGGCGGCGGCUCCGUAUCGUAAAGCGCGAUGAAUCCUUCUCUUUGAUUUUUUAUCCCUGAACAUGAAUAUAUAUAGUUGGAGUUGACAUCAAUGGAGCCUCAGGGGGCCCACGUGGCAGGGGGCGUGCCCCAGGGGGGCGUGCUACCUCUUGAGCAUGUGUUGGUUUUCCCUUGAAGAGGAAAGGGUGAUGCAACACAGUAGCAUAAGUAUUUCCCUCAGUUUUUGAGAACCAAUGUAUCAAUCUAGUAGGAGGUAACACGCAAGUCGUCUAGUACCUGCACAAACAAACAAGAACCUUGCAACCAACGCAAUAAAGCGGUUGUCAAUCCCUUCACGACCACUUACGAAAGUGAGAUCUGAUAGAGAUAAUAAGAUAAAUAUUUUUGGUAUUUUUAUGAUGUAGAUUGCAAAAUAAAGAUUGCAAAAUAAAUGGUAAUAGAAAUAGCAAGUGGAUAUGAAAAUAAUAUGAUGGAAGAUAGACCCGGGGGCCAUAGGUUUCACUAGUGACUUCUCUCAAGAUAGCAAAUUCUACGGUGGGUGAACAAAUUACUGUCGAGCAAUUGAUAGAAAAGCGGAUAAUUAUGAGAAUAUCUAGGCCUGAUCAUGUAUGUAGGCAUCACGUCCGCGACAUGUAGACCGAAAAGAUUCUACAUCUACUAUUAUUACUCCACACAUCGACCGCUAUCCAGCAUGCAUCUAGAGUAUUAAGUUCAUAAGAACAGAGUAAUGCAUUAGGCAAGAUGACAUGAUGUAGAGGGAUAAACUCAAGCAAAAUGAUAUAAACCCCAUCUUUUUAUCCUCGAUGGCAACAAUACAAUAUGUGCCUUGCUGCCCCUGCUGUCACUGGGAAAGGACACCACAAGAUUGAACCCAAAUCUAAGCACUUCUCCCAUUGCAAGAAAUAUCAAUCUAGUAGGCCAAACCAAACUGAUAAUUCGAAGAGACUUGCAAAGAUAUUUAAAUCAUGCAUAAAAGAUUUCAGAGAAGAAUCAAAUAUUGUUCAUAAUUAAUAUUGAUCAAAAACCCACAAUUCAUCGGAUCUCGACAAACACACCGCAAAAAGAAUUACAUCGAAUAGAUCUCCAAGAGAAUCGAGGAGAACUUUGUAUUGAGAUCCAAAGAGAGAGAAGAAGCCAUCUAGCUAAUAACUAUGGACCCGAAGGUCCGUCGUAAACUACCCACACAUCAUCGAAGAGGCCAUGGUGUUGAUGUAGAAGCCCUCCGUGAUCGAUCCCCCCUCAGGCAGAGCACCGGAAAAAGCCCCAAGAUGGGAUCUCAUGGGUACAGAAGGUUGCGGCUGUGGAAAUAGGGUUUCGUGGUGCUCCUGGAUGUUUUCGGGGUAUAUGGGUAUAUAUACGAGGAAGAAGUACGUCGGUGGAGCUGCGAGGGGCCCACGAGGGUGGUGGGCGCCUACCCCCUGGGCGCACCCUCCUUCCUCGUGGCCUCCUCGCUUCUUUCUUGACGUCCACUCCAAGUCUCCGGGAUCAAGUUUGUUCCAAAAAUAACUCUCCCGAAGGUUUCAUUGCGUUUGGACUCCGUUUGAUAUUCGUUUUCUUCGAAACACUGAAAUAGGCAAGAAAACAUCAAUUUGGGCUGGGCCUCCAGUUAAUAGGUUAGUCCCAAAAAUAAUAUAAAAGUGUAUAUUAAAGCCCAUAAACAUCCAAAACAGAUAAUAUAAUAGCAUGGAACAAUCAAAAAUUAUAGAUACGUUGGAGAUGUAUCAGCAUCCCCAAGCUUAAUUCCUGCUCGUCCCCGAGUAGAUAAAUGAUAAAACUAGAAUUUUUGAUGUGGAAUGCUACCUAGCAUAAUUCUCAAUGUAAUUUUCUUUAUUGUGGCAUGAAUGCUCAGAUCCGAAAGAUUCAAGACAAAAGUUUAAUAUUGACAUAAAAAUAAUAAUACUUCAAGCAUACUAACAAAGCAAUCAUGUCUUCUCAAAAUAACAUGGCCAAAGAAAGUUAUCCCUAUAAAAUCAUAUAGUCUAGCUAUGCUCUAUCUUCACCACACAAAGUAUUUAAAUCAUGCACAACCCUGAUGACAAGCCAAGCAAUUGUUUCAUACUUUUGGUGUUCUCAAACCUUUUCAAUCUUCACGCAAUAUAUGAGCGUGAGCCAUGGACAUAGCACUAUAGGUGGAAUAGAGUGGUGGUUGUGGGGAAGACAAAAGGGAGAAGAUAGUCUCACAUCAACUAGGCAUAUCAACGGGCUAUGAAGAUGCCCAUCAAUAGAUAUCAAUGUGAGUGAGUAGGGAUUGCCAUGCAACGGAUGCACUAGAGCUAUAAGUGUAGGAAAGCUCAACAAAAGAACUAAGUGGGUGUGCAUCCAACUUGCUUGCUCACGAAGACCCAGGGCAUUUUUAGGAAGCCCAUCACUAGAAUAUACAAGCCAAGUUCUAUAAUGUAAAAUUCCCACUAGUAUAUGGAAGUGACAACAUAUGAGACUCUCUAUCAUGAAGAUCAGGGUGCUAUUUGAAGCACAAGUGUGGUAAAAGGAUAGUAGCAUUGUCCCUUCUCUCUUUUUCUCUCAUUUUUUUGGGCCUUGUCUUUUUUAUGGCCUUUCUCUUUUUUUACUCCGGAGUCUCAUCCCGACUUGUGGGGGAAUCAUAGUAUCCAUCAUCCUUUCCUCACUUGGGACAAUGCUCUAAUAAUGAUGAUCAUCACACUUUUAUUUACUUACAACUCAAAAAUUACAACUCGAUACUAGAACAAAAUAUGACUCCAUAUGAAUGCCUCCGGUGGUGUACCGGGAUGUGCAAUGAAUCAUGAGUGACAUGUAUGAACGAAUUAUGAACGGAGGCUUUGGCACAAAUACGAUGUCAACUACAUGAUCAUGCAAAGCAAUAUGACAAUGAUGUAACGUGUCAUAACAAACGGAACGGUGGUAAGUUGCAUGGCAAUAUAUCUCGGAAUGGCUUUGGAAAUGCCAUAAUAGGUAGGUAUGGUGGCUGUUUUGAGGAAGAUAUAAGGUGGGUGUAUGGUACCGGCGAAAGUUGCGCGGUACUAGAGAGGCUAGCAAUGAUGGAAGGGUGAGAGUGCGUAUAAUCCAUGGACUCAACAUUAGUCAUAAGAACUCACAUACUUAUUGCAAAAAUAUAUUAGUUAUCGAAACAAAGUACUACGCGCAUGCUCCUAGGGGGAUAUAUUGGUAGGAAAAGACCAUCGCUCGUCCCUGACUGCCAGUCAUAAGGAAGACAAUAAAUAAAUAAAUCAUGCUCCGACUUCAUCACAUAACAGUUCACCAUAUGCGCAUGCUACGGGAAUCACAAACUUUAACACGAGUAUUUCUCAAAUUCACAACUACUAAGCUAGCAUGACUCUAAUAUCACCAUCUUUAUAUCUCAAAAUAAUCAUCAAGUAUCAAACUUCUCAUAGUAUUCAAUGCACUUUUUAUGAUAGUUUUUAUUAUACCCAUCUUGGAUGCCUAUCAUAUUAGGACUAAUUUUAUAGCCAAAGAAAAUUACCAUGUUGUUCUAUAAGACUCUCAAAAUAAUAUAAGUGAAGCAUGAGAGAUCAAUAAUUUCUAUAAAAUAAAACCACCACCGUGCUCUUAAAAAGGUAUAAGUGAAGCACUAGAGCAAAAUUAUCUAGCUCAAAAGAUAUAAGUGAAGCACAUAGAGUAUUCUAAUAAAUUCCGAUUCAUGUGUGUCUCUCCAAAAGGUGUGUACAGCAAUGAUGAUUGUGGUAAACUAAAAAGGAAAGACUCAAAUCAUACAAUACGCUUCAAGCAAAACACAUAUCAUGUGGUGAAUAAAAAUAUAGCCUCAAGUAAAGUUACCGAUAGACGAAGACGAAAGAGGGGAUGCCUUACGGGGCAUCCCCAAGCUUAGGCUUUUGGUUGUCCUUGAAUUUUACCUUGGGGUGCCUUGGGCAUCCCCAAGCUUAGGCUCUUGCCACUCCUUAUUCCAAAAUCCAUCAAAUCUUUACCCAAAACUUGAAAACUUCACAACACAAAACUCAACAAAAAAUCUCAUGAGCUACGUUAGUAUAAGAAAACAAACCACCACUUCAAGGUACUGUAAUGAACUCAUUAUUUAUUUAUAUUGGUGUUAAACCUACUGUAUUCCNNNNNNNNNNNNNNNNNNNNNNNNNNNNNNNNNNNNNNNNNNNNNNNNNNNNNNNNNNNNNNNNNNNNNNNNNNNNNNNNNNNNNNNNNNNNNNNNNNNNNNNNNNNNNNNNNNNNNNNNNNNNNNNNNNNNNNNNNNNNNNNNNNNNNNNNNNNNNNNNNNNNNNNNNNNNNNNNNNNNNNNNNNNNNNNNNNNNNNNNNNNNNNNNNNNNNNNNNNNNNNNNNNNNNNNNNNNNNNNNNNNNNNNNNNNNNNNNNNNNNNNNNNNNNNNNNNNNNNNNNNNNNNNNNNNNNNNNNNNNNNNNNNNNNNNNNNUUCAUCAAAAUAAGCAAACAACACACGGAAAACAGAAUCUGUCAAAAACAGAAUAGCCUGUAGUAAUCUGUAGGUUUCGAAUACUUCUGUAACCCCAAAAAUGCUGAAAUAAAUUGGUAGACGUGGGUAAUUUGUUUACUAAUCAUUUGCAAAAAUAAUCAACCUAAUCGCACUCUCCAUUAAAAAAUGGCAGCAAAUCUCGUGAGCGCUAAAGUUUCUAUUUUUUACAGCAAGAUCGCAAAGACUUCCCCCAAGUCUUCCCAAAGGUUCUACUUGGCACAAACACUAAUUAAAAGCAUAAAACCACAUAUAAACAGAAGCUAGAUGAAUUAUUUGUUACUAAACUGGAACAAAAAAAGAAACAAAAAUAAAAUUGGGUUGCCUCCCAACAAGCGCUAUCGUUUAGCGCCCCUAGCUAGGCAUAAAAACAAUAAUAGAUCUAGGUGUUGCUAUGAUAAUGAUAAGGUAAAUCGUGAAAACUCAUCUCAUACUCCCUAUGUUCAGCAGAAAGAUUUCUUUGUGGCAUGCAAAAGUAAUCAAAAUGGCUAAAUUUAAUGGGACAAAAGUCCCCAAGAUCAAGCUCGGGAGGUAUUGGUUCCUCCUUUGGCCCCUCAUAUUGCACAACCAAUUCAUCAUUAUAAGCAUUCUUUUGGCAAAAAGUCAUGAGCCUUCGUUCAAGGGAAAAACCUAACCCAUUGUUCUGGAUAGCAAAAUUAUCAUUAAGUUCAGAGAUCCUGUCAACAAGAACAUCGGUAGGAACCUUCUUUCUAAGGUUUUUGUUAAAAGCACCAUGAUCUAAAGACCGUAAGCGCAUUAUGUCCUCUUGAUAAAAAAAGAUUGCUUCUAUGGGAGGACGACCAGCAUCCACACUAUAAUGCGCAAAAAUUUCAUUGGCUUCUUUUAUUAUAAAUCUGAACUCAUGAGCUAAAAGGAUGGUAGCUGCUCGCUUAACAGAAGAAUGCUCAAUAUUAGAAAAUUCUAGAAAGAUCCUCUAUAUGCAAGGAUGCAUAUGGAUAAAUUGUCUUUCAAGUUCAACCACAAGCUACGAUAUAGCAUCCGCAAGACUACUAGUUUUAUGAAGAAUAGACCCGCUCAUGGUGGGCAAAGCAUCGGCACAAGUAAAGAAAUCUUGAAUAACUCAUUUUCCAAUAAUAUUACCACCACCAAUCCGAAACUUUUUAGUGUGUAAAAUAGUAGGUUCUUCAUCAGGAUCAUCAAAAGCAUCAAAGUUUUCCAUGUUAUUACCAGUAUCCUUAUCAAUGAUAACCUCCCCAAUUUUAGACAUGAUGGCAGCAAGUUGCACAAAGAACGGGCACACAAAAGGCAAGAAAAGGAGCAACAAAGACGAGGUGAGUGGAAAUAGAGGGCGAAUAAAACGACAAGGGUAAAGUGGGGGAGAGGAAAACGAGAGGCAAAUGGCAAAUAAUGUAAUACAUGGGAUACGAGUUUGUGAUGGGUACUUGGUAUGUCUUGACUUGAUGCAACCUCCCUGGCAACGGUGCCAGGAAUUCUUCUUGCUACCUCUUGAGCAUUCGUUGGUUUUCCCUUGAAGAGGAAAGGGUGAUGCGGCACAGUAGCGUAAGUAUUUCCCUCAGUUUUUGAGAACCAAGGUAUUAAUCCAGUAGGAGGUAACACGCAAGUCACCUAGUACCUGCACAAACAAACAAGAACCUCGCAACCAACGUGAUAAAGGGGUUGUCAAUCCCUUCACGGUCACUUACGAAAGUGAGAUCAGAUAGAGAUAAUAAGAUAAAUAUUUUUGGUAUUUUAUGAUAUAGAUUGGAAAAUAAAGGUUGCAAAAUAAACGGUAAUAGAAAUAGCAAGUGGAUAUGAAAAUAAUAUGAUGGAAGAUAGACCCGGGGGCCAUAGGUUUCACUAGUGACUUCUCUCAAGAUAGCAAAUUCUACGGUGGGUGAACAAAUUACUAUCGAGCAAUUGAUAGAAAAGCGAAUAAUUAUGAGAAUAUCUAGGCAUGAUCAUGUAUAUAGGCAUCACAUCCGCGACAAGUAGACCAAAACGAUUCUACAUCUACUACUAUUACUCCACACAUCGACCGCUAUCUAGCAUGCAUCUAGAGUAUUAAGUUCAUAAGAACAUAGUAACACAUUAGGCAAGAUGACCUGAUGUAGAGGGAUAAAGUCAAGCAAUAUGAUAUAAACCCCAUAUUUUUAUCCUCGAUGGCAACAAUACAAUACGUGCCUUGCUUCCCCUGCUGUCACUGGGAAAGGACACUGCAAGAUUGAGCGCAAAGCUAAGCACUUCUCCCAUUGUAAGAAAGAUCAAUCUAGUAGGCCAAACCAAGCUGAUAAUUUGAAGAGACUUACAAAGAUAUUUAAAUCAUGCAUAAAAGAUUUCAGAGAAGAAUAAAAUAUUGUUCAUAGAUAAUCUUGAUCAUAGACCCACAAUUCAUCGAAUCUCAACAAACACACCGUAAAAAGAAUUACAUUGAAUAGAUCUCCAAGAGAAUCGAAGAGAACUUUGUAUUGAGAUCCAAAGAGAGAGAAGAAGCCAUCUAGCUAAUAACUAUGGACCCAAAGGUCUAUGGUAAACUAAUCACACAUCAUCGGAGAGGCCAUGGUGUUGAUAUAGAAGCCCUCCAUGAUCGAUUCCCCCCGGGAGAGCGCUGGAAAAGGCCCCAAGAUGGGACCUCACGGGUACAGAAGGUUGCGGUGGUGGAGAUAGGGUUUCGUGGUGCUCCUGGAUGUUUUUGGGGCAUAUGGGUAUAUAUAGGAGGAAGAAGUACAUCGGUGGAGCUGCGAGGGGCCCACGAGGGUGGGGGCGCGCCUGCCCCGUAGGUACGCCCUCCUGCCUCAUGGCCUCCUCGCUUCUUUCUUGACGUCCACUCCAAGUCUCCUGGAUUACGUUUGUUCCAAAAAUAACUCUCCUGAAGGUUUCAUUCCAUUCGGAUUCCGUUUGAUAUUCCUUUUCUGUGAAACACUGAAAUAGGUAAAAAAACAGCAAUUUGCACUGGGCCUUUGAUUAGCAGGUUAGUCCCAAAAAUAAUAUAAAAAGGUAAAUUAAAGCCCAUUAAACAUCCAAAACAGAUAAUAUAAUAGCAUGGAACAAUCAAAAAUUAUAGAUACGUUGGAGAUGUAUCAGGGCGCCUUGCACCCUCGUGGACAGGGCGUGGGUCCCCUAGUGUUGAUUCUUUUGCUAGUAUUUUUUAUUAAUUCUAAACGUGUCUCCGUUGAUUUUUAGGUCAUUCCGAGAACUUUUAUUUCUGCACAAAAAUAACACCAUGGCAAUUCUGCUGAAAACAGCAUCAGUCCGGGUUAGUUCCAUUCAAAUCAAGCAAGUUAGAGUCCAAAACAAGUUCAAAAGUGUUUGGAAAAGUAGAUACGAUGGAGACGUAUCACUGCCGCUAGUGUGCGACUGCUGCUACCUAGGCCACUGCCCAUGGGCCAACCCCCCCUUGGUUUAAUUAGAUGCUAACCCCAUAAUUAAGUUAAGCACUAACCCCUGCUAAACAUUUUUAGCUAAGCCUCUGUUAAGAUAAAACAUUAGUUAAAAAGAAGAAGAAAACAAAACUAAAUGAAAAGAAUCUGAGGCAAUGACAUUUGGGGCCCACAUGUACUAUUCAUUUGGAUAAGGCAUACACAGUCAGCUAUUGAGUUUGACUAUCAACCCACUAUCAGCCGCACAUGCAAAAGUAUGCGUACACUUUCGGGUACCCAUAGCAAUUAGGCAUUAACAUGAUUUGGUUUAAAAUAAAUCCGUAAUUCUAGAAAAUGUUUAAAACUUUGAAAAUUAAUAGAAAACAAACUGUAACUCCGAUGAAAAUAACUUAUAUAUGAAAAUCGAUCGGAAAAAUAUGACGAAUCCGAAUGUGCCAUCCGUUCAUCUGUCAGGUGCCUCUAGCAUAGCGAACAUGGAUCCGUCUCCUUCGAUUCAUCUGUCCGAAAAAUGCCAAACGUUGGGAAAACAUUCCUGGAUGUUUUUCCUCUUCGUCUGUAUCCCCUAGCACUGCGUUAGGUCAAACCUAGCAUCGUGUAUUGCCAUGUUAUGCUUUGUGAUGCUUUCUUUGUUUGCUUUAUAUUUAUUGUUUCUCCCCCCUCUUCUUCUCUGAUAGACCUCGAGACCGCUGCUGAUACCCGUGUGAUUGACUACAUCGACGAUGACCCCUCCUUUUUAGCAGAGCUUCUAGGCAAGAAAACCCCCGUUGAUCAUUCUUGUAUCGUCCAUUCCAUUCUCUCUCAUUCUUGCAUUAGAUUUUGCUACUGUACUUGAUUGCUCCUAUUCUGAUGCAUAGGAUGUUGUUGUAACCUGCUCUUGUACCUUACCUGCUUAUCCUAAGCUGCUUAGUGUAGGUUGGUUAGUGAUCCAUCAAUGACCCCUCACCUUGUCCCAGUUGCCCCCGCUUUAUGUUUGAUGACUUGAUCAACAUGAUCGAUGUCCAGGGUCUAAUACAUCACAUCACACCGCCUUAGUUAUACGACUCUGCAGAGCUACUAUCAAGUGCCGAUGGUGACACCUCAUAUAGCACUUCCGAUGUUAACUCUGUAGUGUAGCUAAUCGGUCAUGAGCUUCGAGGGUGAUUCCUCCUUCACCACUUUCGAUAUCUACUCGGUCAUGCAACCCUUCAAGUGUGGACCAUCGAGGGUGAUUCCUCCAAGUUCACCUUGACAUUUACAUUGAGUGGGAAUCCAUCAAGGGUGAUUCCUCGGGUUUCUCCCUUGUUGUUUUGGACACACGGUUACUUUGACUUUACCAAAGAACCAUAUUGAAGUCGGGUCGGCCCCGAGGGGUACCCGUGAGUUGAUGAGUAGUCGGGUUUACCGGGAGGCUGGAGGGUACCCAUGAUAUUUCUACGUGGCACGUCCGGGCAUUCCGGGUCCUUGUUGUAAGUCCAUCAGAUGGGGCGACGGGGUCACAUGAUCGUGAGUCUCUGCUUGAUACCCCAUGCUCCCAAGACACUAAUGGAUUUGGGUAUUUGAUCUGAGUUGGCCACUGGCCUAUAUGCAGAAACCACCACGCGGGACAAGAUAUGGGAAACCGGCGUCGUAGUAUCAGUUGAAGCUCUUCAAACGUCAAGGACUGAGUUGCGCGUGCUGAGUUGGACUAGAACGCCUGCGCUUGUGUAAGGGGGCUAGGUCUGCUCGCCGGCAGCGUACACAAUAUGCAGGAGUGCAAAUGGCGAUGGGCCCAAGACCCCUACGCGCUUAGGAUGUAGACCGGCGUGCUGGCCUCUCUGUUGAGCCUAGGUAGGGCUGCGACGUGUUGAUCUUCCGAGGCCGGGCAUGAACCAAGAAAGUGUGUCCGGCCAGAGAUGAUUGAGCGUGUCGGGUAAUGUGGUGCACCCCUGCAGGAUGUUUAUAUAUUCGAAUAGCUGUGUCCCCAGUAAAAGGAUGACUUGGAGUUGUAUCUUGAUCUAUACAACUAGAACUGGAUACUGAGAUGUGAAAUGGAUAUGAUGGCUUCAGGAUGAAGGAAAUAUGCCCUAGAGGCAAUAAUAAAGUUAUUAUUUAUUUCCUUAUAUCAUGAUAAAUGUUUAUUAUUCAUGCUAGAAUUGUAUUAACCGGAAACAUAAUGCAUGUGUGAAUACAUAGACAAACAAAGUGUCACUAGUAUGCCUCUACUUGACUAGCUCGUUAAUCAAAGAUGGUUAUGUUUCCUAACCAUGAACAAAGAGUUGUUAUUUGAUUAACGGGAUCACAUCAUUAAGUGAAUGAUCUGAUUGACAUGACCCAUUCCAUUAGCUUAGCACCCGAUCGUUUAGUAUGUUGCUAUUGCUUUCUUCAUAACUUAUACAUGUUCCUAUGACUAUGAGAUUAUGCAACUCCCGUUUACCAGAGGAACACUUUGUGUGCUACCAAACGUCACAAUGUAACUGGGUGAUUAUAAAGGAGCUCUACAGGUGUCUCCAAAGGUAUAUGUUGGGUUGGCGUAUUUCGAGAUUAGGAUUUGUCACUCCGAUUGUCGGAGAGGUAUCUCUGGGCCCUCUCGGUAAUGCACAUCAUUUAAGCCUUGCAAGCAUUGCAACUAAUGAGUUAGUUGCGGGAUGAUGCAUUACAGAACGACUAAAGAGACUUGCCGGUAACGAGAUUGAACUAGGUAUUGGAAUACAGACGAUCGAAUCUCGGACAAGUAACAUAUUGAUGACAAAGGGAACAACGUAGGUUGUUAUGCGGUCUGACCGAUAAAGAUCUUUGUAGAAUAUGUAGGAGCCAAUAUGAGCAUCCAGGUUCCGCUAUUGGUUAUUGACCAGAGACAUGUCUCGGUCAUGUCUACAUUGUUCUCGAACCCGUAGGGUCCGCACGCUUAAGGUUACGACGACAGUUAUAUUAUGAGUUUAUGCAUUUUGAUGUACCAAAGUUUGUUCGGAGUCCCGGAUGAGAUCACGGACAUGACGAGGAGUCUCGAAAUGGUCGAGACAUAAAGAUUGAUAUAUUGGAAGCCUAUGUUUGGGCAUCAGAAGUGUUCCGAGUGAAAUCAGGAUUUUACCGGAGUACCGGGAGGUUACCGGGACCCCCCGGGAGCUAUAUGGGCCUUAGUGGGCCUUUGUGGAAAAGAGAAGGGGCAGCCCUAGAUGGGCCGCGCGCCCCUCCCCUCCCUUGGUCCGAAUAGGACAAGGAGAGGGGGCCGGCCUCUCUCUCUCUUUUCCCCCCUCCGCGAAUCCUAUUCCAACUAGGAUUGGGGGGGGGGGGGAAUCCUACUCCCAGAGGGAGUAGGACUCUCCUGGCGCGCCUCUCCUAGGCCGGGCGCACCCUCCCCUUUAGUCCUUUAUAUACGGAGGCAGGGGCACCCCAGAAAGACACAAGUUGAUCCACGUGAUCUUAUUCUUAGCCGUGUGCGGCGCCCCCUUCCACCAUAGCCCUCGAUAAUAUUGUAGCGGAGUUUAGGCGAAACCCUCCUGCAGUUGUGCAUCAAGAUCGUCACCACGCCGUCGUGCUGACGGAACUCUUCCCCAACACUUUGCUGGAUCGGAGUCCGGGGAUCGUCAUCGAGCUGAACGUGUGCUAGAACUCGGAGGUGCCGUAGUUUCGGUGCUUGAUCGGCCGGGCCGUGGAGACGUACGACUACAUCAACCAAACGCUUCCGUUCUCGAUCUACAAGGUACGUAGAUCAUACUGUCCCCUCUCGUUGCAAUGCAUCACCAUGAUCUUGCGUGAGUGUAGGAAAUUUUUUGAAAUUACUACGAAACCCAACAGUGGCAUCCGAGCCUAGGUUUUAUAUGUUGAUGUUAUUUGCACGACUAGAACACAAGUGAGUUGUGGGCGAUAUAAGUCAUACUGCUUACCAGCAUGUCAUACUUUGGUUCGGCAGUAUUGUUGGACAAAGCGGCCCGGACCGACAUUACGCGUACGCUUACGCGAGACCAGUUCUCGCGACGUGCUUUGCACAUAGGUGGCUUGCGGGUGACAGUUUCUCCAACUUUAGUUGAAUCGAGUGUGGCUACGCCCGGUCCUUGCGAAAGUUAAAACAACACCAACUUGACAAACUAUCGUUGUGGUUAUGAUGCGUAGGUAAGAUUGGUUCUUGCUUAAGCCCGUAGCAGCCACGUAAAACUUGCAACAACAAAGUAGAGGACGUCUAACUUGUUUUUGCAGGGCAUGUUGUGAUGUGAUAUGGUCAAGACAUGAUGCUAAAUUUUAUUGUAUGAGAUGAUCAUGUUUUGUAACCGAGUUAUCGGCAACUGGCAGGAGCCAUAUGGUUGUCGCUUUAUAGUAUGCAAUGCAAUCGCGCUGUAAUGCUUUACUUUAUCACUAAACGGUAGCGAUAGUCGUGGAAGCACAAGCUUGGCGAGACGACAACGAUGGUACGAUGGAGAUCAAGGUGUCGCGCCGGUGACUAUGGUGAUCACGACGGUGCUUCGGAGAUGGAGAUCACAAGCACAAGAUGAUGAUGGCCAUAUCAUAUCACUUAUAUUGAUUGCAUGUGAUGUUUAUCUUUUAUGCAUCUUAUCUUGCUUUGAUUGACGGUAGCAUUAUAAGAUGAUCUCUCACUAAUUAUCAAGAAGUGUUCUCCCUGAGUAUGCACCAUUGCGAAAGUUCUUCGUGCUGAGACACCACGUGAUGAUCGGGUGUGAUAGGCUCUACGUUCAAAUACAACGGGUGCAAAACAGUUGCACACGCGGAAUACUCAGGUUAUACUUGACGAGCCAAGCAUAUACAGAUAUGGCCUCGGAACAUGGAGACCGAAAGGUCGAGCGUGAAUCAUAUAGUAGAUAUGAUCAACAUAGUGAUGUUCACCAAUGAAACUACUCCAUCUCACGUGAUGAUCGGACAUGGUUUAGUUGAUUUGGAUCACAUAAUCACUUAGAGGAUUAGAGGGAUGUCUAUCUAAGUGGGAGUUCUUUAAGUAAAUUAACUGAACUUAAAUUUAUCAUGAAACUUAGUACCUGAUAAGUAUCUUGCUUGUUUAUGCUUGUUUGUAGAUAGAUGGCUCGUGCUGUUGUUCUGUUGAAUUUUAAUGCGUUCCUUGAGAAAGCAAAGUUGAAAGAUGAUGGUAGCAAUUACACGGACUGGGUCCGUAACUUGAGGAUUAUCCUCAUUGCUGCACAGAAGAAUUACGUCCUGGAAGCACCGCUGGGUGCCAGGCCUGCUGCUGGAGCAACGCCGGAUGUUAUUAACGUCUGGCAGAGCAAAGCUGAUGACUACUCAAUAGUUCAGUGUGCCAUGCUUUACAGCUUAGAAUCGGGACUUCAACGACGUUUUGAACAUCAUGGAGCAUAUGAGAUGUUCCAGGAGUUGAAGUUAAUAUUUCAAGCAAAUGCCCGGAUUGAGAGAUAUGAAGUCUCCAAUAAGUUCUAUAGCUGCAAGAUGGAGGAGAACAGUUCUGUCAGUUAGCAUAUACUCAAAAUGUCUGGGUAUAAUAAUCACUUGAUUCAAUUGGGAGUUAAUCUUCCAGAUGAUUGCGUCAUUGACAGAAUUCUCCAAUCACUGCCACCAAGCUACAAGAGCUUCGUGAUGAACUAUAAUAUGCAAGGGAUGAAUAAGACUAUUCCCGAGCUCUUCGCAAUGCAGAAAUCUGCGGAGGUAGAAAUCAAGAAGGAGCAUCAAGUGUUGAUGGUCAACAAGACCACUAGUUUCAAGAAAAAGGGCAAAGGAAAGAAGAAGGGGAACUUCAAAAAGAACGGCAAGCAAGUUGCUACUCAAGAGAAGAAACCCAAACCUGGACCUAAGCCUGAAACUGAGUGCUUCUACUGCAAGCAGACUGGUCACUGGAAGCGGAACUGCCCCAAGUAUUUGGCGGAUAAGAAGGAUGGCAAGGUGAACAAAGGUAUAUGUGAUAUACAUGUUAUUGAUGUGUACCUUACUAAUGCUCGUAGUAGCACCUGGGUAUUUGAUACUGGUUCUGUUGCUAAUAUUUGCAACUCGAAACAGGGACUACGGAUUAAGGGAAGAUUGGCUAAGGACGAGGUGACGAUGCGCGUGGGAAACGGUUCCAAAGUCGAUGUGAUCGCAGUCGGCACGCUACCUCUACAUCUACCUUCGGGAUUAAUAUUAGACCUAAAUAAUUGUUAUUUGGUGCCAGCGUUAAGCAUGAACAUUAUAUCUGGAUCUUGUUUGAUGCCAGACGGUUAUUCAUUUAAAUCAGAGAAUAAUGGUUGCUCUAUUUAUAUGAGUAAUAUCUUUUAUGGUCAUGCACCCUUGAAGAGUGGUCUAUUCUUGUUGAAUCUCGAUAGUAGUAACACACAUAUUCAUAAUGUUGAAGCCAAAAGAUGCAGAGUUGAUAAUGAUAGUGCAACAUAUUUGUGGCACUGCCGUUUAGGCCAUAUCGGUGUAAAGCGCAUGAAGAAACUCCAUACUGAUGGACUUUUGGAACCACUUGAUUAUGAAUCACUUGGUACUUGCGAACCGUACCUCAUGGGCAAGAUGACCAAAACACCGUUCUCCGGUUCUAUGGAUAGAGCAACAGAUUUGUUGGAAAUCAUACAUACAGAUGUAUGUGGUCCGAUGAAUAUUGAGGCUCGUGGCGGAUAUCGUUAUUUUCUCACCUUCACAGAUGACUUAAGCAGAUAUGGGUAUAUCUACUUAAUGAAACAUAAGCCUGAAACGUUUGAAAAGUUCAAAGAAUUUCAGAGUGAAGUUGAAAAUCAUCAUAACAAGAAAAUAAAGUUUCUGUGAUCUGAUCGUGGAGGAGAAUAUUUGAGUUACGAGUUUGGUGUACAUUUGAAAAAUUGUGGAAUAGUUUCGCAACUCACGCCACCCGGAACACCUCAGCGUAAUGGUGUGUCCGAACGUCGUAAUCGUACUUUACUAGAUAUGGGGCGAUCUAUGAUGUCUCUUACUGAUUUACCGCUAUCAUUUUGGGGAUACGCUCUAGAGACGGCCGCAUUCACGUUAAAUAGGGCACCAUCAAAAUCCGUUGAGACAACGCUUCAUGAACUGUGGUUUGGCAAGAAACCAAAGUUGUCGUUUCUGAAAAUUUGGGGCUGCGAUGCUUAUGUGAAAAAGCUUCAACCUGAUAAGCUCGAACCCAAAUCGGAGAAAUGUGUCUUCAUAGGAUAUCCAAAGGAGACUAUUGGAUACAUCUUCUAUCACAGAUCCAAAGGCAAGACUUUUGUUGCUAAAUUCGGAAACUUUCUGGAGAAGGAGUUUCUCUCGAAAGAAGUGAGUGGGAGGAAAGUAGAACUUGACGAGGUAACUGUACCUGCUCCCUUAUUGGAAAGUAGUACAUCACAGAAAACUGUUUCUGUGACACCUACACCAGUUAGUGAGGAAGCUAAUGAUGAUGAUCAUGAAACUUCAGAACAAGAUACUACUGAACCUCGUAGAUCAACCAGAGUAAGAUCCGCGCCAGAGUGGUACGGUAAUCCCGUUCUGGAAGUCAUGCUACUAGAUCAUGAUGAACCUACAAACUAUGAAGAAGCGAUGGUGAGCCCAGAUUCCGCAAAGUGGCUUGAAGCCAUGAAGUCUGAGAUGGGAUCCAUGUAUGAGAACAAAGUAUGGACUUUGGUUGACUUGCCCGAUGAUCGGCAAGCAAUUGAGAAUAAAUGGAUCUUCAAGAAGAAGACUGACGCUGACGGUAAUAUUACUGUAUACAAAGCUCGACUUGUCGCAAAAGGUUUUCGGCAAGUUCAAGGGAUUGACUACGAUGAGACCUUGUCACCCGUAGCGAUGCUUAAGUCUGUCCGAAUCAUGCUAGCAAUUGCCGCAUUUUAUGAUUAUGAAAUUUGGCAAAUGGAUGUCAAAACUGCAUUCCUGAAUGGAUUUCUGGAAGAAGAGUUGUAUAUGAUGCAACCAGAAGGUUUUGUCGAUCCAAAGGGAGCUAACAAAGUGUACAAGCUCCAGCGAUCCAUUUAUGGACUGGUGCAAGCCUCUCGGAGUUGGAAUAAACGUUUUGAUAGUGUGAUCAAAGCAUUUGGUUUUAUACAGACUUUUGGAGAAGCCUGUAUUUACAAGAAAGUGAGUGGGAGCUCUGUAGCAUUUCUGAUAUUAUAUGUGGAUGACAUAUUACUAAUUGGAAAUGAUGUAGAAUUUCUGGAUAGCAUAAAGGGAUACUUGAAUAAGAGUUUUUCAAUGAAAGACCUCGGUGAAGCUGCUUACAUAUUAGGCGUUAAGAUAUAUAGAGAUAGAUCAAGACGCUUAAUUGGACUUUCACAAAGCACAUACCUUAACAAAGUUUUGAAGAAGUUCAAAAUGGAUCAAGCAAAGAAAGGGUUCUUGCCUGUGUUACAAGGUGUGAAGUUGAGUAAGACUCAAUGCCCGACCACUACAGAAGAUAGAGAGAAAAUGAAAGACGUUCCCUAUGCUUCAGCCAUAGGAUCUAUCAUGUAUGCAAUGUUGUGUACCAGACCUGAUGUGUGCCUUUCUAUAAGUCUAGCAGGGAGGUACCAAAGUAAUCCAGGAGUGGAUCACUGGACAGCGGUCAAGAACAUCCUGAAAUACCUGAAAAGGACUAAGGAUAUGUUUCUCAUAUAUGGAGGUGACAAAGAGCUCAUCGUAAAAGCUUACGUUGAUGCAAGCUUUGACACUGAUCCGGACGAUUCUAAAUCGCAAACCGGAUACGUGUUUACAUUAAACGGUGGAGCUGUCAGUUGGUGCAGUUCUAAACAAAGCAUUGUAGCGGGAUCUAUAUGUGAAGCGGAGUACAUAGCUGCUUCGGAAGCAGCAAAUGAAGGAGUCUGGAUGAAGGAGUUCAUAUCCGAUCUAGGUGUCAUACCUAGUGCAUCGGGUCCAAUGAAAAUCUUUUGUGACAAUACUGGUGCAAUUGCCUUGGCAAAGGAAUCCAGAUUUCACAAAAGAACCAAGCACAUCAAGAGACGCUUCAAUUCCAUCUGGGAUCUAGUCCAGGUGGGAGACAUAGAGAUUUGCAAGAUACAUACGGAUCUGAAUGUUGCAGACCCGUUGACUAAGCCUCUUCCAUGAGCAAAACAUGAUCAGCACCAAGGCUCCAUGGGUGUUAGAAUCAUUACUGUGUAAUCUGAUUAUUGACUCUAGUGCAAGUGGGAGACUGAAGGAAAUAUGCCCUAGCGGCAAUAAUAAAGUUAUUAUUUAUUUCCUUAUAUCAUGAUAAAUUUUUAUUAUUCAUGCUAGAAUUGUAUUAACCGGAAACAUAAUGCAUGUGUGAAUACAUAGACAAACAAAGUGUCACUAGUAUGCCUCUACUUGACUAGCUCGUUAAUCAAAGAUGGUUAUGUUUCCUAACCAUGAACAAAGAGUUGUUAUUUGAUUAACGGGAUCACAUCAUUAAGUGAAUGAUCUGAUUGACAUCACCCAUUCCAUUAGCUUAGCACCCGAUCGUUUAGUAUGUUGCUAUUGCUUUCUUCAUAACUUAUACAUGUUCCUAUGACUAUGAGAUUAUGCAACUCCUGUUUACCAGAGGAACACUUUGUGUGCUACCAAACGUCACAACGUAACUGGGUGAUUAUAAAGGAGCUCUACAGGUGUCUCCAAAGGUAUAUGUUGGGUUGGCGUAUUUCGAGAUUAGGAUUUGUCACUCCGAUUGUCGGAGAGGUAUCUCUGGGCCCUCUCGGUAAUGCACAUCAUUUAAGCCUUGCAAGCAUUGCAACUAAUGAGUUAGUUGUGGGAUGAUGCAUUACAGAACGAGUAAAGAGACUUGCCGGUAACGAGAUUGAACUAUGUAUUGGAAUACCGACGAUCGAAUCUCGGACAAGUAACAUACCGAUGACAAAGGGAACAACGUAUGUUGUUAUGCGCUCUGACCGAUAAAGAUCUUCGUAGAAUAUGUAGGAGCCAAUAUGAGCAUCCAGGUUCCGCUAUUGGUUAUUGACCGGAGACAUGUCUCGGUCAUGUCUACAUUGUUCUCGAACCCGUAGGGUCUGCACGCUUAAGGUUACGAUGACAGUUAUAUUAUGAGUUUAUGCAUUUUGAUGUACCGAAGUUUGUUCGGAGUCCCGAAUGAGAUCGCGGACAUGACGAGGAGUCUCGAAAUGGUCAAGACAUAAAGAUUGAUAUAUUGGAAGCCUAUGUUUGGAUAUCGGAAGUGUUCCGAGUGAAAUCGGGAUUUUACCGGAGUACCGGGAGGUUACCGGAACCCCCCGGGAGCUAUAUGGGCCUUAGUGGGCCUUAGUGGAAAAGAGAAGGGGCAGCCCUAGAUGGGCCGCGCGCCCCUCCCCUCCCUUGGUCCGAAUAGGACAAGGAGAGGGGGCCGGCCUCUCUCUCUCUUUUCCCCCCUCCGCGAAUCCUAUUCCAACUAGGAUUGGGGGGGGGAUUCUACUCCCAGAGGGAGUAGGACUCUCCCGGCGCGCCUCUCCUAGGCCGGCCGCACCCCCCCCCCCUUUAGUCCUUUAUAUACGGAGGCAGGGGCACCCCAGAAAGACACAAGUUGAUCCACGUGAUCUUAUUCUUAGCCGUGUGCGGCGCCCCCUUCCACCAUAGCCCUCGAUAAUAUUGUAGCGGAGUUUAGGCGAAGCCCUGCUGCAGUUGUGCAUCAAGAUCGUCACCACGCCGUUGUGCUGACGGAACUCUUCCCCGACACUUUGCUGGAUCGGAGUCUGGGGAUCGUCAUCGAGCUGAACGUGUGCUAGAACUCGGAGGUGCCGUAGUUUCGGUGCUUGAUCGGUCGGGCCGUGGAGACGUACGACUACAUCAACCAAACACUUCCGUUGUCGAUCUACAAGGUACGUAGAUCAUACUCUCCCCUCUCGUUGCAAUGCAUCACCAUGAUCUUGCGUGAGCGUAGGACUUUUUUUGAAAUUACUACGAAACCCAACACAGGAUUGCUUUCUCGCAGGGAGUCAAGAAAGGAUCUCUGGGCGUUAGUGCUACAACAUGCUUGCUUAUUAUAAAAUUCUAUUUUGUACUCUUCUAAAUGUUGUAAGAUGCUAGUCUUUGAUAGGCUAGACUUCCCCUAUAUUCUAGCAUUAUACAGUUUAGUCCACAGAUAUAGUCCAUUCCUUUGAUACUGAUGCAUACUUUGUUCAGAUCUAAUGUAAGUCUUGCGAGUACUUUGGAUGAGUACUCAUGGUUGAUUUGCUUCCUCUUUUCCCCUAUACCCGAUUGCUGCAAUCAGAUGGUGGAUCCAGGAGACAGACACCUCCACCGAUGGCUACUACUACCCCAAGUGUGCGUACUACGUGGAGGCCACCAACGACCAGGAGUAGUUAGGAGGCUCCCAGGCAGGAGGCCUUGCCUUUUCGAUCAUCGUAGAUGUUUGUGCUAGCCUUCUUAAGGCAAACUUGUUUAACUCAUGUCUCUACUCAGAUGGUGUUGCUUGUGCUAACUUGUUUGUAUUCGAGCUGAUGUGUUCGAGCCCUCGAGGCCCCAGGCUUAUAAUAUGAAGCUUGUAUGACUUUAAUUUAUGUCUAGAGUUGUGUUGUGAUAUCUUCACGUGAGUCCCUGAUCUUGAUCGUACACAUUUGCGUGUAUGAUUAGUGUACGAUUGAAUCGGGGGCGUCACAACUUUGACCAUAAAAAGAGUGCUUAAAAUUUUCUCGGAUUUCACUAGGCCACACAUCAAUUUCAACAAAAGCACUUUAUUCCUGAUGUCUGCUAGAACUACGUCGGUAUUUCCCCAAAGAGGAAGGGAUGAUGCAGCACAACGACUAUAGGUAUUUCGCUCAGUGAUGAGACCAAGGUUAUCGACCCAGUAGGAGAACCAAGGAACACUACAUAAACAACACCUGCACACAAAUAACAAAUACUCGCAACCUCACGUGUUAAAGGGGUUGUCAAUCCCUUUCGGGUAACGGCACCAAAAAUUGGUAGACAGACGUGAUAAAAAUAUGAUAGAUUGGAUAAAUAUAUCUCGAAUAAAAUAAAUUGCAACAAGGUAUUUUUGUAUUUUUGGUUUAAUAGAUCAGGAAAAGGAAAAUACAUUGCAAACGCAAAUAUAUUAAAGAAGAGACCCCAGGGCCGUAGUUUUCACUAGUGGCUUCUCUCGAGAAAAAAACAAACAGUGGGUGAACAAAUUACUAUUUGGCAAUUGAUAGAACUUCAAAUAAUCAUGAUGAUAUCCAGGCAAUGAUCAUUAUAUAGGCAUCACGUCCAAGAUUAGUAGACCGACUCCUACUUGCAUCUACUACUAUUACUCCACACAUCGACCGCUAUCCAGCAUGCAUCUAGUGUAAGUUCAUGGAGAAACGGAGUAAUGCCAUAAGAACGAUGAUAUGAUGUAGACAAGAUCUGUUUAUGUAUAAAUAGACCCCAUCAUUUUAUCCUUAGUAGCAACGAUACAUACAUGUCGGUUCCCCUUCUAUCACUCGGAUCAAGCACUGUAAGAUCAAACCCACUACAAAGCAUCUCUUUCCAUUGCAAGAUAAAUAGAUCAAGUUGGCCAAACAAAACCCAAAUAUCAGAGAAGAAAUACGAGGUUAUAAGCAAUUAUGCAUAUAAGAGAUCAAAGAAACUCAAAUAACUUUCAUGGAUGAAAAGAGAUAGAUCUGAUCAUAAAAUCAAAGUUCAUCGGAUCCCAACAAACACACCGCAAAAGAGAAUCAAAUGAGAGAGUUGAAGCCAUCUAGCUACUAACUACGGAUCCGAAGGUCUACAAAGAACUACUCAUGCAUCAUUGGAGAGACACCAAUGGAAGUGGUGAACCCCUAUGUGAUGGUGUCUAGAUUGGAUCUGGUGGUUCUGGACUCUGUGGCGGCUGGAAUUGAUUUUCGUCGGGUCCCCUAGGGUUUCUAGAAUAUUGCUACCUCUUGAGCACUACGUUGGUUUUCCCUUGAAGAGGAAAGGGUGAUGCAGCAAAGUAGCGUAAGUAUUUCCCUCAGUUUUUGAGAUCCAAGGUAUCAAUCCAAUAGGAGACUACACGCAAGUCCCUCGUACCUACACAGAUAAAUACGAACCUCGCAACCAAUGCGAUAAAGGGGUUGUCAAUCCCUUCACGGUUACUUACGAGAGUGAGAUCUGAUAGAGAUAAUAAUAAAAAGAUAAAUAUUUUUGGUAUUUUUAUGAUAUAGAUUGAAAGUAAAGAUUGCGAAAUAAAAUAGAUUGGAAACUUAUAUGAUAAAAGAUAGACCCCGGGGGCCAUAGGUUUCACUAGUGAUUUCUCUCAAGAUAGGAUAAGCAUUACGGUGGAUGAACAAAUUACUGUCGAUUAAAAGCAUGAAGCAUGUUUUGCGGCACACACCAAAAUAAAAGGUUAGGUUGCUUUUACAAAAACUAGUCAAUGUGUACGUGCAAUGCACAUUAAUUUGGAAGUAUAUUAAGUGCAUGCGGAUAUUAAGUAGGAUAUUAUUCGCAUGUUAUUAUGUGAUUAGCACUAUAUUUGGCAUGAAAUUAACUGCACGCUAACGUGUUGAGCGCUCGACAUUGAAGUAGUCUAGGUCGUUGGAUUGGCAUGAUUUAAUGGCCGCGAUUAAUUGGAUCUUCCCCUUGUUGGGGAAUGUAGUAAUUUCAAAAAAUUGCCUAUGCACACACAAGAUCAUGGUGAUGCAUAGCAACGAGAGGGGAGAGUGUUGUUCACGUACCCUCGUAGACCGAAAGUGGAAGCGUUAGCACAACGCGGUUGAUGUAGUCGUACGUCUUCACGAUCCAACCGAUCAAGUACCGAACGUAUGACACCUCCGAGUUCAGCACAUGUUCAGCCCGAUGACAUCCCUCGAACUCUGAUCCAGCUGAGUGUUGAGGGAGAGCAUGACGGCAUGGUGACGAUAAUGAUGUUCUACUAAAGCAGGGCUUCGCCUAAGCACCUCUAUAGUAUUAUCGAGGUGGACUAUGGUGGAAGGGGGCACCUCACACGGCUAAAAGAUCAAACGAUCAAUUGUUGUGUCUCUAGGGUGCCCCCUGCCCCCGUAUAUAAAGGAGCAAGGGGGAGGUGCGGCCGGCCAAGAGGGGCGCGCCAGGAGGAGUCCUACUCCCACCGGGAGUAGGACUCCCUCCCUUUUCCUUGUUGGAUUAGGAGUGGAGGGGGAAAGAGGAGGGAGAGAGGAAGGAAAGAGGGGGGCGCCACCCCCUCUCCUUGUCCUAUUCGGACUAGGGGGAGGGGCGCGCGGCCCUGCCCUGGCUGCCUCUCCUCUUCUCCACAAAGGCCCACUAUGGCCCAUUAAGCCCCUCGGGGGGUUCCGGUAACCCCUCGGUACUCUGGUAAAAUCUCGAUUUCACCUGGAACACUUCCGAUAUCCAAAUAUAGGCUUCCAAUAUAUCAAUCUUCAUGUCUCGACCAUUUUGAGACUCCUCGUCAUGUCUGUGAUCACAUCCGGUACUCCGAACAACCUUCGGUACAUCAAAAACCAUACACUCAUAAUAUAACCGUCAUCGAAACUUUAAGAGUGCGGACCCUACAGGUUCGAGAACUAUGUAGACAUGACCGAGACACGUCUCCGGUUAAUAACCAAUAGCGGAACCAGGAUGCUCAUAUUGGCUCCCACAUAAUCUACGAAGAUCUUUAUCAGUCAGACCGCAUAACAACAUACGUUGUUCCCUUUGUCAUCGGUAUGUUACUUGCCCGAGAUUCGUUCGUCGGUAUCUCGACACCUUGUUCAAUCUCGUUACCGACAAGUCUCUUUACUCGUUCUGCAAUACAUCAUCCCGCAACUAACUCAUUAGUUGCAAUGCUUGCAAGGCUUAAGUGAUGUGCAUUACCGAGAGGGCCUAGAGAUACCUCUCCGACAAUCGGAGUGAGAAAUCCUAAUCUCGAAAUACGCCAACCCAACAAGUACCUUCGGAGACACUUGUAGAGCACCUUUAUAAUCACCCAGUUACGUUGUGACGUUUGGUAGCACACAAAGCAUUCCUCCGGUAAACGGGAGUUACAUAAUCUCAUAGUCAUAGGAACAUGUAUAAGUCAUGAAGAAAGCAAUAGCAACAUACUAAACGAUCGAGUGCUAAGCUAACAGAAUGGGUCAAGUCAAUCACAUCAUUCUCCUAAUGAUGUGAUCCCGUUAAUCAAAUGACAACUCAUGUCAAUGGCUAGGAAACAUAACCAUGUUUGAUCAACGAGCUAGUCAAGUAGAGGCAUACUAGUGACACUCUGUUUGUCUAUGUAUUCACACAAGUAUUAUGUUUCCGGUUAAUACAAUUCUAGCAUGAAUAAUAAACAUUUACCAUGAUAUAAGGAAAUAAAUAAUAACUUUAUUAUUGCCUCUAGGGCAUAUUUCCUUCAGUCUCCCACUUGCACUAGAGUCAUUAAUCUAGAUUACACAGUAAUGAUUCUAACACCCAUGGAGCCUUGGUGCUGAUCAUGUUUUGCUCGUGGAAGAGGCUUAGUCAACGGGUCUGCAACAUUCAAAUCCGUAUGUAUCUUGCAAAUUUCUAUGUCUCCCACCUGGACUAGAUCCCGGAUGGAAUUGAAGCGUCUCUUGAUGUGCUUGGUUCUCUUGUGAAAUCUGGAUUCCUUCGCCAAGGCACUUGCACCAGUAUUUUCACAAAACAUUUUCAUUGGACCCGAUGCACUAGGUAUGACACCUAGAUCGGAUAUGAACUCCUUCAUCCAGACUCCUUCAUUUGCUGCUUCCGAAGCAGCUAUGUACUUCGCUUCACUUGUAGAUCCCGCCACGACACUUUGUUUAGAACUGCAUCAACUGAUAGCUCCACCGUUCAAUGUAAACACGUAUCCGGUUUGUGAUUUAGAAUCAUCCAGAUCAUUGUCAAAGCUUGCAUCGACGUAACCAUUUAUGACUAGCUCUUUGUCACCUCCAUAAAUGAGAAACAUAUUGUUAGUCCUUUUCAGGUAUUUCAGGAUGUUCUUGACCGCUGUCCAGUGAUCCACUCCUGGAUUACUUUGGUACCUCCCUGCUAAACUUAUUGCAAGGCACACAUCAGGUCUGGUACACAGCAUUGCAUACAUGAUAGAGCCUAUGGCUGAAACAUGGGGAACAUCUUUCGUCUUCUCUCUAUCUUCUGCAGUGGUCGGGCAUUGAGUCUUACUCAACUUCACACCUUGUAACACAGGCAAGAACCCUUUCUUUGCUUGAUCCAUUUUGAACUUCUUCAAAACUUUGUCAAGGUAUGUGCUUUGUGAAAGUCAAAUUAAGCGCCUUGAUCUAUCUCUAUAGAUCUUGAUGCCCAAUAUAUAAGCAGCUUCACCAAGGUCUUUCAUUGAAAAACUCUUAUUCAAGUAUCCCUUUAUGCUAUCCAGAAAUUCUAUAUCAUUUCCAAUUAACAAUAUGUCAUCCACAUAUAAUAUUAGAAAUGCUACAGAGCCCCCACUCACUUUCUUGUAAAUACAGGCUUCUCCAAAAGUCUGUAUAAAACCAAAUGCUUUGAUCACACUAUCAAAGCGUUUAUUCCAACUCCGAGAGGCUUGCACCAGUCCAUAAAAGGAUCGCUGGAGCUUGCACACUUUGUUAGCUCCCUUUGGAUCGACAAAACCUUCUGGUUGCAUCAUAUACAACUCUUCUUCCAGAAAUCCAUUCAGGAAUGCAGUUUUGACAUCCAUUUGCCAAAUUUCAUAAUCAUAAAAUGCGGCAAUUGCUAACAUGAUUCGGACAGACUUAAGCAUCGCUACGGCAAGGUUGGAAAAAGCGGUAGGCGUAAGCGAGGAGAAUGGCCUUCGCCUAGUGCCUAGGCGGUGCCUAAGCGCGCUAGGCGCGGCCUAGGCGGUAAUAUUUUUUUACUCGUAAUGUAUUUGUGAUUAUUAUAUGGGUGUUGAUAUUAGUUUAGGCCAUAUAAAUAAGUUAAUUACCAUCUACUGUCAUUGGAAUAUAACCCGUUUGGCAUAUUAGUGCAGUAUGUGGCAUCAUUUCUUGCUUGGGUAGGCAAUUCCUUGCUUGCCCUGCCUAGACUCCAUUUAUGCCCUAGGCGAGGCGUUUGGCCAUUGCCUAGCGCCUAGGCGUGCCUAAGCGCCUCCUAGGCACUGCCUUUUCCAACAGAGGCUACGGGUGAGAAAGUCUCAUCGUAGCUUGUCGAAAACCUUUUGCAACAAGUCGAGCUUUAUAGACAGUAAUAUUACCGUCAGGGUCAGUCUUCUUCCUGAAGAUCCAUUUAUUCUCAAUGGCUUGCUGAUCAUUGGGCAAGUCAACCAAAGUCCACACUUUGUUCUCAUACAUGGAUCCCAUCUCAGAUUUCAUGGCAUCAAGACAUUUUGCGGAAUCUGGGCUUACCAUCGCUUCUUCAUAGUUCGUAGGUUCGUCAUGGUCUAGUAACAUAACCUCCAGAACAGGAUUACCGUACCACUCUGGUGCGGAUCUUACUCUGGUUAACCUACGAGGUUCAGUAACAACUUGAUCUGAAGUUCCAUGAUCAUCAUCAUUAACUUCCUCACUAAUUGGUGUAGGCGUCACAGGAACCGGUUUAUGUGAUGAACUACUUUCCAAUAAGGGAGCAGGUACAGUUACCUCAUCAAGUUCUACUUUCCUCCCACUCACUUCUUUCGAGAGAAACUCCUUCUCUAGAAAGGAUCCAUUCUUAGCAACGAAUGUCUUGCCUUCGGAUCUGUGGUAGAAGGUGUACCGAAUAGUUUCCUUUGGGUAUCCUAUGAAGACACAUUUCUCCGAUUUGGGUUCGAGCUUAUCAGGUUGAAGUUUUUCCACAUAAGCAUCGCAUCCCAAAACUUUAAGAAAUGACAACUUUGAUUUCUUGCCAAACCAUAGUUCAUAAGGCGCCGUUUCAACGGAUUUCGAUGGUGCCCUAUUUAACGUGAAUGCAGCCGUCUCUAAAGCAUAACCCCAAAAUGAUAGAGGUAAACCAGUAAGAGACAUCAUAGAUCGUACCAUAUCUAGUAAAGUACGAUUAUGAUGUUCGGACACACCAUUACGCUGUGGUGUUCGGGGUGGCGUGAGUUGUGAAACUAUUCCGCAUUGUUUCAAAUGUAUACCAAACUCGUAACUCAAAUAUUCUCCUCCACGAUCAGAUCGUAGAAACUUUAUUUUCUUGUUACGAUGAUUUUCAACUUCACUCUGAAAUUCUUUGAACUUUUCAAAUGUUUCAGACUUAUGUUUCAUUAAGUAGAUAUACCCAUAUCUGCUUAAAUCAUCUGUGAAGGUGAGAAAAUAACGAUACCCACUGCGAGCCUCAAUAUUCAUUGGUCCACAUACAUCAGUAUGUAUGAUCUCCAAUAAAUCAGUUGCUUGCUCCAUAGUUUCGGAGAACGGCAUUUUAGUCAUCUUGCCCAUGAGGCACAGUUCGCAAGUACCAAGUGAUUCAUAAUCAAGUGAUUCCAAAAGUCCAUCAGUAUGGAGUUUCUUCAUGCGCUUUACACCAAUAUGACCCAAAUGGCAGUGCCACAAAUAAGUUGCACUAUCAUUAUCAACUCUGCAACUUUUGGCUUCAACAUUAUGAAUAUGAUAUGUGUAUCACUACUAUCGAGAUUCAUUAAAAAUAGACCACUCUUCAAGGGUGCAUGACCAUAAAAGAUAUUAAUCAUAUAAAUAGAACAACCAUUAUUCUCUGAUUUAAAUGAAUAACCAUCUCGCAUCAAACAAGAUCCAGAUAUAAUGUUCAUGCUCAACGCUGGCACCAAAUAACAAUUAUUUAGGUCUAAAACUAAUCCGGAAGGUAGAUGUAGAGGUAGCGUGCCGACGGCGAUCACAUCGACUUUGGAACCGUUUCCCACGCGCAUCGUCACCUCGUCCUUGGCCAGUGUUCGCUUAAUCCGUAGUCCCUGUUUUGAGUUGCAAAUAUUAGCAACAAAACCAGUAUGAAAUACCCAGGUGCUACUGCGAGCUCUGAUAAGGUACACAUCAAUAACAUGUAUAUCACAUAUACCUUUGUUCACCUUGCCAUCCUUCUUAUCCGCCAAAUACUUGGUGCAGUUCCAUUUCCAGUGACCAGUCUACUUGCAGUAGAAGCACUCAGUCUCAGGCUUAGGUCUAGACUUGGGUUUCUUCUCUUGAGCAGCAACUUGUUUGUUGUUCUUCUUGAAGUUCCCCUUCUUCUUCCCUUUGCCCUUUUUCUUGAAACUGGUGGUCUUAAUGACCAUCAACACUUGAUGAUCCUUCUUGAUUUUACCUCCGCAGCCUUUAGCAUUGCGAAGAGCUCGGGAAUCGUCUUAUCCAUCCCUUGCAUGUUAUAGUUCAUCACGAAGCUUUUGUAGCUUGGUGGUAGUGAUUGAAGAAUUCUGUCAAUGACGCUAUCAUUCGGAAGAUUAACUCCCAGUUGAAUCAAGUGAUUGUAGUACCCAGACAUCUUGAGUAUAUGCUCACUGACAGAACUAUUCUCCUCCAUCUUGCAGCUCUAGAACUUAUUGGAGACUUCAUAUCUCUCAAUCCGGGCAUUCUUUUGAAAUACUAACUUCAACUCCUAGAACAUCUCAUGUGCUCCAUGACGUUCAAAACGUCAUGAAGUCCCGGUUCUAAGCCAUAAAGCAUGGCACACUGAGCUAUCGAGUAGUCAUCAACACGCGACUGCCAGGCAUUCACAAUGUCUGCAGUUGCUGGCACAGGUGGUACACCUAGCGGUGCUUCCAGGACAUAACUUUUCUGUGCAGCAAUGAGGAUACUCCUCAAGUUACGGACCCAGUCCGUGUAAUUGCUACCAUCAUCUUUCAACUUUGCUUUCUCAAGGAACGCAUUAAAAUUCAACGGAACAACAGCACGGGCCAUCUAUCUACAAACAACAUAGACAAGCAAGAUACUAUCAGGUACUAAGUUCAUGAUAAAUUUAAGUUCAAUUAAUCAUAUUACUUAAGAACUCCCACUUAGGUAGACAUCUCUCUAAUCCUCUAAGUGAUCACAUGAUCCAUAUCAACUAAACCAUAACCGAUCAUCACGUGAAAUGGAGUAGCUUUCAAUGGUGAACAUCACUAUGUUGAUCAUAUCUACUAAAUGAUUCAUGCUCGACCUUUUGAUCUUAGUGUUCCGAGGCCAUAUCUACAUAUGCUAGGCUCGUCAAGUUUAACCUGAGUAUUCUGCGUGUGCAAAACUGGCUUGCACCCGUUGUAGAUGGACGUAUAGCUUAUCACACCCGAUCAUCACGUGGUGUCUGGGCACGACGAACUUUGGCAACGGUGCAUACUCAGGGAGAACACUUUUAUCUUGAAAUUUAGUGAGAGAUCAUCUUAUAAUGCUACCGUCAAACAAAGCAAGAUAAGAUGCAUAAAAGAUAAAUAUCACAUGCAAUCAAUAUAAGUGAUAUGAUAUGGCCAUCAUCAUCUUGUGCUUGUGAUCUCGAUCUUCGAAGCACCGUCAUGAUCACCAUCGUCACCGGCGUGACACCUUGAUCUCCAUCGUAGCAUCAUUGUCGUCUCGCCAAUCUUAAGCUUCUACGACUAUCGCUAUUGCUUAGUGAUAAAGUAAAGCAUUACAAGGCAAUUGCAUUGCAUACAAUAAAGCAACAACCAUAUGGCUCCUGCCAGUUGCCGAUAACUCGGUUACAAAACACGAUCAUCUCAUACUAUAAAAUUUAGCAUCAUGCUUUGACCAUAUCACAUCACAACAUGCCCUACAAAAACAAGUUAGACGUCCUCUACUUUGUUGUUGCAAGUUUUACGUGGCUGCUACGGGCUAAGCAAGAACCGUUCUUACCUACGCAUCAAAACCACAAUGAUAGUUUGUCAAGUUGGUGUUGUUUCAACCUUCGCAAGGACAGGGCGUAGCCACACUCGGUUCAACUAAAGUUGGAGAAACUGACACCCGCCAGCCACCUGUGUGCAAAGCACGUCAGUAGAACCAGUCUCGCGUAAGCGUACGCGUAAUGUCGGUUCGGGCCGCUUCAUCCAACAAUACCGCCGAACCAAACACUACUAGGAAAAGGCAUGCUAGUGGCGCACCGAAUUUGCCUUCUAAUGGCGCACUACCGGUGCGCCACUGGCAUCACGCCAUUAGAAUUAAAUUCUAAUGGCGCACCACCGGUGCGCCAUUAGUAUCUGGUGUUCUAAUGGCGCACCACGUGGUGCGCCAUUAGUAUAGCCUGCAGUGCGCCAUUAGAAUGCCUCCCAGGGGGCCAUAUGUACCCAUGUGCUUUGGCAUUCUAAUGGCGCACCAGCAGUUAAUGCGCCAUUAGUUUGAGGAUCACAGUGCGCCAUUAGUGUCUUGUGUGGUGCACCAUUAGUAUGAAUAUUAGGUUUUAUUUUUUUUGCUUUUCUGAUUUUUGCACAGGUUACAAAAUAUAUUAUUGGACAGAAUAUAGACAGCAGCACACAGCAACAUCAGAUUCAUCGAAUACAAUAGAAGAUUAGUCUCCGAAUACAAUUCAUCAUAUUAGUCUCCGAAUUCAAAAGACCAAACGAAGAUAAAACAUUACAAGUCUCAAGACCGCGAGUAUCGAGUUUGCCUUCACAUUACAAGUCGAUAUCGAUCAUCUAAACUACCAUCACAUAGAAGAGAGCUGUGGUCAUCACGAUGAGCAUCAUCGCGAUCAAACUGGUCUUCAUCCGGUUCCUCCAACGCUCCCUCCUCUCCCCCUCUAGAUAGCGGGUGUAUCUACAUUCGGCCUCCGCCCUAGUGGUGUACCCUUUGUAACUGUUACCGCUGAAACAGUGAACCUGUCUCCGACACUCCUCCCAGUCGUCGUAGCCUCCGGGAACCUUACCCUUGUACACGACAUACGACGGCAUCUCUAUGCACAAGCCAAACAACAGACAAUACAUAAGCAAUAUGUAAGUAUGCAACAAAAGGAUUGGAAGAGAAAAGCAAGAUAUUAAUAGCACGAUUCAUGGUCCUACUAAUAAAUAACAUCGAUUACAUCUAAGUUGAACGACUGUCCAAACCAAAGAGACAUGCGAAUUCAUUAAAGUAUAAUUACAACAUGAGCCAAUCAAUGUUUCAGAACUACACAUCACUACUUUCGACUCGACUCAUCGGACAGGAAUGUGGAUGAAGCCGCCGUCUGCCGUGAUGGUCAUGAAAUCGCGGUCGUUGUCACCCUGCAUUUGUAGCAUUUCAUCUAUCUCACUGUUGGACGGUUGAUAUCUGAGGAAGAACUGCCCCGAGGUAUGAAGGACAUCUUGAUGGAUGAUGUCCGCAAACUCCGACUGGAUGCGACAGAAUUCUUGUCUGAGGUCCGCGUCCUGGACUGCCGACAAGCUCGCGGCCCAAUCUUUGAGAUUAUCUGGUAGCAGAAGUUGAUGAUGGUCCCUUACGAUCGCCCGCAUGUGAUGGAGGGCAUAGUAGGCAUCCUUCUGACCACCAGGCGGCUGCUUGACGCAGCAGAACUUCAUAUUGUAUGAGAACAUGUGCUUGCCGUACUUACGAACUGCCCUGGUGAAGGUGCCUCCAGAUUUGGCGUAGGCGGGGAGAACAUCAUCAAGAACUUUCUUGACAUUUGUGUAGUCUAUCUUGGAGUUAUGGUUCGGGUCUAAAUACGUGGCCAUGGAAUAUUUUGGGCUUAAGAGGAUGAGUGUGCAAUGUGUGUCACUGCAUAGAACACGGAAUGUUAGAAAAAAAGAACGAUCAAAAUCUAAUAAAUCAUAUGUUACGGGGCAGUUAAGGGAUGACUUACUCGGGAAAGUAAGCCACAAGGAAGUUAUCCUUAUCUGGGUUUGCCAUAAUGACGCCUUCGAGGUGUGAACUUGCAACUUGGCGGUCCCCAACGCUGCUCAAGUGCUUGGCACGCAUGUAGAAGGGGUCGACUAUCACGAUGUCCGGGGUCUUGUCUCUAAUGAUCCGCAUCUCCAUACUCAGCGAAAACAGCUGAACGAAGGUGUAGUGCAGCGGAUGAAGGUUAAACAUAGCAAAGAUGUCAUCAAACGACAGGACGAUCGUACCCCCGAUGUCGCCAUCCACAAAGCCCUUGCCCUCUGGCACCUUGGCCAUGAAAUCCAGGUAUGCCACAUCCUUCUCUCUGAGACGCCGCUUCUCCAAAGAAAGAACACUGUCGUGCAGACUCCGCAUAGCACCGGUUGCAGCAUUCAGCAUAUUUGGCGGUAGCAUCGCCCUACCCGCCACAUGCACCCUCCUCGAGAUAUCCUUAGGUGAAGGUGGCCCGUCCUGAGCACGGAUCGAACUCGGUGCCGGCUGGCUUGCACCGGCGCCCUUGUUAGUCUUUCGUUUCCGUCCCUUCUUCUUGUUCUCCUGUAAUGGGACCGAGUCCUGCUCACAGACCGCCUUCUUGAGCGUGUUGGGGCUGAUAAUAUUUCACACCUAAGCUAUCUGAGGCUCGGUGAAGGCGGGAGCUGGAGGCCUGAGAACUGAACGCCAGACGACGCCUGUUGCAAUUGGAUUUCUCCGCCGUACCAGCUAGAUCGCGGUCGUCUUGGUUGGGUUCUUGAGAAAGAGGCCCGCAGAACUCGUCAGCGUACCCAUGUUCGGCAAAGUACUUAUCAACUUUGGUAAAUGUACCGUCGUCAUUGUCGUCGCCGUCCGGAUCCUAUGCCAUAGGGCUGUCCAGAUCCUGUGCCAUAGGGAUGUCCGGCAGGUCCGGUAGCGUUGCGGGCGUUCUUGCCAUGGCUUGGCGCCGGCACAACUGGCGGUCUUGUCUGUGGCGUGGUGUCCCCCGCCCCCAAACGAAUCUGGCUCUUCGGCCAAAGCAGGGGCCAGUUUACGCAGGUGCUGAGGGUCAUCUCAUCUUCUUCGUCGGCCCCAGCGGGUCGAAUCAGAGGUAACAGCUCGUCGCAGCCUGGCAGCACCCGAACCACUUGAACCCUAUACAUUGUGGGUGGCAUCGGAUUACCGUGGAAUAUGGGGUUGCCCGGUUGAACGAUUCUGCCCUUGGCGACAUCGACCAACUCGGCACCCACGAAGUGCAGAAGAGUGCAAGGAACAUCGGCGGUGCCCUACGAAAACAUGUACAGGGCGUCAGGGAUGCCCAGUCAAAGGCAAGAAGAUGAAGUCAUCGGCCGAGAGGCUUAGUUACCGUGAUGCCGUCGAGCUCGGCUAAUGUCGAGGCACCGCCAACGGCGGGCGUGCAACUGACGGAGGGGGCGCUUGCUGGCGAGGUGCCGGCAGGCGUACACCCGGGUGCAUUAAGCUCCAGUGCCCGUGCCGGCGCCGGAGACACGAAUACCGCCUCCGCCGGAGACACCAAUGGCGCCGCCGCCGGAGACACCAAUGGCGCCGCCGGAGACACCAAUGGAGCCGCCGGAGACACCAAUGGAGCCGCCUGCGUGCUGUGCGAGUUGCUGGCCGUGAAGCUAGGAACCGGGGGAGGCCCCUGUUAGCCGCCCGCAAUCCACGUUGUCAGCCCAUGAAUCAACGUAGGCACCAUGGCGUUGAGCGUCGUUCCAAGUUGUUGUUGCACUUGCUCUUGGACAAGCUCCAGAAUCCGCGCCACUUGUGCCUUGAGUUCUUCAACCUCGCGCGUCUGGCUUUCCGAACUGGUCUUUUUCUCCUUCCGCACACCAGCGGUAUAGUAUGACCCCCUUUUUGUGGACAAGCAUUUGCCGGAGUGGGCGGCGCGGGAAGGCGGCGGGAGGCGGGGGAGGGGGUUCCGCCGAUCCGGCCGGAGGGGCGAGAGGUGGGAGGAGACGAGGCGGCGGCGCGGUCGGCUGGGUGCGUGGGGCACUCCUCCCUGGUCCGGACUGGCCACGCUGCUCGGGGAUGGCGAAGGAGGCGAGGGGGCAGCGAGGGGGACGACGAACACGGGGGGCAGCGGGUGAGAUCGAUGAGGCAGGGGAGAGAUUAGAGAGAUUGGUGAUUUAGUGUGGGGGGAAGCUUUCUAAUGGCGCACCACCCCCUCGUGCGCCAUAAGUACGACUAUUCUAAUGGCGCACUACCCCUCGGUGUGCCAUUAGAAUUUAGUGUGGGGGAAGCUUUCUAAUGGCGCACCACCCCCUCGUGCGCCAUAAGUACGACUAUUCUAAUGGCGCACCAUCCCUCGGUGCGCCAUUAGAAUUUUGUUUUAAUCACAACAGUAAUUUUUUUUAUAAAAACAGUAAUAAUUUUUUAAAAAAUAUGUUCAAAUUUGUUACUNNNNNNNNNNNNNNNNNNNNNNNNNNNNNNNNNNNNNNNNNNNNNNNNNNNNNNNNNNNNNNNNNNNNNNNNNNNNNNNNNNNNNNNNNNNNNNNNNNNNNNNNNNNNNNNNNNNNNNNNNNNNNNNNNNNNNNNNNNNNNNNNNNNNNNNNNNNNNNNNNNNNNNNNNNNNNNNNNNNNNNNNNNNNNNNNNNNNNNNNNNNNNNNNNNNNNNNNNNNNNNNNNNNNNNNNNNNNNNNNNNNNNNNNNNNNNNNNNNNNNNNNNNNNNNNNNNNNNNNNNNNNNNNNNNNNNNNNNNNNNNNNNNNNNNNNNNNNNNNNNNNNNNNNNNNNNNNNNNNNNNNNNNNNNNNNNNNNNNNNNNNNNNNNNNNNNNNNNNNNNNNNNNNNNNNNNNNNNNGGCGGUGGAGCGGGGGAGGGUGCGGGGAUCGAGAUCGAGAUGGAGGGGGAAUCGAGAUCGAGAUGGAGGGGGAUCGAGAUCAAGUGUCCUCAUGAAUUCAAAAAGUUCCCAUGAAAUUUAAAAAUAUUCAUGAUAUCAAAAAGUGCCCAUGAAAUACAAUCGAGAAAUGAAGACUACGAUUUAAAUACAAUCGAUCUUAGCUAGCUAUCUGUUCACAAUCUUCUUGCCCUUCUUUUUCGCAAAUGGAGUUCUUCUGUGGAACGGACAUCCUUUAGGUAGGGUGGUCCUGCUUCUUCUUGUGGUGUGCUGUUACUUCAUCGUCGUCGUCAUGUUCGAUCUUCGGGUCGCCGUACUUGUCGAAGUCUUGCUCAUUGGCUACUCCAUCCAUUCCGAUGAUCUUCCUUUUGCCUCUCCUCACGACAACAUGACUGGGCUUUGAUGGGUCGGCAAUGAAGAAGCAUUGGUCCACUUGGCAAGCCAGUACCCAUGUCUCAUUUUUCGCGGUGACAUUUGCGCCCACGGUCUUGGAUUUGGCUUCGGGUAUAACCAUGGUGGUGAAAUACCGGUCUUCUUUUAGGACGCUCUUGGCCCAUCUGACACGGAACAUCGGGACCUUCUCUCCAGCGUAGCUCAGCUCCCAGAUCUCCUCGAUCCUUCCGUAGUAUCUGUCCUUGUCGUUAUCGGUGUAGGAUUCCAUCAUUACCCCAGAGUUCUUAUAACCAUCGCUCUUCAUGUCCUUGUCCUCGGUGUAGAAUGUGUAGCCGUUGAUAUCGUACGCCUCAUAGGUCAUCAGGUUGUGCUCGGCGCCCUGUGACAAGGCGAAUAUGAGUUGUUCUUCCGCGGAAGAAUCUUUAUGUAAAGGGUACGACAGAAGCUUCUGCUUGAACCAAUGCGUGAAACAUGAUUUGUGCUCUUUGAGUAUAUCUCUGUCCGUCCUCUGUUGGCCUUGGUCAUUGUACGUCUUCUCAAUAAAGGUUUUGUGCUCUACCACCCAAGGAUCGACCACGUCUAUGUGUUGUAGUGCGACUAGGUUUGCUCUUUCAAAGUCGGCGAGUCGACCCUCGAAGUCGACAUGCAUUUCGCGGCGACCCUCAUGGUGACCCCAUCUAGCGAGCCUGCCGAGGUGCCUGUUGACGGACAGACCAACGGGGUUCUCGAUGCCUAGAUAAUUCGUGCAGUAGGAGAUGCACUCUUCGGUCAGAAAGCCCCUGGCUAUACUUCCCUCUAGACGUGACAUGUUGCGAACGUAUCCUUUGAUGACACCAUUCAUCCUUUCGAACGGCAUCAUGCUGUGCAGGAAUGUCGGCCCGAGUUGGAUGAUAUCCUCCACGAUAUGGACCAGCAGAUGCACCAUAACGUCGAAGAAUGCGGGCGGGAAGUACAUCUCAAGCUUGCAUAGUAUCACCACGAUCUCUUCCUGUAGCCUUCUGAGUUGCCUCACGCCAAUCGACUUCCGAGAGAUAACGUCGAAAAAGUUGCAUAGGGCAAAUAGUGUUUCACGGACUUGCGCGUCCAUGAUCCCACGGAUUGCAACUGGAAGUAUCUGCGUCAUCAGCAUGUGACAGUCGUGAGACUUCAUCCCGCUGAACUUCUGCUUCGCUGGGUCUAGGUAUCUGCUUAUCUUCCCCGCGUAACCAUAAGGAAGUUUUACUCCUAGGAGGCAGGUAAAAAACUGCUCGAUCUCCUCCUAACUUAGAGUGAAGCACGCGGGAGGGUAGUCAUUUCCGGUCUUCUUGGCCUUUUUGCCUUUGCGACGACUUUCUGUGUCCUGCUUCGCCUCAUCAUCAUCAUCAUCAUCAUCAUCAUCAUCAUCAUCAUCAUUGGCGUGAAGCUCCUACCUGAUGCCCAUUGAUUUCAAGUCUGCCGUUGCUUUCGACCCAUCUUUGGUCCUCUCUGGCAUGUUGAGCAGGGUACCAAGCAGACUCUCGCACACGUUCUUCGUGAUAUGCAUGACAUCAAGGCUGUGAAGCACACAAUGGAUCUUCCAGUACGGCAAGUCCCAGAAAACAGACCUCGUUUUCCAUACCUUCAGCAGCGGCUCUGGCGCCUUUCGCUUCUUUCCCGGCUCUGGCGCCUUUUGCUUCUUUCCCGGCAGUGGGCAGUCUUUCCAAUUUUUCAACAACUCGUCUAUUUCCUCGCCGCUCCUCAUACACGGACGUUUUCGGGGUUCGGUUUCACCAUCGAACAGAUCCUUGCGUUUCCUCCAUGGGUCAUCAUCGCGAAGCCACCUUCAAUGUCCCAUGAACACGGUUUUCGAAGACCCGGGAUCUCUAUCUAGCUGGCGAUACGUUGUGUCAUCCAUGCACCUUACGCAUCCAGAAAAUCCAUGGACUACCUGCCCCACGAGAUAUCCGUAACCGAGAUAGUCGUGCACCGUCGUGAGCAGUGCGGCUCUCAUAGGGAAAUAUUCUUUCUCUGCGGCGUCCCACGUAUUGGCUGGCGUUUUCCACAGCGUGUCUAGCUCCUCCUUCAGCAGCCCCAGAUACAGAUUGAUGUCGUUCCCUGGUUGUUUCGGCCCUUCAAUUAGCAUUCAUGUGAAUGUACUUCCUCUUCAUGCACAACCAGGGGGGAAGGUUGUACAUCCACACAAACACAGGCCAGGUGCUAUGUGUGCUUCUCUGGCUGCCAAACGGAUUGACUCCAUCGGUGCUCGUGCCCAGCACGAUGUUCCUUGGAUCCUUCCCAAAUUCUGGGUAUUCAAAGUUCAACGCUUGCCACUGGCUCGCAUCCUUAGGGUGACUCAGCAUCUUGUCUUUUUUAUUUAUCUCCGGAUCAUUUCCGUCAUCUUCCCGCUUCUUCUCCUCACUAUCCACAUGCCAACGCAGGAGCUUUGCUACCUUAGGGUCCGCAAAUUACUGCUGCAGACGAGGAGUGAUCGGAAAGUACCACACCGAUUUUCGAGAAGCUUUCUUCCUCUUCUUGUAUCGAGUGACGCCGCACACCGGACAUAUGGUAGACUCCGCGUGCUCGUCCCGAUAAAUGAUACAAUUGUUCAUGCACACAUGGUAUUUCACGUGCGUUAAAUCCAGAGGACACACGAUUUUCUUCGCCUCCUCGAAACUGGUCGGGCACUUGUUCCCCUUGGGAAGACGUUCGUGCCAAAAUGACAUGUUCUCGUCGAAGCAUGCGUCGGUCAUUUUGUGUUUUACCUUCAUCUCCAGAGCCAUGAGCGUUACUUUUAGGCAGGUAUCCUCAGGCCUGCAUCCUUCAUACAAUGGAGUUACCGCGUCUAUCUCCAGUUGAUCUAGCUUGGCUUUCUCUCGGGCGGCAGCUCUUGCGUUAUCCGUCUGCUUGAGAAGCAGCUCUUGAAUAUGAGGGUCCUGCACCCAGCCUCCAUCGUCGUCUGCUCCGGCAUCUUCAUCUUCAUGAUCAUGCACUUCGUCUUGAUCUUCCUCAUCAUCAUGUACGACAUCUUCUACAUGAUGACUAUGUACAGCAUCACCGUCGUGAUCAUGUCCUGGAGAUUUUUCGUCUUCUCGCCCGCCCUCGCCGCGGUGGUACUUGUCUUGUUGCCCUUCCUCAUUUCUUGCCCGGCCCCCAUGGACGACUUCGUAGUCAUCUUCAUCACCUUGCCACCGAUAGCCAUCCAUGAAACCACGCAAGAGCAGGUGGUCCCGCACCUGCCCGGAAUCCGGGUCCGCAAUAAGGCUCUUCAGCUUGCAUCUUCGACACGGACAUCUUAUCUCCGUCUCGUUCUUUUGAAGCAUCUCGGCCUUCACGGAGCUCAAAAACCUAUUCACGAUGCCUUCAGUCAUCGUGCGGACCAUGGUCGCCUGCGGGGUAGAGCAAAACGAUAUUUUAGAACCAAGAAAAAAUUUGGCAUGACCUUCCCUAAAAAUAGGACCAAAAAGAAUGCAUAGUGCCAAAAUUCUCGCCGAAACGGAAAUGAAUCAAAACAUUCCGGCAAAAUAUUGGCAACUAUCGCAUUUCAAAUACCGGUACCUUCAAACACAAACAUAUAAGCAACACCACAAACACAUGCAACACCACAAACAUACAUAGAUCUAGCUAGGCCACAAAAAGUGCAUGUGCAUGUUGUUGGAGCGAGCUAGGGAGAAAAAAAGUAGAUCUACAUCAUGAAGAUAGCUUUCCCCUUACUUACCUAUCAAAAAAAGGUAAUUUCACCACUUAAUUUUGAUGAAUCUAUGGUGGAAAUGAGGUGAGGAGGAGGAGAUGGCCGAAAGCUUGGAGAAGGAGGUGGAGGGAAUGAAGUGGGGAAAGUGAGUGGGUAGGUGUGGGGCUGUCCAAAAUAUCUUGUUGGGGUCCCAGGUUACUAAUGGCGCACCACCAGCAAAUGCNNNNNNNNNNNNNNNNNNNNNNNNNNNNNNNNNNNNNNNNNNNNNNNNNNNNNNNNNNNNNNNNNNNNNNNNNNNNNNNNNNNNNNNNNNNNNNNNNNNNNNNNNNNNNNNNNNNNNNNNNNNNNNNNNNNNNNNNNNNNNNNNNNNNNNNNNNNNNNNNNNNNNNNNNNNNNNNNNNNNNNNNNNNNNNNNNNNNNNNNNNNNNNNNNNNNNNNNNNNNNNNNNNNNNNNNNNNNNNNNNNNNNNNNNNNNNNNNNNNNNNNNNNNNNNNNNNNNNNUACUAAUGGCGCACCGGGUAAUAGUGCGCCAUUACUAGUUUAAACUAGUAAUGGCGCACUGUGAAACGAUGCGCCAUUUGUACUUUUGCAAAAAAAAAAGAAUAACUUUUUUUACAGUAAUGGCGCACUGUCUGCUUGGUGCGCCAUUACUACUUAGAACUAGUAAUGGCGCACUUCGACCUGAUGUGCCAUUAGUAUAUAUGGAAAAAUGGAAAUAAUAAUAAUUUAAUACUAGUGGCGCACCCUGUUUCUGGUGCGCCAUUAGUGUCUUCCACACUAAUGGCGCAUCACCAACCGGUGCGCCAUUAGUAUAUAGUAGUGGCGCACUGCUUCCAUGGUGCGCCAUUAGUACCAAUCUUAUCUAUAACCCUUUUCCUAGUAGUGAAAGUAUGACAUGCUGGUAAGCAGUAUGACUUAUAUCGCCCAUAACUCACUUGUGUUCUACUCGUGCAUAUCACAUCUACGCAUAAAACCUGGCUUGGAUGCCACUGUUGGGGAACAUAGUAAUUUCAAAAAAAUUCCUACGCACACACAAGAUCAUGGUGAUGCAUAGCAACGAGAGGGGAGAGUGUUGUCCAUGUACCCUCAUUGACUGAAAGAGGAAGCAUUAGCACAAUGCGGUUGAUGUAGUCGUACGUCUUCACGAUCCGACCGAUCAAGUACCGAACGUACGGCACCUCCGAGUUCAGCACACGUUCAGCCCGAUGACGUCCCUCGAACUCCGAUCCAGCCGAGUGUUGAGGGAGAGUUUCGUCAUCACGACGGCGUGGUGACGAUGAUGAUGUUCUACCAACGCAGGGCUUCGCCUAAGCACCGCUACAAUAUUAUCGAGGUGGACUAUGGUGGAAGGGGGCACCGCACACGGCUAAAAGAUCAAAUGAUCAAUUGUUGUGUCUCUAGGGUGCCUCCCUGCUCCCGUAUAUAAAGGAGCAAGGGGGGAGGUGCGGCCGGCCAGGAGGGGCGCACCAGGAGGAGUCCUACUCCCACCCUUUUCCUUGUUGGAUUAGGAGUGGAGGGGGAAAGAGGAGGGAGAGAGGAAGGAAAGGGGGGGCGCCCCCCUCUCCUUCUCCUAUUCGGACUAGGGGGAGGGGCGCGUGGCCCUGCCCUGGCCGCCUCUCCUCUUCUCCACAAAGGCCCACUAUGGCCCAUUAAGCCCCCGGGGGGGUUCCGGUAACCCCUCGGUACUCCGGUAAAAUCCCGAUUUCACCCGGAACACUUCCGAUAUCCAAAUAUAGGCUUCCAAUAUAUCAACCUUCAUGUCUCGACCAUUUCGAGACUCCUCGUCAUGUCCGUGAUCACAUCCGGGACUCCGAACAACCUUCGGUACAUCAAAAACCAUAAACUCAUAAUAUAACCGUCAUCGUAGACCGAAAGAGGAAGCGUUAGCACAACGCGGUUGAUGUAGUCGUACGUCUUCACGAUCCGACCGAUCAAGUACCGAACGUACGACACCUCUGAGUUCAGCACACGUUCAGCCUGAUGACGUCCCUCGAACUCCGAUCCAGCCGAGUGUUGAGGGAGAGUUUCGUCAGCACGACGGCGUGGUGACGAUGUUGAUGUUCUACCGAUGCAGGGCUUCGCCUAAGCACCGCUACAGCAUUAUCGAGGUGGACUAUGGUGGAGGGGGGCACUGCACACGGCUAAGAGACGAUCAACUUGAUCAAAUUGUGUCUAGAGGUGCCCCCUGCCCCUGUAUAUAAAGGAGCAAGGGGGGUGCGGCCGGCCAAGGGGAGAGGCGCGCCGGAGGAGUCCUACUCCCACCGGGAGUAGGACUCCCCCCCUUUUCCUAGUUGGAUUAGGACUUGGGAAGGGGGAAGAAGGAAAGAGGGGGGCCNNNNNNNNNNNNNNNNNNNNNNNNNNNNNNNNNNNNNNNNNNNNNNNNNNNNNNNNNNNNNNNNNNNNNNNNNNNNNNNNNNNNNNNNNNNNNNNNNNNNNNNNNNNNNNNNNNNNNNNNNNNNNNNNNNNNNNNNNNNNNNNNNNNNNNNNNNNNNNNNNNNNNNNNNNNNNNNNNNNNNNNNNNNNNNNNNNNNNNNNNNNNNNNNNNNNNNNNNNNNNNNNNNNNNNNNNNNNNNNNNNNNNNNNNNNNNNNNNNNNNNNNNNNNNNNNNNNNNNNNNNNNNNNNNNNNGGCCCACACUUCCCUUGCUUCCCUCCUUUUCCACUAGGGACCAUGUAGGCCCAUUAAGCUCCCGGGGGGUUCCGGUAACCUCCCGGUACUCCGGUAAAAUCCCGAUUUCACCCGGAACACUUCCGAUAUCCAAACAUAGGCUUCCAAUAUAUCAAUCUUCAUGUCUCGACCAUUUCAAGACUCCUCGUCAUGUCCGUGAUCACAUCCGGGACUCCAAACAACCUUUGGUACAUCAAAACAUAUAAACUCAUAAUAUAACUGCCAUCGUAGCGUUAAGCGUGCGGACCCUACGGGUUCGAGAACUAUGUAGACAUGACCAAGACUUGUCUCCGGUCAAUAACCAAUAGCGGAACCUGGAUGUCAUAUUGGCUCCUACAUAUUCUACGAAGAUCUUUAUCGGUCAAACCGCAUAACAAUAUACGUUGUUCCCUUUGUCAUCGGUAUGUUACUUGCCCGAGAUUCGAUCGUCGGUAUCUCAAUACCUAGUUCAAUCUCGUUACCGGCAAGUCUCUUUACUCGUUGUGUAAUACAUCAUCCCGCAACUAACUCAUUACUUGCAAUGCUUGCAAGGCUUAAGUGAUGUGCAUUACCGAGAGGGCCCAGAGAUACCUCUCCGACAAUCGGAGUGACAAAUCCUAAUCUCGAAAUACGCCAACCCAACAAGUACCUUCGGAGACACCUGUAGAGCACCUUUAUAAUCACCCAGUUACGUUGUGACGUUUGGUAGCACACAAAGCGUUCCUCCGGUAAACGGGAGUUGCAUAAUCUCAUAGUCAUAGGAACAUGUAUAAGUCAUGAAGAAAGCAAUAGCAACAUACUAAACGAUCGAGUGCUAAGCUAACGGAAUGGGUCAAGUCAAUCACAUCAUUCUCCUAAUGAUGUGAUCCCGUUAAUCAAAUGACAACUCAUGUCAAAGGCUAGGAAACAUAACCAUCUUUGAUCAACGAGCUAGUCAAGUAAAGGCAUGCUAGUGACACUAUGUUUGUCUAUGUAUUCACACAAGUAUUAUGUUUCCGGUUAAUACAAUUCUAGCAUGAAUAAUAAACAUUUACCAUGAUAUAAGGAAAUAAAUAAUAACUUUAUUAUUGCCUCUAGGCAUAUUUCCUUCACCCCUUUGAGUCUUUUUAUAUUGGUAUAGACUAGUAAUAAUGUACGUGCAAUGCACGUUUAUAUUAGGUAGGAUAUUAAUUGCAUGUUAUAUUAGAUAAGAUAUAUCUGUUGCACGUUGGUAUUUGGUAAGAUAUCAAUUAUUUUUCGCUAGAAUGGUAGGAUAUUAAUUACAUGACAGAUUUCAAGGGAUAGCGUUGAGUUAAAACAUGUUUAUAACCAAUGGCAGUGGUGGGUAAUUAGAGCAUUAAACGUGUUUGGCGCUCAACAUUGGAGCGAUUUGAACCGCUAGAUAACAUGAUUUGACGGUCAAGAUGGUUUGGAUCUGCCCAUUUGGGUUUUUUUAUAUUGGUAUAGAUAAAGAAUAAACGCGAGCGCAUGUCUCACAACCCUUUUCAGGGCGCCGUCGUGGUUACCCACCCUGUUCUAGGGUUCAAGUUGAAAACCCAAGUUCAUUCCUUUGGACUCAAAGGGGGCGAUGCUCUACAUCGUUACCCUAUUGGGUGCGUUGAGGAGGAGCUCUGGUACCUUGCGGUUGCGGUGGGAUGCCGUCUUAAGGCAUGCUUGAAUUGUACCUUGAAGUCUCUUGGUUUCAAAUGUGGGAUGGUCUAGUUGGUCUCUUAUCUUUUCCAUGCGACUGUGUCAGCAACGCCAUCUGCAUGUACUACUCCUCGGUCCGAAGCGAGAGGCAGGUGGCCCUCUCCGAUGACUGUUGGGCGAAGGCUUUGCGGCAAGGUCCAACGGUUCCUUUUGAAGACGUGAGCUCGCAUAGUGUCGACCAGGGGAUGAAUUGCUGGAGUCUGGCUACUCAUGUACUCUUGCUCGCCAGCGCAACCGUACUGCUUGUAGUGUGUCUUGUGUGUGUUGUUUAUGUUACAUCUUGGACCCUGAUAAGUGUCACGGGGUGUGGCAUGAACACAUGACAACUCCAAACUUUUUAUGGUAAGUUUAGUUACACAAGGAUGACAACUUUAGUUAUCAAGCAUGGCAACUUAUUUUCGGAUGACAAGUAUUAGUUUUUUUUUUCUUUUUGAAUGACAACUUUAAUUGUAAAAAAAAUAGGGCCGGAGUGCUUCGUGCCAAACGUAUGGCACUUAUCAUUUAGGUACAUCUUUUAUUGCCGGCUUUUUAAAAAUAUUUUUUAUAAGCGGAUUUCGUUAUAUUGUGCCGAAGUCAUUUUUUGGAAUAAAGAAAACGGCCCAAAGGCCUGAAACAACCAAUGAACAGAGAUGGGAAAACAUCAAAUAAAAAGGUUGAGCAAAUAAUGUUUGAGUUCAGGUCAGCAACAAAAUCGAGUCAGGAUGAGUUCUUGGACUUUUUUUUUGCAUCAAUUCUUGGCCUAUUUUUUGUAGAACAUAUAUUACGAUGGACUCCUCACCGGGCGUAUCCCUACCAAACAAAUCACGUUUAAUACGAGCAAUACGUAGUUACGGGCUGUCCCAAACAUACUCCUAUUUAUUUAUUUAUUUAUUUAUUUGAUGGUUCCAGGCGAGUUGCUCGACAAGAUCUCUUUUGAGCCUUGCGUUGCGUGGCGGCGGUCAAGAUGCUACCGGCGAAGAAACGAGCGGGAGGCCACCGCCGUCCGUGGUCCGACCUCCCGCACGACUUGCUUGCAACCAUCCUCGUCCGUCUCACAGCGACCGUCCCCUGCCCGGCCCUUCGCGAUCGCGCCAGCUUCCGCGGCGUGUGCCAGACAUGGCGUGCUGCCGAGCUCGCCCACCCGCGCGCUCCCAUGCCAUGGCUCGUCGCCCCCGGGCACUGCGUCAGCCUCCACGACGCCGCAAUCUACCGCAUCCCGCUGCCUGAGGACGCCGCCGCUGCCACCUGCCGAGGUUCGUUUGGCGACUGGCUCGCCCUCGUGCCGCCGAUGUCAGGGCGUCCCUUCCUGCUCAACGCUUUUACCAAGGAGCGGAUCAAGCUGCCGCGGCCGACGGAAGAGCCGAUGGUUAAGUUCGUCCUGUCGUCCGCGCCGGACGCCAAGGGCUGCACGGUGGCUGCCAUUGUUGAGAUUGAAGACCAUGAAGAUCAUAGCAUGUGCAGUAAGAUCGUCGCCUGCCACCUGAGGAGGCGACGACGGCAAGGGCGCUUUUGGCAGAUCCUGACUAAUGCGUUCAAGCUCCAAGACAUCAUCUUCUUCGAGGGGAAACUCCAUGCCCUUGACUCAGAAGCCCGCCUCCACGUCUUUAAGGACGGAAGACCAACUCCUCCCACUCCAAGAGCGCCCUGACACGCGAUGGAGCAUGCCGCCCCUGACGAAUGUAACGGAGCGAUUUGACAAUGCCAACAAGCUGCACCUGCUUGUCCUCCAUGGGAGGCUGCACAUGGUCGGCAGGCGCUUCGGGAGGACCCGCAUGCCCGGGUGCACGCACUUCACAAACGCAAUCGGGGUGUUCACGCUCAUCGGCAAGAAGGCAAAGCUGCCGGCGCCGGUCAAGGACUUUGACGGGCAUGCCAUCUUCGUCGGUGACGCCUGCUGUGACGCUUUUGCGGCCGACGACCGACUACGCAGCCGCUUCAGGCCGCAAGAUAAGAGAGAACCAGAUUUGCUUCGUCGACGACGAGAAGAGCGCGUAGUUGCUGGCCGCCUACGGCCGCCCCUCUUUCCGGGUGAUCCAAUCCUACGACGUGCGCAACGGCUGCCUCCGCGCAUACGGGCCCAGCACCACCGCGGCGCGGACCUGGCGGUGCGUCGCAGCACAGCGCUUCCCGCAGAGCAGCGCCAUUGGACCACCGCUGCGGCCUGCGGCCAUCUCUGUCGGAGGCGGAGCUCCUGCUUUGGAACGUGGUCAACUGUCUAGGAGCAAGCUGCCCACCCUUAUAUAGAACCCGCUGCCAGGAUGGCGAAGAAGGCUUCACCGUGACCGUGCGGGUCAUCGUGCCUAAGACAGCAGGGAUAACUGACGACCACGAGUGGAGGUUCACCAAGCACCGGGGGGCAGCCAACAAAGCGAAGCAGGCGGCGGCGCACGAGGCUGUCACGUUCCUGCGGAGUCGGUUCCGUAGCAUCCUCGACGACAGCCCCUGGAGCUCCGUCCCUCGCUACCACACCCACGUCGAUGAGGAGGAAGAAGCAGUUCAAGAAGACAACAACAACUACGACGACGAAGACUACGAUCUGUUUGGGUAUAAGCAUUGGUACGGAGACAUGUACUAGUAAUUAGCUAGCUGCUGCUUAAUUUGGCUUUCACUUGCCGAAAAAGCCUUUCGCCCUGCUUUAUAUAUAAAGUAAAGAUCCACAGUGCUCGGUACAACCGCACUCAUCCAUCACAAACACACACAUACGCACCCAAGGUAGGAUACAUAGGCGCUGAGCGCAGCAACACACAUCCUAGCACUACAAGAGCCGCCGGGCGCUUCAUCCGAAGAAGGGAAGCCGCAUAUGACGAACCGUGGGCUUCAAAGCGGUGCCUUCAGGAAGGAUACGGCACCGGAGCGUCGCCACCGCCCGAUCUGAGGAUCAGAGUUUCCCCUAGAGCACCACGACGGGCAGUGAUAGCCGCGACGACGCCUUCAAGAAGGGAGCGAUCUUCGCCAUCGCCAGUUCGUCCGAAGAUAGAGAGGUUUUCACCCCGGCCAACAUUCACCGCCACCGAACGCCACACCCCGGCUACCACGCCGCCCACACGGCCGUAGUAGCCGGGCAGCACCAAGGCACGAGCUCUGCCCAAGAGCACCACGCCACCACCACCAGGGCCGCCGCCUCGGAAUCCAAGACCUUGACACCAAGUCCCCCGAGCCCCACCGCUACCCCCACCACAGAGACGGGCGGAAAGGAUCUGCCUUUCACACCCCUGGCCGGUCCCAAGCCGAGACCCAAUAGGCCGGCCACAACAAGCCUCCAUCGAGCCGUCCUGCUACACCGGGCGCGAGACGAGCGCAGUCCUACCACCGGGCGCGAGACGGGCCGGUCCUGCUGCCGGGCGCGAGACGAGCGCAGUCCUGCUGCCGGGCGCGAGACGGGCCGGUCCUGCUGCCGGGCGCAAGACCAGCUCGGUCCUACGUCACCGGGUGCGAGACGGAUGACGAUGGACCGCAACCGGGAGAAGGCCAGCCCUUUGGUGAGAGAAGCGGACGGACGCCAAGGAGAGGGGUCGAAGGCCGAUAUAGGCAGCCUACAGACGGGCCGACGCCAGGAAGAUCUGGCCGCCGCCGCAAUCAACCUUCCACCACCACCGCUGCCAGCGGCAGCAGCUAGUGCGCCGCCGUGGUCCACGGACAUGGCCACGACCACACCCAGCCGCAGCCCGCCCCGCGCCGCCCGACGCCCACACGCCCGCCAGACCAGAAUGGUGCUGGACGGGGCCGCCGCCGCCAAGCACGCACCACCGCCCCCGCUGCCACGGACGACCACCGCCGGACCUCACGGCGCCGUCCAGUCCUCGCCGCCCGCAGCCCGCGUCGCGACGCGGCUAGAUCUGGCGGAGCUGUGUUGACCCGCACCAUCCGCCGCUACUUGAGCGCCAUUGCUUUUUUUAGGGGUACUUCAGCGUCAUUGCUUUGCCCUACAAUACAGUGCACGGUGUGCACAAAACAUGCGCUUGAUUGGGUAACUCUUGUUUAUCUCUAGUUCUCUACUACUAGGAAACUGCCUGUGCCUUGCAGCGGGAGACACAAAUAUUAAGCUAUGUCCAAAUAAAUAUGACUCGAUACCCUGGCAUAUGUGAGCGCCCUCUAUUUUAAUACGAUGACCCAUCGUGUUGCCACUUAUCUUUUUUCCCAUCCUCGCUGAUGAUGGCCGCAUGUACGUGAUCACAAUGCAUUUCACGUGGCAAAUUCCAAGGCUACAAGUUUGCCACUGCAUGUCACACUUGUCAUUGUGUCGCACAAGGAAAUUUUUAAAACUUUAAAAACAAAUCUGGUCGAUCACGAACUACUCCUAACGCCUGGACAUAUACAUCUUUCCAAAACUAAUCAAAUUCUAAACAUAGAAGACUUAGCGCUCAACUUCUUAGCUAUUUAGAUCAAUCUUAUGAAGAAGAACUAAAAUAGACCACGUGAUAUGCUUAAAAGAAGCUUUACGAGCACAAUUUCAAACUAUAUGAAAAUCAAUGUUAAGUCAAUGGUUUACAUAAAUCUUAUACUGAUAGUAAAUAGGAAUCAACAUCCACUAUGGUGCUAAUAAUAGCUUAUGUGAUAGUUUCAAGCGGUCUUAUCUACUAAAUGGCAAGCAGGUGAGGCUUGCAAAGGCAAACUACGCCCGACCCCCCCCCCUCCCCGCCCGAGCCGGGCGACACGGGGGAAACUCCAGCCCUCGGCGGUCCGACCACCACCUUCCGCCCACCCACGCGUCGCCAUCGUCGGAGGGCUGGCCGGCGAAGCCGCGCCGGCCCUGGGAUGACGGAGGCGGGGCCCUCUUUUUUCUCCUCCAUCGCUCACUCCCGCCCCUCUGCCCGCUCCAUCCCCAGAUUCGAUCUACGGCGACGCCGGCUAACUUCUCUGACGGCGGGGCCGGCCGUCCCCUACUGUCUUCCCUCCGACUCGCUGGGCGGCGCGGCUCCGCCCCUCCCUAGAUGCGAUCUGGGGGCUCCUCGCCCGGCCAGCUGCGGUGCUCUCCGGCCGGUUGCCGUGGCGGCCGGACGCGCCCUCCUCGCUGCGAAUCACCCCUCCACCGACCCCCCCCCCUACCUCGUGUUCGAGCUUCGUGCCAUGGAGAUGUUUGUGUUCCACGGUGUCUGUUUCUGCAGCGUGCCGACCGGGAGCUUUGGCUGCGCGCGAGUCAUCUGCACCACCAUCACCACCAUCCCGCAGGGGCGGCUUCGGCCCAGCGACCAUGGACCUGCGCCCCCUCCAGUGUCCAUGGCCGACUGGCACGGCUUCGGAUCCGACCUACCUCGGAAGCUGCGCUCUUUCCAGCUUCUUUGGCUUGUUGCAUCCACGGCAUCUCCGCACCACCACAACCCUGUAGGCACCCUUCUUGCUCAACGCUUUCACCAAGGAGCGGAUCAAGCUGCCGCGGCGGACGAAAGAGCCGAUGAUUAAGUUUGUCAUGUCGUCUGCGCCGGAUGCCAAUGCUUGCACUGUGGCUGCCAUUGUUGAGAUUGGAAACAGCCCUUAUAUAAGGCGAUUUAAGAUCGUCUUCUGCCACCUGAGGAGGGGACGACGACAAGGGCGCUCCUGGGAGAUUCUGACUAACGCAUUCAGGCUCCAAGAUAUCAUCUUCUUCGAGGGGAAACUCCAUGCCCUUGACAUCGAAGCCCGCAUCCAUGUCUUUCAGGAAGAAGACCUUCAACAGGUCCCUGAUAAGCGAUGGAGCAUGCCGUCUGCGAAGCAGCGAUUAUACAAUGUCAAGAUGUACCUGGUUGUCCUCCAUGGGAGGCUGCACAUGGUUGGCAGGGGCUUAAAGACGACCAGGUGGACGACCUUCACCAACAAUAUAGAGGUAUUCACACUCGUCGGCGAAAUGGCGAAGCCGCCGGUGCCAGUCAAGGACUUUGACGGGCACGCGAUCUUCGUCGGUGACGCCUGCUGCGACGCUUUCGUAAUUGAGGCAGCCGCUAUAGGCCGCAUGAUAAGGGAGAACCAGAUUUGCUUCGUCGACGACGAGAAGAACGUGACGUUGCUGGCCGCCCAUGGCCGCCGGCCUUUCCGGCUGCUGCAAUCCUACGACGUGCGCAAUGGCUGCCUUCGCGCAUACGGACCCAGCACCGCCGCGGUGGGGACCUGGCGGUGCGGCACAGCACAGCACUUCCCACGGAGCAAAGCCAUUGGACCACCGCUGCGGGCGUCUCUGUCGGAGGCGGAGGUGCUGUUGUGGAACGUGACCAACUGCCUAGGAGCAUGGGACCCGCCCUUUUAUACAACACGCCAUCAGGACGAUGGAGCAAACGUCGCCGUGACCGUGGAGGUUGGGGUGCCCAGGACAUCAAGAAUGAUGGAAGAGGAAGAGCCCCUCCUGGAGUGGAGUUUCACGCAGCAGCGGGGGUCAGCCAAGAAAGCGAAGCAGGCGGCGGCGCACGAGGCCGUCACGUUCCUGCGGAGUCGGUUUCGCAGCAUCCUAGAUGACAGCCCCUGGAGCUCCGUCCCUCACUACCAUAGCCAUGUCGAAGAAGAGGAAGAAGCAGUUCAAGAAGACGACGCCGACACUACCAGAAAAACUUGUUUUGCCGACGGCCAUAUCUAUGCCGACGGCCCCCGUCGGCAUAUAUGGGCAUACCCCGACGGCCCAACUAAAGCCGUCGGCGUAGAAAGGCCGUCGGCGUAUAACCAUCUAUGCUGACGGGGGCCGUCGGCAUAGAUAAGCCGUCGGCGUUUCUCCGAAUAUACCGACGUGGGCCGUCGACAUAGAGCAGGCCGUCGGCAUAUCGCGUGGGCCCGUCUACCCGGGCGGCGACGGCGUCAGGCUACGCCGACGGGCUAACGGUGGCCGUCGGCAUAGCUACGCCGACGGUCUAGCCGUCGGCCUAGCUAUGCCGACGUCAUCGAUCCGCCGCGCCGCCACGUCAUCGAUCCGCGUCGUUCGCCGGUCCCGUGGGGUGGCAUUUCUAUGCCGACGGCUAGGCCGUCGGCAUAGGCCUGGCCCAUGGUUUUUGCCGCGUCAUUGAUCCCCGCCCUACGCCACGUCAUCGAUCCAGGGCUCUACCGUUCCGUGGCCGUAGCUAUGCCGACGGCUUUGCCGUAGGCAUAGGUUUCUAAUAAUUUUUUUAUAUUUUUUUUAUUUUCUCUUUUUAUUUUUUAUUUUUUUUCAAUACUAAUUCCAUUAACUUAAAUGUACAGAAAACAUAUAUCGAUUACCCCCCACACGGGCCUUCUUCCGUCGUGUCACGGAGAGGUUAGACGGGACGGGGUACCUGUGGGGGGUAGCAAUGCCGCCAGGUGUUGCGGUGGGCCCUCCUACGGUUGUGGAAACAUGGUGGCAGACGCAGGCACGCGGCUCCGGGGUGUGCCCCUCCCCCCUCACGGGCGUCGAUGCCGCCGUGCCCCGGAGGGGGGAAACGGCCACGUCGGGCCGACGCAGAGGGAAUCUUGGGGUGGGUUGUGCCGGGACUGUGUUGGGGGUGUAGCUAUGGCUAGGCUAUGACAACAAGGUGAAAAGGUCCACCGAUCAAACUAUGUCCAGCAAAAGUCAAAGGGAUAGACCCGGCGGUCGUCUGUGUCAAGGUUAGAAGGGACGGGGUACCUGGGGGUAGCAAUGCCGCCAGGUGUUGCGGUGGCCCUCCUACGGUUAUAUAAGCAUGGUGGCAGGCGUAGGCACCCGGCACGCUGCUUGUAUGAGGUCCCGGUGCGACGCUCCGGUGGCAUUGCUACCCCCUAGGGCCCCCGUCCCGCCUAACCCUGUAGCGUUUAACCACGGGAUCUACCCCUUUGACUUUGCACGGACGGGCUUUGAUCAGUAGACGUAUCCACCCGGUUGUGUAAGGUCAGCCCAUAGGAACACUUUGGAGCAACAUCCGGGCCAGACCCACGGCAAGAUCCCCUCCGUGUGGACCCGACGCGUCCGUUCCCCCCCCCCUCCAGGUGCCGGCGGCGGCGCCGCCGUCCGUGAGGGGGGGCACACCCCGGAGAUGCGUGCCGUGCGUUUGCACCAGCCACAACACUUCUAGACUUGUGAGAGGCCGCCUACGCAAGAUUUGGCGGCAUGCUAGCCCUCGGAGGCCGCCGGCCAUAGUCGUAGACACGCGAAGAGCAAUCCGCGUAAGAGGGAAUUGUUCAGAUACUUCUCCAUCACGAAAAAUUAUGAAAAAUUCCCAUCAGUUCUACAGCACAUGUACCCAUGUCGUGUAAAAAACUCAUGAUUGUAUCGCGCUCCGAGUAUUUAAUAAUAUUCACGCUGCAUCGUUACCGCAGAACGUAUACUACCGUGUCAUCGCCGUCCGUGAGGGGGGCCACACCCCGGAGACGUGUGCUGCCUCUUCGGACAUGCCACCACACCAUCCCGCAUGUAGGAGGUCCCAGUGCGACGCACCGGUGGCAUUGCUACCCCCCUAGGGCCCCCGUCCCGCCUAACCCUAUAGUGUUUGACCACGGGAUCUACCCCUUUGACUUUGCACGGACGGGCUUUUAGCAGUGGACGUAUCCACCCGGUUGUGUUAGGUCAGCCCAUAGGAACACUUUUGAGAAACAUCCGCGCCAGACCCACGGCAAGAUCACCUCCGUGUAGACCCGACGCGUCCGUUUCCCCCCCUCUAGGUGCCGGCGGCGGCGCCGUCCGUGAGNNNNNNNNNNNNNNNNNNNNNNNNNNNNNNNNNNNNNNNNNNNNNNNNNNNNNNNNNNNNNNNNNNNNNNNNNNNNNNNNNNNNNNNNNNNNNNNNNNNNNNNNNNNNNNNNNNNNNNNNNNNNNNNNNNNNNNNNNNNNNNNNNNNNNNNNNNNNNNNNNNNNNNNNNNNNNNNNNNNNNNNNNNNNNNNNNNNNNNNNNNNNNNNNNNNNNNNNNNNNNNNNNNNNNNNNNNNNNNNNNNNNNNNNNNNNNNNNNNNNNNNNNNNNNNNNNNNNNNNNNNNNNNNNNNNNNNNNNNNNNNNNNNNNNNNNNNNNNNNNNNNNNNNNNNNNNNNNNNNNNNNNNNNNNNNNNNNNNNNNNNNNNNNNNNNNNNNNNNNNNNNNNNNNNNNNNNNNNNNNNNNNNNNNNNNNNNNNNNNNNNNNNNNNNNNNNNNNNNNNNNNNNNNNNNNNNNNNNNNNNNNNNNNNNNNNNNNNNNNNNNNNNNNNNNNNNNNNNNNNNNNNNNNNNNNNNNNNNNNNNNNNNNNNNNNNNNNNNNNNNNNNNNNNNNNNNNNNNNNNNNNNNNNNNNNNNNNNNNNNNNNNNNNNNNNNNNNNNNNNNNNNNNNNNNNNNNNNNNNNNNNNNNNNNNNNNNNNNNNNNNNNNNNNNNNNNNNNNNNNNNNNNNNNNNNNNNNNNNNNNNNNNNNNNNNNNNNNNNNNNNNNNNNNNNNNNNNNNNNNNNNNNNNNNNNNNNNNNNNNNNNNNNNNNNNNNNNNNNNNNNNNNNNNNNNNNNNNNNNNNNNNNNNNNNNNNNNNNNNNNNNNNNNNNNNNNNNNNNNNNNNNNNNNNNNNNNNNNNNNNNNNNNNNNNNNNNNNNNNNNNNNNNNNNNNNNNNNNNNNNNNNNNNNNNNNNNNNNNNNNNNNNNNNNNCACCCGGUUGUGUUAGGUCAGCCCAUAGGAACACUUUGGAGCAACAUCCGGGCCAGACCCACGACAAGAUCCCCUUCGUGUAGACCCGACACGUCCGUUUCCCCCCCACGGAGGGGAUCUUGCUGCGGGUUUGGCCCGAAUGUUGCUCCAAACUGUUCCUAUGGGCUGACCUAACACAACCGGGUGGGGAGGUCCACUUGUCAAAGCCCGUCCGUGCAAAGUCAAAGGGCUAGAUCCCGUGGUCAAACGCUACAGGGUUAGGCGGGACGAGGGCACUGGGGGGUAGCAAUGCCACCGGAGCGUCGCACCAGGCCCUCAUACAUGCGGGGUGGUGUGGUGGCAUGUCCGAAGAGACGGGACGCGUCUGCGGUGCGUGCGGCGUCAAUAUUACUAAAUACUCGGAGCGCGAUAAAAUCAAGAGUUUUUUUGCACGACGUGGGCACAUAUGCUAUAGGAACGAUGGUAUUUUUUCAUAAUUUUUGGUGAUGGAGAAGUAUCCGAAAAAUUCCCUCUACGCGGAUUGCCCUUCGCGCAUCUACGGCUGUGGCCGGCGGCCUCCGAGGGCUACCAUGCCGCCAAAUCUUGCGUAGCCGGCCUCUCACAAGUCUGUAAGUGUUGUGGCGGUUGCAAACGCCCGGCACACGUGUCUGGGGUGUGCCCCCCUCACGGACGGCGCUGCCGCCGGCACCUGGAGGGGGGAAACGGACGCGUGGGGUCCCCACGGAGGGGAUCUUGCUGUGGGUCUGGCCCGGAUGUUGCUCCAAAGUGUUCCUAUGGGCUGACCUAACACAACCGGGUGGGGAGGUCCACUGGUCAAAGCCCGUCCGUGCAAAGUCAAAAGGAUAGAUCCCGUGGUCAAACGCUACGGGGUUAGGCGGGACAGGGGCACUGGGGGUAGCAAUGCCACCGGAGCGUCGCACCGGGCCCUCAUACAUGCGGGGUGGUGUGGUGGCAUGUCCGAAGAGGNNNNNNNNNNNNNNNNNNNNNNNNNNNNNNNNNNNNNNNNNNNNNNNNNNNNNNNNNNNNNNNNNNNNNNNNNNNNNNNNNNNNNNNNNNNNNNNNNNNNNNNNNNNNNNNNNNNNNNNNNNNNNNNNNNNNNNNNNNNNNNNNNNNNNNNNNNNNNNNNNNNNNNNNNNNNNNNNNNNNNNNNNNNNNNNNNNNNNNNNNNNNNNNNNNNNNNNNNNNNNNNNNNNNNNNNNNNNNNNNNNNNNNNNNNNNNNNNNNNNNNNNNNNNNNNNNNNNNNNNNNNNNNNNNNNNNNNNNNNNNNNNNNNNNNNNNNNNNNNNNNNNNNNNNNNNNNNNNNNNNNNNNNNNNNNNNNNNNNNNNNNNNNNNNNNNNNNNNNNNNNNNNNNNNNNNNNNNNNNNNNNNNNNNNNNNNNNNNNNNNNNNNNNNNNNNNNNNNNNNNNNNNNNNNNNNNNNNNNNNNNNNNNNNNNNNNNNNNNNNNNNNNNNNNNNNNNNNNNNNNNNNNNNNNNNNNNNNNNNNNNNNNNNNNNNNNNNNNNNNNNNNNNNNNNNNNNNNNNNNNNNNNNNNNNNNNNNNNNNNNNNNNNNNNNNNNNNNNNNNNNNNNNNNNNNNNNNNNNNNNNNNNNNNNNNNNNNNNNNNNNNNNNNNNNNNNNNNNNNNNNNNNNNNNNNNNNNNNNNNNNNNNNNNNNNNNNNNNNNNNNNNNNNNNNNNNNNNNNNNNNNNNNNNNNNNNNNNNNNNNNNNNNNNNNNNNNNNNNNNNNNNNNNNNNNNNNNNNNNNNNNNNNNNNNNNNNNNNNNNNNNNNNNNNNNNNNNNNNNNNNNNNNNNNNNNNNNNNNNNNNNNNNCGUGAGGGGGGGGGCACACCCCGGAGACGCGUGCCGCCUCUUCGGACAUGCCACCACACCAUCCUGCAUGUAUGAGGUCCCAGUGCGACGCUCUGGUGGCAUUGCUACCCCCUAAGGCCCCCGUCCCGCCUAACCCUGUAGCGUUUGACCACGGGAUCUACCCCUUUCACUUUGCACGGACGGGCUUUGAGCAGUGGACGUAUCCACCCGGUUGUGUUAGGUCAGCCCAUAGGAACAAUUUGGAGCAACAUCCGGGCCAGACCCACGGCAAGAUCCCCUCCGUGUAGACCCGACGCGUCCGUUUCCCCCCUCCAGGUGCCGGCGGCGGCGCCGUCCGUGAGGGUUAGACGGGACGGGGUACCGGAGGGGAGUAGCUAUGCCGCCAGGUGUUGCGGUGGGCCCUCCUACGCUUGUGGAAGUGUGAUGGUACUCGCAGGAACCCGACACGCGGCUCCGGGGUGUGCACCCCUCACGGUCGUCGCUGCCGCCGUGUCACGGAGGGGGAAACAACCACGUUGGGACGAAAACUAUCUAUUCCGACAGGCAGAAUGCAGUCAAUUUUUUUGUGAGAACCAAUAAACAUGUUUAAUAUUUAUGUGUUAGGAAAAAUGCACCUUAAAAUAAUGAAAAAAAAGAAUAUACCUAUGCCGACGGCUUGGCCGUCGGCAUAGGCAUACACGUGGCAUACAGAGAUAUGCCGACGGCUAAGCCGUCGGCAUAUACUCACCUUAUCCAUCCCCUGGGGCGCCCCGUCCACUCGUUCUCCUCCUCUCUCCCCGACCCCCCGCGCCUCCCAACCGCGUCGCCGCCGCUGCGCGCCUAGUCCUCCACCCGCCCACGCNNNNNNNNNNNNNNNNNNNNNNNNNNNNNNNNNNNNNNNNNNNNNNNNNNNNNNNNNNNNNNNNNNNNNNNNNNNNNNNNNNNNNNNNNNNNNNNNNNNNNNNNNNNNNNNNNNNNNNNNNNNNNNNNNNNNNNNNNNNNNNNNNNNNNNNNNNNNNNNNNNNNNNNNNNNNNNNNNNNNNNNNNNNNNNNNNNNNNNNNNNNNNNNNNNNNNNNNNNNNNNNNNNNNNNNNNNNNNNNNNNNNNNNNNNNNNNNNNNNNNNNNNNNNNNNNNNNNNNNNNNNNNNNNNNNNNNNNNNNNNNNNNNNNNNNNNNNNNNNNNNNNNNNNNNNNNNNNNNNNNNNNNNNNNNNNNNNNNNNNNNNNNNNNNNNNNNNNNNNNNNNNNNNNNNNNNNNNNNNNNNNNNNNNNNNNNNNNNNNNNNNNNNNNNNNNNNNNNNNNNNNNNNNNNNNNNNNNNNNNNNNNNNNNNNCGGCUGUCACCGGCCCACGCCCCUGCUGUGUUGGCCGGGCUUCUCCGGCCGGCCCAACCCCGCCCCGGCCCUCCCGUCACCUCCACCGCCGGCCCCUGCCUCCAACGCCACCACCGCAACGCCUCUCUGCCCGGUGAGCUAACACUUCUUUUUUUUCUUUUUUUUGCAUUAUUUAGGUACUGUUGGAUGUAUGAAUGGAUGCAUGGAUAGAUGUUGGAUGUUUGCUAGAUGGAUGAAUGUUGUAUGUGUCUUAGAUGGAUGGAGGAAUCUCGGCAAAACGAAUUAUUUUGCUACGGUUAGGUUGCUAGAUGGAUGAAUCUCGGCAAAAUGAAUUAUCAUAGUUAAAAAAGCAACUUGAGUCACUUAGUUUAUAAAAUUGUUAACGAAGAUUUUAUUUUCAGUUUGUGAUGUUGUUAAGUAGCUAUGUGAGAUGUGCUUCAAAUUUGGGAUAUGAUAAGUGGUUAUUUCAUCAUGAUGAUCUUGCUAAAAAAAAUUGAUGUGUCAAUGCUUAAUGUGAGGUGAUGACCUAAAUUGUGAUAUGAUUAGUUCUUCCAAAUUUGACAGUUGACAAAAUAUGAUUUUUCUUUAUAGUUUAAAGUGGCAAUGCUUAAUGUGAGGUGAUGACCUAAAUUUUUUCCACUCAGUGUAAUUAACAGGAUUUGUGGUGUUCCAUCUUCGUGGAGUGAUUGUCGACGUUGGAGGUGUUGGUCCACGAUCGUCCCUUUGCUUUGAUCGACUACAUCGGAGGGUGAGCAACAAUUCCAUGACCUCGUCCACUUUUUUUCCAUGUCACUAGAUUAAAUUUUCACAUCAAGUCGCGUAACCUAGGUCUCCCGUCCAAAAGGGUUGCAUCGAUAAAUAUGCAUUCAAUUGCAUAUUUAUCACCGCAGCUCUUUCGGAUUGUCCAGCGUUUUCCAUGGACAGCCCGAGGAUGUGUAGAUUGGGUAUGUUCUCCAUGUUCUACCCCGUUCCGAGACAGGAUUUCGGCGGCACCUCCCCGUUGUUCUCCGGAGCACAUUCUCUCGGCUAUUUGUCGAGACGUGUAUCUGGAGAACAGCGGGGAGGUGCUGCCGAAAUUUUGUCUCGGAACGGGGUAGAAUGGAGAACGUACUCAAUCUACACAUCCUCGGGUGGGAUUAGGACCCAUCUUUACCUAUUAGAGAUGUAGGUGGAUUAAACGCGGUAGAAACUGAAAAUUUGAUGUGAUUAAUUUAAGUGAAUCCUUAAUUAUGUUGUGUGGGUUGCAAAAAAGCAGAGCAUGGCAGAUAAUCAGUGGAUGUAUAGUGGUUUUAUCCGUCGGAAUCGAGUAACAUCAGAGUGGAUCACGAAAACCGAUGUGUAUUUGAAGGAGAUAUUCCAUCGUCCAAUGAGAAUUAUCCCACCAUGCCCCUGUGCGAGAUGUGCCAGACGUCACCGUAGAAAUCAGACGGACAUGAGUGAGCACCUUCGCAUGCACGGAUAUAUGCCAAACUUUGACAUGCCGCCGAUAAACAUAGCCGAGCAGGACCGUGGUAGAGAGGAGGUGAUGCGACAACGCAUCGGUGGAUAUGAGGACGACGGGGUCAGGGACAUGCUAGAUGAUGUCAUUGUUGCAGAAACGGCAAAUGUGACACCUUCAGAGAAUGAACUGGAGGAGCCGUAGGCAACCGCAAAGGCCUUCUUGGAGGUCUUGGCCUCGUCGAAUAAACCUCUUUAUGCGGGUGCGAAAAUAUCUCAGUUGGAUGCCAUCUCACAACUGAUUGCAGUCAAGGCUGAGUACGGCUGUAGCCAAAAAUGCUUCGAAGCAUUCAUGGGAGUAUGGGCUAACAGCCUCCCUAAGGGUCAUGAACUUCCGAAAAGCAUGUACGAUACAAAGAAAAUCAUGAAGGCACUCUCUAUGGAUUAUGAGAAAAUAGAUGUUUGCCAAGAAUUGCCUUUUGUUUAGGCACGAGUAUACGGAUGACAAGUACUGUAGGAAGUGCGGUUCGUCUCGGUACAUUGAGGUGGUCGGUGAGGAUGGUGAGAAAAAGCAGCUAACCAUCCCCGUUAAGGUUCUUCGGUAUCUUGAUUUUAUAAAAAGAGUACAGCGCCGUUUCAUCAUGAAGGAGUCUGCCAAAAUGAUGAAGUGGCACAAGGAAGGUAUAAGUACAAUCCAAAAAAAUCGUACAUCCAUCGGGAGGGGAAGCAUGGAAGUCAUUCGAUGAAGAAUACCCCAAGGAAGCAGUCGAGGCUGGGAAUGUCAUAAUAGCCAUAUCAGGUGAUGGGUUGAAUCCAUAUGGUAUGUCGUCCAAUCCAUACAGCUGCUGGCCUGUGUUUGUAAUUCUGCUCAAUCUUCCUCCCGGUGCCCUAAUGCAACGGAAUACCAUGUUCUUGUCGCUCAUCAUUCCGGGGCCUGACUACCCAGGGAAGCAAUUGGGUGUGUUUAUGCAGCCUCUUGUGGAUGCUUUGCACCAUUCUUGAUACUUUCCGAGGUUGACAUACGACCGGGAUCUGCAGAGAAAUUUCUUGAUGAAAGUUUGGUUGCACUAUUGCAUGCAUGACUUUCCCGGCUAUGCUCUAUUCUGCGGAUGGUGUACAAGUGGUAAGAUGCCAUGCCCAGUGUGCAUGCAGGCUCUGCGAAUGAUUUGGCUGAGUAAGGGUGGCAAGUAUGUAGCCUUUGACCUGCAUCGACAGUUCCUCCCUCUAGACCAUCCAGACAGGGAAGACAAGAAGAACUUCAUGAAAGGCCGGGUUGUUCAUGAAGUAACCGAGAUUCCAACAUUUUCGGGGGCAGAUGUUCUUGCUCAGCUAAAAGCUCUCAAGCCUAAAGUCAAAGGCAAAGGCAAAGCCAAAUCCAAAGGCUUCGAGGGAUAUGGUGAGACGCACAACUGGACGCACAUUACCCCCUUCUCGCAGCUUCCCUAUUUCAAGGACCUCAAACUUCCUUACAAUAUUGAUGUGAUGCACACCGAAAAGAAUGUGGCAGAGUCCCUUUUCCACACGAUCCUCAACAUUCCUGAUAAUACGAAAGAUAACGUAAAAGCUAGAGCCGAUCAACAGAGAAUGUGUGCUAGACCACGCCUGAACAUGAAGCCUCCCACAGGCGGUCGAAAAAACUGGUUCAAGCCAGAUGCUGACUUUGUCCUUAAACCGCCAGAAAAAAAAGAAGUACUUAUCUGGCUGAAACAAAUUUUGAAGUUCACCGAUGGUUAUGCAUCGAAUAUAAGUAAGGGAGUCAAUCUUUCAACAGGCAAAGUGACCGGCCUGAAGAGUCAUGACUACCAUGUAUGGAUUGAGCGGAUAAUGCCGGUGAUGGUUCGAGGCUAUGUCCCCGAGCAUGUCUGGAGAGUGCUUGCCGAGCUUAGCCAUUUCUUCCGCACGCUCUGUGCUAAAGAAGUAAGUAAAGAGGUGAUUGAAAAAUUGCAUAAGAAGGCACCGGAGUUGAUAGUCAAGCUAGAGAAGAUCUUUCCGCCAGGCUUCUUUACUCCGAUGACACAUCUCAUUCUGCACCUUGCGAACGAGGUAUUGUUGGGGGGCCCUGUGCAAAAUCGCUGGCAGUACGGCCCUGAGUGGCAGAACAAGCAUCUCUGACAGAAAUGUGGAAACAAAGCUAAGAUUGAAGCUUCCAUAGCUGAGGCAGUUAUCCUAGAGGAGGUGUCAGACCUUAGGACAUCAUACUAUCCAGACCACGUUCCCCAUCUACAUAACAAGGUGCCUCGAUACAAUAUAGAAGAGCUUGGUUCAUGGAGAAAGUAAUUUUCCACACUCCCCUAUUAAAUACCUACUUCAACAUUUAUUAGUUAACCGAACUAAUGCACGCAACAAUUUCCAUUAUACUUGUAGGGAAAAGAUCCGAACAUAUCUAUGGAUGAUGAAUUGAGAUGGGUUUCCAUGGGUUUUGACCCUACCGUCAUGACAUGUAAAAAGUAUGAUGUGAAUGGGUAUCGCUUCCAUACAGAGGAGCACCAAAACAGCCACCCCGAUCCCAAAACUAUAAAUACUGGAGUGUACACCCCCGGUCAAAAUUCAGUAGACUAAUACGGAAGGGUACAAAAUAUAUACGAGGUUAAAUUCCGCCAGGGGCGUGAGACCCUAAGUCUGCCUGUGUUCAAAUGCCGAUGGUUCGAUCCGCGGGAGGGGGUAAAACAUAUGCCUUCCAUUGGUUUGGUCGAAGUUAAACCAUCAACCGUCUAUGCCGGAGCCGAUCUCUUCAUUGCGGCUACCCAAGCUACACAAGUAUAUUAUUUGCCUUACCCAUGCCAGAAAGUGUAUCUAAAGGGUUGGGAAGUUGUGUUAAAGGUGUCGCCACAUGGUAAGCUACCAGACCCGAAUGAAGACGAUUACUACAACAUUAACCCCAUGACAUACGAGGGAGUGUUAUAUCAAGAGCAACCUGAUGAUGAUGAUGAUGUGGUUAGAAACGAUGACGCUAGACCAUUGGGUGAUGAUGAUGUGGACCCAAACGUCGACGAUGCAUGGAAUGAUGGUGAGACCAUUGUCAAUGAAAAUGACAUACUUAUGCUAGAAAAGUUAAACAAAGACGCUGACGACGAAGAAGAGCCUCCACCUCCGUCGGACAACGAAGAACAUAUGAUUGAUAGUGAUGAUGAGACGGACCGAGAAAGAGGUUACAACAGUGACGAUUCAUAUGGGUUCUUGCAGAUGUACGUUUCAAGUAUUUUUUUUCUAUAGUUUAGGAAUAUGCCUUUUUAUGCAUUUUUAUUAAUGUGUUAAUUAUCAUGCCUUUUCCUUCAUUUCAUUAAUUUACUAAUUGCUUUUUCUCUUUUCAAUGCAGGUUCGUGGAACAUAGGCAAGGGGAAGGCCGACGGCGUGGGUUUCCUACGCAAGGUCGUCGCCCUGCCUAGUCGGAGUGGUCGAGCACAUAAUCCUCCCCCUCGGCUACUUUACGAUGACUCAUCACAGGGAGGUCGAGGGAGAGGUGCCCCUAGAGGAGGAGGGGGCGGGGGGAGAGCCUCUAGAGGACGAGGUGCUGGGGGGAGAGCCACUACAGGGGGUCGCGGCCAGAAAGAGCGCACCCUCACAGACUUAGGGGUGUUGUCUUCGAGGCCCUCCUCUAGUGAGGUACCCUCCUCUAGUGAGGNNNNNNNNNNNNNNNNNNNNNNNNNNNNNNNNNNNNNNNNNNNNNNNNNNNNNNNNNNNNNNNNNNNNNNNNNNNNNNNNNNNNNNNNNNNNNNNNNNNNNNNNNNNNNNNNNNNNNNNNNNNNNNNNNNNNNNNNNNNNNNNNNNNNNNNNNNNNNNNNNNNNNNNNNNNNNNNNNNNNNNNNNNNNNNNNNNNNNNNNNNNNNNNNNNNNNNNNNNNNNNNNNNNNNNNNNNNNNNNNNNNNNNNNNNNNNNNNNNNNNNNNNNNNNNNNNNNNNNNNNNNNNNNAGGCAGGCGAGGAGGAGGAGGAGGAGGAGGUUGGGGAGGGGGGCAGGCGAGGAGGAGGGUGGUGGCGGGGAUGAUGGUGGUGACGGGAAGGGGGUUGACAAGAAGGGGUGGCUGCGUGGUAACGCAAAGCUACCAAAGCAGGUUCCGGCCAUUGAGGAGCAGAAGUAGAGCCCACGGGAAAAGAGUAAGUGGUUCAUUAUUUUGCUUGUCACAUGCUUAUUCCGGUUGUUAUUUAUUUUGCUUGUCACAUGCUAAUAGUUCAUUCUUUUGCAGCAACUGGAUAUAUUCUAAAGGGGUCCGUAUUCCCAACGGCCUCAUCACCGUCUUGCUGAAGUUAUACUGGCCGGGGUUGUACUGCUCGGAUCCAUUCAGGCAGCCGGCUCGUCGGGUUUUGGCGGUGACGACCUCCGUGGUGCUUGACGUCCUGGCGCUUAAGCCUUUGGGUCACAUUGUGGCGGUCUUGGUGGUGAUGAUACUUAUAUGCUUGUGAUGUUUCUUAUUUUUGUUUGUGAGAUUCUUAUAUGCUUGGUGGUGAUGAUACUUAUAUGUUUAUGCUUUGCGAUGCUUCUUAUGAUGUGUGAUGAUGCAUUUGUUGUGUGAUGCUGCUGGGCCAGCUGUUAUGUGAUGCAUAUAUUUGUUGUGUGAUGCUGUAUAUAUUCAAAUGAAUUGAGCUGAAACAAAACAGAAAAAAGAAAAAAAAACAGACAGAAACUAUGCCGACGGCUAGGCCGUCGGCAUAGAGCNNNNNNNNNNNNNNNNNNNNNNNNNNNNNNNNNNNNNNNNNNNNNNNNNNNNNNNNNNNNNNNNNNNNNNNNNNNNNNNNNNNNNNNNNNNNNNNNNNNNNNNNNNNNNNNNNNNNNNNNNNNNNNNNNNNNNNNNNNNNNNNNNNNNNNNNNNNNNNNNNNNNNNNNNNNNNNNNNNNNNNNNNNNNNNNNNNNNNNNNNNNNNNNNNNNNNNNNNNNNNNNNNNNNNNNNNNNNNNNNNNNNNNNNNNNNNNNNNNNNNNNNNNNNNNNNNNNNNNNNNNNNNNNNNNNNNNNNNNNNNNNNNNNNNNNNNNNNNNNNNNNNNNNNNNNNNNNNNNNNNNNNNNNNNNNNNNNNNNNNNNNNNNNNNNNNNNNNNNNNNNNNNNNNNNNNNNNNNNNNNNNNNNNNNNNNNNNNNNNNNNNNNNNNNNNNNNNNNNNNNNNNNNNNNNNNNNNNNNNNNNNNNNNNNNNNNNNNNNGCUCGCCACAUGGCACGUCUAUCUCCGACGGCCUAGCCAUCGGCUUAGUUUGAAACUAUGCCGACAGCUAGGCCGUCGGCAUAGACCUGCCACGUGGUGAGCACACGUUGGUCAGCACUUGACGGCGGCCGCCGUUAGGCGAUAACGUUGCCGACGGCCCUGUAUGGACACCGUCGGGAUAGGGCCUAUGCCGAUGGCAUUUCUAUGACGACGGCCUUCCUGGCUACGCCGACGGAUAUGUCGCCGACGGCCCUAUGCCGACGGGGGCCGCCGGCAUAGGCCUGUCCCGACGGCCAUUCAGGGCUAUGCCGACGGCCCUGGCCGUCGGCAUAGAGUGCGAUUCCGGUAGUGCGAAGCCCGCCGUUUGUUUAGGUAUAGACAUUGGUAUGGAGACUUUUACUAUUAGCUAGGUGCCCUGCUUUGGCCUUCCGUUGAGCGCUGCUUAUCUCUACAAAAACGUGCUGGGUGUGUGCAAAACAUGCCCUUGAUUGGAGAGAUCGAGUUCCGGCCAUUCAUCUCUCUAGAUUCUUUUUGGUUGCUGCAAUUUUUUAGUGCGUGUUCUCACAAUAGAGUGCAGUGACGUGCUAGUUUCUAUAUGCAUGCACGGCUAUUUAUUUUUUUGGAAAAACUUUCAAUCUCUUCAUCUUCAAUCAUGGUAGUAUAAAUAAGACUAGAAAUAAUAAAAUUUACGUCUAGAUCCGUAUACCACCUAGCGACGACUACAAGCACUGAAGCGAGCCGAAGGUGCGCCGCCAUCAUCACCCCUCCAUCACUGGAGCCGGACAAAUCUUAUUGUAGUAGACAGUCGGAAAGUCAUCAUGCUAAGGCCCCAUAGGACCAGCGCAUCAGAAUAGGAGCCGCCGCCGUUGAAUAGAUCGGAAGGAUCCAACCUGAAGACACACGAACAUAGAUGAAUUACGACAAGAUCCUGCACCACCUUUCCGGCCGCCCCUCUUUCCGGGUGAUCCAAUCCUACGACAUGCGCAACGGCUGCCUCCGCGCAUACGGGCCCAGCACCACCGCGGCGUGGACCUGGCGGUGCGUCGCAGCACAGCGCUUCCCGCAGAGCAGCGCCAUUGUAACGCCCUCGAUGCGGCUAUAUCUCCCACGUGUCGAAGCACGACUUAGAGGCAUAACCGCAUUGAAAGCAAUGUCGCAAGUGUGGUAAUCUUCAGACAACCCAUGUAAUACAUAAAGGAAAGAGAUACAUAGUUGACUUACACUCGCCACUUCACACAAUACAUGAAUAUAACAUUACAUCUUCCAGAUACAAUCAAGGUCCGACUAUGGAACCAAAAUAAAAGAAGACUACCCCAAAUGCUACACAGAUCCCUGAUCGUCCCAACUGGGCUCCACUACUGAUCAGCUGAAACGAUACAACACUACGAACAAGGUCUUCAUCGAGCUCCUCCUUGAGCUCGGUUGCAUCACCUGCACGGUUUCAUCGGCACUUGCAAACUGGUUUUGGAAGUAUCUAUGAGUCACGGGGACUCAGCAAUUUCACACCCUCGCGAUCAAGACUAUUUAAGCUUAUAGGAAGGGUAGAAGGUAUGAGGUGGAGCUGCAGCAAGCGACUAGCAUAUUUGGUGGCUAACAUACGCAAAUGAGAGCGAGAAGAGAAGGCAAAUGCACGGUCGAGAAUCUAUGAUCAAGAAGUGAUCCUAGAACAACCUACGCCAAACAUAACUCCAACACCGUGUUCACUUCCCGGAUCCCGCCAAGAAGAGACCGUCACGGUAACACACGCGGUUGAUGCAUUUUAAUUAAGAUAAGUUUCAGGUUUUCUACAACCGGACAUUAACAAAUUUCCAUCUGCCCAUAACCGCGGACAUGGCUUUCGAAAGUUCAAAACCCUACAGGGGUGUCCCAACUUAGCCCAUCACAAGCUCUCACGGUCAACGAAGGAUAUUCCUUCUCCCAAGACAAUCCGAUCAGACUCGACAUCCCGGUUACAAGACAUCCUCGACAAUGGUAAAACAAGUCCAGCAAGACCGCCCGAUGCGCCGACAUCCUGAUAGGACCUGCAUAUAUCUCGUUCUCAGGGCAACACCGGAUGAACACUACGUACAGCUAAAACCAGCCCUCAAGUUUCCCCGAGGUGGCGCCGCAAGUGGCUCUAUUUUGGACCAACACUUAGACAAGCACUGGCCCGGGGGGUAAAAAUAAAGAUGACCCUUGGGCCGGCCUAACCCAAGGGAAAAAGAGGCUAGGUGGCGAAUGGUAAAACCAAGGUUGGGCCUUGCUGGAGGAGUUUUAUUCAAGGCGAACUGUCAAGGGCUUCCCAUUAUAACCCAACCGUGUAAGGAACGCAAAAUCCGGGAACAUAACAACGAUAUGACGGAAACUAUGGCGGCAAGAGUGGAACAAAACACCAGGCAUAAGGCCGAGCCUUCCACCCUUUACCAAGUAUAUAGAUGCAUUAAUUAAAUAAGAGAUAUUGUGAUAUCCAACAAAAUAUCCAUGUUCCAACAAGGAACAAACUACAAUCUUCACCUACAACUAACAACGCUAUAAGAGGGGCUGAGCAAAGCGGUAACAUAGUCAAACAAUGGUUUGCUAGGAAAAGGUGGGUUAGAGGCUUGGCUUGACAAUAUGGGAGGCAUGAUAAGCAAGUGGUAGGAAUCGCAGCAUAGGCAUAGCAAAAGAGCGAGCAACUAGCAAGCAAAGAUAGAAGUGAUUUCGAGGGUAUGGUCAUCUUGCCUGCAAAGUUCUCCAACAAGACGAAGGCUUGAACCUCGUAAACGUACUCAACGGGCUCCUUGAACACGAACUCGUCUCCCCGGCUCUACCCAAAUCAAGAACAACAAGCAAAAGGAACACAAUCAACCAUGUGCAAUGCACAAACAACAUGAUGCAAACAUGGUAUGAUAUGCGGGAUGCGAUAUGUGAUGCAUAUGCAUGAUUCGGAAAGGAAUGAUUGAACCUGGCCUCAACUUGGAAACCCAAGAGUCCCACUGGAAAGAGGAGUUGAUUUCGGUUGAAAUCGAUAUAAAGAUCAACGGAAUCGGACGCACGGUUUGGAAAUGACAAGCAAAACAAAUAUGGCACCGGUCUGCGAUUAACAGCACGAAGCCAUCUAAAUGCAUCAAGAUAAAUAAGCUACUGCACUCAAACAUAACAACAAAAUACAUGGCAGGGAUCCACUCAAGAUGCUUGACAAAAGAUGAACACUGAGAUAUGGCUAAUUCACUAAAUAGCAAGUUCAAACAAGCAUGGCAAAAGUGCAAACGGUAACAGGUUACAGACUUAGUGAAAUUAUCAACAUGUCAGGAAUUUAACAUCAGGAAGCACUGUUUAGAGCACGAUAACUACAUGCUACAGGAACAUAUAAUGGAAAAGCAAAGCAUGGCAUGAAGCUACUCAAAGUAUACAACAAAAGUCCCUUACUGACCAUAAGCCAAAAGGGAUCAGAAAAUACAAUGGCAACCAUGUGAACAUAGCAAUUAUCGUUAACAGAUUCAGACUUGGUAGAAAAACUGGAGCAUGGCAAAACAGAUAUCAAGUAGUCAUGUUUACGAGCUCGAUGCACUCACUACGAGGCAUUGCAUGACAAACUAAGCAUACACCCAGCAAGUAGACAUGGCAUAGAAGCUAGACAUGGCAAGAACAACAUCAUAGCAUGCACGGAUCAACUACAACAAGCUCGGCAAAAUUGAUAAACAUGUUAACAAUCUGCCAAGAACAUUUUAUAGCAAAAAUAGAGCUCGAUUGAGUCAAGCUAGGGUGCUCCACAAUGGCAAACAAAGACAUGGAUGGAUAGAGCACAACAUCAUCUACAAAACAUCCUUACUGAUCAUGCUCAAAAGAGGCAUAGAUCUCUCGGUAGCAACAUGAACACAUGGCAUAAAAAUAAUAAUAGGACAAGGACUUAGAAUAUUUCUAAGUCCCUGAAAUCAGCAAUAAUAAGUAAGCUACUUUGCAUGCUUGUGCUAGUCACCACAAAGAUCACAAAAAUACAUGGCAUACACCCCUGUAAAGAUGGCAUGACAUACUUCAAAACACAUGUAGAGCUCAGGAUCAUAUCAUGCACGCAUUAAACAUGGCAAAAAGGACAAAAGUGCAUUUGUUGAAACAGAUCUGAAACUAUCAUCACAUAGCCCUCUUCCAACAGCAUUUCGGACAUCAAGAUGAGAUCAAAUGAAAAUGAUGCAAUAAGAUGAAAUUAAGUACUCUUCGAGGCGAACAUUUUGAUAUGCUACACGCAUGAACCGGAGCCACAGUGAUGAAGUUAUGAUGCGCCAAAGUAUGCAAAAUAUUAGGAUUUCGGGGAGAAGAAGUCAACCGAGGAGAUUGGAUCUGGAUCUGGCACUGUAGCGGCGCGUUAACCUAGGAUGGCCUGGAUCUUCACCAGAAAACUUGAACUCGCCGGAGUUGGGGAAAGGAGCCGCUAGAGAGGAGGAAGGGGUUGCCGCGGCGCGGGGUUGCCGGACUUGGCGCGCGGGGUCGCCAGACUUGGCGCGAGCUCAUUGGACUUGGCUGCGGACGAGGGCAAAGCGGUGGCUGGAGAAGCUCGCGGUGGCGGGGGGCUCCUCGGCGGGCGGCGCGGAGCCAGAGGAGGCGGGGUGACCCAGGCAGCAGGGCGCGGGGCUCUCUCCGGUGGAUCGGGCCUGGAGGGCCAGAUCCGGGCCACGGCGGGCCUGGCGGCGGGGAGGAGAGAGAGGGCGCGGCGCGGGUGACGUGUCGCGCGCUGAGUGGGUGAGGGCGGUGGCGGCGCUGAUGUGGCGUGCGCUAAUUCGCCGGAGUGAGGUGGAAGGCGCGGUGGACAUGUCCGGCCGGUGAGGAUGCGUCCGGUGGCGCGCGGAGGAGGAGGUUAGGGUUUCAUCUGCGCGAAAAUUCCGGGAGGGACACAUAUUUAUAGGUAGAGGGAGCUAGGAAGCUCCAAAUGAGAUGCGGUUUGCGGCCACGCGAUCGUGAUCAAACGGCCUAGAUGAUGGGAGGGGUUUAGGUGGGUUUUGGGCCACUUUGAAGGGGUGUUGGGCUGCAACACGCACAAGGCCUUAUCGGUCCCUCGGUUAACCGUUGGAGUAUCAAACGAAGUCCAAAUGGCACGAAACUUGACAGGCGGUCUACCGGUAGUAAACCAAGGCCGCAUGACAAGUCUCGGUGCAAUCCGAAAACGUUUAACACCCGCACACGAAAAGAGGUAGAAAGGGACACCGGAUGACAUAGGAACGCCGGAAUGCAAAACGGACAACGGGGAAAAUGCUCGGAUGCAUGAGACGAACACGUAUGCAAAUGCAAUGCACAUGAUGACAUGAUAUGAGAUGCAUGACACGAAAGCAAAUGACAAGGCAACAACAGCGAAAAACUGGAGGACACCUGGCACAUCGGUCUUAGGGCGUUACAACACUCCACCACUACGAGAGGAUCUCAUCCCGAGAUCUAGAAUGGCACCGGAGGGAAAAAGAAGAGGAAGAGCAGCGAUAAAACUAAGUUGCUUCUUUGACCAAAGAGUGUAACCAAAGAACCUUGAGAGGUUGAACAGAUUGAAAGAAAGAAUGCAACUAAGAAGAACAAAGUUGCAAACACUCCGUUAGAAAAGAGGAACAAGGAUCAUUAUGGGAACCUUGUAGGUUGACGGACAUAAGAAAAGGGUUCGAUGGACACUAGUAGAAAACAGGGCUAUGGUCCAGGCCGGCUCAGCCCAUUAGUCCCGGUUCAGUGUAGAACUGGGACCAAUGUGGGCAUUGGUCCCGGUUCGUGAGCCCAGGGGGCCGGCCGGGCCACAUGGGCCAUUGGUCCCGGUUCGUCUGGACCUUUUGGUCCCGGUUGGUGGGACGAACCGGGACCAAUGGGCCUCGCUCCUGGCCCACCACCAUUGGUCCCGGUUGGUGGCUUGAACCGGGACCAGAGGCUCCCCUUUAGUCCCGGUUCAUGCCACCAACCGGGACCAAUGAGGUGCCUAUAUAUACCCCCUCGCGCAAGAGCAGAGCACAGUGCUCUGUUUUUUCUGGCCGAGGGGGAGAGGGCUUUGUGGUGCUCUAGCUCACCUCCUAUGCACAUGAGGUGUUCGAUGGAAUGCCCGAUCCACACUACUUAAGCUUUCUCCUCUCGAAGCUCGACCUCCAAGCUCCAUUUUCCUCGAGAUUUGUCUAGAUUUAGCGGUCCGUCACGCCCCGUCCCCGUCUUCACCGCCGUCGAUCACCCGCACCGAUCUCAUCACCGACACCACCGUGGUAAGCCUCUUGUUCUUAUCUUCUUUCUGAAAGGAAAAAUAUUCUUACUUGUAUGUUUAGAUAGAUACUUGUAUCAUUUUCUUACAUUUAUUAUUGCAUCUUAUAUAGUGCGAUGGUUUUGGUAUCCGCCCCCGUCGGCCCUCGUCCUGUCUAUGAUUCGGAUUUGGUAUGUAUAUUAUCUUUAUAACUAUUGGUUCAUUUAUUUUUUAUGAAAAUUAUGCCGACCAACGUGACAUAGAUUUUAUUUAUCUAGGAUGUAUGUGAAUCGGAAAUGCCAACCGACCCUAUUGUCGAGAGGUUAAAUUUAGUUGAAGAAGAAAACAAUUUGUUGAAGGAAAAAAUAAAAAAAAUUGAGGAGGAGAAGAUGAUAUUGGAGUUGCAUGUUGCGGAUGUCGUCGAUGAUCACAAGAUCAAGAUGGAUACAAUGCGCUUGAAGAUUAGAAAGAUUAGAAAAUAUGCCAUUCAUACCGAGGCUUGGUAUCAUUAUGCCGUUGGAUCAAUUGUUACCUUGGUUGCGAUUAUGAUCGCAUUUGUUUUCGCAUUGAAAUGUUUUACAUAGUUUCAAUGUAUGGUUUAAUUAAUUAGAUGCUCUGGAGAGCUAUAUGUUGUUAGAUGAGAACUAUGUAUGCACUUUGGUUUUAAUGUGAUGAUGAACUUCUAUUAAUUUGGACACUUAAUUAUAUAUAAUGCACGCAGAUGAACCGACAAUGGAUGUACGGUGACAGACACACCCGCGAGUACAUUAAGGGCGUGCAUGAGUUUCUCGAUGCGGCUGAGGCAAACAAGCAGAAUGGUUUUAUGUGUUGUCCAUGCACUAAAUGUGGGAAUACGAGGUCUUACUCUAACCGGAAAAUCCUUCACUCCCACCUGCUUUAGAAGGGUUUCAUGCCACACUAUAAUGUUUGGAUGAGGCACGGAGAAAUAGGGGUUAUGAUGGAAGACGGCGAAGAAGAAGAGUACGAUGACAACUAUGUGCCCCCUGAAUACGGUGAUGCUGCAACGGGGGGAGCUGGUGAAGAUCAAGAGGAACCAGACGAUGUGCCCAAUGAUGCUGCCAUGGGUGAAGCUGCUGAAGAUCAAGAGGAACCAGACGAUGUGCCCGAUGAUGAUGAUCUCCGCCGGGUCAUUGUCGAUGCAAGGACGCAAUGCAUUAGUCAAAAGGAGAAGCUGAAGUUCGAUCGCAUGUUAGAGGAUCACAAAAAAGGGUUAUACCCCAAUUGCGAAGAUGGCAACACAAAGCUCGGUACCGUACUGGAAUUGCUGCAGUGGAAGGCAGAGAAUGCUGUGGCUGACAAAGGAUUUGAGAAGCUACUAAAAAUAUUGAAGAAGAAGCUUCCAAAGGAUAACGAAUUGCCCGACAGUACAUACGCAGCAAAGAAGGUCGUAUGCCCUCUAGGAUUGGAGGUGGAGAAGAUACAUGCAUGCCCUAAUGACUGCAUCCUCUACCGCGGUGCAUACAAGGAUCUGAACGCAUGCCCGGUAUGCGGUGCGUUGCGGUAUAAGAUCAGACGAGAUGACCCUGGUGAUGUUGAUGGCGAGCCCCUCAGGAAGAGGGUUCCUGCGAAGGUGAUGUGGUAUGCUCCUAUAAUACCACGGUUGAAACGUCUGUUCAGAAACGAAGAGCAUGCCAAGUUGAUGCGAUGGCACAGUGAGAACCGAAAGAAAGAUGGGAAGUUGAGAGCACCCGCUGACGGGUCGCAGUGGAGAAAAAUCGAGAGAAAGUACUGGGAUGAGUUUGCAAAGGACCCAAGGAAUGUAUGGUUUGCUUUAAGCGCGGAUGGCAUUAAUCCUUUCGGGGAGCAGAGCAGCAAUCACAGCACCUGGCCCGUGACUCUAUGUAUGUAUAACCUUCCUCCUUGGAUGUGCAUGAAGCGGAAGUUCAUUAUGAUGCCAGUUCUCAUCCAAGGCCCUAAGCAACCCGGCAACGAAAUUGAUGUGUACCUAAGGCCAUUAGUUGAAGAACUUUUACAGCUGUGGAAUGGAAACGGUGUACGUACGUGGGAUGAGCACAGACAGGAGAAAUUUAACCUUAAGGCGUUGCUGUUCAUGACCAGCAACGAUUGGCCCGCUCUCAGUAACCUUUCAGGACAGACGAACAAAGGAUACCACGCAUGCAUGCACUGUUUAGAUGACACUGAAAGUAUAUACCUGGACAAAUGCAGGAAGAAUGUGUACCUGGGCCAUCGUCGAUUUCUUCCGACCAACCAUCAAUGUCGAAAGAAAGGCAAGCAUUUCAAAGGCGAGGCAGAUCACCGGAAGAAGCCCGCCAUGCGCACCGGUGAUCACGUGCUUGCUAUGGUCAAUGAUUUACACUACGUAAUCUUUGGAAAGGGUCCCGGUGGACUAGCUGUUCCGAAUGACGCUGAGGGACAUGCACCCAUGUGGAAGAAGAAAUCUAUAUUUUGGGACCUACCCUACUGGAAAGACCUAGAGGUCCGCUCCUCAAUCGACGUGAUGCAUGUGAUGAAGAACCUUUGCGUGAACCUGCUAGGCUUCUUGGGCGUGUAUGGGAAGACAAAAGAUACACCUGAGGCACGAGAGGACCUGCAACGUUUGCACGAAAAAGAUGGCAUGCCUCCCAAGCAGUAUAAAGGUCCUGCCAACUACGCUCUUACGAAAGAAGAGAAAGAAAUCUUCUUUUAAUGCCUGCUCAGUAUGAAGGUCACGACUGGCUUCUCGUCGAAUAUAAAGGGAAUAAUAAAUAUGCCAGAGAAAAAGUUUCAGAACCUAAAGUCUCAUGACUGCCACGUGAUUAUGACGCAACUGCUUUCGGUUGCAUUGACGGGUCUUCUAUCGGAAAACGUCCGAUUAGCCAUUGUGAAGCUAUGUGCAUUCCUCAAUGCAAUCUCUCAGAAGGUGAUCGAUCCAGAAAUCGUACCAAGGCUAAGGAGUGAUGUGGCGCAAUGUCUUGUCAGUUUCGAGCUGGUGUUCCCACCAUCCUUCUUCAAUAUCAUGACGCACGUCCUAGUUCAUCUAGUCGACGAGAUUGUCAUCCUGGGGCCCGUAUUUCUACACAAUAUGUUCCCCUUUGAGAGGUUCAUGGGAGUCCUAAAGAAAUAUGUCCGUAACCGCGCUAGGCCAGAAGGAAGCAUCUCCAUGGGCCAUCAAACAGAGGAUGUUAUCGGGUUUUGUGUUGACUUCAUUCUUGGCCUUAACAAGAUAGGUCUCCCUAAAUCGCGGUAUGAGGGGAGACUGACUGGAAAAGGCACUCUUGGAAGAGACUCAAUAAUAUGCAGGGACAGAUAUUCUUGGUCUCAAGCACACUACACAGUUCUACAGAACUCUACCUUGGUGACCCCGUAUGUCGAUGAACACAAGAACAGUCUGCGCUCCAAACACCCGGAGCAGUGCGACGACUGGAUUACAAGUGAACACAUCAGGACUUUCAGCAGUUGGUUGGAAACACGUCUCAGAGGUGACAACACUGUUUGUGAUGAGUUGUACUUGUUGUCCAGGGGACCAUCUUUGACUGUAUUGACUUACAAAGGAUACGAGAUAAAUGGGAAUACAUUUUACACGAUCGCCCAAGAUCAAAAGAGCACCAACCAAAACAGCGGUGUCCUCUUUGAUGCAGCAACCGAGAGCGGAAAGGACACAUAUUAUGGUUACAUAGUGGACAUAUGGGAACUUGACUACGGACCUGAUUUUAAGGUCCCUUUGUUUAAGUGCAAAUGGGUCAAUCUGUUAGGCGGCGGGGUACAGGUAGACCCACAGUACGGAAUGACAACAGUGGAUCUGAAAAAUCUUGGGUACACUGACGAACCGUUCAUCCUAGCCAAUGAUGUGGCACAGGUUAUCUAUGUGAAGGACAUGUCUACCAAACCGAGAAAAAGAAAAGAUAAGGAAGCGAAUACAUCAUACGAUGAGCCAAAGCGCCACAUAGUUCUUUCAGGAAAAAGGGACAUCAUGGGAGUGGACGGCAAGACAGACAUGUCUGAAGAUUAUGAAAAGUUUCAUGAAAUUCCUCCCUUCAAUGUCAAGGCUGACCCAAGCAUCCUGAUAAACAAUGAAGAUUAUCCAUGGUUACCGCGCAAUAAGUAAAUGACACAAGCGAAGAAAAAGUGAAGACUUUCUCCCGCAACUAUUAUGAUGAUACCAUGCCAAAUUUGUAACAGACGAACAUGCUACCAUUGUCCGUUUUGUACAUGCACAUGCUAUGUGGGUGAAAUUAUGAUACCAUCCCAACUUUCAACUUUUUCAGAGUUCAUUUGAAAUGCUUUCAUGUCUUAUGGUUUGAAACUUUGAUACUUCGAAAGUGAUUGUCCAUUUUGUACACGAAGUGCAUCAAGUUUUUGUCAUAACCCUCUCUACUUUUUGGAACAUGUUAUGUGGGUGAAAUGAUGAUACCAUGCCAACUUUCAACCUUUUCAGAGUUCAUUUUGAAAUGCUUUCCAAUUUCAGAGUCAUUUAGCUCAAAGAAUUAAUUAAUAGCAAACGGAAUAAACUACAAAACUUUUAUGAAAAUAAAAACAAUCAAUUAAAAUAUUAUGUUAUGAUCAACUAAAAUAAAACUAUAAUAUUCUUCAAUAGCAAAAAGAAUAUAAUUUUUGUGACCUAAAAUCAAACUAUAAGUAUUUAAUUGUAAGUAUAAAUAAAAAAUAAAUAGCAAAGAAGAAAAAAUUUCUAAUUUUAUAGUAAAGUUAUUCAUAAACUAGUGAUUCACACAAAUUUUUAAAAAUUCAAAUUUAAACUNNNNNNNNNNNNNNNNNNNNNNNNNNNNNNNNNNNNNNNNNNNNNNNNNNNNNNNNNNNNNNNNNNNNNNNNNNNNNNNNNNNNNNNNNNNNNNNNNNNNNNNNNNNNNNNNNNNNNNNNNNNNNNNNNNNNNNNNNNNNNNNNNNNNNNNNNNNNNNNNNNNNNNNNNNNNNNNNNNNNNNNNNNNNNNNNNNNNNNNNNNNNNNNNNNNNNNNNNNNNNNNNNNNNNNNNNNNNNNNNNNNNNNNNNNNNNNNNNNNNNNNNNNNNNNNNNNNNNNNNNNNNNNNNNNNNNNNNNNNNNNNNNNNNNNNNNNNNNNNNNNNNNNNNNNNNNNNNNNNNNNNNNNNNNNNNNNNNNNNNNNNNNNNNNNNNNNNNNNNNNNNNNNNNNNNNNNNNNNNNNNNNNNNNNNNNNNNNNNNNNNNNNNNNNNNNNNNNNNNNNNNNNNNNNNNNNNNNNNNNNNNNNNNNNNNNNNNNNNNNNNNNNNNNNNNNNNNNNNNNNNNNNNNNNNNNNNNNNNNNNNNNNNNNNNNNNNNNNNNNNNNNNNNNNNNNNNNNNNNNNNNNNNNNNNNNNNNNNNNNNNNNNNNNNNNNNNNNNNNNNNNNNNNNNNNNNNNNNNNNNNNNNNNNNNNNNNNNNNNNNNNNNNNNNNNNNNNNNNNNNNNNNNNNNNNNNNNNNNNNNNNNNNNNNNNNNNNNNNNNNNNNNNNNNNNNNNNNNNNNNNNNNNNNNNNNNNNNNNNNNNNNNNNNNNNNNNNNNNNNNNNNNNNNNNNNNNNNNNNNNNNNNNNNNNNNNNNNNNNNNNNNNNNNNNNNNNNNNNNNNNNNNNNNNNNNNNNNNNNNNNNNNNNNNNNNNNNNNNNNNNNNNNNNNNNNNNNNNNNNNNNNNNNNNNNNNNNNNNNNNNNNNNNNNNNNNNNNNNNNNNNNNNNNNNNNNNNNNNNNNNNNNNNNNNNNNNNNNNNNNNNNNNNNNNNNNNNNNNNNNNNNNNNNNNNNNNNNNNNNNNNNNNNNNNNNNNNNNNNNNNNNNNNNNNNNNNNNNNNNNNNNNNNNNNNNNNNNNNNNNNNNNNNNNNNNNNNNNNNNNNNNNNNNNNNNNNNNNNNNNNNNNNNNNNNNNNNNNNNNNNNNCCCUGACCCCGUCGCCAUCGCCGCGCGCGCCGCCCCUUCCCCAACCCCGUCGCCGUCGCCCCGACCACACGCCACCACUUUCGGUCCGGCCGCCGGCGCCCUUUUUAUCGCUGAUUUUAGGUUGAUGAUAUGAUGAUGUUGAUGAUAUGAUGAUGUUUUUUUUCUGUUGAUGAUAUGAUGAUAUGUUUUUUCUGUUGAUGAUAUGAUGAUGUUUUUUUUCAUAUAUGCAUUUUUUCAUAUAUGUACUGAUUUUUUUAAGUUGUUAGUAGAUAUCGAUUUUAGGUUAGUGCAUUUUAUCACUGAUUUUAGGUUAGUUGAUCGAUUUAGUGCAUUUUAUGUUUGUUGCAUUUUAGGUUAGUGCAUUUUAUGUUAGUGGAGAGGAAGAAGGAGAAGACGAGGAGAGGAAGAAAAGGAAGAGGAGAAGAAGAAAGGAAUAGAGGAGAAGAAGAAAAAAAUAGAAAUUUUUUCUAUUUUUUCUUCUUCUCCUCUAUUCCUUUCUUCUUCUCCUCUUUUUUUUCUUCGAUCUUCUCCCCCUCCCGAUAGGAAAGUUUUAUAUAGGAAGUUACAAUUUUAGAAGAGUUUUAUAUAUGCAAAAGUUACGAUUUUAGAAAAAGAAGGAUAGGAAAGAAGAAAAUAAGAAGAGGAGAAGAAGAAAGGAAUAGAGGAGAAGAAGAGAAAAAUAGAAUAUAUAUUCUAUUUUCUAUUUUCUCCUAUAUUCCUUUCUUCUUCUCCUCUUUUUUUCUUCUUUUUUUUCUUUGACACGUGGGGGGGUCGAGAAUGCCGGACAUUCAUGAGAGAGGCGAGGAAGAAGGGGAAGAAGAGGGAGAAGAAGAGGAGAGGAAGAAGAGGAAGUCUUCUCCUCUAUUCUUUCUUCUCUUCUUUUUUCUUCUUCUUCUUCCUCUUUAUUUUAUCGGGAACGAGGGUCGUCGAGAAGUCGAGGAGCGGUAGAGGAGAAACCCUAAAUAGAAAGUAUCGUCGGUGUGAGAUACAUGUACCGUCGGUGUCGGACACUACACCCACAUCCCACAAGUGGCGCGGGCUUCGACGCCCACGUCACUUGUGGGACGUGGAUGUAGUGUCCUACACCGAAGGCCACAUGUAUCUCACACCCACGAUACUUGCUAGCUAUUUAGGGUUUCCUCUACCGAAAAGAAGAGGAGAAAUAAAUAAGAAGAAGAAAAAAGAAGAAAAAGAAGAGGAGAAGAAGAAAGGAAUAGUGGAGAAGAAGAGAAAAUAGAAUAUAUUCUAUUUUCUCUUUUCUCCACUAUUCCUUUCUUCUUCUCCUCUUUUUUUUCUUCUUUUCUUCUUCUUCUUCUUCUUCUUCUUCUUCUUCUUCUUAUUCUUAUUAGCCGGAAGUAGAGAGAGGUUUCCUAGUGACAAAGUAUUGAAGAAAUCCAUGCCUUCAUCAUUAGCCGGAAGUAACCAGGGCAUGUUGGUACGAAGUUCUGCAAAGUUGUUCUGGAAUGGAGUCCCGGAUAGAAUAAUUCGCCUUUUGGUACGAAUUCAGCAAAGGCCUUCCAAAUAGCGAUAUUCGGAAGGCUCUUGCUGAACUUUGUACCAAAAAGCGAAUUAUCCUAUCUGGGACUCCGUUCCAGGACAACUUUGAAGAGCUUCGUACCAUCAUGCACAUGUUACUUUCGCCUAAUGAUGAAGACAUGGUUUUGUUGAAUCCCUUGACACUAGGCAACCUCCCGACCCCUCGGCGAUCCUAUCGAACAUGAGAGGAAGAAGAGGAUAAAAAAAGAAGAGGAAUAAGAAAAAAAAGAGGAGAAGAAAGAAUAGAGGAGAAGAUCUCCUCUAUUCUUUCUUCUCCUCUUUUUUUUCUUCUUCUUCCUCUUUUUUUUAUCGGGGACGAGGGUCGUCGAGGGACAUAGAUGUAGUGUCGUCGUUGUCGAUAUAUACCCCCUCCCGAUAGCUUACUAUGAUUAGGUAGCUAGUUCUACGUUUGGCACUAAUAUAUCCAUCUAUCAUGUUUGAAUAAUAAUUGCCAUGUUGUAAAUAUUUGUAGAAACUAUGGACACCGCCCUAGACGAAGCAACAAAAGAAGCGUUGUUGAGGGACAUAAUCGCAGAAGGAAGUGAUGCCAUCUCAUUGUUUCUCAACGAAACCGAUGGUCUGGAAGGAGAGGGUGAACAAGCUGGCUACGGUGACCUAAUGCCGGUGCAAGAAGAAGAACAUGAGGACGGCUCCGGUGACCCAAUGCCGGUGCAAGAAGGAGACCGUGAUGACGGCUCCGGUGACCGAACCGAGUCCGGCCAGGUAUAUAUAUUAGUUAAGCCUAUGCUGACUAGCUGAUUGAUGCAUUCAUUGUUUUGGUAUGUACACAUAUUAAUUAAGUCUUUGUUCUUUUUUCUAGCCCUCCGAAUCGAGCACAACUUCAGUAAAGAGACGAGGCCCGAAGAAAAAGUUGAGCUCGGAUGAAAAGUUUGAGAUCAUAGCAAUCGCGCCCGACGGCCAACCUAUUGAACCCCUCCGGACAAAGAGCGCAUUUGUUGCUCAGUGCGGGGUUCUGGUUAGGGACAAGAUCCCGAUAAGCAUCCAGCAAUGGUUUAAGCCGGCUACAGAAGACCCUGAGGUGUCUUAUGUCAAUGAUAUGCAGAAAAAUGAUCUUUGGACUGAGCUGAAGUCAAAUUUCACCCUACCGCCUGAGGAUAAUCCAGAGAACCCAGUUAAAGAGAAAUUAAUCGAGUCUUUUGCUCUGAAGAGGAUGGCAGAACUAUUCAGGAGGUGGAAGAAAGAGCUGAAUAAGUUUGUCGAAAAUAAUGAGACACCAGAUUUCAAGGGCAGAUAUGAGAAGAUCAGAGAUCACUGGCCCGCAUUUGUGGCCCACAAGACAUCAGAAAAGAGUAAGAAGAUGUCGGCGACAAACAAGCAAAAUGCUGCGAAGAAGAAGCUUCACCAUUGCACGGGGUCAGGUGGCUACCUAGUAGCCCGGCCUAAGUGGUCCAAGACUGAGAAUGAUCUGGUUCAUAAAGGGAUCGAACCAGAGACAAUUAACUGGCCAGACCGUUGCCGAACUUGGUUCUUCGGGGCUGGCGGAACACUGGACCCUGUAACAGGGAAGUGCAUUUGGACGAACGAUCAAAUGGACAUACCAGUCAGUAAGCUUAAGCAGUAUAUCGAAGCAGCGCAGGAAGGGACGUUCUUUCUAGACAGAGAGAACGACGAGCUCACAAUGGCCCUCGGGAAUCCUGAGCACCCUGGACGGACACGAGGCACGCCAGGCUCCAUUCCGUGGAAGGUUGGGUUUCCGGACGCAGGCGGUUACAAAUCCCAUGAGAGGAGGAAAAAAGUGCAGCAGACCCAAAUACAGGCGCUGCAAGCAAGGGUAGACGCGAUAGAGGAACGAGAAGCAAAUCGCAGCAAACGUACUACCGAAGCCUCCCCCGAAGCUACCCCGCCAUCUCAGCGCAGAAGCAGCAUGGCUUCCACCGAGCUGCUUCAGCUGGAGCAUGCCUUGAUGGCUCCUGCCAGCUAUCCCGUGGAUGCUAUAACGGAGUCUCAAAAUUGCCACCUUAUGACGCAAUGGAUGAAUUUGAGGGUCAAGGCGGCUGUUGGCUCUGUUUAUCCUACUGAACCCGGUGCAACUUUUCACUGCCGGCCGAUUCCAGAAGGAUAUGCUAGGGUGAUGGUGGAUGAGAUAACGGAGGGAUUUGAGGACCUCCAGCUUGACCACCCUACCGGUGAAGGGGAGACUCGGCUGGGGUCUGCUCUGAAGACUCCAUGCCUAUGGCGAAGGAGCUCAUCAACCUUCCGAACUGGACGCCACCGCCUCCUCCUCCUCCUCCAGUGAGUCAGGGCACUCCGCCUCCACCGCCUCCUCCUCCGGCGAGUGACGAUUAGGGCCCUCGGCCGGCUCCUUCUCCGGCGCGUGGCGGCACUCCGCCUCCUUCUCCGCCUGCGCCGACGCGCCCGAGCAGCCAGCCUCCUCCUUUUCCACCUCGUCGGCAAGGGCGGAAGAGACCUACCGCCGCUCCAGCUGCUCUGGCGCGUCGUAGUCCUUCUCCUCCGCCGCUUAAGCAAGUAAAGAACACAACCACUCCGUCUGCUCGGUCGGCGUCUAGCAGUACAACCAGAGGCGGGAGGACAUACAGAUUCGGUCCUUCUCUGAAGACUCCAGAGAAGUUGCCAUAUGAGAGGACCCUGGAGGAGAAUGCCGAGAUCACGCGAGAAGAAGUGAGGAACUUCUUUGAAGGGGUGAAAGCAAAGAAACAUCCACCUCCGGAGGAGAAGGUAGAUCGGGUGAAAGUGAAGCGCACUCUGGCUGCCCUGACAAAACCACCGAAGUCUGAUCCGCCGAAAGGAAACUAUGACCGCAUUAUUGGAAAGGAAUUUGCCGAAGCGGAGUGGUCGGGAAGUACUGUCAGUGAUCAAAGGCUGAAAGAACGACGAGCUGGGAAACAAAUUGCCCAGCUCGGCGAACAAGCGAAGCAAUCGUGCCCCCCGCUCAAGGUGCCUAGCCACAACGUCGAUAAUGAUCCGAGGAUGGUGCCCGGUUAUAGCAAUCUUGCACAUUACCUGCCCGACGAAGUACAUUAUGAACCCAUGGAGGUGCAGAUACAAAGAUACGAGUACGGGAAGCCUCUCGUCAAAGAUGAAAGAUCUCUAUCAACGAUGAUGCGAAGAUUGCAUGAUUGGUACUUGAAAAUCUGCAAAGACUCUGGGGGGAGGAGUACUUUGUAUGUGAAAGUUAAAAAGGAGCAUGACCUCGUUGGAAUUGAUCUGUUGCCUGUUCCAUUUGAGGAGUUCUAUCAGCUUUUCAAUCAAUUGGCCCUCGAUAAAACAACGGUCGCCUGCUACUAUCUGUAAGUAGUACUACUUCUGUCAUUAAGUUUCUCUAUAUAGCUUAGCUCUUUCAUUGCAUGUAUUUAUAAUCACCCUCACUAUAUUAUGCAGAUUGAAGAUCGCUGAAUUGAAGAAAAGACAAGUCGGUGAUAUUGGGUUCAUUAACACAUAUCUCAUAGAUGCAACUCAGGUUAAACUUCAUGCCGCAGCUACCGAGGCCAACUUGCUACGAUCGUUCGUAAUAAAUCAAAACAAAGAUAUAAUACUCUUUCCUUACAACUUUAGGUGAGUGUUACUGUCUUGUGCGUAUUCGGUUUCCCUUAUAUAUUAGUCAAGGUUAUAGUAAUGUAAUUCAUGAGUUAUGCAUGUGUGUGCAGUUUCCACUAUAUUCUCCUAGAUAUUAAGCUUGAGCAGGGAGUAGUAACCGUCUUGGACUCUAAACGAAAAGAUCCCAAGGAGUAUGCGGACAUGACUGAAAUCCUCAAGAAGUAAGUUAAAUCGAUCAUUAUCCACCAUAUCAGCAACUUUGUUCAUUUCCUGAUAUCAAGUAAUUGUUCUCUUUGUCCGGCAGGGUUUGGAGAAAAUUCACCAAAACAGUUCCGGGACUGCCGAAGGAGCUGGAAUUUAGACACCCGAAAGUAAGUACUAUAGUAGCAUGUUCCGCGCAUCUCCUAGUGAUUCAAGCGCUAGUUUCAUCAAUACCAUUUAGCAUUCUUGCUUAUCAGUUUGAUUAACCUCUAUUUCUUGUAAAGUGGUUGUGGCAGGAACAAGGGAAUGAUUUCUGUGGAUACUACAUUUGCGAGUCCAUCCGCCACACGACUUGUGAGCGGGGCGGGUACUCUAACGAACAAUACGAAGUACGUAAAUAACAACAUUCACAAUUUUAUUUUAUUACCAUCAUUUGUGUUGAGUUUCAUUCAUUUAUAUAUAUAUAUAUAUGUAUUGACCCCCUUCUUCAAAUUAGAUGUUUCGGAAGCGGGAUGAACUCCUAGCACCAGCUCGCAUGCGAGCAAUUCAAGAGGAAUUGGCGGCAUUCCUUCUUGACCACGUGAUCCCUGAAGACGGAGAAUUCUAUGUGGACCCUGAGUCCGUAUGAUUAUAUUUGUAAGAGAUAAUUAUUGUAUAUAUGUAGCCGGUAGUGUCAGAUAGAUAUACGAGAACUUGUUGUUCGACCAAUCUCUCGGAGAAGGAGAGGUGGUCGAUAUCACUUAUCUCUGUAUAUAUGCAUAUAUGUUCAUGACGAUCUUCUAUUUCCUUCAUUUGCUUACUAGCUAGCUAGCGUGUCUAGUCCUCUCUAUACGUAUGUAUAGUACGUAGCGUCGACCAAGCACGGACAUAACAAAGGACACUUCUCUCUAUUAAUUAUAACUAGCUAACACAAUAUAUGANNNNNNNNNNNNNNNNNNNNNNNNNNNNNNNNNNNNNNNNNNNNNNNNNNNNNNNNNNNNNNNNNNNNNNNNNNNNNNNNNNNNNNNNNNNNNNNNNNNNNNNNNNNNNNNNNNNNNNNNNNNNNNNNNNNNNNNNNNNNNNNNNNNNNNNNNNNNNNNNNNNNNNNNNNNNNNNNNNNNNNNNNNNNNNNNNNNNNNNNNNNNNNNNNNNNNNNNNNNNNNNNNNNNNNNNNNNNNNNNNNNNNNNNNNNNNNNNNNNNNNNNNNNNNNNNNNNNNNNNNNNNNNNNNNNNNNNNNNNNNNNNNNNNNNNNNNNNNNNNNNNNNNNNNNNNNNNNNNACAAAAAACCCAGCCACAGAAGUGCUGACGCGUGGAUGCCUAUUGGUCCAGGUUGGUGCCACCAACCAGGACCAAAGGGUCUCCUGACUGGGCUCUGCGCACUGCCCACGUGGAGGGCCUUUAGUCCCGGUUCUGGAUUGAACCGGGACUAAAGGGGGGAGGUAUUAGUACUGACACUUUAGUCCCGGUUCCGGAACCGGGACUAAAGGCCCUUACGAACCGGGACUAUAGGCCCUUUUUCUACCAGUGGGACAAGAAGUACAUGCAAGCACUCCGGUUGAAACAAGAUGUACAAGGAAUGAUAAAGAUCCAUUACGGCAACACUCCGGUUCGAAAUGGAAGGAAUUGAACAUGAUCUUGACAAGAUGAGAGGAUACUUGAAAAGAGGACGCAACACUCCGGUUAAAUGGAUAAGCACGAAAAGAACAAGGUCCUGACAAGAACAAGAAGAAGGGUUGAAGAGAGCAACAACACAAUGCCUCCGGAAGAAAAGAGACAACUAGAAUGGAAUGAACGGAGGAGAAAACAACAUCUUCUAUCUUAAAUGAGCUUGCAAAAGCAUCUUUAGGCGAAGGUUCGAACGGAGUUGUUGAAAAACUAACAACGAAAAGAGUAAACUUGUUAUGGUCUUAUGGACAGGGGUGAAACGAGGCCUGGGGCAACUGGGGUUGUAGCCCCAGGCGUGGCCCGACUAGUAUCUAUAUGUAUAGUAGAAAAAAAUCAGAAUAUGGGAUACAUAGAAGCCCAGCCCCAGGCUUCACCUAGACCCACGCACUCAUGUACAAGCCUUCAGCAGUUCAGCCCAUUAGCCCAACUCAAUCGAUUGAUCACAACAGAGAACGAAUCGCCCAUUACACACGUUUGACGCUUCGAUCUCUGAUAUGUAGCCUGAUCAUUCGUUAAUCAAGAAUGAGAAAAAAAUCCCUCGCCUGAUCGUGGCAGCGGCAAUAGAGAAACCCUCGCUGCGCCGCCGUCCUCAUCAACCAGCGAUUGGCGAUUCCCCGCUGCCCCGGCCACCGGGCCCAGCGUCCUCACAACCCGACCACCUCUUGUUCUUCUCCAUCUGAUUCUAAAUUGCAGUGUACGCACUGAGACUGAGGCCAACGCACACUGGCCGCACAGGUAAUCUGUAUCAUCUAAUUUUGUUUUCCCUAAUUCUUUUAUAUCAGCCAAACUCAGUGAGUUAUAUUUACUUAGUCAAUUUUAUUUCAUUUCUUGUCAGCAAAUUAGAAAUACAAGAUGAACAAGAGGACCCGUACAAUUGAAUCUUUCUUUCAGUCAACAUCCAAUCAGCCUUCAGCCAACAACACCAACACUGAUGGAUCACCUACAGAAUCAGUACCGGUGGGAGCUAGUAAUGCAAAGGAAAGUGAACCACGUAUGGAGCUUAAUCCGGAUGACAUUAAUCCUACUCCCGGCCUCCGAAAACCAAUUGAAGAGUUGCAUCCGGAUGUUAGGGAUGCUGCUAGAAGAGAGUAUUUGGCCAUGGGAGCAUGUCGACCAACAUGCCAUGUUUAUGAACAGGGAAGAAUUGGGAAGCAGAUGAGAGGCUUUUGUGAAGAGUGGUACGAAUCGCAUGAUUGGUUGGAAUAUAUGUUGGAGAACGUAGUAAUUUCAAAAAAAUUCCUACGCACAAGCAAGAUCAUGGUGAUGCAUAGCAACGAGGGGAGAGUGUGAUCUACGUACCCUUGUAGACCGACAGCGGAAGCGUUAUAUCAAGGCGGUUGAUGUAGUCAUACGUCUUCACGAUCCGACCUAUCCAAGCACCGAAACUACGGCACCUCUGAGUUUCAGCACACGUUCAGCUCGAUGACGAUCCCCGGACUCCGAUCCAGCAAAGUGUCGGGGAAGAGUUCCGUCAGCACGACGGCGUGGUGAUGAUCUUGAUGUUCAACUGUCGCAGGGCUUCGCCUAAGCACCACUACAAUAUUAUCGAGGAUUAUGGUGGAAGGGGGCACCGCACACGGCUAAGAAAACAAUCACGUUGAUCAACUUGUGUGUCUAGGGGUGCCCCCUACCUCCGUAUAUAAAGGAGCCAAGGGGGGUGCGGCCGGCCCUAGAAGGAGGCGCGCAGGAGGAGUCCUACUCCCUACCUCCCAGUAGGAGUAGGACUCCCCUCCCUUUCAUUGUCCAAGUAGGAGAGGGGGAAGGAAGGGAGAGAGGAGAGGAAGGAAAGGGGGGCGCCGCCCCUUCCUCCUUGUCCAAUUCGGACUAGGGGGAGAGGGGGCGCGCGGCCUGCCCUGGCAGCCCCUCCUCUUCUCCACUUUAGGCCCAUGAGGCCCAUUAACCCCCCCGGGGGUUCCGGUAACCCCCCGGUACUCCGGUUUUAUCCGAAACUUCCCCAGAACACUUACGGUGUCCGAAUAUAGCCGUCCAAUAUAUCAAUCUUUGUGUCUCGACCAUUUCGAGACUCCUCGUUAUGUCCGCGAUCAUAUCCGAGACUCCGAACCAACUUCGGUACAUCAAAACUCAUAAACUCAUAAUAUAACUGUCAUCGAAACCUUAAGCGUGCGGACCCUAUGAGUUCGAGAACAAUGUAGACAUGACCGAGACAUGUCUCCGGUCAAUAACCAAUAGCGGAACCUGGAUCCUCAUAUUGUCUCCCACAUAUUCUACGAAGAUCUUUAUCGGUCAGACCGCAUAACAACAUGCGUUGUUCCCUUUGUCAUCGGUAUGUUACUUGCCCGAGAUUCGGUGGUCGGUAUAUCAAUACCUAGUUCAAUCUCGUUACCGACAAGUCUCUUUAUCGUUCCGUAAUACAUCAUCUCGCAACUAACUCAUUUAUUUGCAUUGCUUGCAAGGCUUAGGUGAUGUGCAUUACCGAGAGGGCCCAGAGAUACCUCUCCGACAAUCAGAGUGACAAAUCCUAAUCUCGAAAUACGCCAACCCAACAUGUACCUUUGGAGACACAUGUAGAGCUCCUUUAUAAUCACCCAGUUACGUUGUGACGUUUGGUAGCACACAAAGUGUUCCUCCGGUAAACGGGAGUUGCAUAAUCUCAUAGUCAUAGGAACAUGUAUAAGUCAUGAAGAAAGCAAUAGCAACAUACUACACGAUCGAGUGCUAAGCUAACAGAAUGGGUCAAGUCAAUCACAUCAUUCUCCUAAUGAUGUGAUCCCGUUAAUCAAAUAACAACUCUUUGUCUAUGGUUAGGAAACAUAACCAUCUUUGAUUAACGAGCUAGUCAAGUAGAAGCAUACUAGUGACACUCUGUUUGUCUAUGUAUUCACACAUGUAUUAUGUUUCCGGUUAAUACAAUUCUAGCAUGAAUAAUAAACAUUUAUCAUGAAAUAAGGAAAUAAAUAAUAACUUUAUUAUUGCCUCUAGGGCAUAUUUCCUUCAAUAUAGUGUUGCCAAAAAGGCCGCUUUCUGUUUUCAUUGUUUUCUCUUUAAGCAACCAAGAGCAGAAAACUAUGGAAUAGAAGCAUAUACAAAGAAAGGUUUUAGUAACUGGAAAAAUGCUAUUGCAUCUUUUGUUACUCAUGUUGGUAAUGUUAACAGUGCUCAUAAUAGAGCAAGAAGACAAUGUCAAGCUUUUCAAAACCCGAGGGAAAAUGUGGAACAAGUAUGGGCCGGUUCAGACAAGAAGAAGGAGGAAGAGUACUUGGGUCGUCUCACUGUCAUGUUAGGUGUCGUGAAGUUUCUUUUAUUGCAAGCUCUUGCUUUUCGUGGACAUGAUGAGUUUGCUAACUCAAACAAUAAGGGGAAUUUCUUAGAGAUGGUGCAAUGGUAUAAAAAAGAGAUUCGAAUGCCGCUAAGUUGUUAGAUUGUGCUCCUGGAAAUAAUCUGUUGACAUCUGCACAAAUACAAAAGCAUUUGUGCACAGCUUGUGGAGAAGAGAUGACUAAAGCAAUCGUGAAGGAUAUUGGGGAUAAAAAAUUCGCUGUCCUUGUUGAUCAGGCUCGAGAUGCAUCUCUCAAGGAACAAAUGGCUGUGGCCUGGACGUUUGUAUGUCAUGAAUUGAUUUUUUAUUGCUUUUUUUAUUAUGAAGUAUGCUCAUAUUUUUUUUCUUAUCUCAUCUAGGUAUUUGAACAGUCAAGGGGAAGUGAUUGAGAGGUUUCUUGCGAUUAAACAUGUUGCCGACACAACAUCAUAUUCAUUGAAGGUAGCCUUGGAUGCUAUGUUUCUUAAACAUGGCCUAUCUAUCCAUAGAAUGCGAGGCCAAGGAUACGAUGGAGCAUCGAACAUGAGAGGUGAAUUUCAUGGGCUGCAAAGAAGGGUACUGGAUGAGAAUCCUUAUGCUUUUUAUAUACAUUGCUUUGCACAUCAGUUGCAGUUAGUGGUUGUUGCCGUUGCCAAGUGUUGUCCUUCUGUCAUGGAUUUCUUUAGUUACACUUCAAUGAUUGUCAACGGUGCUAAUGGUUCUUGUAAGAGACAUGACCAGUUAGCCCUAGCGGAACAUGAUGAUCUUGUGCAGAAAUUAGAGAAUGGAGAAAUUUUUACAGGGAGAGGGAGAAACCAACAAACUAACCUUACAAGACCUGGUGAUACUAGGUGGGGCUCACAUCAUAAAACCUUGUGCCAUCUUCAUCUCAUGUGGUAUGCAGUGCUAGAGGUAUUCGAGAAUAUGUCUGAUGAUGCCACUAACACAUCACAAAAGACCACGGCAUGAGGUUUGAUACAUCAUAUGGAGAGCUUUGAGUUUGUGUUUAUACUGCAUCUUAUGAUGAAAUUGUUGGGAAAAACUAAUGAUCUAUCACAGUGCUUGCAAAAGAAGAACCAGAAUAUUGUUCAUGCUAUGGGCUUGAUUCAAACCACAUUGCAGAAACUUAAUGAGAUGAGGCAUCAGGGGUGGGAUGAGCUAUUUGAAGAGGUAAAUGCCUUUUGUCUCAAACAUAAAAUCAUUAUUCCAAACAUGAUGGAAACAUUAGCUAUUGGGGGUCGUUCGAGAGGUCGUGGCGGCCAGAUGGUAACUUACUUACAUUAUUUCCAUCAUGAAAUAUUUAAUGUGGUGCUUGACCAGAUUAUUGUUGAGUUCAACAAUCGCUUUGCUGAGAAAUCUACCCAACUAUUGAGAUGCAUCGCUUGUCUUGAGCCAAGAAAUUCUUUUGCCAAUUUUGAUAUAAAUAAGCUAGUGGAACUUGCUCAGAUUUAUGGCGCGGAUUUCUCAGAAUAUGAGUGCAGAGUUCUUAGGGACCAACUUGAGACAUUUGUUAAUGAAGCUAGAGCUGAUACUGAAAUUUUAAGUUGCAUUGAUCUUGGCCAGCUUGCUAUAAAGAUGGUUCAAACAGAUAGGCACACACAUUUUCCGUUGGUAUAUCAUCUCAUUGAAUUGGCCUUGAUUCUCCGCGUCGCAACGGCAACCGUAGAAAGAGCUUUCUCAGCUAUGAGCAUCAUCAAAACUGAUCUGUGAAACAAGAUGAAUGAUGAAUGGAUGAAUCACCUUUUGGUGUGCUAUAUUGAGCGUGUUGUAUUUGCAAGCAUUGAUGAUAUUAAGAUUAUACAGUGCUAUCAAAAAAUGAGGAAAUGCAAGGGGCUACUACCUCGUGGACUUCGUGUUAAUGUUAUAAUAUGUUCUUUUUCUUGCAAAAUUUCAUAUGAACAAUUGAUUUAGUCUAUGUCCAGAGUCUUGAUUUGAAAUACUUGAUUUUUAUGUUUGCAGAUUCAGAUCCUUCUAAUAUUGCUGGUGAAGAAACAACUGCCUUGAACUAAGCAAGUCUUCACUAAUUUGGUACCAAACCAUGUUCGUGAUGAUGCACUUUGUUAAACUAUUUGUUAUAUGGAAUUUCCUCUCGUGAUAAUAAUGACUUUAUAUUUCAUUUUGAAUGUGAUUUUGUGGCAUACUUAUAAUGCACAUUGAUGUGCGUGGUAUUUGACUUUAUAUUUAGUCAGUUAGUUUUAGCCCUAGGCUUUGCAAAAUCCUGGUUCCACCUCUGCUUAUGGAAAACAUCUCAAAACUAUGAGGUGAAAUUCUGCCACUAACGGAAACGAUAGAUUGGAUUCAUAUCAACAAGGAGACAAGAACUUAUUUCACUGGGAGGAUAAAUGAAGAACUUGGGUCAUUUAUGCGUACCACAAUUAGCAACAAUCUUAGGGAAGGCUUUAGGUGAAAUAUAACCCAAGAUAACUCCAACGGAGAGGUUGAUGGAUUUAAAAUACCUCAUUCUUGACAACAUGUGAAUCAUGAAACAUGAACUCAAAUUAUCAAGAAUGACAUAAUACCACCUCUAAUGAUACGGUAAAAAGAAUUGCACUCCGGAUUGCAAGAUGAAGAAUACUUGAUCUCCUUAGAAAAGAAUCUCGAUGAAAACUUCGAGAAUGAAUUAAAUCCUUGAUGAACCAUCAUGUAGAACCUUCAUGAAGAACUCCGUUAAACAAAAGAAUGAUCAAACGGAAGGAAAGAGAAGUUGAAAACACAAGGUGAAUCCUUGUACCGAUUUAAAUGAAUAUCCAUGGUGAAAUAAUUGAAAAAGGUUGGAACUCCAGGAAAAGAGAAGAUGAAACAAUUGAAAUUAGGAAUUUGAUGAGCCUCCGGAAUAGGGAAUUGAGUUCACUUGAUGAAACAAGAAUAAUAAUUACAUUAUGCUUAUCCUUCACCAAUUUAAAUUGAUGACAAUCAACGGAUUUGGCAUAUUACUUAUUCUCGUAGAAAAGAUUAAGAGAGAUAUAGCAUAUUUGAGAAUAUCUUCAAUGAACCACCGGUAGGAUUGAAACAACGAAUGAAUUGAUAAGAUAAAGAAGGAAGAGAAAUCUUGAACGAACCACCGUAAGAAUUGAAAAUGAACGAAGUAGGGGUGAAUCACCGGUAAGAAUUAGCAAAUGAACGAAGAUAUAUGAGAGAGUUUAGAUAUAAGAUAACGACGAGAUCAUGAACUGAUUAGAGAAUAUUUGAAUGAUGCACCGGUAAGAUUUGGAGAAAGAGAGCUGAAAGCUGAAAUGAAUAAUUCUGAGAUAAUGGGCUCCGGAAAAUCAAACUGAAAAGACUCCUGAAUUGCUCCGGAUGGGUGAAAAAAAUUCCCACAGUCGAAAAUAAUUAUGAGAGGAUGGCAACAAGCUAGAACCACGAAUCUUGAAGAGAAUGGAGCAAGAUUUAAGAGAAACUCUUCUUCGGUCUUCAAAUGUUGAGAAUGAUGACGAAAAACACCACCAUGAAUUGUUGAGUCACUCCGGAAUAAUGAAGAAUAGAAAGGUUGAGCCAACAAUGAAAUAAUUUGACAGAUCUUGGAGAAACACAUUUGACUGACAAACUUACGUCACACUUUGAAAGAUUUGAGAAAAGCUCCAGUAAAAUAAGAAGAGUCAGGUAAGAUCCUGGAAAAGACCUAUGGGUUAGGGCCCACUCAAAAGAUACACCGUUGAACAAAUACUUGAAAAGAGAGAUCGCACCGGUUGAAUUAAAUGACUUGAAUGAGAUAACAUCCUCAAAAUAGCUUGAACGGAUUAAGAGUGGAAACACGAAUCUUCAAGAUAUCUUGAGCACUCCGGAACAAUUGAACAGCACGAGAAGUGGAAUGAUUAUGAGGUGCACCGGCAUAAGAAAAGCAUUGGGCAAAAAGAAAAGACUAUGCUCAAUACCAAAGCUUGAAUUGAUCCACCGGAGAAGGAAAAGAACGAAGAGUAAUGAACUUGAAGCUUUGUUCUGAUCUUCAUGAGAAUCACCAGGUAUGAACAUUGCAAGAAAAGAAUGAAGAGACUUCACAUGAAUAAAAUGGAUACUUGAUUAAGAAAUCUGAGUCCUUGAAGAAAAAGGGUGGGAGGGCGGGAAAACAAAGACAACUUGGGGGCAGAUGAAACAAACAACGUUGAGAAGACUUUGAGUUGAUCUUGCGGAUGUUAAAAUGAACAGAUCCACUUGAAGAGAGACACGCCGGUUGAGAAGAAAUAUAGAUGACAAUCUCGAUGAUCAAGAAGGAUUAGUAUUCACAUAGGAAUAUGAGAACACCGCUUAGGGAAGGUAUGGAAUCAACACUUGACUUCGAAGCAACUCGAAUACCACAACUCAAAACAAAAACAAGGAUUGGCUUGCAGAAUAAGCCGGAAUAAACAUAUGAUAGAGAUUUCGUCCGAAGUUUUCGUGGUGGGGCCCACACGGGCUCGAUCGUACAGCACCAUCAUGUACAAGGCAGUGCACAUGACAUACGAAGCGUCCCCGAGUCAGCGUAGCCAAGGACUCUUUAAGACACAACGAGACCACUGUAAAAACCAACCGUGGAUAGGCGGACCACUAGACGUCGAACCACAAUUUCAUAUCAUACAUCUGUCGGAAAGAUAUCCUAACAGCUACUUGAAUUCCCACUUAUAAACUCCCGAAAUUUUCCGGUUAUGCAAUUAGAUGUUGGGAUACAGGGGAAGCAUAAUAUCUCACCCAAAACUAGCAAAUCCUACAUCCAGUUGUAUCCAUCCUUCAACACAUAACCAAGAAACCUUUGGAAAUUGUUUACCUCGACCUUUGAAAAGCAUCCGUUAUACAAGUUAUGGCAAUACUCCCGAACUCCCGCCCUAGUACUGGGUGGCGUCGAGGUUAUCUCACCAACAACUGCAUAAAAGAGAUUUUCGAUGUCGGCGAAACUCAGGUAUUCCAGAACUGCAACGAUAAAAUUGUGACGACAACACCUCGGAGCUCAACUCCCCGGGACACUGCCACAACCCCUAAAUGUCAGGAGCACCAAGAACAAUGUCCUCAUCACAAAACCAUCGGAACGAUUCCAAGAUACCCGCGUGAUCCUAAAUUUUUUUAGUGAAAUUUGAGAAGAGAAGAGUCAAAAGUCUACGUCAGGAAGCCUCACCAGAGCGACGAAGGGACUGAGUAAAAGAAUCCUAUUCUCCGAUAUAUAUAAUCCUAAAUGACUCAAAACAUUUUUCUAGACUCAACAACGCCAGCGAUUCGAUCAAGCAGGGGGCUCCUAAAGUCGGGGAAGGCUCUGAUUACCAACUUGUAACGCCCUCGAUGCGGCUAUAUCUCCCAUGUGUCGAAGCACGACUUAGAGGCAUAACCGCGUUGAAAGCAAUGUCGCAAGUGAGGUAAUAUUCACACGACCCAUGUAAUACAUAAGGGAAAGAGAUACAUAGUUGGCUUACACUCGCCACUUCACACAAUACAUGAAUAUAACAUUACAUCAUCCAGAUACAAUCAAGGUCCGACUACGGAACCAAAAUAAAAGAAGACUACCCCAAAUGCUACACAGAUCCCCGAUUGUCCCAACUGGGCUCCACUACUAAUCAGCUGAAACGAAACAACACUACGAACAUGGUCUUCAUCGAGCUCCUCCUUGAGCUCGGUUGCAUCACCUGCACGGUUUCAUCGGCACCUGCAAACUGGUUUUGGAAGUAUCUGUGAGUCACGGGGACUCAGCAAUCUCACACCCUCGCGAUCAAGACUAUUUAAGCUUAUAGGAAGGGUAGAAGGUAUGAGGUGGAGCUGCAGCAAGCGACUAGCAUAUUUGGUGGCUAACAUACGCAAAUGAGAGCGAGAAGAGAAGGUAAAUGCACGGUCGAGAAUCUAUGAUCAAGAAGUGAUCCUAGAACAACCUACGCCAAACAUAACUCCAACACCGUGUUCACUUCCCGGAUCCCGCCGAGAAGAGACCGUCACGGUAACACACGCGGUUGAUGCAUUUUAAUUAAGAUAAGUUUCAGGUUUUCUACAACCGGACAUUAACAAAUUUCCAUCUGCCCAUAACCGCGGACAUGGCUUUCGAAAGUUCAAAACCCUACAGGGGUGUCCCAACUUAGCCCAUCACAAGCUCUCACGGUCAACGAAGGAUAUUCCUUCUCCCAAGACAAUCCGAUCAGACUCGGCAUCCCGGUUACAAGACAUCCUCGACAAUGGUAAAACAAGUCCAGCAAGACCGCCCGAUGCGCCGACAUCCUGAUAGGAGCUGCAUAUAUCUCGUUCUCAGGGCAACACCGGAUGAACACUACGUACAGCUAAAACCAGCCCUCAAGUUUCCCCGAGGUGGCGCCGCAAGUGGCUUUGUUUUGGACCAACACUUUGACAAGCACUGGCCCGGGGGGUUAAAAUAAAGAUGACCCUUGGGCCGGCCUAACCCAAGGGAAAAAGAGGCUAGGUGGCGAAUGGUAAAACCAAGGUUGGGCCUUGCUGGAGGAGUUUUAUUCAAGGCGAACUAUCAAGGGGUUCCCAUUAUAACCCAACCGUGUAAGGAACGCAAAAUCUGGGAACAUAACACCGAUAUGACGGAAACUAUGGCGGCAAGAGUGGAACAAAACACCAGGCAUAAGGCGGAGCCUUCCACCCUUUACCAAGUAUAUAGAUGCAUUAAUUAAAUAAGAGAUAUUGUGAUAUCCCAACAAAAUAUCCAUGUUCCAACAAGGAACAAACUGCAAUCUUCACCUACAACUAACAACGCUAUAAGAGGGGCUGAGCAAAGCGGUAACAUAGUCAAACAAUGGUUUGCUAGGAAAAGGUGGGUUAGAGGCUUGGCUUGACAAUAUGGGAGGCAUGAUAAGCAAGUGGUAGGAAUCGCAGCAUAGGCAUACCAAAAGAGCGAGCAACUAGCAAGCAAAGAUAGAAGUGAUUUCGAGGGUAUGGUCAUCUUGCCUGCAAAGUUCUCCAACAAGACGAAGGCUUGAACCUCGUAAACGUACUCAACGGGCUCCUUGAACACGAACUCGUCUCCCCGGCUCUACCCAAAUCAAGAACAACAAGCAAAAGGAACACAAUCAACCAUGUGCAAUGCACAAACAACAUGAUGCAAACAUGGUAUGAUAUGCGGGAUGCGAUAUGUGAUGCAUAUGCAUGAUUCGGAAAGGAAUGAUUGAACCUGGCCUCAACUUGGAAAUCCAGGAGUCCCACUGGAAAGAGGAGUUGAUUUCGGUUGAAAUCGAUAUAAAGAUCACCGGAAUCGGACGCACGGUUUGGAAAUGACAAGCAAAACAAAUAUGGCACGGGUCUGCGAUUAACAGCACGAAGCCAUCUAAAUGCAUCAAGAUAAAUAAGCUACUGCACUCAAACAUAGCAACAAAAUACAUGGCAGGGAUCCACUCAAGAUGCUUGACAAAAGAUGAACACUGAGAUACGGCUAAUUCACUAAAUAGCAGGUUCAAACAAGCAUGGCAAAAGUGCAAACGGUAACAGGUUACAGACUUAGUGAAAUUAUCAACAUGUCAGGAAUUUAACAUCAGGAAGCAAUGUUUAGAGCAAGGUAACUACAUGCUACAAGAACAUAUAAUGAAAAAGCAAAGCAUGGCAUGAAGCUACUCAAAGUAUACAACAAAAGUUCCUUACUGACCAUAAGCCAAAAGGGAUCAGAAAAUACAAUGGCAACCAUGUGAACAUAGCAAUUAUCGUUAACAGAUUCAGACUUAGUAGAAAAACUGGAGCAUGGCAAAACAGAUAUCAAGUAGUCAUGUUUACGAGCUCGAUGCACUCACUACGAGGCAUUGUAUGACAAACUAAGCAUACACCCAGCGAGUAGACAUGGCAUAGAAGCUAGACAUGGCAAGAACAUCAUCAUAGCAUGCACGGAUCAACUACAACAAGCUCGGCAAAAUUGAUAAAUAUGUUAACAAUCUGCCAGGAACAUUUUAUAGCAAAAGUAGAGCUCGAUUGAGUCAAGCUAGGAUGCUCCACAAUUGUAAACAAAGACAUGGAUGGAUAGAGCACAACAGCAUCUACGAAACAUCCUUACUGAUCAUGCUCAAAAGAGGCAUACAUCUCUCGGUAGCAACAUGAACACAUGACAUAAAAAUAAUAACAGGACAAGGACUUAGAAUAUUUCUAAGUCCCUGAAAUCAGCAACAAUAAGUAAGCUACUUUGCAUGCUUGUGCUAGUCACCGCAAAGAUCACAAAAAUACAUGGCAUACACCCCUGUAAAGAUGAAAUGGCAUACUUCAAAACACAUGUAGAGCUCAGGAUCAUAUCAUGCACACAUUAAACAUGGCAAAAAUGACAAAAGUGCAUUUGCUGAAACAGAUCUGAAACUAUCAUCACAUAGCCCUCUUCCAACAACAUUUCAAGCAUCAAGACGAGCUCAAAUGAAAAUAAUGCAAUGAGAUGAAAUGAAGUACUCUUCGAGACGAACAUUUUGAUAUGCUACACGCACAAAUCGGAGCCACGGUGAUGAAGUUAUGAUGCGUCAAAGUAUGCAAAAUAUUAGGGUUUCGCGGAGAAGAAGUCAACCAAGGAGAUUGGAUCUGGAUGUGGCACUAUAGCGGCGCGUUUCCCGAGGAUGGCCUGGAUCUUCAUCGGAAAACUUGAACUCGCCGAAGUUGGGGAAAGGAGCCGCCAGAGAGGAGGAAGGGGUUGCCGCGGCGCGGGGUCGCCGGACUUGGCACGCGGGGUCGCCGGACUUGGCGCGGGCUCGGCGGACUUGGCUGCGGACGAGGGCGAAGCGGCGGCUGGAGAAGCUCGCGGUGGCGGGGGGGCUCCUCGGCAGGCGGCGUGGAGCCAGAGGAGGUGGGGUGACCCAGGCGGCGGGGCGCGGGGCUCUUUCCGACGGAUCGGACCUGAAGGGCCAGACCCGGGCCACGGCGGGCGUGGUGGCGGGGAGUAGAGAGAGGGCGCGGCGCGGGUGACGUGUCGUGCGCUGAGUGGGUGAGGGCGGUGGCGGCGCUGAUGUGGCGUGCGCUGAUUCGCCGGAGUGAGGUGGAAGGCGCGGUGGACAUGUCCGGCCGGUGAGGAUGCGUCCGGUGGCGCGCGGAGGAGGAGGUUAGGGUUUCAUCUGCGCGAAAAUUCCGGAAGGGACACAUAUUUAUAGGUAGAGGGAGCUAGAAAGUUCCAAAUGAGGUGCGGUUUGCGGCCACGCGAUCGUGAUCGAACGGCCUAGAUGAUGGGAGGGGUUUAGGUGAGUUUUGGGCCACUUUGAAGGGGUGUUGGGCUGCAACACGCUCGAGGCCUUAUCGGUCCCUCGGUUAUCCGUUGGAGUAUCAAACGAAGUCCAAAUGGCACGAAACUUGACAGGCGGUCUACCGGUAGUAAACCAAGACCGCAUGACAAGUCUCGGUCUAAUCCGAAAACGUUUAACACCCGCACAAGAAAAGAGGUAGAAAGGGACACCGGAUGACAUAGGAACGCCGGAAUGCAAAACGGAUAACGGGGAAAAUGCUCGGAUGCAUGAGACGAACAUGUAUGCAACUGCAAUGCACAUGAUGACAUAAUAUGAGAUGCAUGACACACAAGCAAAUGACAAGGCAACAAUAGCGAAAAACUGAAGGACACCUAGCACAUCGAUCUCGGGGCGUUACAGCCAUUGAACCACCACUGCGGCCAUCUCUGUCGGAAGCGGAGCUCCUGCUUUGGAACGUGGCCAACUGUCUGGGAGCAAGCUGCCCGCCCUCAGACAGAACCCGCCGCCAGGACGACCAAGAAGGCGUCACCGUGACCGUGCGGAUCAUCGUGCCUAAGAUAGCAGGGAUAACCGACGACCACGAGUGGAGGUUCACCAAGCACCAGGGGGCAGCCAACAAAGCGAAGCAGGCGGCGGCGCACGAGGCCGUCACGUUCCUGCGGAGUCGGUUCCGUAGCAUCCUGGACGACAGCCCCUGGAGUUCCGUCCCUCGCUACCACAGCCACGUCGAUGAGGAGGAAGAAGCAGUCCAAGAAGACAACAACUACGACGACGAAGACUACGAUCUGUUUGGGUACAAACAUUGGUACGGAGACAUGUACAAUACGGUGCUUGGUGCUUAAUUUGGCCUUCACUUGAGCGCCAUUGAUUUGCCCUACAAUACGGUGCACAGAUUGCACAAAACAUGCGCUUGAUAAUUUUUUGACAAAGCUCUACUUAUCUCUAGUUCUCUACUACUUGCAAAUAUGCCCGAGGGUUGAAGUGGGAGACAAAAAUAUUACACCAUAGCCAAAUAAGUUAUUUUUUGCGGGAAUAGCCAAAUAAGUAUAACUCAAUACCCCCGAUAUAUAUGAGCGUCCUCUAUUUUAAUAUGUUGGCCCACCAUGUUGCUACUUAUCAUUCUUCCCAUCCUCGCUCAUGAUGGUUGUGGUGUGCAUGUGAUCAUAAUGCAUUUGACGUCGUAAAUCCUAGGGGCUACGAGCUUACCACUACAUGCCACGCUUGUCAUUGCGCCGCACAAGGGAAUGUUUAUAACUUUAAAUACAAAUCUGGUCGAUCACCAAUUACUCCCAAUGCCUAGACAUAUUAAUCUUUUGAAAAACUAAUCAAAUCCUAAACAUAGAAGACUUAGCCGCUCAAAUUCUAGAGCUAUUUAGAUCAAUCUUCAGGAGAACAACUAAAAUAGACCACAUGAUAUUCUGAAAAAAUUAUUUAUGAGCAUAAUUUCAAACAGUAUGGAAAUCAAUGUUAAGUCACUGGUUUACAUAAAUCUUGUACCGGUAGUUGAUAGAGGAUUCUUAUGUGUAGAGCCGACGGAUUCUAUUAGAUGUAGAUAGUAAAUCUAACGACUGCUAUAACAAUUUUGGUAAUUUGAAAGCAUGUAUGUUGAGAUAAUUAGAAGUUCCGGGAUCACUCUUUUAGAUAUAUAUAUAUAUAUAGGAUAUGAUUGAAAUAAAACACAUUAGAUUAUAUUGAAUUGGGCUAUUGGUAGAACACUAUACUUUUUGUUCAGGGAUUGCCUACUUCCGCUUGGUCAAUAUGCAUGUGACAUUUUCUAUCCGCCCACGACACCGUUCACAAAAUUAGAAUCACCUUUACAGUUUUUAUUACUGCAUAUAGGAAUGUUAAGAUGUCACCUACUCUAUGAUUAAAUGCAUGAAUGUUUUGCCAGUAACGGCACACACCAAAAUAUAAGGUUAGGAUUGCUUUUACAAAAGUAAAGAAUGAACGCGAGUGGAUGUCUCACAACCCUCUUGAGCCGGCGCCGUGGUUCCCCUCCCUGUUCCAGGGUUCAGGUAGAAAACCCAAGGUCAUUCCUUUGGACUCGGUGGGGGUGAUGCUCUACGCCUUUACCCUGUUUGGUGCUUUGCAGUAAAGCUGUGGUACCUUUCGGUCACAGUGGGAUGUUGUCUUAGGGCAUGCUUGGAUUAUACCAUGGAGUCUGUUGGGUUCCAACGUGGGAUGGUCCAGUUGGUCUGUUAUCUUCUACACGUGACUUUGUUGGCAACCCUAUUAGCCCCUACUGCUCCUUGGUCCGGAGUGAGAGGGAAGGUGGCCCUCUCCGACGGCAAUUGAGCGAGGGCUUUGUGGCAAGGUUCAAUGGUUCUUCUUGAAGAUGUGAGCUUGCUCAGCGUCGACACGGGGACUGAAUUGCUAUAGUCCGGCUAAUCAAGUAUGGUGCAGCCGUACCACUUGUAGUAUGUCUCAUGUGUGUUGUUUAUGUUACAUCUUUUGUUGACAGUUUUUUCUUUCAUCUAUUUUAUAAAAGGAUUUUCUUGUCACCUAGUAUUGUUCGUCCGUCUGGGUUUACCUUAUUUAUAAUACGGAGCGGAAGUAUAUUUUUUGAAAUACUAGCGAAAAGUGCCCAUGCGUUGCAACGGGAAAUUAAAUUUGUCACAAAUAUUUAAGUAUUGUAGCACAACGCCGCACUUCAGGUACAUGACAGUAGAUGCAUACUCUUGCCAAUGCAACUUUCAACAUUGUGGCUCGCUUCAGGAGAUAAUUUGUGUGGCAUCUCCAUUAAUACAUCUGAGCUCUAUCUUUGACCUCCCGUUCCUUGGCUACAGAUAACACUGUCAGUCGCUCAUUUGUUUCCCCUUUCCUCACUGAACAAACAGCUAGUCUCCUACAGGCCAUUACCUUUUUCAUGGACAUAAUCUGCCAAGGUCACAUUAUUCUAGAUUGCCUUGUAAAAGCAAGUUGUUUUCUCGGGAUUGGAUGAAACCUGUAAAAAAGAUCCUUCUAAUGUUGCUGCCCAAAAGCUUAUGUUGGUUUUAUAUAACUAAGAUAUUCACUACCUUCCAUUACCUCAAAAAAUCUCCCGUGUCAGAGCUCCAAAUUGUGGCACUUUCCUCUAACGAAUUCUUCAGUGUUGACAAUUGAGCAGAAUAAAGAACAAUAAGGAGAAGUCAUUUGGUACUCCAUGAAUCCGCGUUUGAACAGAAUAAAGAACCACUCUCUCCUCUAAACUUAGUCAGCACAUGCAUCUUCUAUGGAUGAAGUUUACUCAGCUCUGUUUAAUCCGCCCACAGGAAUAGAAUCUCCUGUGUGUAUUGACCACCAUCAUGGCACUGACAAUGCCCACAACGGUAUCAACCCAAUACCCCUCCCGCUCUGCUCUAUCCCCUGCCUUCGUUUGUCACUAUGCCAGAGGACGUCGCUGCCGGGAUCUGGAUGUUUCAUAGAAAGCUUGUGCACCCAAUCAUCCUACAUCCUGAUGUCAUAUGACAAAAGAAUCCAUCGGAAACAUCAACACAAAAUCAAGAAUUUCUAUGUCGCUUAGUCAUCUGCGAAUCUAGCAUCAUAUUCGAUUUCAUUAAGCAUAUAAAAGAUAUUGCCCUGAUAAAGUGAUAAUUUUUCAAACACAAAUUUCUUGUGGAAUUAGCACAUACAUUUUCUUGGCAACCAAAACUCAGGUUCUGCGUAUUACACUGUAGUAAUGUAAUGGGUAUCAUCGAUCUUCUGAAACAUAAUAAGAAGGGCUAGCUUAUAAAAUAAAAACAUCGUUUUACAGCUCCAUAAGUAUUAGCAAACAUGACAUGACAGCAGGAGUGACAUUGUCUAGGAAAUGUGCCCGUGCGUUGCGGCGGGAAAAUAAGUACCCGUGCACCUGCUGAAGAAAUGUGUAAACCAUCAAUCGAGAUCUUCCCAAUUGCAUGACAUGAGAAACUGUAAUUCUCCUAGUGCAGACAUUCAACAAAGCAAUUAAAGCAAAGUGUAACAUUCCAAAGCUAAUAAAAAGAUUUUCUUUCUUAUACCAUAGGGAAAGUUCACAAAAUCUGCAAUCAAGCAAAAAAACGAAUUUCACUAAAGGUUAUGAACAAAGAAAAAACAUUUAUAACUCUUAAAAAGAUUUAAUUCAUUGUUGAAGAUUGAUUGAAGAUGAACAGAUAAAUUCAAGUGUCAUGAAGUUGCAGUGACAAGAUAAUUUGGCUCCAUUAGGAAAAGGAUUACAAAUGAAAUAUUUUGAUGCAGCAAAGAACCAGCACAACAUUUCAGUGAAAAUAAAAAUAGAAUGCUAGAGGCACCUCUAAAGGAAUGAUUUGCUAGGUUAUCGAAUACCACUAAAAGAGCAUCAACACCUCUAAAUGAAUGAUCUGACUGACGAGGUACCACCGAAAGAGCAUCAACUUCACCUUCUUGUAGACCAUCGUCAGAUUACAGUCUUAUCUAUGGAUGACUACUAUAACAAUCUUGAGUCAUAGGAAAAAGAAGACAAAAUCUGAUCAAAGAAAAAAGCGAGAACACAUCUUAGAAUUGUAGUCUUACUUAAAGAUAAUUGCUGGAAUGGUCAGACUCUUAACUAAUCAUCGACACACUCUUUGGUGUCGCCUCUUUAUGCCCAUAUCUAACAUAUAUACAAAUGCUAGCAUACGUAAACUCAAGCACAAUUGUAACUCUUAGCCAGAUGCAUUAACACUGUCCUAGGGAUCAUCCUGCUGUCUCAGGUAGUCGCGCCACUUUCUUUUCUUUGUGGUGUGGUUACUCUGACAAUCACACACCUAUCCUCUUUUUUUAAAAUGAUCGGAAUGGCGGUUCCAUUGCCAAGACAAAACAAAUCAGACGCCACAAUCUUGGAUUACCACAAUGCAUUGUAUUGUAAGAAAACUUCGAGAUCACUAUUAAUUUUAAGAUGCCACAACAAUACAUCCAUCCUCUUCAUAUCAUCAAGACAAAAACAAGAUUACAUAUUUUGCAGCGGAUUAAGAUAACAAUUUCAACUGAUGCCAGGGUUUCUUUAGAAAUACAACAUUACAAACUGUAGGCUCCUUGUAGAGAAAGAUCGGAUAUAUUGAAGAUACAAUCCACCAAAUAGGACUACCCAACAGAUUAAAAAUAAUGCAAUCAUGUCCAGCAAUGACUUCACUAUCCAUGUCAUUGUUGUUAGUGGGCACGACAAAAUAUCCGGUGGAGACUCUGUCUCCCGUGCACCACACAAUCUCCGGUGGUUCCCAGCUAAGCUAGGCUCGCUCGAAUCACAAUUUGGCAGACGACAUUGUUAUAUCAUCACUAAUGUUUGAAUUAGAAUUUGGGAUACCCGUCAUGCAAACAGAAUAAUCAGCUUCUCUGUUUCUAUAAACAAAAAGUAAACACACUCCAUCAGUGUGUAACUGCAACUAUCAACACCAGGCCAUAAAUUUCUUAGAUUUUGAAUCCAGAUUGAACUAUAGAUUUAUUAGCAAAAAAGACUGCAUCUGAAAAAACAAAUAUUGUACCAGAACAUGCAUUUGUAGAACUUGAUACCAUGGAAAUAAAGUAUGGUGCAAUGGAAAUAAUAAUAAACUUGAUCAAGAAAUUUUCUGAUUAGCACGGUACUUGCAAGGUAUUACGACUGGACCACUACUGAACGACUACUGAAACAUAUAUAUGUUUAUAGCUCCACAUUCAAUGCGAAAAUAUGAAGAUUGUUAGCAAAUCCAUUGAGAGUAGCAUUGGUACAUAUGCAAAUCAUCAUACUAAUUAGAAGAGCAUACCCUGCGACCUGCGCCUCCUCGGUCACUACAUCGAGCCCAGUCUUCUUCGCAGUCGCCUUGGACUUGGCAGCAUGCAGCCCCUGCCCCUGGUGUGUCCAUGUUGUUUGCCACAAUUCUCCAGUCCAUGGUGCCAAUCCUUGUGAACUGCCAAGUUUCAGUACCAAUGCAAAAGAAGAGUAACUAUUCAAAUCAACCUAGUGCAAGCUGCUACCUGGCACUUGCAGCUGCCAUUCAGACUGUGACAAGAUGGUUUUAUAAGAACUUAUGCAAUUUCCCUAUGAAAGCUCUAAUGCAAACACAUUAAUUACACAUAUCUGAUACAAUCAUGGUUGCCAUCUUGAAAAGAAGAUCUCGCACAUGGACUGACAUAUUUUAAGCACAAUAUUACAAUCUCCAUCACAACGGUUCAGAGAUGAAUGUAGGCAUAGAAAAGUAACUGAGAAUUUCUAAAACUCAUAUCUGACGAAACUCGAUAGUCAAAACUUUUCACCAACAGAAUAUAUACAUGGAUCAGUGUGCAGCGCAUGUAAUAAUUAAACACAGGGCAAAAGGACUAUAUAACAGAAAACCUGGAGCAUUUCAUUCUGCUACUGCUACUGAAUAUCAAGGUGUUUUUCAGAUAUCAAGGUAGGCCUCUGCUAUUUCUAUGGCGUUCACAUCCCCUAGCGCAUUUCUACUGCUACUGCUACUGUAUAUCUAAAAAAAUUCACCAUCAGAAUAUAUACAUGUUCUCACUACUGCUACUGAAUAUCAAGGCAUUUUUCAUAAUGCAUUUUUCCAGGCUUCAGCUUACAUGCUUUUUCCUGAUAUAUUUUCAGAUUAGGCUCGCCCGUUACCAUACAACUUUUAGAACGAAUAAAUCAUAUAUUACACAGAAACUGCAGAGAGAAAAAUAGGAUAAGGGAAAGAACCUUGAACCACCGACACACACAACUUCCAACAUAGAACCUCUGGUGAAGUUGCAACAUUUGCAUCUCUUCAAGCGGCAGUCCCCUAUGCUAAGUCUCUGCUUCUAAGCUAAUCAGUAAAACAACACCAACAAUCAAUUAUUCGGUUUAUUAAAUCUACAUGCUAUUUGAGCCAUUGUAAUCUUUACUCACAUGCAUUUGUUAGAAAAUUAGGGGCAUCCUGAAGCAAACAAACAAAUUAAGAGAAGACCAAAACAAAGGAGAAACACGGUUAACAACGGCCUGAAGUUCUAUUUUUGUCAUACCGUAAUACAUAAGAAUAUGUGACUAAAACAUUUCUAAACAGAGGACUGACAGACAUGGCAUAUUUAAUACCAUGGAGGCUUAAAUUGUGUGUGACCUAUGUGGUUGUGAAUUUCGUCAAAUUCAAAUGAAAGGGCUUCGGAGACUACCUUGUAAGUUCUUCUACAGCAUAAAUCUCUUUGCAUCAUUCGAUUCUUACUUUGCAAACAGCAGUAGCCAUUAUAUGAGGGCUAUAGUAUGUUUGAUUGACACAUCAUGUGCACCAAUGUGUAAACCUGAGUUCAACACCUGCCAUCACAUUCAGUUAUUCACUUUCUCAUCUUAGAAGCCCCAAACUGAUUAAAAACGGGAAAAAUGAUAAUACAUCAGGAAAUAUAAAAUGCAUAGCAACAACAAGCAGGAGCACAUUUAGGCUGCAGUACAGCCUAAAAAUUGCCGACCAAAUUUAAGCACGGUAAAAUAGUUAUAAGCAGAUCCAUGACAUAUAUAUUCUUACCGAAUUGGUGGCCUAUCUCCAAGUAUUUCAUUCUUCAUUCUAGAAAUUUGUCAAGAGCACUACUGGACAAACUGAAAUUGCACCGGAGGCAAGACAAAGAUCAGAAGAUAUAUGUUGCUUCCCUGGGUGAAUGUCCAGAUUCAAUUCGCUCGCCGUCCGCCCCUGCGUGUCCUCCACAUGAAAUUAGCAGCUACUGUAUCAAAAUAGUAGCAUCAGCAGCAUCAAUCAACAAACAACAGGAAAGCAGCAGUAUAAUAUGCAACUAACAGGAGCACACCAGCAACGCACAACAUACAGAGCAAUCGUCCCUCUCACCUGCCCUCCCUGCACCAGCAGCGCACCAGACCAUCCUCGUCCUCGUCCAUCUCCCCCUGGGAGCCCGUGCCUACCCUCGUUUCUCUCCUUUCUCCCAGUUUUCUCUCUCCCUCUCCCUCGUCCUCCCUCCUUCUCUUCUAGCAGCACGCCAGAGCAACCAUGGUGCCGCCCCCGAGAACCCCUAACGCCUUGCAAGGUCCCGCCGCCACUAUCCUGGAUUCGGCCGUCGACGAAGUUCAAGGGGCGGCGCGCGGCGGGGCGGGGCGGGAGGUGGAGGCGGCAGGGGGUGCGGGGCGGGGCGGGGCAGGAGGUGGCGGUGUCGGGGACGGGCGGCGCACGGCGGUGUCGGGAGGGGUGCGGUGAGGCAGGGCGGGGCAGGAGGUGGCGGCGGCUGGAGGUGGAGAUGGAUCGAGGAGGCAGGGUGGUGCGGGCGGCUGAGCUAUUUUUUUCUCUCUCUUCCGUACCGGUUCAGGCUGACUUAUGACAAGGACUGUGGCUUAAUUUCUAAGAAAAAAGGAGACUUUUUUGCAAAAAGACUGACGACGGACGACCAGAAACAAUCGGUGGUUUAUUAGUAGGUAGAGAAAAGAAAACGACCCCACAGGCCUGAAACUACCAAUGGAUAGGGAUGGGGAAACAAUACAUUAAAUAAAAAGGUUGAGAAAAGAAUGUUUGAGUUCAGGUCCCCAACUAAAUCGAUUUACUAUGGACUCUUCACGGGGCGUAUCCCAAAGAAUAAUUGGGUUUCUUUACUAGUAGAGUACCCUACAAACAAAUCGCGUUUAAUACGAGCAAUACGUAGUUAUUACGUGCUGUUCCCAAAGAUACUCCUAUCGCUCAUUGUUCGUGUUGAGUUGCUCGACAAGAUCUCUUUGGAGCCUUGCCAUGCGUUGCGUGGCGGCGAUCAUCAUGCUACCGGCGAAGAAACUAGCGGGGCACCACCGCAGUCCGUGGUCCGACCUCCCGCACGAUCUGCUUACAACCAUCCUCGUCCGGCUCACCGCGACCUCCCCGGCCCUUCGCGACCGCGCCCGCUUCGGCAGCGUGUGCCAGACCUGGCGCGCCGCCGAGCGAGCCCACCCGCGCCCUCCCAUGGCAUGGCUCGUCGCCCCUGGGCACUACGUCAGCCUUCACGACGCCGCCAUCUAUCGCGUCCCGCUGCCUGAGGACGCCGCCGCUGCCACCUGCCUUGGCUCCUUCGGCGACUGGCUCGCCCUCGUGCCGCCGGUGUCAGGGCGCCCCUUCUUGCUCAACGCUUUCACCAAGGAGCGGAUCAAGCUGCCGCGGCGGACCAAAGAGCCGAUGGUUAAGUUUGUCAUGUCUUCCGCGCCGGACGCCCAGGGCUGCACGGUGGCUGCCAUUGUUGAGAUUGGAGACGGCGCGUAUAUACCGAGAUCUAAGAUCGUCGUCUGCCACCUGAGGCGGGGACGACUGCAAGGGCGCUCCUGGGAGAUCUUGACUAAGGCGUUCAGGCUCCAAGAUAUCAUCUUCUUCGAGGGGAAACUCCAUGCCCUUGACAUCGAAGCCCGCCUCCACGUCUUCCAUGAAGAAGACCUCCAACAGCGCCCUGAUCAGCGGUGGAGCAUGCCGUCUGCGAAGCAGCGAUUCCACGACGUCAAGCUGUACCUGGUUGUCCUCAAUGGGAGCCUGCACAUGGUCGGCAGGGGCUUAGGGACGACCCGGUGGACGACAUUCACCAACAAUAUAGGGAUCUUCGCGCUCGUUGGGGAGAUGGCGAAGCCGCCGGCGCCGGUCAAGGACUUUGACGGCCACGCGAUCUUCGUCGGCGACGCCUGUUGCGACGCUUUCGUAGUUGAGGCAGCUGCUUUAGGCCGCAUGAUAAGAGAGAACCAGAUUUGUUUCGUCGACGACGAGAAGAACAUGCGACGGCCUUUCCGGCUGCUGCAAUCCUACGACGUGCGCAAUGGCUGCCUCCGCGCAUAUGGACCCAACACCGCCGCGGUGGGGACCUGGCGGUGCGUCACAGCACAGCGCUUCCCGCAGAGCAGCGCCAUUGGACCACCGCCGCUGGCGUCUCUAUCGGAGGCGGAGCUGCUGUUGUGGAAUGUGACCAACUGCCUAGGAGCAUGGGACCGGCCCUUAUAUACAACGCGCCAUCAGGAUGAUGGCGCAGGCGUCGCCGUGACAGUGGAGAUUGAGGUGCCCAAGACAACAAGAAUAAUGGAAGGGGAAGAGCCCCUCCUGGAGUGGAGUUUCACGCAGCACCGGGCGUCAGCCAAGAAAGCGAAGCAGGCGGCGGCGCACGAGGCCGUCACGUUCCUGCGGAGUCGGUUUCGCAGCAUCCUGGACGACAGCCCCUGGAGCUCCGUCCCUCACUACCAUAGCCACGUCGACGAGGAGGAAGAAGCAGUCCAAGAAGACGACGCCGAAGGCGGCAGUUUGUUUGGGUAUAGACAUUGGUACGGUGACAUUUAAUACUAGCUAGGUGCUCUACUUUGGCCUUCCGUUGAGCGUCAUUUGCUUUACCUCUGCAAAAACGUGCUGGGCGUGUGCGAAAUAUGCGCUUGAUUGGAGAGAUCGAGAACACACGGUGAAUAUUAAGGAAAGGAGAGCGAGGGGAAGAGGGGGCAGCCCUCGGCCCGAUCAUCCAAUUCGCUCCGACGAUCCAGGCAUGGUUCAGUAGUCAAAGCAACUUCGUCACUUUCGUGUACCCAUCGGACGGCAGCCCUUUCGGGGGUUCCUUAGGGACCGAUUCACUCUGCGUAGAUUGACUGAUAAAAGCUCAGCUUAUGGUAGAAGAAUAGAAAAAAGAAACCUGGGCUGUUGGAUUAAAUAUGGACGGCACAGAUUGGAGUGGAGGCAUCUCAGACAACUUAUUGUACAUUUCACGAAAAACCCCCUACUACCAGUUAGAUGUAAAACAUGACUUUUGCAGUAAGAACCCCAACUUUCUCAUAUCCAAUCGUUGUAUCCCAAUUUCAAAUCUUCACAUCGUCGAUGCCCAAAUUGUACAAUGGUUGCUUGUACUAGAUCACUGAUUAUGCAAAGAAAACUUAAUAUGGUUAAGCCAAUCUGUUCCUAGUUCAUCCCAUGCUGGACCGCCCCAAACACAAAUAUGAGAGUACAUGUCAAGCACAAAUUUCUGAAUACAUGUCUAAGUGGAUCAUCCUGAGCAGAAAUAUUAUUAUCUUGAUAGCACAUGAAAGAAAAAAAUAUUCCCUUUGCCUCUAGUUAUAGUGCUUCUUGCUCUUCAGUCUUCAUGUGCUGGAAAAGAUGACACCAAACAAAUCCUUCAGUUUGAGUACAAGACGUGCAAGGGCACCUAAAGUAUUUGCUCAUGAGCUAAUCAAAUGAAUAUGCAUCAACAAUACAUUGUACUAGCAGGACUGCAGGAACAUAUCUGCUCCCUACUAGCAGAAAAAAAAACUUAUUUCCCAAAUUAUUUUUACCACCGUGAUUGUCUAACUAGAGAGAUGAUAAUGUUAAGCUUAGCAUCCAGUCCUUCAUUUUGUUAUGCAGAAAUUAACAGAUAAUGGACCAAUCCAUCACAAGCACAGGGAGGAGCUGAAAGUAAAAAUGAUUUAUCCUUCAUUACACUGAAGUUGUUAUUCUGAUUGAUUCCAUUGGACAACAAGUAUUACUUUAAAAAAUGCAUGGUUAAAACUUAAAAGGAACACUUUUCUGGAGCACUGAUAUGACAUUGCAAUGCCAGCACUUUCUUAUUGCUGCCCACGAAUUUUGGUUCUAAAAAAGAAAAUUGAAACUCUAACAGCAACAAACAAAUAAAUAUAUUACGAGGGCACAAAGGCAAGUCCGCACACAGAUCGAAAGCAAAAAACAUGAGUCAAAUACAUGGAAGAGAACCAUUUUCUGCUCUUGUAUGUAGAGACUAGAGAUUCUAAAAAAAAAUCUUGCUUCAAUCAUAAUUUCACUCAACAAGUUCAGAGCCUUACAAGUUUUUCUAUGGAGAAUCAGUGAGGGUUUAACAGCAAGUAGAAUUCUUUACCUCCUUAAGACCCUGAUUGGAGGCCUUGUAUACGCUUGUAAAUAGUUUACCGGUGUAAUUUAUUAUCCCAUAGAAGCAACCAGUAUUUUACCGGUGAUAUUUCAAGAUUGCCGACCGCCGUGGUCAAGCCGUCAUUCAGGAGUCGCGUCUUCAAGUGCCCGCGCUCUCCGCCUGAUUCAGUCUGCAUGCCACCUGCUCCUUGCCGCCUCAACCUGAUGGUCGGCGGGAGCUCCGACCAUGCACCGCCAAGCAGUGCGGUGCACCCACAUCAGGGACCUGCGGAGGGUGUCAAUCCUACAGUCAGUGUUGCCGAUGCCUCGUCCCGUUGCCCGUGGCUUCGUCCGGCGACGCGUCCGCUCGUACCGUCGAUCGAUAGAGAGAGAUGAAUGCUAGGCAAGAAACGACGGACAGAGCAGUGUGUUGAAACCGCGGAAUAUAGGUGUAUUUAGCAAAACCGGUGUAAAAAAAUACGAACUGAAACGACUAACCACGUAAUUAAAGGCCGUCCAUUUUAUUUUAUGGAUGUAUACCUUACCAGUGUACUGGGCAGAAAAACUAUGUUCCAAUUGUAAGAAUUAUGGAAGCGUUCCUACUCCUCGAGAGAGCCGGGUGGUCUGUAUAUAUUAGGACGAGAAGAAGCCCUCGUCGUGGCAUACAAGAAGAGGAUUUGAUUACAGGAAAGAGAUUCAAACUAUUACGGGAGAGAGAUAGAAUAUGGUUGAGAUUACAUGUGGAGAUAAACAUAAACUCUAACACCCUCCCUUAAUCUCAACUAUCCUACAUUCAAAGUCCUCUUGAACUCCUCAAAUGGUUUUGCUGGAAGUGCUUUAGUGAAUCCAUCUGCCACUUGAUCUUUGAAAGGAAUGAACCGUAUCUCAAGUUUUUUUGCUGCCACCCUUUCUUGCACAAAAUAAAAGUCAAUCUCUAUAUGCUUAGUUCUUGCAUGAAACACAGGAUUGGCAGACAAAUAAGUUGCUCCCAAAUUGUCACACCAUAAGCACGAUAUACGGUUCUGUUUAACUCCCAUCUCAUCCAAUAAUGACUCAAUCCAAAUAAUCUCUGCAGUAGCAUUGGCCAAAGACUUGUACUCAGCUUCCGUACUUGACCUAGACACAGUGGCUUGUUUCGUGGCACUCCAUGACACAAGAUUAGGACCAAAAAAUACUGCAAAGCCUCCAGUUGAUUUUCUGUCAUCACUGCAACCUGCCCAGUUAGCAUCAGAGAAAGCAAUAACAAGAGUGGAACUAGAGCGUCUGAAAUGAAGUCCUAUCCCCAUAGUAUGCUUGACAUAUCUUACAAUUCUUUUGACAGCUGACCAAUGUGCAGUAGUAAGUGCAUGGAGAUAUUGACAAACCUUGUUAACCGCAAAGGAGAUAUCUGGACGAGUGAGUGUCAAGUAUUGUAGUGCACCAACAGUACUUCUAUACUUUGUACUAUCUUCCUCCUGAAGUGACUCCCCUUCAUAUGCUGACAAUUUCUCUGAAGAUGACAAAGGUGUAGGCACAGGCUUGCAAUUUGUCAUCCCCAUGCGGGAUAGAAGCUCAUUGACAUAUUUCUCUUGACUUAACACUAUACCAUCUUGAGUUUUCUUGACUUCAAUGCCUAGAAAGAAGUGCAAGUCUCCCAGAUCCUUCAAGGAAAACUCUGAGCUCAAAUUAUGCAGGAGAGCAUUAGUAGCACUUUGUGAUGAACUUGCAACUAUAAUAUCAUCCACAUAAAUGAGCACAAAGAUUACUACUCUUGCCUUGUUAUAAAUAAACAGAGAUGUAUCAGCUUUGGAAGCAAUAAAACCAAGACAUUUUAAUUGCGAGCUCAACCUGAAGUACCAUGCUCUGGGUGCUUGUUUUAAGCCAUAGAGUGCUUUAUCAAGUUUACACACAUAAUGUGGUGUCUUCUUAUUCUCAUACCCAGGUGGUUGUCUCAUGAACACCUCCUCUUCGAGAACACCAUGCAAAAACGCGUUCUGUACAUUUAGUUGUCUUAGACUCCAUCCUCUAGACACAGCAAUAGCCAACACAAGUCUUAUAGUUGCAGCUUUUACAACAGGACUGAAAGUAUCUUCAUAGUCUAUGCCAUACCGUUGUUUAAACCCCUUUGCAACUAGACGGGCCUUAUACCUGUCAAUGGAGCCAUCUGCCUUUUUCUUAAUCAUGUACACCCAUUUACAGUCAAUAAUAUUUUUACCUCUUUGAUCAGGUACAAGAUGCCAAGUCUUAUUCCUCAUCAGUGCAGAAUACUCCCCAUCCAUUGCUUUUCUCCACUUAGGAUCACCAAGUGCAUCUCUUAAUGUUGUUGGUUCUCCUGAAAUACAUAACAUGCCAUAUGGUAUAGUGCCAUCUUUCCUUAUUUUCAGAUUACGUAUACCUAUUUGUAGCAUGGUCAUAACUUGAGAAGAAACUGCUGCUGGCUGCUGUAUAGGCAUGUGCACAGAAUCCGCAGAAGAUCCUCCAGCCGCUGACCCGUCAGGUGAUGGUGCGCCAGGGUGCAGAGAAGAUCCAGUGGUCCACGAUGUGGCCCCCCGGCUACUGGACGCUCGGGAACCCGCAGGGCUUGUGGGCACAGAAGAUCCACCAUCCGCCGCUGGCACUUGCAUGCGCACGCGGUGCAGAGCGGAUCCGAUGGCGCGGCUGUCCCCGCGGUCGGGUGACGCCGUAGCGCGGGAGUGGCCGCUCCAGGAGCCUGGCCCGCUGUCACCUGCAGCGAGAUCCGAGGGAGAUGCGCCCCCGGGAUUCGAUACCUGCAAACGGACAGGGGUGGAAGGCGCCGCCAAAUCAGCUCCGGGAUCUGCACCAGCUUCAUCCCCUUGUGGAGCAUGAAAUAAUACAUCAUUUUGGACCAUAUUUUCAUGAUUUUGAUUGUUUUGACCACCGUUUUCGCCAGCAACCUGCACAGGCAUAAGAUUGGAACUAGGCACAGCAGAAUCAUCAGCAUAUUGGUUAGUACAAUUGUCUUCCCCAUGUUCAAAGUUUCGAAAAUUUGAUAGAGAAGAAGAAUUUCCUUGCGGAGAAGAGCACCUGCAUUGGGAUGAAGCGAUGCAAAAGGGAACACGGGUUCAUCAAAAACAACAUCUCGAGAUAUGUAGACCCUGCCGGUAGGAACAUCUAGGCAUUUUACCCCUUUAUGCAUAGGGCUAUAGCCUAAGAAGACACACUGUUUUGAGCGAAAAGUAAGUUUACGUGUGUUGUAGGGUCGAAGAUUUGGCCAACAUGCGCAACCAAAGAUACGAAGAGAUGUGUAAUUAGGUGUUACCCCAAGAAGCCGUGUGAUGGGUGUCUCAAGCUGAAUGACUUUGCUUGGAAGCAAGUUAAUGAGAUAGGUAGCAGUUAAGAAGGCUUCAUCCCAAAACUUGAGUGGCAUAGAUGCAUUUGCUAGUAAUGCAAGACCUACAUCAACAAUAUGACGAUGCUUUCUUUCAGCUGAUCCAUUCUGUUGAUGAGCAUGAGGGCAAGCGACAUGAUGUGAGAUGCCAAGUUUUUGAAAGAAGGAGUUGAGUUUCUCAUACUCACCACCCCAGUCGGUUUGCAUAGCAAUGAUCUUAGAAUUCAGUUUGCGUUCAACAAGAUUUUGAAAGUUAAUAAAAACUUGGAAGACAUCAAACCGCUUCUUUAACAAGUAAAUCCAAGUAAAUUUACUAUAAUCAUCAAUGAAGCUUACAUAAUAGGAAAAUCUAUCAACUAAGGUGGGGGCUGGCCCCCAUACAUCUAAGAAUAUAAGUUGUAGUGGAGCAUUGGAUACACUUGUAGAAAUAGGAUAGGGUAACUGAUGACUUUUGGCCUGUUGACAGGGACCACAAACUGACUCAACACUGGACUCAUAUGAGAGUUUAUUUUUACUAAAAAUAUAACUAACAAUUACUGAAGAUGGAUGACCUAAACGACUAUGCCACUUUGCUGAAGAUGGCUUGGUGACGACAUAUGCUUGUUUGUUGAACCAAGAUGAUGAUGAUGAUGAUGAUGAUAUGAGUGGGUAGAGACCUCCCACUCACCGUCCUCUAAGAAUGAUUCUCCUUGUUGCUAGGUCCUUAACCAAGAAAAAGUGAGGAUAAAACUCUAUAAGAACAUUGUUGUCAAGAGUGAAUCUAUGGACAGAAAUAAGAUUUUUGAAUGUUUCGAGAACAUGUAAGACAUCUUUCAAGUGCAGAUGUUUUACGGGGUUUUUAACAAUCGUACUGCCAAUAUGUGUGAUCUCCAUACCUGAACCACUUGCCGUGUGAAUUUGAUCGCCUUCAUUGUACCUUUCCCGCAUUGUCGGCUUGUCAAGUUCGCCGGUAAUGUGGUUUGUAGCUCCGGAGUCAGCAUACCAAUUCGUAUCCACACCGUAGGAGACAGCAUGUGCCCCCUUCUCCUCCUGGUCGUUUUCUUCAUAGCGCCACCAACAUGAGCGUGCACCCCCUGGAUGAUGUUUAAGACAGAUCUGACAUUCAGGGUAGUCAUGCUGUUGAUCACGCCCGAGCUGCUGUUGUUGUCGAGAACGUCCUCUGUUGCCGCCGCCUCCACCGGCAGGAGAGGGCUGUAGAUCGCCACGACCGCGCCCCCUUCCUCCUCGCCCGCGGUAGGAUCUUCCACGAGCUUGGCCACGGCCUCUGUACGCCGCAUUAGCAGAAGUGUGGAAGCUGCCUGAUGAUGGAUCGCCGAGCAUCUCCAUCCUCUGGUCAAAGGCGAAGAUUUGCGCAAAAAGAUCAUCUGGCGUAAUCUGAUUCUUGACAACACCAAUUGCCGCAACCACCGGAUCAUAGUCACGAUCUAGUCCUGCCAAGAUAUAGUCCACCAUCUCCGGAUCUGACACCGGACGGCCAGCAACAGCUAGUUCAUCUGCAAGAUUCUUCAUCUUCGACAUGAAAGCAGAGCUUGACAUAGAGCCCUUCUUGGUUGUGGUGAUCCAAUCCUCAAGUUUGUGAUCCUGGACUGCGACUGGGAAGCGAAGAGCAUUGUCACGGUUGUCCAAAGCUCGAAGGUGGAUUCCUUCCCAACAACCUAUCCAAGAAUUUCUGGUGUCAUAGAGUUUAGCAGAUAUGAGAGGACCUGUUGAUCCUUUGCGAUCCAUGGCCCAUACAGCGGGUUCGGCUCCAUGGCCGAGGUCUUGUCCGCCUUGGUGAUCUCCACGGUCUUGGGUGGAACGGCAUCGGAAUUAUCCAAGAGUCCUGUCACCUGUGCUCCUCGCAGGGCAGGUAAGACCUGCGUCUUCCAGAGGAUGAAAUUUCCUCUCGCAAGCUUCUCUGAUGGAGGCGCGCCAAGGUUGAGGGCGACUCCUGUUGAUGAGGACAUGAUGACGCCGCCGAUGUGUUUGGGGUUUGAUUUUUGUGGCUAGAUGUGUAUGGAAGAGGAUGCUCUGAUUACCAUGUAAGAAUUAUGGAAACGUUCCUACUCCUCGAGGGAGCCACGUGGUCUGUAUAUAUUGGGACGAGAAGAAGCCCUCGUCGUGGCGUACAAGAAGAGGAUUUGAUUACAGGAAAGAGAUUAAGGGAGGGUGUUAGAGUUUAUGUUUGAGAUUACAUGUGGAGAUAAACAUAGACUCUAACACCAAUCAGUCCCUAAAGCACACAAGAGAGAGUUGUAUAGUUCCGCUGUUUCAGCCAAAGAUAGAAAUGUGAAUGGGAGAUGAAUUCUAAUUAAGCUUGAUGUGAUUUUGAGUUUUCUAAAAGGGGUUGUGGUUGCCAGUCAUGUGAAAGAGAUGGAUAUGCUACUUCUUGAACAUAUGACAGUACAAAUAUGAGCUAUGAUGACACUUGUUGACAAUGUGCAAUCUUCGGACCAAUGUGUUUUUGGAUAUCAUACAACAACAAACAACAUGCUUUGUUUAAACAAUAAUGAAACUCAUUAAAAAAACAAUAAUGAAACCAGUCAAAGCCAUACAAGUUGUUCACUGGUAAAUACAGUACUAAGCAGCACAUGAGAGGGGAGAAGCCAUUAGAGAGAAAUCUGUAGGAGGAGGGAGAGGGGGACUGGAGUUGGAGAAACGGUGCUGACCUUGAUGCUGAGCCUGCGAGGCGAAGAAGGCGAGCAGAUCGAGCACCACCAGCUUGCCUACGGUGAGAUACUGCUGGAUCUAGGAGUACCGGGGAGGAGGCGACCGUGGAGGCAGCACCGCCCACUCGACCACUACCAGCUUGGCUCCGGAAAGGUACAAAUGGGCAGCUGAGCGGGUGGGGAGCCCGUGGUCAUCGGGGUGGAGGAGACCGUGGCGGCGGCAGCCCGGUACCUGACGAGGAUGUGCAGCGCGUCGUCGGGAUGCGCAGUAGAGGGAGCCAAGAGGCCUGGAAUCCGGGGUGGGAGGGGGAGGAGGCAGGGAGCAACUGCCCAGGGAGUAGUCGUCGUCCACCAGAUAAGCACCAGAUCUGUGCAGCCGCCACCGUCGACGAGCGAUAGGGGAACAGGAGAGCUAUACGGAGAUCAGUCCUUUGAAGAAGAAGGACCUGAAGCAGAUUAGUAGGGAGCGAAGGGAUAUUUUUGCACAAAAUCAUAUACUUAUGAGUACAGACCCCUUCGCUCCAAUCUAUGCCAUACGUCCCAAAUCCAACGGUCCAGAAUCACUUUUCUAUUUUUGCACCUGAUGUGCAGAUUCUAUACUAGUCGCUCCCUGUUUAUGCAAUCUAUACCUAUUAUUAAAGGAAGGUGAUUUGGUUUCGUCCCGCUUCGUUUGGUCACGCUUCAAUUAAUUUCACAUACGCUAUUUGGUUUCAUUACUUAUCACCCGUUUUGACCCAACGGAGGAAUCCCGUCUGGCAGCGCACGUGGCCCAGGUUCGGAGAGCUGGCAAAAAAUAAAAUUGUCGAUGGGAGGGUUCGAUCUCAUAACCUACCAAUCGACCACGCACAGUUUAUCCAACUGACCUAGCUAGAGAUAUGAUAGCAUUUUUUUCUCCCGUUGCAACGCACAGGCCUUUUUGCUAGUGUUAUAAAAAGAGAGAAAAGCAUACUUUUCGUCCCUUGAUUCUUGGCGGAGUUUGGAUUUGGUCCCUCAACUUCAAGGACAACUUGCACCGCUAACUACUGAAACCGGACAAGAUUCAUCCCUCAUCACGGUUUUGACCGGCUUUGACUGCAUCGACUCAAAUUCAUGUAUUUUUUCCAAGUCCGCAAAUUAUUAUUUUUCAAAUUCAGGCACUAUUUUCAAAUAUGUGAAAUUUUUAAAAAUUCUUGUACUUUUUUCAAAUCCGCAUACUUUUCCAAGUUCACUCAGUAUACUUUUUUAAAGUUCAUGUAAUUUUAAAAAUUGAUGCACUUUCUCAUAUUCACAUAGAUUUUUUUGGAAAGAGUUCAUGAAUUUGAAAAUUUUGUGCGAAUUUGAAAAAAAAUACACAAACUUUAAAAAGUAUGCGGAUUUGAAAUAAGUACGCGAAUUCCAAAAACACUUCAUGGAUUUGAUAAAAUUACACGAACUUGGAAAAAAUAUGCGGAUUUGAAAAAAGUAUGCGAAUUGAAAAUAUACAUAUUUGAAAAAGUACACAAAUUUCAAAAUAAUUCAUGGAUUUGAAAAUAUAUGUUUAUUUUGAAAAAAAUAUGUGACCUUGUAAAAAUUACGUAAAUUUGAAAAGAGUAUGUGAAUUUUAAAAAGUUCACGGAUAUAAAAAAAUACGCGAAUUUGAGUCAACACCGAUCGAAACCGAGGUGAGUCAGUACCAAAAUCAGUCAAAAUCGAGACCAGGGGCGAACCUCGUCCGGUUUCGAUACUUGGGGGUGCAAGUUGUCAUGUUUCGGAGUCGAGGGGCCAAAUCUAGACUUCACCAAAAAUUGAAGGAUGAAAAAUAUAUUUUUCUCUAAAAAAAGUCGGCUUGGUUGUUAAUAGGACUCCAUAGCUAUAUAUGAACAUGUCAUGCCAUUAAAUGUUUGCAUUAAUUGAGUUUAUCUAAGUCAUAUCUAAAAGGUGACGUCAUGGUCUGGUCCUUUCAUCAUACUUACUUUUUUUUCUGUUGCUACGAUUUUUGUGGUGCGUGUUCUCCAUAUAGAGUGGAGUGAGAGCAUCUACAGUCGGACCUCUCAAACUCCCCUCGUAUGUCCGGGCGGGCUGCGGUUUUUUAACCCAGAUGAACAUCUCAAACGGGUCUCAAACGUCUGGACUGACCGGCACCCCUAUAUCCAGCUCAAAUAUAGGGCGGAUAUGGGGGCGCCGCCACGUCGGACCCUGCCCAUGGUGGCCCACCCGACCCCACUUAUAUUCGUCCGCAUUCUCUCGCCGGAGCAAACCAUAGCCACUUCACUCCACUCCCCUUCACUCCUCUCCGCCACCCGAACUCACCUCCGGCGGUUUUCGGCCUCCUCCGCCAUGACAGGCAGCAGAUCGGACUCCGACCAGUCUGGAUCCAUCGAUUGGGGUGUCAUCUCGUGUGGGUUGGAGGAGGCAAUGAUAGUCCGCAUUGCACUCCGCCGCUCCCGGGAGGACAUCGCCCGGCCGACGAACGGAUCCGUCCGCCGCGACACGGCUUAACGGGCGCUCGGAUCCUCUGGUGCUGGAUCCUCGCAGUCCCGGAUGGAACACCUGUCCUUCGCCAUCACCGGAGGGGCAGAGUAUGUGUCCCACCGGAAACGGGCGGCCCGACGUGGGAAGGAGAGGAUAAGGGCCGCCGAAGCCCGUAUCGCGGCGGAAAUGGCGGGGCGGAGGUGGCUGAUGCGGCGACGUGGGCGGCCACAAAGGAGGAAGCCAUCCGCGCCCGCAUUGUAAAGAAACGGCAGCAGAGGAAUAUGUGCGCCCUCGCCCGAGAGCAGAAUCGGGCGGUCCGUGCCAUGGUCGGAUUGCCACCGAAGGAGGAGAAGGAGGACAGCGAUGGCAAGGACAGCUCCGGUGACGAGCAGAUCUGACUCGAUCCAUACUAUGUCUUCGACCGGUACUUUUGCGAGAAGGACGGCGAGGGCACUGAGAAGGGCAAGGGCAGCCGUAGAUGAACUCCACAAUAACCAAACGUGCCGAAUUUUGGUAGUCCAAUGGCAUAUUUAGUGUAGUGUGAUGAAGUAGCCGGAAUGUAUGUGCAUCGACAUAGUUGCAUGAGUUUGUAUGGAUUUGAGAUAUGAUAGUUGAGGUAUCCAGAUGUGCAUUGCAUUUUUUAGGAGUGCCCGGGCACGUUCGUGGACCACUACAAGAGAUAGGGCCUACUAUGACGAGCUAAAAUAUGUCAUCGAAUAGCUAAUAACGUCACAAAUUACCCCGAGUGACAUUUUAUGGGCGUCACAAGCAUCGUCACGGAAUCCCCGUCACAGAUUACUCCUAGUGACGGCGCAUGCGCAAAAACGUCAUCGAAAUUGGGACCUUCGGUGACGUUAUAUAGAAUGUCAUCGACUUGCUAUUUCCAUGACAUUCAAUUAAUGUCACAUGUCAGGAGAAAAUAUGCCAUAUUGUACCAUAUUCGAUGACAAGGCAAUGUCACUAACGUUAUGCCACAUCAACACCCGAGCGGCUAUCCCACUACUAGUGCCACUACUUUUAUUAUGGAUAUGGAUGACAUCAUCAAAAUAUAUUUACUUUCUUUCAAAUCUAAAUUGCGAUGAAAAAAGUAUUUACUUCACAUCACAUCAGAUUAUAUAAACUAGUUGUAGAGAAAAAUCACAUCAUAAAUUGAUAUGAAAGACAAAUCGUAUUAUAUAUGAAAUCGUCUCAGCCAAAUCAUUCUGUAAACAAAAAUGAGGGUAAAAAACUGACUCAAGUUUGACAGACAAUAGACAAGAUGAAAAUAGUUGUAAAGACCACAGAUGUUGUCCUGACAAUUGCAAUGUAAGGAUGGCUUUCAUGAACCAUCUAGUUUGGAUUGGGACUACUUGAUCCCUCAAGAGAAAAUCAAGCAGAUUAUACGUCUCCUUUUGCUUCUUUGCCAGGCUUCAUUCUUCUCUUGUUGGAUCUUCUUUAGAGCUUCCAAUUCUUCUUGAUGCUUCUUUUGUAUCGCUUCAAAUGCUCUCUCUUGUGCUUCAGGUCUUGCGGCUAACUCCUCCCGAUGCCUAUAAAUGACAAACACAACAACGUUGCAUCAUAAUGAGAUGAAAACUGACAAGAUAACAUGCAUAACCUAGAGCUAGAGGUAUAAUGGUUAAAGUACAUGUAAUCAAUGCCCCCCUUAGCUUAGCAUACACACAACCUAUGCAUUUAUGUUCCGCGAGGAAUGCCCUCCUUUCCCUCUCACUCUCCCGAGCUAGUGGCAUGCUUGUAGUACCUAAACCUACAAGAUGAAAAAGAGUGGAACUAAAUGAAUUGCAAAAUACUUACUAGCAUGUGUCAUAAAACUAACAAAAUGAAUUCUGCUUCAACUCGUUUGGAAUUGGACCUUAGACAAUGCAACAAUUUUUCAUGCGCAUCUGUACUUUCUAAAACAGACAUGAAUUUAAUAAAGUAGCAAAAUUAGCAUGCAAGAGGGCAGGCCUGGCGCAGUGGUGAAGUCCUCCCCACUUGUGCCAAGAGGUCCUGGGUUCGAACCAGCCUCUCUGCAUUGCACUUUGCAGGGGUAAGACUAGGUUCCUAUAAUCCCUCCCCAGACCCCACCUUGUGUGGGAGCUUCUAUGCACUGGGUCUGUCCUUUAGCAAAAUUAGCAUGCAAAUACAUGUUUGUCUUUGCAUUGAUGGUAAAAAUUAACAAAAUAGAUUCUGUAACGUAGUACUCCUUAAAUAUUGUAUUAACAAAAAAUGAAGAUUUCAACGCUUUGGGGUCUAACAAGUGUACCAAGUAAAAUAGAAGACGCAGCCAGCAAGCCUAUGAAAACAAGAUGAGAAAAUCCAGAAGAGAAAAAUGGCAAAACUUAAGAUUACUAUAGAUGAUAAACAAGUGCUUGACUAGAAAGAUUACUUACAAAAACUUGCCAAUAAUGGUAGUAGCAAAGAGUUACUAGUACAUUAUGUGCUAUUUACUCAAACAAGCAUUUUAAUUUGAUGGCAAUGUGAUAAAAUAAUAAUAUAAGAAACAAGGACUCCUUAAAUAUUAGAGCAUCUCCGAGUGCAAUGCCGGGACCAAAUCCCGUCCACGCCCUCCUCCACCUUCAGCCUGCUAAAAAAGAUAUCAGCUAAUCAGGCUAUCACUGUUCAGAUAUAUGUUCUGUGUUAGCAAAUUGUUUGCCUAUCAUAUCCCCAAUAGUCCGCCCUACUCAUGCUUGCUGCACUCAUGUAAUUGAAAAAUAGAAGUAUAAAACUCCUAGCGAUUGCAUAUUUCAGUUGAAAAACACCAAUUGCUAUCUAAGUGUAGAUAAGCUGCAGGUGCCAACGUUAGUCAUUAUCUCCAAAGUAUACACAUAAUAAUAGAAGCAUGAGUAAACACGUCAAAACUACAGCAAGAAACAUUUUGCUCACCUUGCGUUCAGUCUUCUCAUCGACGAUGUCAGCUUUGAACUUGAGAAAUCCCACACGCGCUGAACAUGUCCACUCCUGCACAGCGAGAAAGCGCCAUUGAUUUCCUGCUCAAAGAUUUAAAUGGAGAGAAUGAGAGGAGGAGCGCCACAACAAAGCAUUUGGAUGGGAGCAGCGCCCCAAAAUGCCUGCGACCGUGGCCUCAUCAGGGAAACAGAGAAGGGCGGCAUGGUCUCGAGGAGGAUGCAGCGGGCGUGGUAGAGGAACGCCACGGUGGCUGGCUCCGGCCAGAAGCCCAGAACCCACCCAGCUAUAAGCCAACUGGAAGAACUGGAGCAAGAGGUCGGCGUGGUUGGAGGCAGCGGCAGCGGAGAUCACGCCAUGGACGAGCAGCGCCGAGAGCGUCCAGAAGAGCAGCCGCACGACACGGAGUUCUUCAGGUGGGUCGACGGCUUGCGUCACCAGAUCAUGUGGAGAAUUCUCCCGUGCAGAGGCUGCUCCUACCGAGCGCGGCUGCCUGCGGCGUCGGCGGCGUCGGCGGCGCCUCUUCCACCACCGGUGCUGCAACGGCUUCCUCCGGGGCCUCGAUGGCAGCGGUGGCGGUGGUUGUUGCAUCGAUGAUGGGGCGGCGGAGGUGGACGGGGCGGGAGUGGGAGCGUGGGGGCUGCUGGAGAGGAGCGGCGGAGGGGAUGCGAGCAGAUUGGAUCGAGACGGGGAAAGGAAGGAGACAGCGCAAGAUUGGAUCGGGGCGACGCGAGAUGAGAUAAUGGGGAUUAGUGUGGAACUGUGGGUAGUUAAAUGGGCUUCGUUCCGAAAUUUUGCCACCCAGCCUAAUUAACUUAAAAUUUUAAUUCUUUGCACGCAGGGGCAAAUAAAUUAUAUGCUUAAACUAGAAAAAAUCGUAGGUUUGACACGCUCACGUCAAAAAAAUGUGGGGAUUUUUUAGGGGUAAAAAAAUGAGGGUUUGACACAUACCAUGAACGUCUAUAAUCUGAUCAGAAAAAUUAGAAAGGCACGUACCAUAUUUGUGUAUAAUCUGCUAAUAUAAUAAAGAGUAAAAAGGCACCAGGGGAUCUUCUUUUUUCCAGGGACCAGGGGAUCUUUCUUUUUGAAAAAACAUACCAUGUACGCGUAUAAUCUGAUCAAAAAAUUAUGAAACAUUGGGGAAAAAAGUCUGCUCUACAUGUGGGUUAGACAUAAAUACAAAUAUUUGUUGUGCUAGAAUAGCGAAAAAUACCCGCAGAUAAAAUUUUCACCUCCGAAAUAUUCCUACCGUAGGUCGUGUAGUACAAUGACAUAAUAAAGAUAUAUUCGCAUAGUUUAGAUCAACGUGUGAACUCUCUCUUGUUGGAAAUCCCUACAGGAAAAACCAUGUGGGAGGGAGUACUUUUUUUGUUUGCCAUACCCAUCAGCUCACUGGCGCAACCAAUGAGCUUCUUUUUUGGCCACUACUUAUUUAUAUUACACUCAGAAAAUAUUUACAUUGCUCCAUACGCCGUAAAGAAAUUCUCAUGGGUCCUACGUGUGGACGCCAUAGAUAAAUACCGAAGCAUAGUCCGUGACUGUAGCAGGUUCGUCAUGAAAAUUACCAAAACUUCAUAGAAAUUGGUACCUAGGUGGUGCUCAGCGUUCGAGUCGAUUCAAUGACAUUAAGCGUCACUGAUUUACUAAAAUCAGUGACACGACCUCUAGACUGUCACACAUUAGAUACAUAUGUGACGUUGUCAACCACCGUCACGAGGAUUUUCGUCACAGUAUCUCAAUUUUCUUGUAGUGGACGUUUGAGGGACUGAAUUUGCCAAGUCCGACUGUAGAUGCUCCGACUGUUGGAAAUAUGCCCUAGAGGCAAUAAUAAAUUGAUUAUUAUUAUAUUUCCUUAUUCAUGAUAAUCGUUUAUUAUCCAUGCUAGAAUUAUAUUGAUAGGAAACUCAGAUACAUGUGUGGAUACAUAGACAACACCAUGUCCCUAGUAAGCCUCUAGUUGACUAGCUCGUUGAUCGAUAGAUGGUUACGGUUUCCUGACCAUGGACAUUGGAUGUCGUUGAUAACGGGAUCACAUCAUUAGGAGAAUGAUGUGAUGGACAAGACCCAAUCCUAAGCAUAGCACUAGAUCGUGUAGUUCGUAUGCUAAAGCUUUUCUAAUGUCAAGUAUCAUUUCCUUAGACCAUGAGAUUGUGCAACUCCCGGAUACCGUAGGAAUGCUUUGGGUGUGCCAAACGUCACAAGUAACUGGGUGGCUAUAAAGGUACACUACGGGCAUCUCCGAAAGUGUCUGUUGAGUUGGCACGAAUCGAGACUGAGAUUUGUCACUCCGUGUGACGGAGAGGUAUCUCUGGGCCCACUCGGUAGGACAUCAUCAUAAUGUGCACAAUGUGACCAAGGAGUUGAUCACGAGAUGAUGUGUUACGGAACGAGUAAAGAGACUUGCCGGUAACGAGAUUGAACAAGGUAUCGGGAUACCGACGAUCGAAUCUCGGGCAAGUAUCGUACCGAUAGACAAAGGGAAUUGUAUACGUGAUUGAUUAAGUCCUUGACAUCGUGGUUCAUCAGAUGAGAUCAUCGUGGAACAUGUGGGAGCCAACAUGGGUAUCCAGAUCCCGCUAUUGGUUAUUGACCGGAGAACGUCUCGGUCAUGUCUGCAUGUCUCCCGAACCCGUAGGGUCUACACACUUAAGGUUCGAUGAUGCUAGGGUUAUAAAGGAAGUUUGUAUGUGGUUACCGAAUGUUGUUCGGAGUCUCGGAUGAGAUCCCGGACGUCACGAGGAGUUCCGGAAUGGUCCGGAGGUAAAGAUUUAUAUAUGGGAAGUCCUGUUUUGGUCACCGGACAAGUUUCGGGGUCACCGGUAUUGUACCGGGACCACCGAAAGGGUCCCGGGGGUCCACCGGGUGGGGCUACCUGCCCUGGGGGGCCACAUGGGCUGUAAGGGGGUGCGCCUUGGCAUAUAUGGGCCAAGGGCACCAGCCCCAAGAGGCCCAUGCGCCAAGGGAUAAGGAAAGGAAGAGUCCUAAAGGGGGAAGGCACCUCCGAGGUGCCUUGGGGAGGAUGGACUCCUCCCUAGCCGCACCCUUCCUUGGAGGAAGGGCCAAGGCUACGCCCCCCCUCUCCCUUGCCCCUAUAUAUGUGUGUGGGGGUGGGAGGGCAGCCACACCUUUGCCUUUGGUGCAGCCCUCCCCUCACCCAAGUCCUUCUCCUCUCCCGUGGUGCUUGGCGAAGCCCUGCAGGAUUGCCAUGCUCCUCCACCACCACCACGCCGUUGUGCUGCUGCUGGAUGGAGUCUUCCUCAACCUCUCCCUCUCUCCUUGCUGGAUCAAGGCAUGGGAGACGUCACCGGGCUGUACGUGUGUUGAACGCGGAGGUGUCGUGCGUUCAGCACUUGGUCAUCGGUGAUUUGGAUCACGACGAGUACGACUCCAUCAACCCCGUUCACUUGAAUGCUUCCGCUUAGCGAUCUACAAGGGUAUGUAGAUGCACUCUCCUUCCCCUCGUUGCUAGUUUCUCCAUAGAUAGAUCUUGGUGACACGUAGGAAAAUUUUGAAUUUCUGCUAUGUUCCUCAACAGUGGCAUCAUGAGCUAGCUCUAUGCGUAGUUUCUAUGCACGAGUAGAACACAAAGUAGUUGUGGGCGUUGAUUUUGUUCAAUAUGCUUGCCGUUACUAGUCUUAUCUUGAUUCGGCGGCAUCGUGGGAUGAAGCGGCCCGGACCGACCUUACACGUACUCUUACGUGAGACUGGUUCCACCGACUGACAUGCACUAGUUGCAUAAGGUGGCUAGCGGGUGUCUGUCUCUCCCACUUUAGUCGGAUCGAAUUCGAUGAAAAGGGUCCUUAUGAAGGGUAAAUAGCAAUUGGCAUAUCACGUUGUGGUUUUUGCGUAGGUAAGAAACGUUCUUGCUAGAAACCCAUAGCAGCCACGUAAAACAUGCAAACAACAAUUAGAGGACGUCUAACUUGUUUUUGCAGGGUAUGCUAUGUGAUGUGAUAUGGCCAAAAGGAUGUGAUGAAUGAUAUAUGUGAUGUAUGAGAUUGAUCAUGUUCUUGUAAUAGGAAUCACGACUUGCAUGUCGAUGAGUAUGACCACCGGCAGGAGCCAUAGGAGUUGUCUUAAUUUAUUUAUGACCUGCGUGUCAACAUAAACGUCAUGUAAUUACUUUACUUUAUUGCUAACCGUUAGGUGUAGUAGUAGAAGUAAUAGUUGACGAGACAACUUCAUGAAGACAUGAUGAUGGAGAUCAUGAUUAUGGAGAUCAUGGUGUCAUGCCGGUGACAAGAUGAUCAUGGAGCCCCGAAGAUGGAGAUCAAAAGGAGCAAUAUGAUAUUGGCCAUAUCAUGUCACUAUUUGAUUGCAUGUGAUGUUUAUCAUGUUUAUGCAUCUUGUUUGCUUAGAACAACGGUAGUAAAUAAGAUGAUCCCUCAUUAAAAUUUCAGGAAGGUGUUCCCCCUAGCUGUGCACCGUUGCGACAGUUCGUUGUUUCAAAGCACCACGUGAUGAUCGGGUGUUUGAUUCCAACGUUCACAUACAACGGGUGUAAGACAGAUUUACACAUGCAAACACUUAGGUUGACUUGACGAGCCUAGCAUGUGUACAGACAUGGCCUCGGAACACAGAAGACCAAAAGGUCGAGCAUGAGUCGUAUGGUAGAUACGAUCAGCAUGAAGAUGUUCACCGAUGUUGACUAGUCCGUCUCACGUGAUGAUCGGACACGGCCUAGUUGACUCGGAUCAUGUAAUCACUUAGAUGACUAGAGGGAUGUCUAUCUGAGUGGGAGUUCAUAAGAUGAACUAAAUUAUCCUCAACAUAGUCAAAAGGUCUUCGCAAAUUAUGUCGUAGCUCGUGCUUUAGUUCUACUGUUUAGUUAUGUUCCUAGAGAAAAAUUAGUUGAAAGUUGAUAAUAGCAAUUAAGCGGACUAGGUCCGUAAACUGAGGAUUGUCCUCAUUGCUUCAUAGAAGGCUUGUGUCCUUAAUGCACCGCUCAGUGUGCUGAACCUCGAACGUCGUCUGUGGAUGUUGCGAACAUCUGACAUACACGUUUUGAUGACUACAUGAUAGUUCAGUGCGUAAUGCUAAAUGGUUUAGAGUUGAGGCACCGAAGACGUUUUGAAACGUCGCGAAACAUAUGAGAUGCUUCGAGGGCUGAAAUUGGGAUUUCAGCCUCGUGCCCACGUCAAGAGGUAUAAGACCUCAGACGAUUUUCUUAGCCUGCAAACUAAGGGAGAAAAGCUCAAUUGUUGAGUUUGUGCUCAGAUUGUCUGAGUACAACAAUCAUUUGAAUCGAGUGGGAGUUGAUCUUCCAGAUGAGAAAGUGAUGUUUCUCCGAAGUCAUUGCCACCAAGCUGCUAGAGCUUCGUGAUGAACUAUAAUAUAUUAGGGACAUAUAUGAUGAUCCUUGAGAUAUUCGCGAUGAUUGACACCACAAAAGUAGAAAUCAAGAAGGAGCAUCAAUUGUUGAUGGUUGGCGAAACCACUAGUUUCAAGAAGGGCAAGGGCAAGAAGGGAUACUUCAUGGAACGGCAAUUCAGCUGCUGCUCUAGUGAAGAAACCCAAGGUUGAACCCAAACCCGAGACUAAGUGCUUCUGUAAUAAGGGGAACAGCCACUGGAGCGGGAUUACCCUAGAUACUUGGUAGAUUAGAAGGCUGGCAAGGUCGAUAGAAGUAUAUUGGAUAUACAUUGUGUUGAUGUGUACUUUGCUAGUACUCCUAGUAGCACCAGGGUAUUAGAUACCGGUUCGGUUGCUAAGUGUUAGUAACUCGAAAUAAAAGCUACGGAAUAAACGGAGACUAGCUAAAGGUGAGCUGACGAUAUGUGUUGGAAGUGUUUCCAAUGUUGAUAUGAUCAAGCAUCGCACGCUCCCUCUACCAUCGAGAUUGGUGUUAAACCUAAAUAAUUGUUAUUUGGUGUUUGCGUUGAGCAUAGACGUGAUUGGAUUAUGUCUAUCGCAAUACGGUUAUUCAUUUAAGGAGAAUAAUGGUUACUUUGUUUAUUUGAAUAAUACCUUCAAUGGUCUUGCACCUAAAAUGAAUGGUUUAUUGAAUCUCGAUCGUAGUGAUACACAUGUUCAUGCCAAAAGAUAUAAGAUAGUAAUGAUAGUACCACCUACUUGUGGCACUACCACGUAAGUCAUAUCGGUACAAAACGCAUGAAGAAGCUCCAUGUUGAUGGAUCUUUGGACUCACUCAUUUUUUGAAAAGUUUGAGACAUGCGAACCAUGUCUAUUGGUAUAUAUGCAUGAAGAAACUCCAUGCAAAUGGAUCGUUUGGACUAACUUGGUUUUGAAUCACUUGAGACAUGCAAAUCAUACCACAUGGGCAAGAUGACUGAAAGCCUCGUUUUCAGUAAAAUGGAACUAGAAAGCAACUUGUUGGAAGGAAUACAUUUUGAUGUGUGCAGUCCAAUGAGUGCUGAGGCAUGUAGUGGAUAUCGUUAUGUUCUUACUUCACAGAUGAUUUGAGUAGAUGUUGAGUAUAUUUACUUGAUGAAUCACGAGUCUGAAUUAUUGAAAGGUUCAAGUAAUUUUAGUGUGAAGUUGAAAGAUCGUCGUGACAAGAGGAUAGAAGAUCUAUGAUAUGAUCAUAGAGAUGAAUAUCUGAAUUACGAGUUUGGCACAGAAUUAAGACAUUGUGGAAAUUGUUUCACAACUGAUACAGCCUGGAACACCAUAGUGUGAUGGUGUGUCCGAACAUCAUAAUUGCACCCUAUUGGAUAUGAUGCAUACCAUGAUGUCUCUUAUCGAAUUACCAUGAUAGUUUAUGGGUUAGGCAUUAGAGACAACCACAUUCACUUUAAAUAGGGCACCACGUAAUUCCUAUGAGAUGACACCGUAUGAACUAUGGUUUAGAGAAACCUAAGCUGUCAUUUCUUAAAAAGUUUGGGGCUGCAACGCUUAUGUGAAAAAGUUUCAGGCUGAUAAGCUUGAACCCAAAGCGGAUAAAUGCAUCUUCAUAGGACACCCAAAACAGUUGGGUAUACCUCCUGUCUCAGAUCCGAAAGCAAUAAGAGAUUGUUUCUUGAAUCAGGUCCUUUCUUGAGGAAAAGUUUCUCUCGAAAGAAUUGAGUGGGAGGAUGGUGGAGACUUGAUGAGGUUAUUGAACCUUCACUUCAACUAGUGUGUAGCAGGGCACAGGAAGUUGUUCAUGUGGCACCUACACCAAUUGAAGUGGAAGCUUAUGAUAGUGAUCAUGAAACUUCAGAUCAAGUCACUACCAAACAUCAUAGGAUGACAAGGAUGCGUACUACUUCAGAGUGGUAUGUAAUCCUGUCUUGGAAGUCAUGUUGCUAGACAACAAUGAACCUACAAGCCAUGGAGAAGCGAUGGUGGGCCCGGAUUCCGAUAAAUGGCUCGAGGCCAUAAAAUCCGAGAGAGGAUCCAUGUAUGAAAACAAAGUGUAGACUUUGGCGGAACAGCUCGAUGGUCGUAAGGCUGUUGAGUACAGAUGGAUUUUAAAAGGAAGACGGACAAUGAUGGUAAGUAUCACCAUUAAGAAAGCUCGACUUGUCGUUAAGAUGUUUUCCGACAAGUUCAAGGAGUUGACUACGGUGAGACUUUAUCACUCGUAGCGAUGCUAAGAGUCUGUUGGAAUUAUAUUAGCGAUUACUGCGUUAUUUAUGAAAUCUUGCAGAUAGGAUGUCAAAACAUUGUUUCCUCGACGAUUUUUCUUGAGGAAAGGUUGUAUGUGAUACAACCGGAAGGUUUUGUCAAUCCUGAAAGAUGCUAAUAAGUAUGCAAAGCUCCAUCUAUCCUUCUGAGGACUGGAGUAAGCAUCUCGGAGUUGGAAUGUAUGCUUUGAUGAGAUGAUCAAAGAUUUUGGGUGUAUACAAAGUUUAUGAGAAACUUGUAUUUCCGAAGAAGUGAGUGGGAGCACUAUAGAAUUUCUGAUGAGUAUAUGUUGUUGACAUAUUGUUGAUCAGAAAUGACGUAGAAUUUCUGGAAAGCAUAUAUGGUUAUUUGGAAAGUGUUUUCAAUAGAAAGCCUGGAUUAAGCUGCUUGAGCAUUGAGCAUCAAGAUCUAUAAGGAUAGAUCAAAACGCUUAAUGGAACUUUCAAAUAAGCACAUACCUUGACAUGAUCUUGAAGGUGUUCAAGAUGGAUCAGUCAAAGAAGGAGUUCUUGCCUGAGUUGUAAGGUAUGAAGUUAAGACUUAAAGCUCGACCACGGCAGAAUAGAGAGAAAGGACGAAGGCCGUCCCCUAUGCUUAAGACAUAGGCUCUACAGUAUGCUAUGCUGUGUACCACACCUGAAGUGUGCCUUACCAUGAGUCAGUCAAGGGGUACAAGAGUGAUCCAAGAAUGGAUCACAGGACAGCGGUCAAAGUUAUCCUUAGUAACUAGUGGACUAAGGAAUUUUCUCGAUUAUGGAGGUGGUAAAAGAGUUCGUCGUAAAGGGUUAUGCCGAUGCAAACUUUGACACUAAUCCAGAUUAUUCUGAGUAGUAAACUGGAUUCGUAUAGUAGAACAGUUAUUUGGAAUAGCUCCAAAUAGAACGUGGUAGCUGCAUCUAGGAGAUGACAUAGAGAUUUGUAAAGCACACACGGAUCUGAAAGGUUCAGACCCGUUGACUAUAACCUCCCUCACAAGCAUAACAUGAUCAAACCCAGAACUCAUCGAGUGUUAAUCACAUGGUAAAUGUGAACUAGAUUAUUGACUCUAGUAAACUCUUUGGGUGUUAGUCACAUGGGGAUGUGACCUUGAGUGUUAAUCACAUAUCGAUGUGAACUAGAUUAUUGACUCUAGUGCAAGUGGGAGACUGUUGGAAAUAUUCCCUAGAGGCAAUAAUAAAUUGAUUAUUAUUAUAUUUCCUUGUUCAUGAUAAUCGUUUAUUAUCCAUGCUAGAAUUGUAUUGAUAGGAAACUCAGAUACAUGUGUGGAUACAUAGACAACACCAUGUCCCUAGUAAGCCUCUAGUUGACUAGCUCGUUGAUCAAUAGAUGGUUACGGUUUCCUGACCAUGGACAUUGGAUGUCGUUGAUAACGGGAUCACAUCAUUAGGAGAAUGAUGUGAUGGACAAGACCCAAUCCUAAGCAUAGCACUAGAUCGUGUAGUUUGUAUGCUAAAGCUUUUCUAAUGUCAAGUAUCAUUUCCUUAGACCAUGAGAUUGUGCAACUCCCGGAUACCGUAGGAAUGCUUUGGGUGUGCCAAACGUCACAACGUAACUGGGUGGCUAUAAAGGUACACUACGGGCAUCUCCGAAAGUGUCUGUUGGGUUGGCACGAAUCGAGACUGGGAUUUGUCACUCCGUGUGACGGAGAGGUAUCUCUGGGCCCACUCGGUAGGACAUCAUCAUAAUGUGCACAAUUUGACCAAGGAGUUGAUCACGGGAUGAUGUGUUACGGAACGAGUAAAGAGACUUGCCGGUAACGAGAUUGAACAAGGUAUCGGGAUACCGACGAUCGAAUCUCGGGCAAGUAUCGUACCGAUAGACAAAGGGAAUUGUAUACGGGAUUGAUUAAGUCCUUGACAUCGUGGUUCAUCCGAUGAGAUCAUCGUGGAACAUGUGGGAGCCAACAUGGGUAUCCAGAUCCCGCUAUUGGUUAUUGACCGGAGAACGUCUCGGUCAUAUCUGCAUGUCUCCCGAACCCGUAGGGUCUACACACUUAAGGUUCGAUGAUGCUAGGGUUAUAAAGGAAGUUUGUAUGUGGUUACCGAAUGUUGUUCGGAGUCCCGGAUGAGAUCCCGCACGUCACGAGGAGUUCCGGAAUGGUCCGGAGGUAAAGAUUUAUAUAUGGGAAGUCCUGUUUUGGUCACCGGACAAGUUUCAGGGUCACCGGUAUUGUACCGGGACCACCGGAAGGGUCCUUGGGGUCCACCGGGUGGGCCACCUGCCCCGGGGGGCCACAUGGGCUGUAAGGGGGUGCGCCUUGGCCUAUAUGGGCCAAGGGCACCAGCCCCAAGAGGCCCAUGCGCCAAGGGAUAAGGAAAGGAAGAGUCCUAAAGGGGGAAGGCACCUCCGAGGUGCCUUGGGGAGGAGGGACUCCUCCCUAGCCGCACCCUUCCUUGGAGGAAGGGCCAAGGCUGCGCCCACCUCUCCCUUGCCCCUAUAUAUAUGUGUGGGGGUGGGAGGGCAGCCACACCUUUGCCUUUGGUGCUGCCCUCCCCUCUCCCAAGUCCUUUUCCUCUCCCGUGGUGCUUGGCGAAGCCCUGCAGGAUUGCCACGCUCCUCCACCACCACCACGUCGUUGUGCUGCUCUUGGAUGGAGUAUUCCUCAACCUCUCCCUCUUUCCUUGCUGGAUCAAGGCAUGGGAGACGUCACCGGCCUGUACGUGUGUUGAACGCGAAGGUGCCGUGCGUUCGGCACUUGGUCAUCGGUGAUUUGGAUCACGACGAGUACGACUCCAUCAACCCCGUUCACUUGAACGCUUCCGCUUAGCGAUCUACAAGGGUAUGUAGAUGCACUCUCCUUCCCCUCGUUGCUAGUUUCUCCAUAGAUAGAUCUUGGUGACACGUAGGAAAAUUUUGAAUUUCUGCUACGUUCCUCAACACCGACGUGCUAGUUCUAAUACGCAUGCACGGUUAGAGCAUCUCCAGCCGUGCCCCUAAUAAGGCCCCCAGGCAACUUUUUCGCCGCCGGCGCCGAAAAAUCGGCCCAGUCGCGCCCCCAAGGGCUCACUUUUCGCCGGCUCGGGCCGAAAUUGGCGCCGGCGGACCCAGCCCGAACCCGGCACGCUGGGGGGCGCCGGGCGAAUCGUUUUUGACGCGAAAGAGCCGCGGGCCCUCCUUGCCAGCGACUCGUCUCUCUUCUCGUCGCUUCGUCGUCCUCAUCGCCUCGUUUCCCGCGGCGAAUCAAUGACAAAGCUGCCGCGCGCUGUCGUGCCAGUCAGCCUCCUCCAUUGAUGCCUCACGGGCGGCGCAGUGAAGACCAGACGACGCGCGUCCCUCGCCCGCCACGCGUAUGCACGGCGGCCAUGCGUACGCGCGGCGCCCCCGCCUAUAUAAGCCGACCCCCAGCGCGUCGGUCACGCAUAGACUUUCCACCGCCGACGCGCCGUUUCUCCCCAAUUCCUCCCUCUCCGCUCGUCGUCUCCAGUUCAAACCAUGGCCGAUUGCUUCCCAGGUGACGGUGCGGCGGUGAACGGCUUCGGCCGCCACCACCUUCAUGAGGACGAAGCUCGGCUCCUCUACGAGGCCGAGUACCCGGUCCCGCCAGACAUGCGGGUGCCCGGGUCGUGGAGGAUCAGCGCCGGCGGGGUCCCGGUGCCACCACCGUCCAUCGGGGCGGCGCGGCGUGCGGAGAUCGCGCGUAUCCGCGCCUCUCUGCCGCGGGCAGCGAGGGAAAGUCCACGGUACGUCCCUGACAGCCCGCUGUGGGAGCCCUACUUCCGCCGCCGCCACGUCGAGCAGCUCGAGGCCACCAACGGCGUCGUGACCUCCAAAAGGCUCAACUCCGAAGACCGGCGCCGAUGGUGGGGCAUGCCCGGUCGCACGCUGGAGGCCUUCCUCGAGUACAUCAAGGUCGGCAACACGCCGAGGCUGGAGUACCCCGCUCCCCCGUCCUUCUCUCGCCGGCGUGGGAGCUCGUGAACGCCGAGGAGCAUGGACCCCGGGGCGUCCUCCUCCUCAUCCGGCCGCUCGUUCGGCUCUCCCUACCUCCGCCCCGUCAAGCCGGAGCCCCAGGACACGCCUGUCAGCGCGUGCAUCCGCCGCUCCGGUGUCCGCAUCGACGACUCCACCCCCGCCUCUGGCCAUUUCGUCCUCGUCAGGCCGAAGCCGGAGCCCGGCCUCCCCGUGGAGUAUGAGGAGAUAGCCCGGCGCGGCUUCUCCGACGCGGACGCCCUACAGUGUGCCCGGGAUGACUACCUCUGCGACGAGAUGGUCCGGCAGUGCCGGGCCCUGGAGGAGAUAGCCGCCCGCAAGCGUGGGCGCGAGGACGAGCAUGGCGUGGUGAUUCUCAACAGCGACGAGGACGAGGAAGCCCCCGGAUCGUCCAACCCGCCACGCCAACCUGGGGAGGGUUGCAGCAGGGACGGCGGCCGCGGAGGAGGCGACAACGACGACGACGACGACGGCGGCGGCGACUACACGCGGUUCUACAGCCUCCUCGGCAUGUGGAGCUGCAAGGGCGACAGGCGGUGAGGAGCGGCAAGGGAGACGGCGGGCCUAGUAGCGUUUUUUUUUUCUUUUUUUGUAAAAUAUUUUAUAUAUGUAUGAACUCGUCGAAAUUUGGUUAAAUUUGCGCCGUAUUUAUGCCUAAAUUUAAUUUUUUUAAAAACUUGGGCGCCGCGACUGAGGGGCAUCACGCCCUCAACGCGUGGUUUGCGUCGGUGCGUCCCAAAAAGCGAUUUUUAGCGUCUCCUAAUAGGCCAACUGCUGGAGAUGCUCUAACUUAUGUAUGUGCGCGCGCAUUAUAUGUGCGCGCGCAUUAUAUGUGCGGUCAUGCGUCGCAGAGGAAGCUGCGUGUAUAUAUGCAUUGUCUGCCUGGACUGCCAAUGCGUGUCACUGUGUCGUUCGUUGAUAUAUUUGUGUCUGGACGGCUCAUGUUCAGGGCCGGGCCGACAAAAUUUGAGGCCCCGUGCCAAACUCUAAAAUGAGGCCUACUUUCUUAGAAAAAUAAAACUAUAAUUAAUUUAUCUACAACUCCUUUACGAUGUUGAAUUAAAUCCUCUAAUUCUUUUUUUCUUUUCUUAUGUUUCUGGUAACCAGAUUCAUAUUCCCUAGAUAGAUUUUUAGAGGAUAUAACUUGGCUUUUGAAACGCAAGACGACUAGACCAAUUAAUAUAAAACUAUCCAAAUGAUGGAAAAAUUAAAGGGAUACACAUCAAACAGUUAGCAGCAAACUAUUUUUUUGAGAUCUAGGAGCAAACUAUUCGUUGAACUAAGACAGCAGAAUUCACAGACGUGAAACUUGCCUGGUUGAAUUGUUCCUGGACGAGGCAAGAGGGGCUCAAGGAGUGGAGAGCAGCCCGGAGGCGAGACGCCAUCACGCCGAGAUUGAUUGACGAAGACGAUGCACCUUCAUUAGUAUUACUAUGAUUUAAAAAAGAAGAGGGAAAGUGGCAACGAGGCGAUCUAGCAUCUGUCAUGAAGGAUGUAGUCAGUGCUCCUGAAUAUUUAAUUUGAAGGUUCAUUUGGUUAAGCUGAUUUAGGGCGCGCGUCGCCGGAAACCAGCCGUGUGCCUGUCCUACUCACCUACUGUUGGGGCUCAUUUGGUUGUUGGGGAUGGAAAAGCCAGGGUAGGAAACCCCAAACAGGGAUUUCCCUGCUCAUAUGGUAUCCCCAUACAAACCAUGGAAAAUAUAAUGUUGCAGUUUGGACGCCAGAGGAGGGGAGAAGGAGGACUGGAGGCCUAUGGCAAGGGGUUGUCGCUGGAUGGAGACGACAGAGAAUCAGGCACCGCGUCAUGGGUUUCCUCCCCGACCCCUGGUGACGUGGAAAACUGCCCCGUGGAAACGACGCAGAUCGGGAUCCAUAAUCCCUGAUGAACGAGCAACCAAAUGCUCCUGUAGUUUUCCGCGGGCCGACUUUGCCCCGUGGGCUGUAUGCCCCGGUUUUGCACGGGGAUCCCCGAGGGAUUACGUGGAACCAAACAAGCCCUUGUUGUUGCCAUGCCUCCCAGGGUUGCGGGCCUUGCCGCCGGUCCUGUGCUGCGUCGUUAGUCUGCAGCUGCGAUCUGGCUACUGCGCCCUUAGGGUUAGUAUCGUAGAUCGGGGUUGCCCUGCGCUCACGACUGUAGAUCGUGAGAACGAUCGGUAUUCUUUCAGGCCAUCGGUAUCCGGGCCUUUCGGCCUGCUGGCUUGACUAGGCCUAUAGAAAAAAAAUUGUCGCCCCCAAAAUUCAUGGGCCCUGUGUUGGCCGCACGUUUUGCACAACUAUAGGCCCGGCCCUGCUCAUGUCGCACCUGAGGGCCUGAGUCCUGUGUCUGCGUCUUUUGCUUGCUUCCACUACAAUCCCGCAGAGGUCCAAAUCGCAUGGGAACUUCACGUCGUCCUAAUUGCAUUCACAUAUACUCGCUCCGUCUUAAAAUAAGUGUCUUAAAUUUAAUAUAAUUUUAUACUAAGAUUAAUAUAAAAUUGACAUUUAUUUUGGAACGGAUGAAGUACUUCCAUUCUCAUAGCAGUUGCUACUGCAGAAGACCGUCAAGCUGUCUUGCACAGUAUAGUAGUAUGGCACGGUGUAGAUUUAUUUUUUGGAAGAGUCAAGCGAAAAAGAAAAAUUUUAUUUCCUUUUUUGUCGGGCCGUUUUAUGCUUCGCCAUGGGCCUGUGUGUUUUUGUCUCUCUGUGUGUUAGUUGUUAUAUGAGCCAUGUGUUUGUGAGGGCUGCUAUUUUCUUUUUCCUUUUUAUUUUAUUUUUAUGUCCCCUUUUAUAUUGUUAUUUUUUGUUUUUGUUUUCUCAUUUAUUCAUUUGAAAUAAACUACUUUGAAUAUGUGAAUAUUUUAAUUUUUUUAAUUUUGAAAAUAUUUCCAAAUACUUUCGGAAAUAGCAUUUUUCGGAGCAUUGAUUUUUUUGUCACGCCUUCUAGAAUGUGAUCUCAUGAUGAAAAUUUGCAAGCACUUAGAUCAUUUGUCAAAGUUUACCACAAAAAAUUCAUAAAAAAUUGAAUUUUUUAUUUUCAAUUUUACUAUUCAUGUUAUGUUCUCUAUGUUGCAUAUGUAAACACGCAUGUGAUAUGGCAUCAAAUAGAGAGAAGGUGAUGUCCAAAGUUUGAAUUUACAUCCGAGACAAGCAUCUUUUGACCACAAAAUUCAUCUCAAGAAACACAAACCAAGGCAACCCUGCAACCAAUAAUAUCGAGGAAACACAAAUAACCAGAGUAAAGUAAAGGCAUGUCACAAAAUGGUAACCUUUCCUAUACGCCACGCUACUGGAAAGGGCCCUAUCUGAAACAGGUCGAAGGCCCGCCACAAAAAGGGUGCGUCAAUUUGUGACCUUUAAACACAUUAGGUAGAGAAACCACCAUAGAUGUCUAUUUUAGUCUUGGCUCAAAUACGUUUCAUGGCAAUUUAACCCAUGGGUUUGGAUUCGUGGAUACCAACUCCCAUGGAUUGAGUAUUGGUAUGAUUUUUCAUCCAUAAGUAAAAUUCAUGAGUAACUCAAAAAUUCAAUGCCAUCAUAAAAAAGAAACCCAAAUAUUCAUGGGUAGGGGCUGGUUACACAUGGAUCACCAAACAAAAUUUGAAUAAGUACAUGAAUAUAUUAUUAUUAUUAUACAUGGCAUGUGAAGCUAUAUGAUGUCCAUGAUAGUAAACACUAACUCUCUAGUUAAUAUGUUGUAGUUGUUGUAUAAACUAGACGAUACCCCGCAUUUUGUUGCAGGUGUGUUUGCAAUAUAUUUCAAUGAGAUAUGGUUGUAUGGAACAUGAAUACUCGUGGAGUAAUAAUGAGUGAACUAGCGUAUGCCAGCCGUCCAUGAGAAGUCAACCCGGUGACAAGCAAGUAUGGCUACAGAAUCCCCUCCAUUACGCCGGCCUCGGCGGGCGCGGCAACAACGCUCCCACGUCCCCGCCAGGGGCGGCGGUGUCCUAGAGGCACGGCCCUGUAGCGGGCGGCGCUGACCAUCCCAUGACGCCUGGCAAGGCGUGCCAUAGUACCCGGCAGCUGGUCGUACCCGUGCCCGGCGGCCCCGGUACGGCCCUCACCCGGUGGACCCGGUGACUCUCGCACCUGGCGGACCUGGUAGACCCAACGGCCCCCACUGUAGGAUCCUAGAUGCUUACACCAGGGCACGCACCCAUGUAGCAUUACCAUUGUAACCUCGGAGGGCGGCCUAUAAGACCCCCCCCCCCCCCGGUGCCCCUUCAUGCAAGGGGCCGGUCGAUCAAUCUUUAGCGCACACACACACAGAGGAGCAGCGCACGAACUGGCCGGUCUUCCUUCCUCCCCAGAACAGCUCUAGGAGAAAGUUUGUAUCCACCUUGUAUAAACCACACUUGGCAAGACUAGGGGUACUAUCUCUCUGGAGAGCCCCGAACCUGGGUACGUCUCGUGUUCCUCGCGUGCUCGUGCCAACCUCGUCUCUCGAGCCCACCGGUGCCCUCGUGCAUGUUCCUCUCUUUAGCCAUCCCAUGGCAUCUGCCGUGAGCUCACCAAGACAACAGUCGAACCUCUCAAACCCGCCUCAUACACCCGGGCAAGCUGCCCGGUCACUGACCGGUCACGUUUUUUCGACACAAACAGACGCCUCAAACGGGCCUCAAACGCUCGGGCUGACCGGCAACCCCUAUAUCUAUCCCAAAUAUGGGGCGGAUACGGAGACGCCCUGGGCACGCCCACCACGUGGACCUGACCCAAGCUGGCCCACCCGACCCCACUUAUAUUCGCCCCCACCUUCUCACGGAGCAAACCCUAGCCACUUCACUCCACUCCCCAUCACUUCCCUCUGCCACCCAAGCUCACCUCUGGCGGUUUUCGGCCUUCUCCGCCAUGGCAGGCAGCGGAUCGAACUCCGGCCAGUCUGGAUAUGUCGAUUAGGAUGUCACCCCGUGUGGGUUGAAGGAGGCAAUGAUAGUCUGCAUUGCACUCCGCCGCUCCCGGGAGGACAUCGCCCGGCCGACGGACGGACCCGUCCGCCGCGACGCCAUAGCGUCGUCUCAACGGGUGCUCGGGGUCCUCUGGUGCUAGAUCCUCGCGGUCCCGGCUAGAACACCUGUCCUUCCUCAUCACCGGUCGGGCAGAGUAUGAGUCCCACCGAAAACGGACGGCCCGCCGUGGGAAGGAGAAGAUAAGGGCCGCCGAGGCCCGUAUCACGACGAAAAUGGUGACGGCGGAGGCGGCUGUUGCGGCGGCGCGGGCGGCCGCGAGGAAGCCAUCCGUGCCCACAUUAUGAAGAAACGACAGCGGAGGAACACGCGCGCCCUCGCCCGAGAGCAGAAAUCGAGCGGUCCGUGUCAUGGCCGGAUUGCCACCGAAGGAGGAGAAGGAGGACAACAACAGCGAGGAGAGCUCUGACAAUGAGCAUAUCCAGCUCGACUGGUACUUCCGCGAGAAGGACGGCAAGGGCGACGGCAAGGACAAGGGCAGCCGUGGAUGAACUCCACCAUAGCCAAACAUGACAAAUUUUGGUAGUCCGAUGCCAUGUUUAGUGUAGUGUGAUGGAGUAGCUGAACGAUGCAUGUGCGUCGACGUAGUUGCAUGAGUUUGUACAGAUUUAAGAUAUGAUAAUUGAGGUGUCAGUAUAUGGAUUACAUUUUUUGAGAAGUGCUCGGUUAAUGUCCGCGGACGUUUGAGGGGCCGGAUAUGUUAAGUCCGGCUGUAGGCUUCGGCUAAGUGUCCGUUAGAGAAGUUCUCUUUGAGGAUCGGUUAGAUGCUUUUACUCUGUAUCUGGUUGUAUUCAAUCUAUUUUCGAUCAAUUAUAGAAGUGACAUAUAAUUUAGAAAAACUGACGCAUUAGUACCAUUUAUAAUAAUGAAAUAUACAUGGGUUUGGUCUAUUUUGUUUAGUUUUCAUUCCAUGCCGACAAUUCCAGCUUUCAUUUUCCGGAGCAAACAAGAGGGACUUUUGCAAGCGGAGAGAACGUGUUUCAGGGACUGUAUCCCCCGUGUGUCAUCACUUCUACCUCGAGAACAAGCUGAGACGUGGUAUCCCGGACGCGUCCAGUAGCUGCACACGUCCGGCCUCUCUUUAUUUUUUUUUUAGAAAAGGAGGAUGACCCCCGGCCUCUGCAUCUGGAAGAUGCAUACAGCCACUUUAUUGAUUAUUCACGAUGACCAUACAAAGUAUUACACCAAUGUGCCUGAAUCCACCAUCUUGGCAACAUAUGCCACUACUCCUAUCCAAUAUGAUGAAAGAGAGCUAGCCGGGCCACUACCCAGACCACUCACGUAAUCCUAACAUCAAUAGCUGGAAGCCGAAACACAUUCGGAAGCCCCAGCCGAGCCACAUACCUGGUCUGGGGCAUAAUCCGGUCAGACGCACUCGUGUGUCGCCGCCGCCAUCUUCCACAGGUCCGUCUUCAGAUCAAAUUGAGGCAUCUACCAUGUCUGGCCACUCCGCCAUUGACGCCACCAUGACGCCAAACAGCAACCUCCUCCUGCGCGAGUCCAUCUCCGUGCAUCGGACGUCGAGCCUCCACAGCGCCACGCCGCCGACAUCCGCCGCCAUCAAUGAGUGAGAUGGAGCACCGCUCCACCCUCCCCCCAGCCAACGCUUACUCCAAAACGGCACCCCCAGGAGAACCUGGACGCGUCGGAGGAAAAGCGGAGGCUUGGGCGAAGAAGGGCACGCCGUCAGCAGCUGUUACCCACCCCAAACAGCGCCCGCCACCACCCAGCCCUCAAGGCGGCGCCUUCAAGAAGGUCACGGCGCCAAAGACGCCGCCGCCGCCCACCGGAGUUAGGUUUUCACCCGAGAAGCUAGGUGGUGGGGAGUGGAAGGGCAGACCUUGACAGACGUCUCCAUGAAGAAAUCGGCGCCCGCAGGCGUCGUCGUCGUCGCGGCCGGCCGGAGCCGACCCGGGUUUCCCCCGAUCUGGAUCCCGACCACCAAAAUCGCAUCAUUGGGAGGCCCUUAGGCGGCAGCAUAGGGAGGGGAGGCGAGGGGUGCGGCGGCGGCGCUAUGGGGCGUCACCACCACGCCAGAUCCCUUCCUCGCCGCCAACAGCAGCCGGCGGCCAGAUCGAGCGCGGACCAAAUCUGGCGCCUAAGCACCCGCACGCCUACGCCGCCGCCACGGCCGGCCAAGCUCCAGGCCAAGCCACUCCACCCACCCAGAGAAGGAGAAGCGCGAGACGAAGCAGAGGGCCGCCGGGGAGCGCCGCGACGGCCGCAGCGCCGGAGGCCGAGCCUUCCCCACCUGGAGCGGUCGCCGUCGGGAACNNNNNNNNNNNNNNNNNNNNNNNNNNNNNNNNNNNNNNNNNNNNNNNNNNNNNNNNNNNNNNNNNNNNNNNNNNNNNNNNNNNNNNNNNNNNNNNNNNNNNNNNNNNNNNNNNNNNNNNNNNNNNNNNNNNNNNNNNNNNNNNNNNNNNNNNNNNNNNNNNNNNNNNNNNNNNNNNNNNNNNNNNNNNNNNNNNNNNNNNGCGCGCGCGAGCGGGAAGCCCCGCCGCCGCCGUCCGCCGCGCGGGCUUCGCCCGGCGGUUUCCUCCGGCGGCGGCGCGGCAGGGGAGCCGGGGAGAGGGGGUGGCGGCGCGGCGGGCUAGGGUUCCCCCGAGUCGCCUCCCAGGCGACGCGGGGGUCGGGUACUGAAGACAAUUUUUCAGUAUAAAUGAUGGUCCCGGCCUCUCUUUAUGGGCUAGUCACCAGUCACCGGCUCCCGCCGGUCAGCCCACUCAUGCCUGCACACGUAGCGCCUCUGACGAUCCUAUCCCCUCGCCGCAAACGGCUUAUAAAUGGCGCCUCGUGCUGCACCUGCUUCCACAACCACGAGCUGCAGACUAACUGAGGAAGUGAGGAAGACAACAUACCAGAUUUCUGAGAUAAUCAAGAUCAACACCUGUGCAAGAUGGAGCACGGCCAGGCGACUAACCGCGUCGACGAGUACGGCAACCCGGUGGCCGGGCAUGGCGUCGGCACCGGCAUGGGGGCGCACGGCGGCGUGCGCACCGGCGCGGCCGCUGGUGGGCAUUUCCAGCCCACGAGAGAGGAGCACAAGGCCGGAGGGAUCCUGCAGCGGUCCGGCAGCUCUAGUAGCUCCAGCUCGGUGCGUAUACGUAUACUUCUUGCUUCUUGCUAGCACUAGUUGUAAUUUGCAUUUUUCCCGUUUACAUUUAAAUUAAACGAAUCAAUGGCUGAAUUUUCUCGUUGGUCGUGAUAGUCUGAGGAUGAUGGCAUGGGCGGGAGGAGGAAGAAGGGCAUCAAGGAUAAGAUAAAGGAGAAGCUUCCGGGUGGCCACGGCGACCAGCAGCAGACCGCUGGCACCUACGGGCAGCAGGGUCACACCGGAAUGACCGGCACCGGGGCGCAUGGUACAGCAGCCAUUGGCGGCACCCACGGGCAGCAGGGACACACCGGAGUGACCGGCACGGGGACGCACGCCACCGACGGCACUGGCGAAAAGAAGGGCAUCAUGGACAAGAUCAAGGAGAAGCUGCCCGGACAGCACUGAGCCCGGCCCGCGGCCGCUGCUUGUGAAAGUUUGAGGUGCCGGUCUGGCGACCGUACCUUUGCAGAAUAAUAAAGUGAGCUAGCUCACUCGUAAUAUCUGAGUUCUGAGUUUGGUGGACUUGAAUUUGGGUUGCUUGUAUGUACCCGGGACGUUUUGUACUCUGUACUUCGAUGUGUGAAUUUUCUUUUGGUUGUACCGUGUAUGUAUGUAUGUAUGGGAAUAUAUAUCAUGGUAUAAUACAAUAUAUUUUGCCCUUUUACAUGAGCUUUCUGUGUUAUUGCAUUUUCCUAAAUUUUGUCAGACAUAUUGUACAUUGCAUUGGAAAAUGUUUUAAGAAAGUUUGGAGCAUUCUAGGCAAUUUUUGAAAAAUUUGGAAGUAUCGAAAAAUAAGGCACACCAAAACUACACAUACAAAUCUUGAAUUUACCAACUCAUAGGAUGUCGCAUGCGCUGUGGAUCGUUAAUGAACGGCACUGUCGGAGAUCAAGAAAACAGAGUACAUAGCGACCAAAGAAAAAUCCCCACCGCCGAAAGUUUUCUUCUAUGCUCGAGCUCACAUGCACAACGAUGAAUAGUAAAAUAUAAAUAAAUAAAUUUUAAAAAUUCUGAGAUUUUUUAUACACACUGAUAAAUGUUUUACCUACAUGCAAAAUUUGGUAAUGGAAUGAUAUUUUUGGAGCUCGGGGCAAUAAAAACAAAAUCAAUGCUCCAAAACUAGUCUUUUGGAGCAUUUGAUAUAUUUUUGCCCGGGCCUUCAUGAAAGUGAUUUUAGACUAGCCACAAUGAAGAGUAACAUACACUAGUAACAUACACAUAUCCCUAGACUAUAUUACUACCUUCAUAGUGGGUAGUAACAUAAGUGUGGUAACAUGCAGAGCUUCAUUUAUUAUGUUAUAGACUCAUAUUGCAUUGGGACAUUUGAUGUUACAGUAACUAGCUAAGUUACUACUACUACCUCUUUCCUCAUUAACUCAUUGCCACAUAAGCAAAUUUGCUAAGUUGGACUCGAUGUUACUACUGAAGUUACUCCCACUGUGGGUAGUCUUAUCACAAAAGUUUGCAUGCAUGAAAAACAGUUACCAAUGUCUAUUAAAAAAGGACAGAAUUGUUUGAUUUUUUACUGUUCAUACGGAUGCAUAUAAGCUCGGGAUUAGAAGCUUCAUGUCCACCCACCACUUAAUUCAUUCAUACAUAAAGUUGUUUUUUUGAAUACACACAAAUGUGCGUACUUUAUAUAAAGGAGAGAAAAGGGUAAAGAGCCCUUCAUAAUGAGUUUACAUAGUUCUUACAUACACUCAACUUCACGCCCAUUCCAUGUCUAAGUAAAUCUAUCGCUAACUCCUCGCGUCACUACCAACCGUUAGAGCUUACUAGGAAACUACCCAUGUAUUCUUUGAUAAUGUCCGUCGUCUUCCAUGAUCAACACACAACCUCUUUUCUAUGAAUUAUGCUUUUCAAGAGUAUUUAACCAAAAACUACCACAUUUCACGGAAACGUGUCGAAAAACUACCACUUUAUGAUUUUGUGCGAAAAACUACCAUUUUUUUCCUAAUUCGUGGCAAAAAACUACCAAGUUGCGAAAUCGCUCGCUUCGCCCGCGCUAAGCACAAAACUGACCGCUUGGGCCCACAAACCAGGUGCCACCGUGGCCAUCCGGCCCGGCCAGCCGUCCGGCCGGCGAGUUGGAGCUCCACCGCACCCCCAGCUCUUCCUUCCUUGGCUCCCCCCUCACCCGAGCACACCUGUGACGCGCCGCUGCAACGGUCAUCUUCGCCGCCAAGCCGCGCCUCUGCCUUUGUCCCGUUCGCACGCCGACGGCAGCGGUGCUCUUCGAUGCGUGUUGGGGAGGUUCCGACUAGGGCGCUGGCGGGGGGAGGGCCAAGACCGUCCUCGGCGUCGGCCCAGACGACGUCGUCGGCCUUGGCGGGGCGCGCCCAGGCGGCAAAAUCGAUUAGAUGCGCGCGCGGGCGAAAACAGGGCGGGGCGCCAGCGGCCGCGGCGAGGAGCUGGCCAGGGAGUAGCGGAGCGGGAGCUGGGCCCAGCCAGGGCGAGAGGGAGGGCGCGCGCGGCGCAGGUGCGGGGGGACGUGNNNNNNNNNNNNNNNNNNNNNNNNNNNNNNNNNNNNNNNNNNNNNNNNNNNNNNNNNNNNNNNNNNNNNNNNNNNNNNNNNNNNNNNNNNNNNNNNNNNNNNNNNNNNNNNNNNNNNNNNNNNNNNNNNNNNNNNNNNNNNNNNNNNNNNNNNNNNNNNNNNNNNNNNNNNNNNNNNNNNNNNNNNNNNNNNNNNNNNNNNNNNNNNNNNNNNNNNNNNNNNNNNNNNNNNNNNNNNNNNNNNNNNNNNNNNNNNNNNNNNNNNNNNNNNNNNNNNNNNNNNNNNNNNNNNNNNNNNNNNNNNNNNNNNNNNNNNNNNNNNNNNNNNNNNNNGCGCGUGCGCGUGCAGAGCACGCCGCAGGGCGUGGAAGAGGAGGCCGGGCGCGGCCGAACAUGGCCGCGGGACGCGAGCGGGCGAGGUCGGCCAGGGUCAGGAUCUCGCCAGGACCCCCCUCCUCCGCCCGCUCGGGGCCGCCGCGGGCGCCGGCGCGCCGGGCAUGUCCUCCAGGAGAUGGCCGAGCGCUUCGGCUGGGAUCUCUCCGACGAGGAUGGCUGGGGCCUCCUCGGCACCUCCUACGGCGGCCGCAUCCCGAGGAAGGCCGGCCGGCGCCAGAGCACCGGCAGCGGCAGCGGCAGCAACAGAGCCCCCCGCGGCGGCGGCGCCCUGUUCGACACCGGGGCGGCCGACCCGGACGGGCUGAGGGGCCACGCUGGCACCUGGUUUUUGGGCCCAAGCGGUCAGUUUUGUGCUUAGCGCGGGCGAAGCGAGCGAUUUCGCGACUUGGUAGUUUUUUGCCACGGAUUAGAAAAAAGUGGUAGUUUUUCGCACAAAAUCGUAAAGUGGUAGUUUUUCGACACGUUUCCGUGAAAUGUGGUAGUUUUUGGUUAAAUACUCGCUUUUCAAAGACGGUGUGGCACCAUCGAAUACGAUCGCAUUGCGACCAUUCACGAACAACAAACGGUCCAGUAAUUCCUAAAUUAAGAGUGUGCAUCCCCAUAAUUUCAUCCACUAUGCAACUCAACAAAAAGCUCGUCUCGCUGCACCUCCACCAUGCAACGUGCGCCACUGUCCACCCUAUGCCUCAGAAGCGGCAGUGCUCCAACGCCCCUUCAGAUACCCUAGCGGUGCCAUGAUCUCCUUUAUCCAAACCCGAUGAACUCUUGCUAAUUUGUCCAUGUCACAAAAGCCUGCAGAACAAAGAUGAUUAACUUAUACGAGCAAAGUCGCCCCCGAAUGGGCCAUCCAACGGACCGACCCAAUAGACCGGCCUACCGAUGUCUGGGUUGCGCAAGACAGGUCCAAGGCCAGACCAGGCCGACCCAUUUCCAUAUUUACUGAACAGGGGUAUGAUUUCCAAUCCAUGCAUAUUUUCGUGGACAGGCAAUGAACAUCCAUGAGGCGUAAAUAUGAAUUUGAUAUUACUGAACCAUGUAUACCUAACCCAUUACCACUCCAAUGAAAAACACUAGCUGCAAAAAAAAUAAAAAAUCAAUCUCCUCACCCCUCCGUUGCAGCCAUCGCUCUAGUGUUGUGAGGCGGAGGGGGGUCCAUUCCUUUCUUGGUGGUGCUUGGUGUGGUGUUGCUGAGGAGCCUGAGAGAUGUUAUCCCUGUUGUUCUUCAUGGAUAACGAGUGGGUUAUGUGUGCCUAAAUCGACGGGGUUCCAUGUGUAUCGGUGACUUCAACAACCUCUUACUUUAAGCUUUUGCGAUGACGAUAGCAGGGUGACCCAGCUCCCCCCCUACGUGGCGGUCUGUUAUUGCGACGACUCAAUGAGAUUUGUUCCUCUAUAGGUCAUUACUAGUAUUACAGUGGUUCAAUUUCUCAAUGUUGCUCGUUGUCGUCGUGGCUAUGGUGAUGCAACAACGAUAAAUUCAGCCACGGCUUUGGCAAGAAUUUUGAGGCAUGUAGUCAUAGUCCAUGUCGUUACCCAAUGUCUAGCUGCUCCGAUCUUGUAUAGAUUGAUCCAAUGUAAAUUUAAUUUAAUUUCUGAAAAAACUGACGCGUUAGUACCAUCCUUUAAUAAUGAAAAUAUGUUUGGCCUAUUUUCUUUCUUUUUCAUUCCAUGCCGACACUUCCAGUUUUCAUUUUCGGAGGCAAACAUGGCAGACUUUUGCUAGAGGAAAGAACGUGUUUCAGGGACUGUAUCCCCCGUGUGUUGUCGCUUCUACCUCGAGAACAAGCUGAGACGUGGCAACCCGGACGCGUCCAGUAGCUGCACACGCCUGCACUUCUCCACACGUCUGGCUUCUCUUUAUGGGCGAGUCACUAAUCACCGGCUCCCGCCGACCAGCCCACUCAUGCCCGCACACGUAGCGCCCCCGACUAUCCUAUCCCAUCGUUAAAGUCGCUUAUAAAUUGCGCCUGGUGCUGCACCUGCUUCCACAACCACAAGUUGCAGCCAAGUGAGCAAGACAACACACCAUAUUUCUGAGAUAAUCAAGAUCAGCACCUGUGCAAGAUGGAGUACCAGGGACAUCAGCAGCACGGUCAGGCGACUAACCGCGUCGACGAGUACGGUAACCCGGUUGCCGGACAUGGCGUCGGCACAGGCGCGGCCGCUGGUGGGCAUUUCCAGCCCUCGGGGGAGGAGCACAAGGCCGGCGGGAUCCUGCAGCGCUCCGGCAGCUCUAGUAGCUCCAGCUCGGUGCGUGUACAUAUACUUUCUAAUUAACACUACUUUUGCAUAGUUGCAUGCGUGAAGAUUAUGCAUGAAGAAGCAUCAAUGACUGACUUUUCUUCGUUCGUCGUGGUAGUCUGAGGAUGAUGGCAUGGGCGGGAGGAGGAAGAAGGGCAUCAAGGAUAAGAUCAAGGAGAAGCUCCCUGGUGGCCACGGCGACCAGCAGCAGACCACUGACAACACCUACGGACAGCAAGGUCAUACGGCAGGGAUGGCCGGCACUGGCGGCACCUACGGCCAGCCGGGACACACCGGAAUGGCCGGCACUGGGACGCAUGGCACCGACGGCACCGGCGAGAAGAAGGGCGUCAUGGACAAGAUCAAGGAGAAGCUGCCCGGACAGCACUGAGCCCGGCCCACGGCCGCUACUUGUGAAAGUUUGAGGUGCCGGUCUGGGACACCUCUGCAGAAUAAUAAGAUGGAGAUACAAUAAAACUUCCUGAAAUAAUGUGAGUUUUAGCUCACUUGUAAUGUCUGAGUUCCGAGUUUUGUGGACUUAAAUAUGGGUUUCUUGUAUGUACCGGGACGUUUCCUCCUCUGUACUUUGAUGUGUGAAUUUUCUUUUGGUUGAACUGUGUAUGUAUUGUAUGCAUAUCAUGGUAUAAU